rnacentral:lncRNA from 1 species
UUUCUUUCCCCUUCGCUCUCUUCCAUAAGUGAGUUGUAAGAGAGGUAUCUGAAAUUUCUGCACCAGACUCAAUAACAUGUGAGUCUAUCUCACUUUCACCAUAUUUUUUGUAAUAGUAGCCGAAGACACGAAACAAGUCAUCUUUUGCAUGAUUAAAAGCAUCUGAAAAAUCCAUGUCCAAUGCAUCACCUAUUCCCUCCAAUGCAAUUUGCAAACCAUCCAGUUUCUUGUGUGGAUAAAAAAUAGUUGCAAAACAGUAUACAUGUGAUAUUUGUUCAAAGUAUUUUAGAAACUUUACCUCCAUUGGAGCAACAAUAGUGUUUAGAAGGUUGUCAGAUCUGAACUUAGAAAAAGAUUCAGCCAUUAACCAAAUAUAAUCAAUCACCAAGCAAGUUGUAGGAUAGUAUACACCUGAUAGCACAUUUGUAGCUGCAUAAAAAGUCAUUAGAAACUCUCUAAAUUGACGCGCAAUGAACCAAUCAACAUUGUUAGUAUUAAAUCAAUAUCAGCAUUCACAAAGACAGUAAUUAAUUGUUCAUAACCUUCUAAACUCUUAAGCAUAUGGUAGGUUGAAUUUCAUCUGAUCUUCAUAUCAAGACCAAAUUUUCUUGGUCUCAUAUCUUGAGCUUUACAAUACUCGGCAAAUCUAGAAAUCAUUUGAGGUGUGCUUGUUAUGAAACGAAUAGCAGCACAGAUAUUAUUCAAGUACUUAUUUGCAACUGUUAUACCAGCUUGAACAACCAAAUUUAUAAUGUGGCACACACACCUAUGGUGGAUAAUAUAACCUUGUAUAUAUGACUGCAACCGAGGGGUGAGAAUAUCAAUAGCAGUUGUGUUUGCGGAAGCAUUGUCAAGGGUUAUGGAGAGAAUCUUACCAUCUACUCAAAAUCACGAACUACCUCAAGUAUAUGGUUGGCAAUUGCAUCUCCAGUGUGUGACUCAUCCAUCAUUCUAAAACCGAUGACUCACUUGUUUAAAGCAUAUGAAUCGUCCAAGUAGUGGGCAACAAUAGAAACAUAACAGGUUUUUUGGUGUGACGAUGUCCAAAUGUCCGAUGUUAAAGCAAAUGAGAACUGAACCUUUUUAAAUGACUAUUUAAGAGCUGCAAGUUUAUUUUUGUAUAUUGCAAUCAAAUCAGAUUUUGUAGUUUUUCUAGUGACAGGCUGAUAUUGUGGGCAAAAAGCACGUUGAAUCAAGUUUUAAAAAUUUUGGCUCUCACCCAACAUAAUCGGUAAAUCUUCACAAACAAUAAAUUUGGCUAUUUCAUCACGUGCUACCUGUGGGUUGUAAACCCAUGUACUUAUUGUACCAUCAGCAGCAAAGUUAAGAUGGGUUUGCGUACCUCCUCCUUGAGUCUUUCCUAGCUUUGCUAAACAAGCUUUGUAGUGCCGGUUCAAAUGUCCCGUGCCAGCAGCUGAACCUGCACUCAAUUCAGUUUUGCAAUAAUUACAUACAGCAAAAAAAUGUACUACACCAUCCUCAAUGACUUCCUUCUUCACCAUAUGUUUCCAACAGUCUGCCCUCGAACUACACUUUGCACUGCUUGAUGAUGCCGACGGUGGUGCACAUUCAGCAGCAACCGCAUCACCCAAUUCACCCCCAUAGACGACAAAUGCUAUUGUUGUUGAUUCACCAGCAGCCACACAACCCACACCCACAUCCAGUUCACCAGCAUCCACACCUAGUUCACCAACAACCACACCCAUAUUAGCGGCAGUUUGUGCUAGUUCACCAACGCUACUACUACUAGGAUUACGGUUGGCUUCACUAGCCCUGGCUCUGGACUUCGACGCCAUGACAGGACGUCUUCUCACCAUAUCUACUCACAGGGAUCACCAAAUCAAAGUCUCUGGCAGCCUAACGAAGAGAGGGUCGGUUUUAUAGAAUUGACUAACUGAAAAUCGAAGCAACACACACUUAAUGGGAAUCGAAGCAGCACUCUAUCGCGCCAUUUACUGGACUUGACCGAGGGCGGGCGGGCUCUCGUGCCAUGCGCUCUGAGCUGUCCGAGGGAGAGCCAUUUGUUGGGACGGUUGGCCUAUCGUGCCAUUUACUAGACUUGACCACUCCGACCUCCACGCAGCGAUGCCAUGGGCCAUGGGCCACGGGCCACGGAUCCACAGGAUUGAAUGUUGUAUUGGCCUCAUGCCCUCACAGGAUGUAUGCAGUAUGGUGUAUUGGCCUCACAAUCACAACACGCAGCGACACAACAGGCCAGGGAACUCACCUGCUGCGGUGGGCGGUGGAGAUAUCUGCGCGACAAGGUGGACAAGUGGUGGACUGGCGGCGGGCGAUGGGCAGCGGGCGGUGAAGGUGGUGGCGAGAACUAGGGUUUUUGCGUCACGAUCUCGGGACGGCAGGACCUGUAUGCUGUGCGGUGCGGUGGCUGCCAAGUAUUGUCCUACCUAUACGUACGACAUACACGAGUUAUUGAUUUGGGCCUGCUGAUUCAAUUGAGCGAUUGGGCCAAGGCAAAUAACCGAGCGAGUUGCACUCUACAAUGUGUACCUCGUAAAUGGGCCAAUUUCGUGCUUUUACGAGCUUUUUUCGUGCCGGGCCAGCCCAAACCUGGCCCACGCGUGCGGGCCGUGCCGGGGGCCCAACAGGCCGACAUUUAAGGCCUAGCCCUGACCUGUCUUUAGGCCGUGCUAGCCUGGCCCAAAAUAUUACGUGUCGUGUCGUGCUUUGGGCUAAUAAUUUCGGGUCGUGCUCGUGCUAGCCCAAACAGCCCGGCCCAAAUUCCCAGCACUAGUUCCAGCCCAACAUAGCAGUGGCAUGGUGCCGACUGGUGGGCCCCAUUGGUCGGCCACUCCACGCCCACGCACUAGCGACCGGCGCGCAUGUAUCCGUCUCGGCUAAAACCGCCAUGUGGGUCACAUCUGUCAGCGGCCACUAUCGUGUGGGGGCAUGACAGCUGGGGUCUCAUCUUCACCUUGCGACUGAGGUGGAGUCAAACAACAAAACCGUGAGACUUCUGGGAUUUAGAGGUUCUUUGUAGCCGCCUCCAUCGCGAUCGCAGCUUGUAUCCCUGGGCAUAAAUAGAAGUCCUUGCGACCCCUCUUUGGCCAUAGGCAUGAGACGCAUAAGACCUUCAUGGGGCGAAGAGCGAUGAGUCAAGAAGAAUGGUGGAGAAGAAAGCCGAGGGCCGCCGCUGGCGAACUUGCGACGGGCCAACACAGAUACCAUGGCGUGCUGCUCAGGGGGUUUGUCAGGGGUCGAGAAGGGUGUAUUCGUGAAGGCCGAUGGGUUGGAGCGCUCUGUGGUGGCAUGAUUCCUCGCCGGACUUGGUGGUCGCCACGGAAUCGCGCUCCGUCGCCGAGAGGACUCCCUGCGCAACCAUCCUCGGUGAGUCCUUACUCUAGUUGUUGGCCAUGAUAGUAGGAACAUGUAGCCGCUAGUAGUGCUCAGAUUAGUGUUCCGUGGUGCGCGGAACCGCUCGCUGUUGUGCGCCACCGCAGUACUGGCGGUGUCGCCACUGCGCUGGAUCGGGUGGAGAAGACAGGCGCCAGCCGUCCAUUCCUUGAUUGACGGUUGUGAUUAGAGCACUCAGCCCCCCUUUGAUCCAUUAGAUCCAGGAUGCAUGUAUCAGGAUCUACAUCUUUUGUUCACAUACCGGUUCGUGUAUGGGAUCGAUCUAAUUUGCGCCACGGGUUUACGAUCCGGUGGUGUGGAUCCAAGCACAACCCUUUUGCCACACUGAUAUGCAAAAGAGCCUCAGGUUUCUAUGAAAUCAACCUGCGGUCUGUAUGUAGUGUUAGAAUAUUGAAUUAAGGUCCAAAGAUCUGUAAAUCAGACCUUGAGCUUCUAGUAAUUGAUGCCCGCGGUCCUUGAACAAGUAAAAUAAUCAAGAAAAUCAUCUGAUAAACAUUUUAAGGUACAACAUUAAUGCCUAGAAGCUUAGGAAGUUCAUAUCUUCUCGGUUUUUACUCUGAUUUUCUCCGUUCAAGUCGUGGUAGCUUCAUAAUAAAACUAUAUGUACAGUAAUAACAUUAGUGUGUUAUGUCACAUACUUUUAUAGUUAGAUAAUUGGUAGCCUAUGUUUACCAAAUUAAUCUCUCUAGGUUAAUACUUAUAAUCCGACUCAUAUAUGAACUUUAAUUAAGAUAUAACUUAGACUAGAAGAUGAAUUAGACAUUUAUUGGGAAUAUUUUUCUCACCUGAUUUAUAUGAAUCACCAUAGAAUAUAGUUUUACUGUUUAAACACCUAAAAAACUUCGGAAAACCAUAUCUUUUUAACCGAAACUCUGAAUUUAGUAGUUCUCGAACCUACGGUCUCGUAGUGACGUGUAGAAUUAUAUUGCGCAGUUGUUUUCUAUGUUUGGUGUAAUGUUGUGUUUACCUAGUCUUUGCCUAUCUAUAUGUAUUGCUACGAUAGAAGCGAGGUUGCGAGGCACCUACAUUCUACAUUGGAGAAGUACCUGGAGUUGCACCAAAAAGGCAAGUUGUGCCCUUGAUCACUCUUCUUUACCUAAUAAUGUUCCUGUUAAUCACUGUGACAUGCUCAGGUUAAUUCGAUAGGACCUAAUAGGUUACCCUAGUUUUGAUUACCCCACACCUUGCAAACAAAUGAAUUAUUGGGUAGAUUGGCUAUGCUCUACCUGGUUUUGGGAUUAAUGUUAUAUCUGAAUUAUGAUCGUGUUCCAUUGUUACUGUUGGUUUAAUUAUCAUUCAUGAUAAGAUUAUUGUGUUAAUUGGAACAUGGAGCUUAACUUGAGUUAACAGUGCUACCACAAGGGUGGAAUGGGACGCACUUGGCUGACUAAUUAGGAAAGCUAGUGGAGGACUAUCUUACCCGAAAGGGGCAAGGGCGAUAAAGGAAUUGGCGGUGUAGGGAGGUUCUCGAGUCGAUCAUGCUACGAUGGCUUUUCAGACGAGGGAUUCCUAUAUCGCUCUUCUCACGAAAUCGUAGCGUGUUUUUGAACCUAGUGGAACUUUGUAAAGGCCUCAUAGUGGGACGUUGCCUCGUAUCCUCGAUAGAGAUGAAUGGGAAGUCAUGAUCCCUUGGCAAAUGGGUAACAUGGCUUGUGGGUAAAGAUGCACAACCUCUGCAGAGUGUAAAACUGGUAUAUCAGCCGUGCUCACGGUCAAGAGCGGCCCAGACCCUCACAUGAGUAAUUUUUGGAAUUAAACUUAAUCUGUCAUUUGCAUUACAUUAUGGGAUUCAUUAUUAAUUAUGGUCAAUUAUUUAAUUGGGUUGGUAUCUACUUAUACUUAGUAAUUUCUAAUAAAAUUUUGACUAACAUAUUAAAAGCGAUGCUCAGCCUUAACCAUUUUCCUUGGUAAGUCUUACACUAUACUUUUUCCCACACUUGCUGAGCGAUGAACGUAUGUGAGCUCACUCUUCAUAAACUCACACCAGGUCAAGAAUGAGUACCACUAGAGGAACAUGAAGGAUGCUACGAUGAGUUCGGAGAGGUCUAGGCCGUCGUCUCCCAGUCAACUAUGGUUGCGGAGGAUCGUUGUUGCCAAAUGGUGUAUUUUAUUUAGUUAUUUUGUAUAGAACUCUUAUAUAUAAUAAAAAUGUGACAUCGAUUUAUGUACCAUGAGUCAUCAUAUGUGUGAAACUUGAUCCUAGCACACAUUUGAAAUGUGCCCGGGUUUGCCCUUAAAUCCAUGUGUGACAUGUUUGUCCAAAGUGGUGUGUUGAGCACUUAAUCACUAAAACAACUAGAAAUGGCCAAAGGGAACAUUUCCCUUUCAAUCUCCCCCUUUUGGUGAUUUAUGCCAACACACCUAAAGCAACUCAAAAUAUACUAACUUAACCAAAUAUGAGCCAACUCUUGCAAAUUGAAGUCAAAGUAAAAACCGAUUGAAUAAGUAUAGGAUUUGGUAUAUUUGGAUCAUUUAGCCACCACUCGUUUUGAAUUUUGCAAUCAAACUCAUUUUUCUCACUUCUAAGUUAAAACUCUUCAGUUUUGCAACUCAAACCAUUUUUAGAGACUAGUUUUGAUCAAAUACCAACCCCCCUUUCCCAUAAGAAAGAUUUCUCCCCCACAAGAGAAAAGUUUUGCUAUAAGAGAGCUCCUAUAACACCCUGAAUUUGGGGGCAUGAAAUUUCUUCUCUAAAUGCCUACCAAAUUCAGGUGUUACAUCUUGUCUCUCUCUAGAUUCCCUCUCUCUUUCUUUUGAUUAGAAUUAAGUUAACAAGAUGAGAGAUUAAUUAUUUAUUUUGUCAAAACUAUGUGAGUCAUGAAUUGUUGCAUCAUGCUGAACCUAAAUUAUCCUUUAGUUUGAUGCACAUGUUUGAAAUGGUUUGAAUUUGAAUUUGGUUUGAAUUUGAUUUGACAAUACUAGAGAAAAUAAAAUAGAAAAGCAAUUAGAAAUUCUAGGAAAAAGAAAAAGAACAUUUCGGCCCAACUAGCCCAAGACGGCCUAGUCUCGCACGCGCGCCCGCGCCAACGCGUCCACCCUUCCCUGACAGGCAGCCCUCGCCUGUCAGCGCCAACCCGCACGCUCUCCCCCCCUCUAUCUCUCGCUGCCCAAUGGGGCCGACUUGUCGGUGUCGAUCUUCUCUGCGCACGCGCGCUUGCUCUCCCUGUCUCGUGGACCCCGCUCGUCAGCCUGGCCACCCGUUCGCCCGCCCGCUCUCGCUGACCCGUGGGUCCCGUCUGUCGAACCCGUCCCCCCAAACCGCCCGCGCACAACCAGCGCGUUGUCAUGGACUCCUCGCCCAUGACGCAUCCCGAGGUCGCGCCCAUCCCCACCUUGUCCUUUUUCUAGAUGCCCAUUGCCCACUCGCCCUCCUCUUCCCUCACUCACGCACUAACAGCCCUCGGCACUCACCUCGCACCGGCGUACACCCAGGGAGUUCUGCCGCCCAUUCUGCGGCCGCCGUUGAGUCUUUGCCGCGCCCGCUGCCUCGGUGAGCUCCGCCUCUUCACCAGCAACGUGGGACAUCUUCCGGUUUGCCCCCAAACCCUUCUGGUUUGCCCGGUUCACGCUCACCGGCGUUCUCCCCGUGCAGCCGAAGCCCCACCGCCGUUGACCCGAGGCCUGUCUGCGUCCCCGUCGUUGCUCAAGCGCUCCUGUGUCUCCACUCGAGGUGAGCAACCCCCCAUGCCCUUAUUUCCCCAGUUACUGCUAUGUUGUCCGCGUAAUUGCUCGCCAGAGCAAGUUCGCGCCGCCGUUGGGCGGCUCCGCCACGGUCUGUGCCCUCUGGUGCCUCUACACCGGUGUCAUGCCCACGGUUCAGUCCACCGUGUCACCCCGAUCUCGCCUGAGCCCUUUCCCAGUGCCCCAGACCCUCGUCGUGGUCGUGCCCUCGCCUCCGGCGAAACUUCGCCAUGGAGUCGGGCGGCGACGCUGCGAACAGGCUAGCAACCCAGCUCGAGCUCGCCAUCAGAUCUCAGGCGUCCAUCUGGGUUCUAACGGCCUGGCUUCUAUUGAACCCGGCCCGACCUCAACCGUCCGAUUCAGUUCUGACUGCUUGGAUCCGCCCCGUCACCCGCACCCUGCACCUGGGCCCGACCAGUCAGUCCUGCCUCAGGUCGCUGAUGCCCCCUGGCCCGCCUGUCAGCGCUCACCGUGCAUCCACGCGCGCUUGUACGCGGGAUCUAAUCUCGGUCGUUCGUUCGUGAUCGUGCGGUCAAGAUGGCUCGAUCCCCCUUCGCGUGUAAUUUUUGUUAAACAGACCCCCGACUUUUCAUAAAUCAAACCAUCGUCCCUCUAUUUCGCGCGCAGGCUCCUGUAAUCUUGCAGACAGACCCCUGACCUUUUAAUUAAUCACAGAUUUAGGCAUAAUUUUAUAUUUUAAACUUCAAAACUUGUUUAUUUCAUAUCUUUUGCAUAUGAACUCCAAAUUGAGUGAUUCAAAUUGCAAAAAUGUUCAUAGGAUUAUUCUUUGUCCAAAUAAAUUAUGAUAAUUCACUGUAUGUGCACUUUAAUUUUUUGCCUAGACUAUAGGUUAGUAUAUGUAAUAAUUUGUUUAUGAAAUAAGAAAAAUAAAAAGGAAAACCCUAAUGGUACUUAGGGUUGCAGUCAACAAAGUUUUGAUCAAAAAUACAAAUUCAGAACUCAAAAACUUUUAAAAACUCGAAGUGUGGUGGUUGAUCUAGUUGAUUUGGCCUUAAUUUCUAGUUGUUUGGCAUUAAGCGCCAAAACAGAGAAACUAGUGUCUUGUAACCUCAUUGCCUCACCAAAAAUAGCAAAUUAAGAGCAAAAGGAAAUGAAGCACCAAGCGCAACUUGGAACAAAGUACAAUGAUACCUUAUGCAAUGGAAGCCUUUUCUUUGUCCAAGUCCACCUUUCCCUUUCAAUCCAGGAAGUUUCCUAGAGGCGAGUGAUUAGGCAAGCGGAAAUUUUUUCAACAAAAACUAGAAACGAACUGGGUAAAACCGGUUCAACCAGUGUCAAAACCGCUUCAAUCGGUUUGCACGAGUCCAACUAAACAAUGAGAUAUAGAACUGAAAUGAUCUCGAAAUUCACCUAAUUAACUUUGCAAAUGGAAUGUCCUUGAUGAUCCACAUGGUUCAAAGUAGUAUAUCUGAGAAGGGCACUUCUCAAAAUGCACACACCAAAAAGAUAUGAACAAUUCUUCCAUGGAUGGUGAGAGAACGAACAACAUGAACAAACACAAUGAGCAAGAACACAAGAGACACAAGAUUUAUCCCAAGGUUCGGUCACACCACCAAGGUGCCCUACUUCCUCAUUAAGGCACCCAUAAAGAGCUGGGUCUCUUUCAACCCUAAUCCUCCCAUUGCCGACCACAAAGGUCAAGCCCACACACCAAUCUUUUCUCACAUGAGCGAGUAAUAAAACUUUCUUGUGGUCUUCUACAAGAUUUAGAGACUCACAAGUGACACCUAGUCGUCUAGAAGCUACAAGCUCCAAGAGUAAUGAAUCCACAAAGAACUCGAUGUAGUACCAAAGCUCGAAUCAAGAAGAACAAGAAGGAUUUUGAGAUAAAGCACAAAAACCCCAGCUCUUCAAUCUCGCUCAAAGAUUUCUCACCAAAGAUUUGAAAUGGGAGAGGCAAGAGGUGUGUGAUAGAGAGUGGGAGGUGUUUCUCAGGUUAGAAAUGGAGUUUGGUGUGUGCUCUUGUGUGUGGGAGAGAGGUAGGAGUGAGUAUAUAUAGGUGGGGCUCCAAAACUAGCCAUUUGACCUUUCAUCAUACUGAAUGAUCUUUCAACACUUAGUAAACUUGUUAGACCUUUAAAUGUGUUGUUAUCUAAACCACCAAAACCCACAAAAAUGAUGAAUGCACUUUAGAAGAUUUGAUAAAUAAGAUUUUAAAUCCUAUGAUAUAGUUCCUCCCCUAAAUAUGUGCAUUUCAGAAAAUACCAAUUUUGUACUCAAAUGCCAGAAGCACAUAUUUGGGUCAAAGUAUGGAGACAACUUAUAUCAUACUAUUCAUGGGGUGCAUUGUGUCAUAAAAUAAAUGUGAUGCUCAUGACAUACUAUGCACUCAUUAAUUUUCCACAUUUUAUAAUUUACUUAUGAUUCCCUCUCUUUUGUAAAUUAUUUCUCCCCCUUUUCAAAAGUCUUCUUACACUUAGUUACAUAAGACUAAAGGUAAGAUUUAAUGCACAAUUUCUCCCCCUUUGUCAUAAAUCUCAAAAAAGGAUAUAAAGGUUAUAAAGGGUAGAAAUUAUGAUUAAGCAAGAUUUGAACACACUAUCAUGAAAAGGGUGCUUAGAUGGCACAAAGGUAAUGGAGACGUGACAUGAAGUGAUGUACCAUUGUGUUUUACCUUUUCAAGGGGUUUCAAGACUUGUGUUGGAUUUAUAAUUCAUUUUCAAGCUCUUGUUGGCAUAGUUGCGACACAGGUCCAAGAUAUCAAAUGGCGAUUGUCAUACAAAUUGAAAGAUGAAUCUUGAUACCUGGAGUCUAGAUGUCACCUAGCAUUUCCUUAUAUAACAAGAUACGACAUGAAAAUUGCACAAGUAUGGAUUGUACAACUAGUGAUCAUGUACAGAAAAUACCAAUUGAAAACCACCAAUUGAUACAAUGUGAUAGAUAAGCAUAUCACUAAUUGCAUAUUACACUAAGUUCUCCUCACGUUUUAGUGCACACAUAUAUAUGAUUUCAAUUGAUACCUGUUGAGAGUACUUCAUUUGGAAUUUAAAGUAACAUUGACAUAUAAAGGAGUAUCAAUUGAAUAUGAUCAUGCAACAUAAGGAACAUGUGUACUAUUUAAUCAAUUAAGUUCUUGACAGGAGAAUUUAUAAGUUAUGCUACUUUAGAUAUUUGCAAUCCAAAAGAAUAUGAUACAGAUUUACCAAAGUUUGGAUGACGUUUGAGUAGCAUAUGCAAGAGAAACUUAUUCUCUUUUGAUAUGUAUAAAAGAAACAUUUAUUGGAGGAAAGAAUCUUUGAUACCCAUCAAAUUUGCAGUGAAAGCGAUUUUAUUUGCCCAAAAAUUAUUUUUUUAAUUUGAGACUACACACAUAAUAGACUUAGAAAUGAAGUUAGUCUCAAAGAUUCAAAUUAUAGACCAUUCUCCCCCUAAAUGUGUACAUACAAGUGAUGAAUACUUGUUUAGCUUAUGCACUUGAACUUGUAAGGCCUGGGGAUUAAGUUCUACAAUUUGAACCUUGGUACAAGCAAAAUAUCAAAAUGUGAAAUUGUACCAAGUUAAGGAAUUACUCAUGAUCAAAUGGUAUACUAAUAGACAUGAUAUGCAACAUUUUAAGCCAAGAUUCUCAAGAAGUUAGCAUGUUUGUCUCAUACCUCACUAAGAUGGCUUAAGACUAACUCAUGACAUCGCCACAAGAGGUAUCAAUUAAAUAUCUAGAGAUUAUUUAAUCGUCACCACAAGUGCAACCUUAUGGUGUUUCUUAAGAUAUUAAAUACACAUGCAUAGACUAACAUGUAAGAGACUAGAUGCACAAAGGUAAUACAAUAGUUCAAGGAAUGACACACCUUUGUUCUACGCCACAUGGUCUCCACCAUGAUCAUCAUUUUUCAACUUAGUGCUUUGACAGGCUUGACACUUCUUUACACAAAGCAAGAUGAUUUUCAUUGAUGCCCAUUAGUCUUCAUCAUGACAUGGAUUGAGUCAAUUUAGCAUGCCAAAGAGAAACUUAUCCUCUUCACAAAAUCAAGAGAAACUUAUUCUCUUCAAAGAACUACACAAAUUUACUAAAAUAAAAUGUUAAUCUUUAAGGACGCAUGAUAUAUAGAAUGAGCUCCCCCUAAAUGUAUGCAUCAAGUACUCAAAUUACUUUAACAUGUACUAUAUCCAAUUAAGAUUCUUAGUGGGGUUCAUCAUAUAUCUUGGUCAGGGCAUAAUAAAUUUGCAACAAUUGAAAUUAUGCUAGAGAACACAUAUUGUUCCUCAAUAGAACUAAUCCAUGAGGUGACAUGUGGUAAAUGCUUGACCAUUUGUAUGGAACCACUCAUCCUCAUUUGACAUUCUCCUUUCUCUAAGGUGUGAGACUACACAACAUGAACUUGAAAGAAAUCAUUAGUCUCACAAGAUAUAGGCUAAACUCUCCCUCAAUUUGUGCAUGCAAGAGUACAUAAAGUACAGUCAUGCACAUCAACAUUACGAGGUUAAAGUAGAUGUUUGCACUAUAUCUUGGUUUAACUUAACAUGCUUUACAUAGAUGAUGAAAAUUAUAGCAAUUGAAGGUUUAAGAACUGAAAGUAUAUCAUUGAAGUUCUGAAAGGUAAGGCAUGCUAAUAUGAACUUCAAACCUCAUAAUGAAGGAUAUUAUAUGAUUAUGUCACUACAUCUUCAUUAUUUGGUUUACAGGAUAGUUCAACUCCCUUCUUGAUUCAUUGUGAUCUCUUUUCGCUUUAUGAUUUCAUCCAACCAAGUGAUCUUGAACUUCAUUCAUCUAUGCUUGAUUCGAUCAUACUUGAUAUGAGACCAAUUGAAACUCAAUGAUUGAAAGGACCAAGACUCUUAUAUUUGUAGAUUUUAAAUCCAUCGUGAAAGCACUUGGAAGGACCUUGUUGAAACACUUAGAAAAGAGAGCAUUAAAAAUACAAGAGAGGAUUUAAAAAAUAAUGAUCCUUAUAUGUGUGAUGGCAAAUAAAUCAUCAUUCUGGAAAUCCAUAAGGAUAGAUUAAAUUACUUUAAAUUAGUGCUCACAUAUGGUUGACAUCAAAGUUAUAUGCACUAUUGAACAUUUUAUAUUGCAAGGAAUUUAACCUAUACUAUAGUACAUCCCACUAAGGAUAGAACACUAAAACAACUGAAGGAGAGUAAGUUUUCAUACCUUGGCCUCUUAUCAACUUCAUCUUACUUUAAUUGAAUAGUAUCAUUUAAGCUUGUGAUUUAUACAAUUUAAAACAACCACCAUCUCUUAACAGGGCCGUUCUUGGCUUUUCAGGGGCCCAGUGCGAAAUUCGAUAUAGAGGCCCCAUCCACACACAAAUAUAUAUAAUUAUACAUAUAUUACCGAAUAUUUGAUGUAUAAAAAUUAUUAUGCACUGCUUAAAGUUUAUAAGAUAACAGAUAUAAAAUAUAGCAAAAAACACUUACUUGUUAUAUGAUAUUAUUAAAAAUAUCUUCUAACAUUUUGUGAUACAAAGUCGUCGCUUAUAUCAUCGAGAUCAAUCUCAUCCAAUUACUUUUUUUGAUAUAUAGAAUCGCCAAGCCAUUUAACCUCUCUUGAGUUAUUGUUGACCAUAAAUAGUUCAUAAAAAAUUUAAUUUUAAAAAGCUUCUCUCUACCGAAGCAACCAUCAUAUGUAUAGUUUAUAAUUCUCUCUCUAAUAUCAAAAUAAAAUUUGUUUUGCUUCUUUAGUGGAUUUAUCAUCAUCAAUAUAAACAUAAAAAUUAAGAGCUAAAUCAAAUACUAUUUUGAAACGGAUGGAGCAUUCAAUAAGUAAUUGAGACAUUAGUCUAACAAUAUAAAUGAGACUAGUCGAUAACUCGAUAGUGCAUCGCUUUUUGCGUAUUUGUGUCUAGAAUAGAUAGGUUUCACAAAAAAAUGCUAACGUCCAGUGGCUAGGGGGCCCGGUGCGGCCGCACCCCCUCAGGGUCGGCCCUGCUCUUAACAUAAAUUUUCUAUGGAUAAACUCAACAUAAGAGAUGGCAUUAGUAGCACAAACACUAGUUUAUUAUUUAGCAAUCCUUUAUAUGUAAAAGGCAAGAGAGUUGCUAAAAUAGAGAAACCUCAUAAUAUGGACUAAAUUUGUUGUGAACCCUCAUGCACAAUGUAUUUUGAAUGACGUGGAUAAUAAGCAUGGUUAUUCAAUGAAGUCUAAAGGGCUAACUCAAUCCAUAUUAUGGUGAGUGUCUAAUAUAGAAGAACCAAAUCCAAAUUAACUAGAGAGAGAAUACAUCACAUAGUUUGGAUUGUUGACCAUAUGAUAAUAUUCAUUUAUCUUACAAUUUGAUCUUUAUUUCAUAAUCAACAACUUAUGUAUAUCCUCAAGUGCUUCUUCUUCCUUAGUGGCUACACAAGUCACAAAAGAGAUAAUAUUUGAAAAUAAUAUGCACUGGAGAUUUAGUUGGUACCACCCUUGCUACUAUCUUCAAAUAUGAUUUAUACAUCCAUUAUCGAGCACCCAGCUUGACCCAUUGAAGGAGUGAUCCUGCAAAACAAGUUUAAGCUUCGUAUUUUGGUACCCAAUUUGAAUUGGGUGCUUUGAGAUUAGUAGUAAGAACCUUGGGUACCCACACAUUCCUUAUUGUGGCCUUUCUCUUUGUGUAGGCACCCACAUAUACUUGACAACCAUCUUACAUGGUUUCAAGUCAAUAUGUAAUUACACAGAUAAGAGCUAGAAUUAAGAAUAAGAGCCUUUUCUCUGUUUGUUACAUGAAACUCUUUCGUAUUACUCUUCAAGCACCCCAUAUUGAUCAUGUUAUGAACCUGGAUGGGUUGCAUCCAAGUGUCCUUCUUUCGUGGUUUUUUCUUAGGGGAUUAUAAUUAGCAUUAACUUCUCUUGAUACAUCAUCGAUGAUGAACGUCUUCUUGAUGAUAUACCUAGCUUGACCUUGGGUGCACCUAGCUUAUCAAGGUUAGUCGCACAAGCAUUCAUCUCAUAUCUUAACUAAUAAAUACAAGUUAUGCAUGGAAUUUACAACUCAGUGAUCCAAUCCAGUGUGAAGCAUAUGGAUACCAAUUGAAGUAGAUUUCUAAGAUAACAAUUUGUAGGUUUCCAAAAUUUAGAGAGUAUGGAUCACUAAAUGCGACUUUUGCAGUUUUUUAAAAAAUCACAUCCUUGUUAGUGCAUACGAAUAUGAUAAAUAUCAACUAAAGGAAAGGAUUCAUAUGCACUUGAGAUUUAAUAAUAAAGAAAUUUUAAACUGCAUCAAGAGUAGCUAUUUAGAAAACGUGGAUUGCAAUCCACAAGACACAAUAUAUAUAAUGUGCUCCCCUCAGAUAUGUGCAUCAAUUAUUUGAAUGACUUGUCAAAUGCACUUUCAAUUCAAUUAAGAGUCUUAUGAGAAGCACAUUACAUAUCUUGUAUAAAGAAAGACAACUUCACAAUGAAUUAACUUAUUCCUAAGAAUACUUACCACCAAAUAAGACAUACCAUUUGUUAUGUAUACCAAUUGAAAUAUCUUACUAUUUGUAAUGCCCAACUUAGGAAAAUAAAGAGAGGAAUAAAAAUUUAUGUGUAAUGCUUUCUCAUUCAUAAGAACUAUUAGGAAACAUAUUUAAAAUGAAUAGUUCUUCAAUAAAAUGUGCAUCAUGUUGGAGUUUGGUUUGUUUGUGCAUUUAAUAAAAAUAACAAUAACAUUAACAAAAAUAUAAUAAUGAGUUGAGAAUUUGGAUUUAACCCAAAAGUACAAUUUAGAAAAUUGGAAAUAAUAUAGAAAAGAAUAUAGAGAGAAAUAUUAUAGGAUACAAAAUAAAUUUAUAAGUAAAUAAACUCAUCCCAUAAUGGCAUGUUCAAUCAUACAUUCAAAUUUGAGUACAAAUUCGCCACAAUAUUUGAAUUCAAAUUUUAGAUUUGAAAUAAAAAAAGGGAAAACUAAACAGAAAAUAAAAUCAGAAAAAGAAAAAAAAUUGACAUCGCUUGGGCUGAAACCUCCCUGAUAGCCCACUCUGUUUCCUCCCCCUCGGCCCAUACGUCCGCUCCGCGCUGUGGCGCUGCUGUCCGGUCCCACGCGGCAGUCGCAAAGAUCCACCGCCCAGGACGCACCGUUGGGCAUCGCUCUACCAAGUCGGGCCCACUGGCCAGCCAUUACACGCGCACAUAAUACUCUCGUGACCACCACCCACGCGUAGACCCCGCUGGUCAGGGUCGUCCCUCCCGCGCAGCGAUGUUGUUACAACGACCUCGUGCGAGUCCAAGGGAAUCAGGGUGAUCAGUUGCGGAGCUAGGUGAUAAAGCGAGCGCCUACGCUACCUUCCCCUCUCUUGUUGUCCCUUGCACGGGUGCUAAAACAGAUGCCGCUAUCGUGAGGUGAAGGGGAAGCAUAAACACGCCGAGGUCAACAUCCUAGGGUCGCACGCCGUUGGUGGAAGGCGGGGGUCGAGAACGGACUUCUGGUCCUCGGGGACCUAACCGGGCGGACCGCAGACGGUGGGACGAGGGAUUGGUGCAGCUAAUUUCUCGCCGGAGUUCCCUUGUUGCGAACAGCGCGACCUCAUGCCGUGGAUUGCUGUGUCGUCACGCGAAUCGAGGUAAAAUAGUCUUCUGCGUAUCCGCCAGGUCCCCUUAAGGAUUUUGCACCAGUCAAUUUUGAGUUUGGUGGUCGUCUGGGGCGGUGGGCGUGUUCACCCGGUGGGCGUGUUCACCGGUGAAACACCGUCGUGGAGUGCGCGCGGCACCGCCGUCCCUGGCCGGGGAAAAGGGGUGGACUUCGCGUAGCCGUCGGAUCUCGAUAGACGUUCGAGAUUCAAUCUAGGCGGAAGCGUCGCUGUGCCACCAUAUGGCUAUCUGGCGGUUAGGAUGCAACGGGGGGAUUGAACCGUAGAUCUCCGAUCCAAGGGUCAUGGGUGUGUACCGCUUCACAUUAAACCCGAUCUAAUAUGAGUCGUUGUGUCGGAUCGGACGGUCCAGAACCGGUGAUACCCUUCGUUGCGACCACUUUGCUAAAGAGUCCCUGAAGAUUAUAUGAAUCAAUCCAUGGUCCAACUCUGGGUAGCCUGAGUAUUGGGAAGUUUGCAGUCUAGCCCCAGAACUCUUUAGUAAUUUGCGCGCAGUUUAGGAAAUUGGUAAAUCAGAGAAAGGAAUUUAGAAAUUGAUUUUUGGGUAUAAAAAUAAUUACAGAAACUCAUUUAAUUCAUAGAAAAUUCAUAUUAAAUCCUUUUCGAUCCAUUCCGGUGGCAUUAAUUUUGUAUUAAUAUUGUCUAUCAAUUAGUAACUCUGUUUAGCCAUGAAACUUGUAUUAAAAUUAUUCACUUGAAUUAUUCUAUACUAGGCACAUAAUAACUUCGGAAAUUCGUAACUCGAUAACCGUAACUCUGAAUUUAGUGAUUCUUGUUCCUACGAUCUCGUUACGAUGCAUAGAAUAUUAUCAUACAUUAUGUUCUACUGUUUGGUGUGAUGUUAAUUUCUGCUAUAACCUAUUUGUUUGUAUUGUUGCGAGUAGACGAGCAAGCUAUUGAGGACCUAGGUGUUCGGCAGGUGGAGACUGCUGAGCAGGAGCUCGUUGAAGGCAAGUUGUGCCCUUGAUCACUUCUUUUUACCCAAUAAUGUUCUUAUUAUCAUAAUGAUCUGUAUAGGUUAAUUUUGAUGGGACCCAAUAGGUUACCCUAGUUUGGCUAUCUUUAUACCUUGUCUAUCACUAAAUUUUUGGGUAGUACCUGCCAUUGCUUUAUGUGGUUUUGGGUAUUGAGAUACACAUUAUUCAUGAUCAUACAUGUAUUAUUAGUUUGUUAUUUACUGUUCAUGAUAAGAUCAUUUUGUUAAUUGGAACAUGGAGAACCACCCGGAAAAACAGUGGUACCACAAGGGUGGUAUGGGACACCCUUGGCUGACUAAUCAGGAAAGCUAGUGGAUGACUACCUUACCCAAAAGGGGCAAGGGCAGUAGGGGAGUGGUCAGUGUAGGGAGGUCCUUGGGUUGGUUUUGCUGCGAUGGCGGUCAGGCGAGGGGUCCCUGCAUUGGAGCUUUCUAGAAACUGUAGCGGGUUUUCUGAAACUAGUGGAACUUUGAAAAGGCAUCGUAGUGUUACCCUGCCUCGCUUCCUUGGUACAGGUGUAUGGGAGUCGCGAUCCCUUGGCGGAUGGGUAACAUUACUUGUGGGUAAAGAUGUGCAACCUCUGCACAGUGUAAAAUUGGUAUAUCAGCCAUGCUCACGGUCAUGAGCAGCUCGUACACUCGCAUGAGUAAUUUAUGGAAUUAAAUUCAAUUUGUCAUUUGCAUCACAUUUGUGGUUUAUUAUUAAUUAGAUCUAUUAUUACUCUGGUUUGGUAUUUACUUACAUUUAGUAACUGCUAAUAAAACUUGACCACAUAUUAAAAGUAAUGCUCAGCUUUAACCCUUAUUUGUUGAUCAACCUUACACUUCACAUGAACUCCCACCUUUGGUGAGUUCAUGCACAUUAUUCCCCACAACUUGUUGAGCUAUGAUCUUUGUGAGCUCACUCUUGCGAUAUAUAAACCCCCCACAGGUGAUGAGUAGGUGGUCCAAUAGGAGCCCUAUAAUGAGGAGUACGAGUUGAUCUAGGUGGCGUAUCCCAGUCAGCUUGAAGGCGCCAAGGAAUAACAUUUAGUUCGUUUUAUUGUUAUCAUUUAUUUUUGUAAGACUUCCGCUAUGUAAUAAUGAUACUUGUGACAUUUAUCUCUAUACACUUUGUCAUUAUAUGUGGUGUUCUUCUUUGGCGCACAUAUGAGACGCACCCGACUUUAUCCCUUAAAUUCGGGUGUGACAGAAGUCGUAUCAGAGCAAUGUUGACUGUAGGACGAGACCUAGAUAGAACUGGACAAAACCCUUACCUACUUACCUUACUCUGAUUCUUUCUAUACUUUUCUUGAUCCUGUCUCACCUUCUACUGAUCUACUCUGAUUACUCUUACCUUUUCUAUUCUAAGACAAGGAGGAUUUCACACUUUGGAAUCCUACAUUUAUGACCCUCUAAAGAGAUAGGAGACCUAAGACAAAAUUUAGAUUAUUUUCUCUACUUGAAGUAAUUGGAUGUUUGUCCUGAUGGUAAAUGCUUGAUUUGCUUCUUUGAUUGUUUGAAAUAGUAUAGCAGGGCAUUCUAGCAUGUACCACCUUAAGGUAAUUAGUAUGAGUAGGUGACACACUAAUCUACUUAGUUAAUAAAACCCCAAAAGAUUCUGCCUCGCAAUUACUUGUCUUAUAUACAAUUCUAUCUUACCAUGUAUUUCUAACCCAGAUGGUCAAUACCAGGAAGGGAGGUGGAAUCGAUUUACUUGCCAACCCCCCAACAGGAGGCUCGUUAGACAACAGCAAGCAGAGAUGAACCCUCAAAAUCCUCCACCGGCUGGGACUGAUCCAGUGGUUGCAGCCGAGAUGCAGAUGCUGCAACAAAUGACCAAUACUAUGACGGAUAUGCAAGCGCAGAUGCAGCAGGAACGUCAAGAGAUGCGCCAAGAGAGGUAAGAAAUGUGGGAGGAAAUGCGACAAGAGAGAAUGGUGUGACAACAGCAAGCACCAAUGGCUCCACCACCACCACCACCAGUUCCACCCCGGGACAAGCACCGAGAGUUCAUGAGCCACAAGCCAUACCUUCGGCAGCUCUCCAUAUCCUCUACACUUCGAUGAUUGGUUAAAGUCAGUGGAGAAGAUGUUAAAUAUUGCUCAAUGCUUUGACCGGGAGAAGGUGCUCUAUGCUUCUGGUCAUCUUACUAGACCUGUUGUUGAUUGGUGGGAUUCUUAUACUGCUGCCCAUGAUGCUGCUGAUACUAUCACCUGGGCGGAAUUCAAUACACAGUUCAGAAAUUAUCACAUUCCUGCUGGACUAAUGAAGAUAAAGAAGAAGGAAUUUCUGUCACUAAAACAUGACAAUAUGUCAGUUAGUGAAUACCGUGACAAAUUUAUUCAGCUAUCACGGUAUGCUCCAGAUGAAGUUGCAGAUGAUGAACGAAAGCAGGAGCACUUCAUAGAGGGACUUAAUGGACCACUACAGUAUGCACUAGUUGCUCACACCUUUCCGUCAUUCCAGAGGCUCUUAGACAAAGCUCUAGCUAUUGAACACAAGCGUGUUCAACUAGGAGAAAUGAAGAGGAAGGCCAUUACUCAGGGGCAAGGUAGCAGCAGUAUUCGCCCUUGCUAUGUUCUGCCCUAGGGUACACUAGCUCACGCUAGAGGAGGACCGCGCCUAGCUCAGUACACACCUCAGGGGACUCCACAGACACCACACACUCGUUAGGCUGCACCCACUAGCACCCUGGCGAGACCCGCAGGACAGAGAACAAGCCCCACAUGCUUCAGGUGUAGUCAGGUUGGGCACUAUGCAAAUGCUUAUCCGAUGGGGAAUUCCAACACACCAGCUCAGAACAAGCAACAGACUCCCACCUCUAGCAAGGGAUUCAGCAUUGCCAGGGUCAACCAAGUCAGUGCCGAAGCUACUUCUGAUGGAGCUGACAUCGUUAUCGGUAUGUUUUACAUUAAUUCAAUUCCAGCAGCCAUAUUAUUUUAUUCUGGAGCUACGCAUUUAUUUAUUUCUGCCCGCUAUGCCACCAUCAAUGAACUACCACUUCAAACUAUGCAAAAACCACUGAUAGUAAUUACCCCUAAAGGGACUGUUGAAGCAAAUUAUAUGACACACAGAUUAACACUGACAAUUAUGGGAAGGGAAUUCUGGUCUACAACUAUAGUAUUAGAGGAAAGCAGUAUAGAUCUGAUACUCGGUAUGUCUUGGUUAAGGAAAGCAAAGGCAGUUAUACAGUGUGCUAAGGGAACCGUAGAACUCACCAGCUCAAAAGGAGAAAGGUUCAAAGUCGUAAUUACCAUAAACGCUUCUACCAGACCCGCCAUAUAUCUAGUGGAUGGAAAAUUUGUGGGUAGAAACAUUUGUGUGGUUAGAGACUUUCCAGAUGUCUUUCUUGGAGAGUUACCCAGAAUGCCACCAGAUAGGGAAGUUGAAUUUAUCAUUGAUCUCUUACCUAGUACCGCUCCCAUUUCAAAAAGGCCAUAUAGGAUGUCAGUGGAAGAAUUAAAAGAACUUAAGAAACAAUUAACAGAGUUGCAAGAAGCAUGGUACAUUCGUCCGAGUUCCUCACCUUGGGGAGCACUGGUUCUGUUUGUACAGAAGAAGGAUGGUUCGCAAAGGAUGUGUGUGGACUAUAGAUCACUUAAUGAUGUCACCAUUAAGAACAAGUACCCUCUACCUCGUAUUGAAGAUUUAUUUGAUCAGAUGAGAGGUGCUAGGGUGUUCUCUAAGAUUGACCUCAGGUCGGGUUAUCACCAAAUGAAGAUUAGGCCCUCUGAUAUUCCCAAGGCGGCUUUCUCUACCCGAUAUGGUCUAUAUGAGUUCACAGUCAUGUUGUUUGGCUUAACUAAUGCACUAGCCUACUUCGUGAAUCUGAUGAACAAGGUGUUCAUGGAGUAUCUUGAUAGAUUCGUCGUGGUAUUCAUCGACGAUAUUCUGAUUUAUUCCAAGAAUGUUAGUGAUCAUGAGGAACAACUAUGGAUGGUGCUACAAAAGCUACAGGAUAAUCAGCUCUAUGCCAAAUUUAGCAAGUGUGAGUUCUGGCUUGAUGAAGUACCAUUCCUUGGGCAUAUAAUCUCCAAAGAAGGAAUCUCAGUGGAUCUAGCUAAAGUAAAGGAGAUAGUGGGUUGGAAGAUACCAAAAACAAUCACUGAGGUUCGGAGUUUCCUGGGACUCGUGGGUUAUUCCUGGCGAUUCAUUGAAGGAUUUUCUAAGAUAGAGAACCUAUGACCUCACUGUUAGAGAAGGGAAAGGAGUUUAAUUGGUCUUGGGAAUGCCAAGAGAGUUUCAAUCAAUUGAGGUUUAAGUUGAUGUCACCCCAGUGUUGAUUAUGCCAGAUCUACAGAAAGGAUUUGACAUAUAUUGUGAUGCGUGCCGCUAGGGCUUGAGAUGUGUGCUUAUGCAAGAAGGACAUGUCAUUGCCUACGUGUCUCGCUAGUUGUGGAAACAUGAGUUGAACUACCUACUCAUGACUUAGAACUAGCAGUCGUAGUUCAUGCUCUCAAGAUUUGGAGGCAUUACAUUAUGGGGACCAAGUGCCAAGUCUAUACUGAUCACAAGAGCUUAAAGUAUAUCUUUACUCAGAAGGAUCUCAACCUUUGGCAACAUCGUUGGUUGGAGCUCAUCAAAGACUAUGACUUGGAGAUUCACUAUCAUCCGGGCAAGGUGAAUCUGAUUGCAGAUGCCUUGAGUCGAAAGGAGCAUGUCCAUGCAGCUAUUGUCGCCCAGUUACCCGAUGAGUUGGCAGAAGACGUUGAGAAGCUCAAUCUGGGGAUAGUUGCUCAUAUUGAAGGAAUUACCGUAGAAGUGGAACCUACCUUAGAACAAGAAACACGUAAAGGUUAGAUCGGUGAUGUCAAAAUUCAAGAGAUCAAAGAUCUGAUAACUGAAGGUAGAGGCUCGAACCUUAUGGAAGAUGAGCAGGGCACGAUAUGGUUCAAGAACCAGAUUUGUGUCCAUGAGAUCGACAAUCUUCAUGAAACCAUAUUGAAGGAAGCGCAUGACUUAGCUUACUCCAUCCAUCCGGGCAGUACCAAGAUGUACUAGGAUUUGAAGCAGAAGUAUUAGUGGUAUGGACUAAAAAGGGAUGUUGUUGCACAUGUGGCGGGUUGUGAUGUUUGCCAGAGGGUAAAAGCCAAGCAUCAAAGACCUGCUGGAUUACUUCACCCAUUGAUGGUACCUGAGUGGAAAUGGGAGGAAAUUGGCAUGGACUUCAUUGUUGGUCUACCCCGCACUCUUGCAGGGUAUGACUCUAUUUGGGUGAUUAUGGACAAACUAACAAAAGUGGCUCACUUCAUUCUUGUGAGGACUAAUUACACGGGAGCCAAGCUAGCAGAGUUGUAUAUGGCUCGGAUAGUUUGUCUACACGGAGUGCCCAAGAAGAUUGUGUCAGACCGGGGAUUACAAUUAACUUCUCGGUUUUGGCGGAAGUUGCACGAGUGCUUGGACACACAGUUGAAUUUAAGCUCGGUCUACCAUCCCCAAACUAAUGGGUAGACUGAGAGGACCAUCCAAGUACUGGAGGAUAUGUUAAGAGCUUGUGCUCUUAAACAUGGUGGCAGUUGGGAUAAGAGUUUGCCCUAUGCGGAGUUCUCUUGCAAUAACAGUUACCAGGCCAAUUUGAAGAUGUCCCCGUUUGAGGCUUUAUAUGGCAGAAAAUACAGGACCCCUCUAUAUUGGGAUCAAACUGGUGAAAGGCAGUUCUUUGGGCCAGAGAUUAUACAAGAGGCAGAAGAACAAGUACGGUUGAUAAGGGAGAACUUGAGAACUACGCAGUCAAGACAUAAAAGCUAUGCGGAUACUCGGAGAAUACUGUUAAAGUUUAAGGAGGGUGAUCACGUGUAUCUAAAAGUGUCACCGAUCCGGGGUAUGAGGAGGUUUAAAGUUAAAGGGAAGUUGUACCCUCGCUUUAUUGGACCCUUCUUGAUCCUAAAGCAAGUGGGGGAAGUUGCCUAUCAACUGGAGUUACCUGACCAUCUUGUGGAUAUACAUGAUGUCUUCCAUGUGUCCCAAUUGAAGAAAUGUCUAAGGGUACCCGAAGAGCAGCUAACUAUGGAGGAUCUUAGUGUUCAAGAUGAUCUGACUUAUAUGGAGUAUCCUAUCAAGAUCCUUGAUACCUUGACUCGUGUCACGAGGUGUAAAGUAAUCAAAAUGUGCAAAGUGCAAUGGAGUCACCAUGGUGAAGAUAAAGCUACGUGGGAAAGAGAAGAUGAGCUACGAGUAGACUUUCCCCACCUCUUUCCUAGUCCUUCCUAAUCUCGAGGAUGAGAUUCUUUUUAAGGGGGAUAGGAUUUGUAAUACCCAACUUAGGAAAAUAAAGAGAGGAAUAAUAAUUUAUGUGUAAUGCCUUCUCGUUCAUAAGAACUAUUAGGAAACAUAUUUAAAAUGAAUAGUUCUUCAAUAAAAUGUGCAUCAUGCUGGAGUUUGGUUUGUUUGUGCAUUUAAUAAAAAUAACAAUAAUGUUAACAAAAAUAUAAUAAUGAGUUGAGAAUUUGGAUUUAACCCAAAAGUACAAUUUAGGAAAUUGGAAAUAAUAUAGAAAAGAAGAGAGAGAGAGAAAUAUUAUAGGAUAUAAAAUAAAUUUAUAAGUAAAUAAACUCAUCCCAUAAUGGCAUGUUCAAAUCAUACAUUCAAAUUUGAGAACAAAUUCUCCACAAGAUUUGAAUUCAAAUUUUAGAUUUGAAAUAAAAUGGGAAAACAAAACAUAAAAUAAAAUCAGAAAAAGAAAAAAAGAAAAUGCCAUCGCUUGGGCUGAAACCUCCCCAGCGGCGCACACUAUUUCCUCCCCCUCGGCCCGUACGUCCGCUCCGCGCUGUGGCGCUCCUGGUCUGGUCCCACGUGGCAGUCGCAUAGGUCCACCGCCCGAGACGCACCGGUGGGCAUCGCUCCGCCAAGUCAUGCCCACUGGCCAGCCAUUACACGCGCACGUAAUACUCCCGUGACCGCCACCGACGCGUAGACCCCGCUGGUCAUGGUCGCCCCUCCCAUGCGGCGAUGCCGUUACAACGGCCUCGCGCGAGUCCAAGGCAAUCGGGGUGACCAAUUGCAGAGCUAGGUGAUAAAGCGGGUGCCUCCGCGGCCUUCCCCUCUCUCUUGCUGUCUCUCGCGUGGGUGCUGAAACAGUCGCCGCUGCCGUGAGGCGGAGGGGAAGCAUAAACACGUCGUCGCCAUCGACGCCGAGGUCAACACCCCAGGGUCGCACGCCGUUGGCGGAAGGCGGGGGUCGAGAAUGGGCUUCUGGUCCUCGGGGACCUAACCGAGCGGACCACAGAUGGUGGGACGUGGGAUUGGUGCGGCUAAUUUCUCGCUGGAGAACAUCAUAUUUUGUAGAGAACACAACUACAGAAAUGAUAAUUUGUUCCACUAAAUUAUCACCACAAUCAGAGAACACACAAGAAGCAAUUUCAGUUUGUGGGCAAUCCUUCCUACUUAACUUAAUUCACAUGCAGACAACAAAGAAGUAUUACUAAUAUUCGGCUCUAUAUUACUAUGACAUAAACAUAAAACGUUGAAUUGAUAUUAAGGAACAACACAAACAUUACAAGAAACAUGCACACUUUUGUUUACUUCUAAUUUUCACUAACUCCUCUUAUAAUUAUAUCAUAGGUGUUAUUUUAGCACCAUAUGAAACUUUCUAAUUUGGGGCUGAUAUUUUUAUGAGGUAUAGGUGAUAACAAUUCAUGAGUAAUGUAUAAAUUUCACACGCUCAGGUUUUAUAUAUUUAUUACUAUUACUACAAAAAGAACAAAUUGUUAAUGCAAUAAAGCAUGUGAGGGCAAGUUAAAUCUAAAACUAAUUAUGCAUGACCAUAUUAAGCUUACUUAGACUACUAUAACAUCAUCAAAAGAUAGUGGAACACCAUUCUCCAUUUUUACAUCCAUAUAUUAAUUAUAAACCAUUUAAAACUACUUAAUAUGCAUUAAACAAGUUAAAUCACUAACUUAAUCAUACAUGCACCACAAAUCAUGAAGUUUUUACAAGUCACCAAGCAUCACACCAAGAGUCUACUAUAAACAAUUCAAUCCAUUUGGAGCACUAGAGCUACAGAUCCAAAAAUAACAAUUAAGUCAAUCAUCUUUUACCUAUUUCACAUGGUUUAAUUAACACACUAAGAAAACAGUAAUCGACAUAUGGGUUUUUUAUUUUUUCUUAGCUAGAGUAUGACACCAUCUAACUAACAAAACAAGUCUCAUCGAUUUCGGACUUUUAAAAAUAAAACUAUGGAGAGAAGCAACCUCAUUUAUUUUCUAGACCAGUUUUAAAUACAAAUUUCUACAACAGAAAUUUUCCACUAAAACAUGCUAACUUAUAGAUCCAAUAGUUAGGGCAUUUUAUAAGGACGCCAAAAAUAAGUUUCAUGAUUUUAGGAGCUCCUAAACUCGAGAUACGGAUUUUAGAAUAUAGCGCAAAAAUAUGUGAUUUUGUGCAACUUACACUAACCACUGGGGGCCACUUGUCAUAGACUCAUGGGUCUUCUUCAACGUCCAUCCACGUGAACAGCAGCAGGGAGGGCGCUCGCUGCCGCGCCAUGGUCGGGGCUCGGCCGGCCAACCAUGGGCGGUCGUGGUCAGCGAUGCCUCCCGCCCCCAGCGAGGCUUGGUCACAGGCGGGAAGCUACAACGCAGCGAGCUGCAGAGCGAUCGCGACGACGCUACGCAAGAGCUGUCCUGCGCGCAAACAAAAGAAGAGGAAAGGAGGGAGGAGAAGGAGGAAGGGAGAACGAGCCGGGAGAGGGAGUUGGGGAGGCCGAGGGUGCCCAUUUAUAGGCGAGGGAGCAGCCCAGAGUGCGGACACAAGGCAACCAUAGCAGACGCAAGCUCUGUGCAUGGCGGCCACGCAUUCCCCUUGCAGCAAUCUGUCAAACACAUGGCGGGUGCUACAGUGCCGACCUUGGAUAACGAGUUUUGGCCUUUUCUGUUUGGAUUCGGAUCUUGGUCACUGUAGGAGAUAUUUUACUUGAUCUAUACUCUACAAAUCUUGUAAGGGCUUGAGCUCAUUCGUGCAUCGGUUAGAGAGAUACUGACCCCCGAAAACAGGUUUGCCAAUGCUAUGGAAAAUAGUGAAAGCAGAGUGUCAAAACAUGUCAAACGGAAUCAGAUGAAUGCCAUAUUUUGGUAUGUUGUGCCCCUAAUAGUUACCAACAACUUUUAUAAUUGGUUCAACUUAAGGUGCUUAACAAAAGUUCGGGAACACGAGAAGUCAACCCGACCGACACUGAUUCCAGACUUAGAAGGAUUCGAAUCCUGAAAUCAGAUAUUUAUUCAGUCUUGAGGGCACUAUUUGAGAUACUUAGUGAUUGAAUCAAGGGUAGGUGUAAUUGUAAUAUUUGUUGUAUAUCACCGGUUCUACAACUUUUAUUCAAGGUCAAACCUUGUAUCUUGAUUAUAAAUUGACAUUUCAUUUGGGUCAAAGUAUUGUCGUUAUAAAGCUUCAAAUUAUAUUUUUAAGGCAAUCAGAGUAUUUUUCUCGACAUUUUCUUGCUAUGUACCCUUAAUAAAUUUUGUUGUAGAGUUCAUAUAGAGUUGUUUGAGCAAGGUGGCAAGUCUUGGUUGAAUUUCAAAAUUCGCAUUUUUCAAACGAGCAAUUUUAAACAAGCAUAGGAUUUAUCUUUUCAUGUGACCAUUUGGUUCAACUUCGAGAAAUCUUUAGAAUACACAUGAUAUAUAGAGUUGAAUGAUGACAUAGAGAUAACAAGUCGAUUUGCGUAAGAAAUUAUUAGAGGCUGACACAACAGAGAUUCCGCUGGAGAAUGCGAAUUCAUAUUACGUAUUUGGUCAUAGACCGAAUAUCAAGAAAUUGGAUUCAGAUAUAGAUCGGAUAACAACUGUCGAGGUUUGGAUAAAUGAACUUUAGACGAGAUGGACGUUCGAAUUUACAUUUGUUUCAAGAAAUAAAAGUUUUAACAGGCUCCAAAUUUGGUUGUUCUUGAGAUCGAAUAAUUCCAAAUUUGGUGAAACUUUCAUGAGUAACUUGAUAAAAGGAGACAUACAGGAUCGAGAAAUAGAAAUUUCCACUGAUAAUCCGAGCUUAGGAUAAAUCUCCCAACAUAACACAAAAUAGACACCUAGGGUGUCACAAAAACCUUAUCCUAGAUUAGAGCUAAAACCACCUAAUCUAACAAGGCACUUGAGUAACACUUUAGAUAUAAGUACAUGAGCAUAAAAACACGAAUAAAGCUAAUUCUAAACCACAAGUAUCAUGGUCGAUGGAUUACUAAUUAGUUCAGUUAAAUGAUUCAUAUCUACAUGAACAUCCCAUACCCAAAUAAUGCCUAAGAAACAAGAUGAGAAGGUCUAAAGAUAUGCAAAUCCGUAAUACCAUUCUCCACAAAUUAUCUAUUUGAAAAUGAGAACACUUAAAUAACAUGAAACGAUGAAAUCAGAAUGACAACAUCGAAUACACCAUAAGAAAACCUUCACCCUUCAUGACAUUCAACCAAUCACUAAAUCUAGAAUAUAAGAAUUACUUAAGAAGUUCAUCAUCUUUAUCAAACAAUACACUUACAUAAUCAACCAUGACCACAUUUAUCAGCUAGAUGGGCGAGACACCAACCUAUUAUUUGCAUUACUAAAUCAUCUCUCACAAUUCUAUUCACAUACUCUUUACAUAGUAAGUAUCUAAACCUAAUCUUCACACGACGCGAUUACUUUCUAAUCAAGAACAUAAUUACAAUAGUACAUGUAAUGAGGCCUUUUACAACACCUAAUUUAAUCACAACAAUAUCGCAAAGCAAAGAGAGGAAGAUCCUUCCUAGUGGCACCAUGAAUAGGGCACGAGCAAUAGUAAGAAUCUAGAAACCAUCACCACAAAUGUAACCCAUUCAUCAAUCAAAUUAACUAGCCAGGGUAAUGAAAGGGUCUCACCAUAUCACAAACCAAAAUAAUAAUUAUAAGAAUGACAAUGAUUUCUGGUUCGAGCAUAACACUGAACACUAGACAAUCAUCGCGCGGCUUGUCUCGCUUCACACAUAUGAAAUUUCUUCUCACAUCUCGCACAUAAGCACACACACAUAUAUACACGAUUAGCAUCUAAUAAAAAAACAUCGGGUACAAGUACUGGUGAGGGAUAAGAACAAGGAGAACAACGGGUCCUUGACUAGGGCACUCUAUGCACUUCGAUCUAUUUUAAAUUAUGUGGAAUGUUGAAACACGUGACACAGUGAAUUUUAAUUUAUUACGAUCUUGGUUGCAAAGGAAAAGUUUGAGAUCCUUCAUGAUUUCAUUAGACCCUUGGGUUUAUAUGGGUUCAAGCGUGGGAAAUCACUGUCGAGCAGAUGGUUUUCAUACUUGAUCUCUUAUAAAUCUGGUCGAGUCACCGCAACAUCAAUCACCAAAAAAGGGGAGAUUGAAAGUGAAAUAGACUUUAAGUCAUUUCUAUACUGGUUUUGGUGUUUGAUGACCAUCAUAACAAUAUGGACUAACUAGUUUGCUAAGUUAAUAAUUGCAUGUUCAUAAGAAUAAAAUAGAAGAUUUAAUUUGAGUUAUGGCUCAAAGCUCAACCAUAAAGGGCAUAAUUUGGAAAAGAUGAACUAUGAGUAGUUCAAAUACUUGGAUAAGUUCUAAAUUUCCCUAGAAACAUAUUUGAGCACCUAAGAGAGGUUGGAAGUGUCAGUCAUUAAAAUUGUUCUAGAGCUAAGUUUAAGCAAAGAUGAGAAAAGAGUCGAGGUGAUCAAAAGGACAGAUGGACUCUAGAUAUGUUUUAUCUAAGUCAUAGAAGUGCUCAAGAAGACAUCCAAACAAAGACAUGGAGGAAAAGCCCAAAAAAACUUAAGACUUUGCUCUGCCAUGCAACAAACCAAGUCCCAUGGUGCAUUAGACCAAUUACGCAGAGAAGGCAUUUUAGGGCUCAAAAGGAUUGGUGCAUCGGACCAGUCUGGUAUGCAACGACGAGUCACUAGACCACUUACGUAGAGAGGUUAGUUCCUAGAUAAAGGCAACUUGGUGCAUCGGACCAAGGUCCCGUGAGCACCGAACCUUUAGGGCUCAACAGUCACAUUGGAUAGCCCAACGACCGAGCUGACGUGGCACCGAAGUGGUAAGGUCCGUGAAAGGGAAAUAGUCUCAACAUUUCCUAUAAUCGAUUUUGGUGUUUGACGACCAUCACAAACCUUGUGGACUAACCAGUUUGUCUAGUUGAUCAUUCCACAGGUGCAUAAGUUCAUCUACAACUAUUCUAAAUCAACUGUCCGGAAUACCGUAGAUUAUUCCGGACAGGAGAAGCUUUUUGGAAAAUCACCUAAGCGCAGACCAUCCGGGCCCUUGCGGCGGACCGUCCGCGACACUAGGGUGAGCCUCGAACAGAACCAAUGCAAAAACACAAGUCUACACUAUGGACCGUCCGAUGGAAAAGCAAGCACCGUCCGAGACCAAGUGCGGACCGUUCGGCCUUAGGCGCGGACCGUCCGGUCAGUGAAGAACCGAAAAACCCGAAGGUGACGGGUUCAGUAAAAUGAAUUAUAGCGUCCUCGCGGACCGUUCGGGGUGCACGACCGGACCGUCCGCGACUGCCUUUAUGUGACAUCUGACGACGCAUUAAAUGCUAUAUAGUCGUUGAUAUUAGCCAUUACUGUUGACCGUUGCGAUUUCAGCUGUUGAUGUGCAGGGGCAGACCAUCCGGACGAAGGGAACGAACCGUCCGCGGUCGGCAGAAAGGGAGCAACGGCUAGGAAGUGGUUGGGGGCUAUAAAUUCAACCCCAACCACCUCCAUUCACUUCACCCAAGCACUCCAAUCUCUCACAUUCAAUACAAGAGCUAGCAAUCCAUUCCAAGACACAAUCAAAGCUUCAAAUCUCUCCAAGUUCCACAAUUGAGACAAGUGAUCAUUAGUGAUUAGUGACUUGAGAGAGAGAGAGUGAUCCAUGUGUUAUUUGUCGCCCUUGUCGCUUGGCUUUUGCAAUCGUGCUUUCUUCUUCCCAUUCUUGUUCUUCAAGCACUUGUUAUCAAAGCAAGAUACACCAAAUUGUGGUGGUCCUUGUAAGGGGUCUAAGUGACCCGUUUGAUUAAGGAGAAAGCUCACUCGGUCUAAGUGACCGUUUGAGAGAGGGAAAGGGUUGAAAGAGACCCGGUCUUUGUGACCACCUCAACGGGGACUAGGUUUGCAAGAACCAAACCUCGGUAAAACAAAUCACCGUGUCACUCGCUUUAUUUCUUGGUUGAUUUGUUUUCACCCUCUCUUUCGGACUCGGUUUUAUUUCUAACACUAACCUCGGCUUGUAGUUGUGCUUUAAGUUUGUAAAUUUCAGUUUCCGCCUAUCCACCCCCCCCCUCUAGGCGACUUUCAAUUGGUAUCAGAGCCCGGUACUUCAUUAGAGUUUAACCACUCAAAGUAAUGUCGGGAGAACACGCCAAGAAGGAGAUCGUGACCGACGGUGACAAGUCUACAAGCCACGGGAAGGCUCCAUCGGGGGAGUCCGGCAACAAGAUGAAGGGAUCCCCUUCACAUGCCAAGUUGCAUGGAGCGGCGAUAAGAAAAAGAAGAUGAAGAAGGUGGUCUACUACGAGACCGAUUCUUUGUCGCCAUCCACUUCCGGCUCCGACACUCCGUCCGUCACUUCUAAGCGCCAUGAGCACAAGAAGUUUAGUAAGAUCCCCUUACGCUAUCCUCGCAUUUCCAAACGCACUCCCUUACUUUCCGUCCCAUUAGGCAAACCAUCGGUUUUUGACGGUGAAGAUUAUUGUAUGUGGAGUGAUAAAAUGAGGCAUCAUCUAACCUCACUCCAUGCCAGCAUUUGGGACAUUGUUGAGUUUGGAGCGCAGGUACCAUUCGUGGGGGAUGAAGGCUACGACUCGGACGAGGUCACCCAAAUCCGGCACUUCAACUCCCAAGCCACUACUAUACUCCUCGCCUCUCUAUGUCGAGAGGAGUAUAAUAAGGUGCAAGGGUUGAAGAGUGCCAAGAAGAUUUGGGACAUACUCAAAACCGCGCACGAAGGGGAUGAGGUGACCAAGAUUACCAAGUGGGAGACGAUCGAGGGGGAGCUCAGUCGAUUCAUCCUCAACCAAGGAGAGGAGCCACAAGCAAUGUACAACCGGCUCAAGACCUUGGUGAAUCAAGUGCGCAACCUUAGGAGCACAAAAUGGGAUGACCAUGAAAUGGUCAAGGUUAUUCUUAGAUCACUCGUAUUUUGUAAUCUUAGUCAAGUUCAAUUAAUAUGUGGUGCUCCUAGAUAUAAGCUAAUGUCUCCCGAGGAAGUGAUAGGAAAGUUUGUGAGGUUUGAGUUGAUGAUCAAAGGCUCCAAACAAAUUGUCGAGCAAGGCGGCACCUCCACACCCGAGGUGCAACCCGUCACAUUUAAGGCGCGGAGGAAGAGUCUACAUCAAGUAGGCUCCCCAUUGACGCCUCCAAGCUCGACAACGAGAAAAUGGCGCUUAUCAUCAAGAGUUUUCGCCAAAUCCUCAAGCAAAGGAGGGGAAAGGACUAUAAACUCCGCUCCAAGAAAGUGUGCUACAAGUGUGGUAAGCCCGGUCAUUUCAUUGCUAAAUGUCCUAUGUCUAGUGAUAGUGACAGGGGUGACGACAAGAAGCGAAGGAGGAAGAAAAAGAAGAAGUACUACAAGAAGAAGGGCGGCGAUGCCCACGUGUGUCAGGAAUGGGACUCCGACAUGAGCUCCACCGACUCCUCCUCCGACGAGGACGCCACCAAUAUCGUCGUCACCAAAGGCCUCCUCUUUCCCAACGUCGGCCACAAGUGCCUCAUGGCAAAGGAUGGCAAAAAGAAGAAGGUAAAAUCUAGAGCCUCCACUAAAUAUACGACAUCUAGUGAUGAGGGUAGCUCUAGUGAUGAUGAAGAUGAUUUGUUUGCUCUUUUUGCCAACCUAAACAUGCAACAAAAAGAAAAAUUGAAUGAAUCGAUAGGUGUUAUUCAUGAGAAGGAUGAACUCUUGGAUAGCCAAGAGGAAUUCCUUAUUAAAGAAAACAAAAGGCAUGUUAAGGGAAAAAAUGCUUAUGCUCAGGAAGUAGAGAAAAAUGAAAAUUUGUUUAAUGAGCUUAGCACUUGCCAUGACACUAUCUCUAACCUUAGAACUGAGAAUGCCAAAUUACCUGCUAAGGUUGAGAAGGUAAAUAAUUGUGAUGAUUCUCUUGUCAAUCUUAAAAAUAAUAAUGCUAGUUUGAUUGUUAAGAUUGAUAAAUUGAAAGAAUCAAUUUCUAGCCUUAAAAUUAAAAAUGCUAGUUUAAUUUCAAAGGCUAAAGAUUUAAAUGUUUGCAAUGAUGUUGUUUCCAAUAUUAGAAAUGAGAAUGCUAUUUUACAUACUAAGAUUGACGAAUUAAAUGUUUGCAAACCCUCUACAUCCACUAUUGAUCAUGUUUCUAUUUGCAUGAGAUGUAGAGAUAUUAAUGUUGAUGCUAUCCAUGAUCACCUAGCUUUAAUUAAACAACAAAAUGAUCACAUAGCACAACUAACUAGCAAAAUUAAUGAGCAUGAGAUAGAAAAUGAAAAUUUUAAAUUUGCUACUCUAUAAUGGGAGACGCCCUGGCAUUAAGGAUGACAUUAGCUUCCAACAGGGAGACAAUGUCAAGCUUAAUGCCCUAAGAGAUUGUCCAAUUUUGUCAAGGGCAAGGCUCCCAUGCCUCAGGAUAACGAGGGUUACAUUUUAUAUCCUGUUGGUUAUCCUGAGCAUAAGAUUAGGAGAAUUCAUGCUAGGAAACCUUAUAAUGUUUCACACCAUGCUUUUAUGUAUAAAAAUGAGGCUUCUAGCUCUAGGAAAUCAACCCAUGUUAAAUUGCCUAAAAAGAAAUCUCCUAUUGCAUCAAAUGAGCCUAACAUUUCAUUUAAGACUUUUGAUGCUUCUUAUGUUUUAACUAACAAAUCAGGCAAAGUAGUUGCCAAAUAUGUUGGGGGCAAACACAAGGGCUCCAAGACUUGUGUUUGGGUACCCAAGGUGCUUGUUUCUAAUGUGAAAGGACCCAAGACCGUUUGGGUACCCAAGAACAAGGCCUAAACUUGUUUUUGUAGGUUUAUGCAUCCGGGGGCUCAAGUUGGAUAAUUGACAGCGGGUGCACAAACCACAUGACAGGGGAGAAAAGGAUGUUCUCCUCCUACGAGAAAAAUGAUGAUCCCCAAAGAGCUAUCACAUUCGGGGAUGGAAAUCAAGGUUUGGUCAAAGGACUUGGUAAAAUUGCUAUAUCUCCUGACCAUUCUAUUUUUCAAUGUUUUUCUUGUAGAUUCUUUAUAUUACAACUUGCUUUCUGUUUCUCAAUUAUGUAAAAUGGGCUACAACUGCUUUUUUACGGAUUUAGGUGUUACUGUCUUUAGAAGAAGUGAUGAUUCAGUAGCAUUUAAGGGAGUAUUAGAGGGUUAGCUAUACUUAGUUGAUUUUAAUAAAGCUGAACUCGAUACUUGCUUAAUUGCUAAGACUAAUAUGGGUUGGCUCUGGCAUCGCCGACUAGCACAUGUUGGGAUGAAGAAUCUUCACAAGCUUCUAAAGGGAGAACACAUUUUGGGACUAACCAAUGUUCAUUUUGAGAAAGACAGGGUUUGUAGCACAUGUCAAGCAGGGAAGCAAGUUGGUACCCAUCAUCCACACAAGAACAUCAUGACGACCAACAGGCCGCUUGAGCUACUCCACAUGGAUCUAUUCGGCUCGAUCGCUUACAUAAGCAUCGGCGGGAGUAAGUAUUGUCUUGUAAUUGUGGAUGACUAUUCUCGCUUCACUUGGGUAUUCUUUUUACAGGAAAAAUCUCAAACCCAAGAGACUUUAAAGGGAUUCUUGAGACAGGCUCAAAACGAGUUCGGGUUAAGGAUCAAGAAGAUAAGAAGCGAUAAUGGGACGGAGUUCAAGAACUCUCAAAUUGAAGGCUUUCUUGAGGAGGAGGGCAUCAAGCAUGAGUUCUCUUCUCCCUACACACCUCAACAAAAUGGUGUAGUGGAGAGGAAGAAUCGAGCUCUACUGGACAUGGCAAGGACCAUGCUUGAUGAGUACAAGACUCCAGACCGGUUUUGGGCUGAGGCAAUUAACACCGCCUGCUACUCCAUCAACCAGCUCUAACUUCACCGAAUCCUCAAGAAGACAUCAUAUGAACUCCUCACCGGUAAAAAGCCCAAAAUUUCAUAUUUUAGAGUCUUUGGUAGCAAAUGUUUUAUUCUUGUUAAAAGAGGUAGAAAAUCUAAAUUUGCUCCUAAGGUUGUAGAAGGCUUUUUACUUGGCUAUGACUCAAACACAAGGGCAUAUAGAGUCUUCAACAAAUCCACUUGAUUAGUUGAGGUUUCUUGUGACAUUGUGUUUGAUGAGACUAAUGGCUCUCAAAUAGAGCAAGUUGAUCUUGAUGAGCUAGAUGAUGAAGAGGCUCCAUUGUAGGAUCUAGGACAUCGGCUAGAGGGGGGGUGAAUAGACGGUUUUGACUAAAAACAACAACACUAAGUAAAUUUAAUCAAUAUAACAAGAGGAAUAAAUUUACUAGUGUCAAUAAGUAAACAAUGUAUGAAAGACAACUACAGAGAUUGAAUACUUGAAGAACAAUAAGCAAAACACUAAUCAAUUGCAAGGCAAUAAGUAAUGCUAGAAGGAAUAGACACCGAAAUUUAUCCCGUGGUAUCGGUGAUUUGCCGAUCACCCCUAAUCCACGUUGAGGUGGACUUCAAGCUCUCACUUGCUCCUCUAUCAAGACACGACUUGAUCUUUGAGCCAAGUGGACAAGAAAUCACUCAAUACCUCGAUUCCACUAAUGUCACCUUUGCCGCUCCGGCGAGGUAGGCGCGAACCCCUCACAAUCAACACCGCGGCUUCUCCACAAUCUUCUUGGAGAGCUCGACGGAGACAAUCACCCGAGCCGUCUAGGAGGCGGCAACCUCCAAGAGUAACAAGCCAACGACGCUUGCUCGGUGUACCACCUAGUGCCUCAAGAAUCACCAAAUGAUGCAAAUGCACUAGGAACCCUCAAUCUCUCACUAGAAUGCAAUCUCAAGCAAAGAGUGUGAGAGAGUGAGUUGGAGGAUCACAAAUGAGCUCAAUGUGUGCAAGGAAUAGCCAAGAGAGCUCUCUCACACGAGCUACCCUUCUAUUUAUAGCCCCCCAUCUAAAACCAACCGUUAUGUGCAAAAGGGGGCAAUUCUGCGCACACGCGGUCCGUCCGCGCCCUAGGGCCGGACGGUCCGCCGUACAUCAUAACGGCUAUAAUGACCGUUGAAACAUGUCAGAGCUGACUCAAAAGGUGGGUCCGGACAGUCCGCCCUUCAAGGCCGGACCGUCCGCGCCCUGGCAAAUUUAAACAGCCGAGCCUCGGAUCAAACGGAGUUAACACACGCGGACCGUCCGGCUAUAAAUCCCGGACGGUCCGUGACCUGAGACUGUACUGUCCGGACUGGUCCCCCGGACAGUCCGUAGUACAAAUCUAUAAAAACACACAGUCCCUGUCCAAAAAACGAGUUAGACACAUGCGGACCGUCCGCCCCUCACAGGCGGACCGUCCGCCUAUAAUUCAGGGACUGACCCGAAGCCACCUUCCUUUGGUCAGGACUGCGGACGGUCCGGCCCUAAGGCCCGGACGGUCCGCAGUACAAUAGAACACAGUGUCAACACAAAUGGUCAGACUUCGGACCCCUCUGGUGGAUCGCGGACGGUCCGCCCCUAAGGCCCGGACAGUCCGCGCGUCCAAGACUUCGCAAUUUCAAACAUGCUUUUGAAAGAACUUUUGACUUGCGAAAUGUGAAGCGCCGUUAGUCCUCAUGCAAAUGCAACUACUUGAUGCUCUAUGAGGCACUAAGUUUUACACAGAUCUGAGUCAUUGACCCCUCUUAAUAGUACGGCUAUCUAGCCUACUAAUCCGGUCAGGUAUCUUCUCUAAACUCCUCAAGACCGGUAAAAGUAAAACCUAUAUUAUACCUUUUCCUUCAUCUGAUCCACAACCAAUGCGUAUGACUCUUCAACAUUUCCUGUUCUAUGUGGUCCAACCCUGCAUUCUUAUUUCUCCAAGAAUCGUUAGUCCACAAGUAGUUGUCAUUAAUUACCAAAACAUUACCAAAGGGGCCUAGAUGAUUCACAAUCUCCCCCUUUUUGGUAAUUGAUGACAACACCACAUAGUAUAUUAAAGAGAAGUUUAGUUUCUCCAAAUCUCUCUCUCAUACCUAAGGUAUAAGAUAGAUCUUGGAGAUGAGUUUCAUAGGACUUAUCUUGAUUUGAAGUUCUGUCCGAGAGAUAGAUAAAUCCCAAUAAAAACUCAGUAUGCAAGAAAGGCUCCCCCUAAGUGUGUGCAGGAUUAUUUGAAGUUGAAGAUAUAACACACAUAAUAUAUUGGAGCUUGAUGGAGACUUUCCUACAAUCAUGGUUAUCGAGGCAUACAAGAGAUGAUCCGUAGAGUGAGCGCAGCAAUUAUAAUCACAUCUCGAUUAACCACACACAGAGUAAUUUGAACUAAAACAUAGUUCACCCCACAGAAUAUUACAGAUAAUGUUCCACAGACAUAUGACAUAGAGUUAAUAGAUCAAACCAAGUUCCAAAUGCAUAAGACAUAAACUAGGCAUGAAAAGGUAAAAUGCAUAUGCAUGGUCUUAAUGUCCACAUAGAACCACCAACUCCCCCUGAAGGACCUGAAGGAGACGCCAGACAACUUCUCAUCACUUCUCUCCCCCUUUGGCAUCAAUUGCCACAAAGAAGAGGCCUCACUGAUCACUCGACGGAGGAUGCAUGUUGUAGUAAUGAGUGCUGAAGGUGUCAAACAGGGAGGAGAACUGGCCAAAAUCCUGCUGGAGCUGCUGCUGCCUCUGACUUAUAUCAUGCAUGUUGUCAUUUGUAGAAAGAUUAUCAAACUGACUGGAGAGAGCACCCAUGUUAUCUUGAAAACUCUGUUGCAUAUUAUUCAGCCUGGACAUGAUGGGAUCAGUGACAUUAGUGUGAAUUUGAUCACGAAACUCAGAAAAUUCAGAGUUGAGUGCAUCCCAGUUACUGUCAAAGCGAGACUGCAUGUCAUCGAGGCGGUGAUCCACAUGUGACAUCAGGCCAUCAAAGCGAGUAUCAAUAUGAGUCUCCAGACCUUGCUGCAUAUUGUGAAAAUAAGGAUCAAAGUAUCUUGGAGCAGGAUCCCAAUAGUGCUGAGGCUGAGGAGGAGGUGGAGGAGGAGGCAUCUGCUGUCCCUCAACAUUAGGAGCUGCUCCACCCUCAUAGCCAGGGUCUUCCUCAUCAUCUGGGAAGGGAGUGAGUGGCCUGGUGAGAAACCCUAUCUCAUUCUUAAAAGGCCUGAAUGGAGUGUGAACAAUCUCGCAUGGGCCUUCAAAUCUUGUCUUGGAUUUGAUGAGAGCCAUAAUGUAUGGAGCAUAUGCCAAGUUUUGAUUCUUGUCCAUUUUCAAAUCAUUAAGCUGCCUCAUCAUGAAAAGAACAAUGUUCAUGACUUCACCAUUCAUGAUGUGCUGGAUGAUGUUCCAGAACUUAUCCCGUAUUUUACUCUUAUCACCACUCUUGGGAAGAAUGGUGACUCUGGCAAUCUUGUUGAUUACAGCAGGAUGAUGUCUGAGUCCUGCUGUCUCGCCAAACCUCCUGGAUAUACCGAGCCUGGCUGGCUCAUAAAACUGCACAAAAUCCUCAAAAUUAUCUUCAGUAUAAAGAUCCAGCCCAGCAGAAAUGGUGCCAUAGUCCAGACUGUUGGCAGCGGCAAAGUCAGCAAAAGAAGCAGAAUAGCGCUUGAAGCCAGUCAUCCAGGUGAUAGAUUCUUCUGCAAUAUCAAUCUCCGAGGUAGCCAGGAAUUGCUUAACUGCCAUUUCAUUGAAAUCGGUGAGUUGCCCCAUAAACUGAUAUAGUCCACAUGUUUCAAAUUUGGGGAUGAGACCCUCCAUGACUGAUUGACUGAGCAAGAAGGACCAAUCAAUCACCUGAUGCUUAUGAAAAUUGGUAUCCACCAGGGUGCCCCAAAAGACAUCAAACUGCAGCUGAGUGUGGAAAAACUGGAUAUUUGUAUCAGAUGGCAGAGCAUACUGGUUCACAGUCCGUCUAGAGCAGUACUCAGCCAUAGAAAAUCUCCGCUUUGGAUAAGUCCAUCCUUGGAUAUCAAUAGGAUAAUCGGGAUGAACAUGAGGAAAAUCUUCAGCAUCCAUGGAUUCAGUGCCCCCAACUGAGGAUUGGGCCUCUGAAUCAGUGGUUGGUGUAUAGUCAUCAUCAUUGCCACGAGGGCGCUUGGAUUUAAAGCGACCUGCAAGUUUCUUGCGGAGACCACCAAAACCACUACAACAAUGUGACAGACAUCCAUAGAUAAAUAAUUGAUACCAAUCACCACUUAUAAAAAGGAAUGGAAUGGUAAUGCUCUGCCAGGGUCCGGACGGUCCGCGCUAGGGGGCCGGACUGUCCGCGCCAGAGGCCCGGACGGUCCGCGUCCACCAGGCGGACGGUCCGCGACCGACCAGGGGCGACUCCAAGAACCCUAGCCGCCACAAAUGUUAAAUUUGAUGAUUUUGCAGAAAAUACCCAGCCAAACAAGUUCAAAAUUGUACAUAGCAUUGAUAUUGAGGAGAACUAUCAAUCCCACCAAUCAGAUUUUGAAACCCACUGCUCAAUUUCAGAUCAGAGAGGAAACCCAAAUAAUCUCAAAGUUGAAGAAAUUUGAUGAAAUCCACAAGAUUUGAAGAUACCGUGAUGAAGACAUGGUGAUGGAAUGUUGCUACAAGCUGUCGGACUGUCCGCACGCAACUUCACUUCACCGUCCGCGCACACUCGACACAAGAGAAUAUUGGGCGAGUGGAGAGCAGGUGAAAGAGCGUAUGAGCACAAGUGUUAAAUCCGCGGUCACUGCCUGAUUUAAGUCCCCUGUCGCGGACGGUCCGCGCUAGGGCGGCGGACGGUCCGCGCCCUGAUGAUUUCAGACUGUCCGCGAGGCUGAUCGGACUGUCCAGUUCCUGAUGCUGCGGACGGUCCGCGGUCCAUUGCGGACGGUCCGCGGCCUGAUACUCAUUUUUCCAAUUGUUGUCCACUUGCUGAUUUUGAAUUUCGAAUCCGAAUUGGUGCUCAUAUAUGGACAUUUUGACCAAUCCAAGAGUUAGUAUGCAUGCAUAUACUUAUGAUGUAAUUGAGUAAUGCAAAAUUUUGAAUUAAACUAUCUAGAGCAAUUCGGAAUGAAAAAUGUACCAAAAAUACCAAAUAAAUAGCAUAAAGAGCAUAUUGAGACCCGAGUUGCAAUACGACACAUGUGUGAUCAACUUCAAGCCACAUUUGAGAUAUCGAUCACAUUCAUUUCACUUCUUAGAGAACAAAAUCUUGUUUCAUCCAAAGGUUUUGUAAAAAUGUCUGCUAAUUGAUCAUCCGUGCCAAUGGAAUAAAUAGAGAUAUCUCCCUUGCCAACAUGAUCCCUUAAGAAGUGAUGCCGUAUAUCAAUAUGCUUGGUUCUUGAGUGUUGGACAGGAUUGGUAGCCAAUUUUACCGCACUCUCAUUAUCACACAUGAGAGGCACAUUCUUGAAAAUAAUUCCAUAGUCCAAUAAGGUUUGUUUCAUCCAUAAUAGUUGAGCACAACAAUUUCCGGCCGAUAUAUAUUCCGCCUCGGCGGUAGAUAGAGCAACCGAAUUUUGUUUCUUAGAAGACCAUGAAACAAGAGAUCUACCAAGAAAUUGACAACAACCGGAGGUGCUUUUUCUAUCAACUUUGCACCCCGCAUAGUCCGAAUCCGAAUAUCCAAUUAAUUCAAAUUGAGCACCUUUGGGAUACCAUAGACCAAUAUUGGGAGUAUACUUCAAAUAUCUUAGAAUUCUUUUAGCGGCCUUCAAGUGAAUCUCUCUAGGAGAAGCUUGAAAUCGAGCACACAUGCAUACACUAAACAUAACAUCGGGCCUAGAUGCGGUAAUAUAAAGCAAACUACCAAUUAUUGAACGAUAGAGUUUUUGAUCAACCAUUGUACCUCCUUCAUCUAAGUCUAGAUGACCAUUUGUUGCCAUUGGAGUCUUGAUAGGCUUAGCAUUUUCUAAACCAAACUUCUUGAGCAUGUCCUUCAAAUAUUUUGAUUGACUUAUAAAAAUUCCAUCUUUCAAUUGUUUGAUUUGAAGGCCAAGAAAGAAGCUCAAUUCUCCUAUCAUAGACAUUUCAAAUUCUUUUGACAUCAUUUUUCCGAACUCCUCACAAAAUAAUUCAUUAGUAGAUCCAAAAAUAAUAUCAUCAACGUAGAUUUGACAAACAAAUAAAUCUUUGCCAAUUCUUUUAGUGAAUAGAGUAGUGUCAAUCUUCCCAAUUUUGAAGUCUUUGGAAAGCAAGAAAUCCCUAAGCCUUUCAUACCAAGCACGUGGAGCUUGCUUAAGCCCAUAGAGAGCUUUAGAAAGCUUGAACACAUGGUUAGGUCUUUUGGGGUCCUCAAAACCGGGAGGUUGUUCAACAUACACUAGUUCACUAAUCUUACCAUUUAGGAAAGCACUCUUUACAUCCAUUUGGUAGAGCUUGAUAUUGUGUGCACAAGCAUAAGCAAGUAGAAUCCGGAUUGCUUCUAAUCUUGCUACGGGAGCAAAUGUCUCCCCAAAAUCCAAUCCUUCAAUUUGAGUAUAUCCUUGUGCAACUAAUCUUGCCUUGUUUCUUACUACCACACCAUCUUCAUUGUGCUUAUUGCGAAACACCCAUUUUGUACCAAUAACAUUGUGGUUCUUUGGUCUCUCAACAAGCUCCCAAACUUCAUUUCGAGCGAAGUUAUUUAAUUCUUCAUGCAUUGCAUUCACCCAAUCAACAUCAAGUAGAGCUUCAUCUACACGGUUAGGUUCCAUACAAGAUACAAAAGAGAAAUGUUCACAAAACGAAGCUAUGCGAGAGCGAGUUUGAACACCCUUACUAAUAUCACCCACAAUUUGAUCAACCGGGUGAUCCUUCACAAUGGAAUGAUGAAUUCUUGAUACCGUUUGAUAAUUGCUUGUUGAAGCAUUAGGAGGAACCGAAGGUCUUGAAGUACCUUGAUCAUGAGUAUCCAUGAUUUCAUUGAGUUGUUGGCUUUGGUGAUCUUCCUCAUUUAUAGUUGAGGAUGAAGGAAUGACAACCACACUAUCUUCAUCAUCAUCUUCCUUUGGUUUUAUUUCACCAAUGGCCAUUGUUUUCAUUGCAUUUAUCAAUUGAGUUCCCCCAACAUCAUCGAGAUUAUCACUCUCAUCUUGAGACCCAUUUGUUUCAUCGAAUUCAACAUCAUAUGCUUCCUCAAUAAUACCAUGAGUUUUGUUGAAGACUCUAUAAGCCUUACUAUUUGAUGAAUAUCCAAGAAGAAAGCCCUCAUCACAUUUCUUCUCAAAUUUAGAAAGCCGGCUCCCCUUUUUCAAAAUAUAACAUUUGCAACCGAAUACCCUAAAAUAUGAGAUAUUUGGCUUUCUACCAAUGAGCAAUUCAUAUGGAGUUUUCUUCAAGAGCUUGUGACAAUAUAGUCUAUUUGAUGAAUGACAAGCAGUAUUUAUUGCCUCGGCCCAAUAAGAAUCCGAUAUACUAUAUUCCGCUAACAUAGACCUAGCCAUGUCAAUAAGAGUUCUAUUCUUCCUUUCAACAAUACCGUUUUGUUCCGGGGUAUAUUUGGAAGAGAAUUCAUGUUUGAUGCCCUUGUCAUCACAAUAUUGAUCAAUUCUUGCAUUUUUGAAUUCCGACCCAUUAUCACUUCUAACCUUUUUGAUGUCGAAAUCAAAUUGAUUUUGAGCCAAUAUAGCAAAUGACUUGAAUGUUUCAAACACAUUGGAUUUGUCUCGUAGAAAAUAAACCCAAGUAAAUCUUGAAUAGUCAUCCACAAUCACAAGACAAUAAGAAUUACCACCAAUACUUACAAAAGAUGUGGGCCCAAAUAAAUCCAUGUGAAGUAAUUCCAAAGGUCGAUGAGUGGACAUUUGACUUUUAUUUGGAUGAGUGUUUGCCACUUGCUUACCGGCUUGACAAGAGCUACACAAUUUGUUCUUUUCAAACUUCACAUCUUUUAAGCCUCGAACUAAGUCAUGUUUGGUUAACCGAUUGAGUUGCUUCAUCCCAACAUGACCAAGUCUUCUAUGCCAUAACCAACCUAGUGAAGCUUUUGAAAAUAGGCAAGUUGUGAGCUUUGCCUCAUUAGAUGAGAAAUCAACAAGAUAAAGAUUUUCAUGUCUAAAACCUUUAAAUUUAAGAUUGCUACCAUCAACACUAGAGAUAAUAACAUCUUCAACCGUGAAAUUGCAACAAAAUCCUAAAUCACAUAAUUGAGCUACGGAAAGUAAAUUAAAAUUCAAAGACUCAACCAAUAGCACAUUUGAUAUAGAAUGAUCAUUUGAGAUAGCAAUUUUACCCAAACCUUUAACCUUUCCUUUACGAUUAUCUCCAAAUGUGAUACUAUCAUAAUUUGAGCAAUCUUCCUCACUCAUUUGGGUAAACAUCUUCAUAUCCCCGGUCAUGUGUUGAGUACAUCCACUAUCCAACACCCAAUGAUUCCCUCCCGCCUUGUAGUUUACCUACAAAAGGAAAUCAAUCUCUUUUAGGUACCCAAACUUGCUUGGGUCCUUGGAUGUUAGUGACCAAGGUCUUUGGCACCCAAAUAGCUUUCUUUUUGUUUCCAACAAUUGAAGUACCAACAAAUUUAGCAUGAACACCUUUUGCAUUAUGAGAAAGAACAUAACAAUGCUCAAAACAAGUGGAGGAUACAUGUUUGAACUUGGGACAAUUUUUCUUAACAUGUCCCUUUUUGUGACACUUGUGACACACUUUGUCACAUUCUUUCACAAACAAUGUCUUUUGCUUUACAAAAGCAUUCUUUCCUUUCUUGGGAACAUAUCCAAGACCUUCACGGUUAAGAGAGCAUCGUUGACUUCCCAAUAUGAAAUCCAAUUUAGUCUUACCACCAUAUGCCUUUUCUAGGUCAUGAGUUAGAGUAUUUAUUCUAUCCACUAACACUUCAUUCUCAACAAUAAUUUUUGAUUCAUCAAGAGCAAUAUUAUCAUUGAGAGAAAUUUUGCAUUUAUCACAAAUAGAGUUAGUAGGUAGUGGUUCACUUGUAAGACUAUCAAGUAAGUCACAAGUGACUCCAACAUCCUUAGUGACCACCUCAACUUCAUGCACAAUAGAUGAUUUUUGAGCAUCCGCAAGCUUCUCACAAUUUUCUUUGAGGUCAUUGUGAGAGGUCUUGAGCUUCUCAAAAGACACUUGGAGGUUUUUAUACAAUUCCUUCAAGGUCUUAAAUUUUUCUUUUUCUUUGUGCAUGUAGUCAUCGGCCUCACCUAACAUUCUAACAAGAUCAUCAUAUGAAUAGCCAUCAUCAUCAACAUCAUCGAUAUCAUCAUCAUCUUUUAUAUCAUUUAAAUCGGUGAUAAUUUUUACCUUAGCAUCUCCCUUUGCCAUGAGACAAUGGGGGAUGAGAAGAGUGAGAGAGCUUCCUUGAUGGCAAUUCCGGCAUUAAGCUUGGAUGAGGUGUCAUCAUCAUCAUCAUCCGAGCUAUCAUCCGAGUCCCAUUCAACUAAGUAGGCUUUGCCAUCUUUCUUCUUGUUAUAGUAUUUCUUUUUCUUCUUGUCACUUUCAUCUUUGCCCUUCUUCUUCUUGCUUGGGCAAUUCAUGGCAAUGUGACCGGGUUCCCCACACUCAAAACAUUUUCUAUCAUUGAAAGCAUUUCUUCUAGAUGUUUGACCUCUUCUAGGUUGGCCUCUUUUCAUCUUCAUGAAUUUAUUGAAUUUCCUUACAAAUAAAGCCAUGUCACCAUCACUCUCACUUUCAUUUUCUUCAUCAUUGCUAUCUUCUUUUUCAAUUGCCUUUGAGGCCUUGGCUUUGAGAGCAAUAGAUUCAUUUUUCACCUUCUUUGCCAAACUUAAAGCAUCGGCUUGUGACUUCUUAAAUAUAUCUUGAGUGAGAAUUUCUCCCAAUACUUCGGUUGGAGAAGUUGUAGAUAGAUCACUCCUUACUAACAUUGUCACAAUAGUCUCAUAUUUCUCCGGAAGUGAUCUAAGAAACUUGUGUGUGAAAUCCACAUCCGGUACAUUAAAACCAAGUCCUUUGAGUUCAUUUACUAUCUCAUUCAACCGAUUGAACAUAUCAGAUACACUCUCAUCUUCUUUCAUAAUAAAUUGCUCAAACUUCCCUUUGCACACAUAUAGUUUGGCACUCUUCACAAUUGUAGUUCCUUCAUGAAUCUCCAUUAGUUUUAUCCAAAUCUCAUGAGCGGUUGUGAGAUUUUUGAUACGAUUGAACUCAUUUAUAUCAAGAGCAUCAUAAAAAACAUUCAUGGCUUGAUCAUUUGUGAGGAUAUUCUCAUUAUCACUAACGGAUGGUUCAUCUUCCUUCAAUACAACAAAUCCAUCUCUAACAAUUGGCCAAAUUUUUCCACCCAUUGCUCUAAGAUGCAUUGACAUUCUUAUUUUCCAAUAAUCAUAAUUGUUUCCAUCAAAGUGCGGUGGCUUCCCAAUGUGCACAUUGUUGUUACUAGCCAUUUUGUCCCACUCCGGGAUGAUUAGAUCCACAAACAAUGGAGUCCUCGGCUCCGAUACCACUUGUAGGAUCUAGGACACCGGCUAGAGGGGGGUGAAUAGACGGUUUUGACUAAAAACAACAACACUAAGUAAAUUUAAUCAAUAUAACAAGAGGAAUAAAUUUACUAGUGUCAAUAAGUAAACAAUGUAUGAAAGACAACUACGGAGAUUGAAUACUUGAAGAACAAUAAGCAAAACACUAAUCAAUUGCAAGGCAAUAAGUAAUGCUAGAAGGAAUAGACACCGAAAUUUAUCUCGUGGUAUCGGUGAUUUGCCGAUCACCCCUAAUCCACGUUGAGGUGGACUUCAAGCUCUCACUUGCUCCUCUAUCAAGACACGACUUGAUCUUUGAGCCAAGUGGACAAGAAAUCACUCAAUACCUCGAUUCCACUAAUGUCACCUUUGCCGCUCCGGCGAGGUAGGCGCGAACCCCUCACAAUCAACACCGCGGCUUCUCCACAAUCUUCUUGGAGAGCUCGACGGAGACAAUCACCCGAGCCGUCUAGGAGGCGGCAACCUCCAAGAGUAACAAGCCAACGACGCUUGCUCUGUGUACCACCUAGUGCCUCAAGAAUCACCAAAUGAUGCAAAUGCACUAGGAACCCUCAAUCUCUCACUAGAAUGCAAUCUCAAGCAAAGAGUGUGAGAGAGUGAGUUGGAGGAUCACAAAUGAGCUCAAUGUGUGCAAGGAAUAGCCAAGAGAGCUCUCUCACACGAGCUACCCUUCUAUUUAUAGCCCCCCAUCUAAAACCAACCGUUAUGUGCAAAAGGGGGCAAUUCUGCGCACACGCGGACCGUCCGCGCCCUAGGGCCGGACGGUCCGCCGUACAUCAUAACGGCUAUAAUGACCGUUGAAACAUGUCAGAGCUGACUCAAAAGGUGGGUCCGGACAGUCCGCCCUUCAAGGCCGGACCGUCCGCGCCCUGGCAAAUUUAAACAGCCGAGCCUCGGAUCAAACGGAGUUAACACACGCGGACCGUCCAGCUAUAAAUCCCGGACGGUCCGUGACCUGAGACUGUACUGUCCGGACUGGUCCCCCGGACAGUCCGUAGUACAAAUCUAUAAAAACACACAGUCCCUGUCCAAAAAACGAGUUAGACACAUGCGGACCGUCCGCCCCUCACAGGCGGACCGUCCGCCUAUAAUUCAGGGACUGACCCGAAGCCACCUUCCUUUGGUCAGGACUGCGGACGGUCCGGCCCUAAGGCCCGGACGGUCCGCAGUACAAUAGAACACAGUGUCAACACAAAUGGUCAGACUUCGGACCCCUCUGGUGGAUCGCGGACGGUCCGCCCCUAAGGCCCGGACAGUCCGCGCGUCCAAGACUUCGCAAUUUCAAACAUGCUUUUGAAAGAACUUUUGACUUGCGAAAUGUGAAGCGCUGUUAGUCCUCAUGCAAAUAAAACUACUUGAUGCUCUAUGAGGCACUAAGUUUUACACAGAUCUGAGUCAUUGACCCCUCUUAAUAGUACGGCUAUCUAGCCUACUAAUCCGGUCAGGUAUCUUCUCUAAACUCCUCAAGACCGGUAAAAGUAAAACCUAUAUUAUACCUUUUCCUUCAUCUGAUCCACAACCAAUGCGUAUGACUCUUCAACAUUUCCUGUUCUAUGUGGUCCAACCCUGCAUUCUUAUUUCUCCAAGAAUCGUUAGUCCACAAGUAGUUGUCAUUAAUUACCAAAACAUUACCAAAGGGGCCUAGAUGAUUCACAUCCAUGCGUCGCGCUAAGGAACUUGUCCAUUGGGGAUGUGUGUCCUAAGGAAUCCGAAGAGCCCAAUCAAGCUCAAGAUCAACCGUCAUCUUCCAUGCAAGCAUCUCCACCAACCCAAGAUGAGGAUCAUGCUCAAGAUAAUGAAGAAGAAGAUCAAGAAGAUGAGCCACCUCAAGAGGAGGACAAUGGUCAAGGGGAAGAUGAUAAUUGUCGGGGACCAUAAUUAGGGGUACCCCCAAGACUCCUAAUCUCAUCUGGUAACCCCCAUCAGCACAAAGCUGCAAAGGCCUGAUGGGUGCGAUUAAGUCAAGGCUCGGUCCACUCAAGGGACACGAUCUCGCCUCGCCCAAGCCCAGCCUCGGGCAAGGGCAGCCGACCCCGGAGGGUUUACGUCUCGCCCGAGGGCCCCCUCAAGCAACGGACACACCUUCGGCUCGCCCGAGGCCCAGCCUUCGCCAAGAAGCAACCUUGGCCAAAUUGCCACGCCGACCGACCGUAUCGCAGGAGCAUUUAAUGCAAGGAUGGCCUGACACCUUAUCCUGACGCGCGCUUGUCAGUCGACAGAGCCGAAGUGACCGCAGUCACUUCGCCGCUCCACUGACUGGCCUGACAAGAAGACAGCGUCACCUGUGCCACUCCGACUACUGUGGCACUCGACAGAGUGAGGCUGACAGCAGCCAAGUCUGGCCUCGGGCGCCAUAGGAAGCUCCGCCUCCCCCGACCCUAGGGCUCGGACUCGGCCUCGGCCCCGGAAGACGACGAACUCCGCCUCGCCCGACCCAGGGCUCGGACUCGGCCUCGGCCUCGGCCCCGGAAGAUGACGAACUCCGCCUUGCCCGACCCAGGGCUCGGACUCGGCCCCAGAAGACGAUGAACUCUGCCUCGCCCGACCCAGGGCUCGGACUCGGCCUCGACACCGGAAGACGACGAACUCCGCCUCGCCUGACCCCAGGGCUCGGACUCGGCCUCGGCCCUGGAAGAUGACGAACUCCGCCUCGCCCGACCCCAGGGCUCGGCCCUAGCCUCAGCCGACGGUCUCCGCCUCGCCCGACCCAGGGGCUCGGACUCGACCUCGACCUCGGAAGACAGACUCGACCUCGACCUCAGAGGAGCCUCCGCCUCGCCGACCCAGGGCUCGGACCGACCAUGUCGCAGGAUGGGCCAUCAUUGCCCUACCCCUAGCUAGCUCUGGCUACGGGGAACAAGACCGGCGUCCCAUCUGGCUCGCCCCGGCAAAGCAAAUAAUGAUGGCGCCCCGCGUGCUCCAUGACGACUGCGGCUCUCAGCCCCCUUACGGAAGCAAGGAGACGUCAGCAAGGACUCGACAGCCCCGACAGUUCUCCUUCCGCCAGGCUCCAGCGCUCCUCCGACGGCCACGACAUCUCAUGAACAGGGUGCCAAAACCUCUCCGGCUGCCACGACAGCAUGUACUUAGGGCACUAGCUCCUCUCUACUAGACACAUUAGCACACCGCUACAUCUCCCAUUGUACACCUGGACCCUCUCCUUACGCCUAUAAAAGGAAGGUCCAGGGCCCUCUUACAGAGGGUUGGCCGCGUGGGGAGGACGGGACGGCGCGUGCAGGCCUCUCGCUCCCUCCCACGCGGACGCUUGUAACCCCCUACUGCAAGCGCACCCGACCUGGGCGCGGGACAAACACGAAGGCCGCGGGUUUCCCCUUUUACGCCUGUCUCCCUCCGGUUUUUCCCCCCUUCGCGCUCCGUCUCGCGCUGACCCAUCUGGGCUGGGGCACGCGACGACAAUUUACUCGUCGGUCCAGGGACCCCCCGGGGUCGAAACGCCGACAGUUGGCGCGCCAGGUAGGGGCCUGCUGCGUGUUGACGAACAGCUUCUCGUCAAGCUCCGGAUGGGUAGUCUCCAGCAACCUUUCCAGCCCGAGACGGUGCUCCGUUUCGGGAGUCUUGAGUUCAUGUCCCUCGACGGCAGCUACGACAUGAUACUCCUUCCCCCGCUGCGCGACAGCGACAAUGGCGGCCGACAACCCACCCCCCGGCGGUGGAAUCGACGACGUCUUCCCCACGUGGCGGAAGAACAACAUUCGGGUUUGUCCCGUCGCAUCCCCCGUCGACGGAGGAGGAGGCGGGGCAACCAAGGCCAAGCAGGAGGCGGCACCUCGUCGGCUGUCGAGCGAGUCGACGGCGCCGGCGCCCCAACGGGGGACGCGUCGGGCAUCGACCUCGCGUCUGAGACGAAGACGAGCGUCGUUUCCCCGCAACACGCCAACUCCAAGCGGACGGACGACGCCAGCACACUCGCAAAGGACUUGCUGGGCGUCACCCUCGUACCUGAGAUGACGGUGCAGUCUGCCCCUGACGUGACUUCGUCACCGCUCGACGACCAAAAGGUACCGACCGAUUCCCAUCUCGUGCCUUUUGGGUUCGGCCUCGACCCACCAAGCAACUUCGCUUCAGUGGACGCUUUCAUAGAGGCGAGUCCAAACCCUCCGGGGUACUGUAUGCGGUCACCCUGGGACCGGCUGACAGCCGUCUCGACCUACGGGCACUCGGGUUCCGAGGAAGAUGACGAGCCCGACUUUUGUUGUGAUUUCUCCGGACUUGGUAACCCCAGUGCCAUGCGGGACUUCAUGACCGCAUGCGACUACUGCCUUUCCGAUUGUUCCGACGGUAGCCGCAGCUUCGGCAACGAGGACUGCGGCUCGAGUCAUGAAUGUUUCCACGUCGAUCUAGGGGGUCCCGGCGAAGGCAACCAUCUUGGUAUACCGGAAAACGGUGAUCCCCCUAGGCCUGCGCCUCGUGUUGACAUCCUUCGGGAGCUAGCUGUGGUCCCAGUCCCUGCGGGGGGUCAGGACGCACAGCUCGAGCAAAUCCACGAGAUGCAGGCCUGGCUCGACGAGGGAGCAGGAACACUUGAGCCGUUCCGCCGGGACAUCGGGCAGGAAUAGGCAGGCCAACCUCCGGCCGGAGAAGCGCGUCAUCUACCCCAGGGCAUCCAACAUCGCAUCGCCGACGAUGUCAGGGCAAGGCCGCCACCGGCUUCCAGUGGGGUCGACCAGAACAUGGCUGCAGCGACAAUACUUCUCCGCGCGAUGCCAGAGCCAUCAACCACCGAGGGGCGGCGUAUCCAGGGAGAGCUCAAAAAUCUCCUGGAGGAUGCCACGGUCCGACGGGCCGAAAGCUCUGCCUCCCGAAGGCAGGGGUACCCCUCGGAGCAUCGCGCCGUGACUUCCCGAUUCAUGCAGGAAGCCUCGGUCCACACCGGGCGCACGCGCAACACAGCGCUUGCGGCCCCAGGUCGCCUCGGCAACGAGCACCAUCACCGCAGCCGUCGAGCCCACCUCGACGAGAAUGUGCGCCGAGGCUACCACCCCAGGCGUGGGGACGCUACGACAGCGGGGAGGAUCGGAGUCCCUCGCCCGAACCACCCGGUCCGCAGACUUUCAGCCGGGCCAUACGACGGGAGCCGUUCCCGACCCGGUUCCGAACCCCGACUACUAUCACAAAGUACUCAGGGGAGACGAGGCCGGAACUGUGGCUUGCGGACUACCGGCUGGCCUGCCACCUAGGUGGAACGGACGAUGACAACCUCAUCAUCCGCAACCUCCCCCUGUUCCUCUCCAACACCGCUCGAGUCUGGCUGGAGCAUUUGCCUCCGGGGCAGAUCUCCAACUGGGACGACCUGGUCCAAACCUUCGCCGGCAACUUCCAGGGCACGUACGUGCGCCCUGGGAACUCCUGGGAUCUCCGAAGCUACCGCCAGCAGCCGGGAGAGUCUCUCCGGGACUACAUCCGGCGAUUCUCGAAGCAGCGCACCGAGCUGCCCAACGUCACCGACUCAGAUGUCAUCGGCGCGUUCCUCGCCGGCACCACCUGCCGCGACCUGGUGAGCAAGGUGGGUCGCAAGACCCCCACCAGGGCGAGCGAGCUGAUGGACAUCGCCACCAAGUUCGCCUCUGGCCAGGAGGCGGUUGAGGCCAUCUUCCGGAAGGACAAGCAGCCCCAGGGCCGCCAGCCGGAAGAUGUCCCCGAGGAGUCCACUCAGCGCGGCACCAAGAAGAAAGCCAAGAAGAAGUCGCAAGUGAAACGCGACGCCGCCGACGCGGACCUUGUCACCGCCGCUGAGUACAAGAACCCUCGGAAACCUCCCGGAGGCGUCAAUCUCUUCGGCAAGAUGCUCAAGGAGCCGUGCCCCUAUCAUCAGGGGCCCAUCAAGCACACCCUUGAGGAAUGCGCCAUGCUUCGGCGCCACUUUCACAAGGCCGAGCCACCUGCGGAAGGUGGCAGGGCCCACGACGACGAUAAGAAGGAGGAUCGCAAGGUAGGAGAGUUCUCCGAGGUCCAUGACUGCUUCAUGAUCUACGGUGGGCAAGUGGCGAAUGCCUCGGCUCGGCACCGCAAGCAAGAGCGUCGGUAGGUCUGCUCGGUAAAGGUGACGGCGCCAGUCUACCUAGACUGGUCCAACAAGCCCAUCACCUUCGACCAGGGCGACCACCCCGACCGUGUGUCGAGUCCGGGGAAAUACCCGCUCGUUGUCGACCCCGUCAUCGGCAACGUCAGGCUCACCAAGGUCCUCAUGGACGGAGGCAACAGCCUCAACAUCAUCUACGCCGAGACCCUCGGGCUCCAGCGGAUCGAUAUAUCCUCGGUCCGGGUGGGCGCGACGCCUUUUCAUGGGAUCAUCCCCGAGAAACGCGUCCAGCCCCUCGGACAACUCGAUCUACCCGUCUGCUUUGGGACUCCCUCCAACUUCCGAAGGGAAACCUUCACAUUCGAGGUGGUCGGGUACCGAGGAACCUACCACGCAGUGCUGGGGAGGCCAUGCUACGCCAAGUUCAUGGCCGUCCCCAACUACACCUACCUCAAGCUCAAGAUGCCGGGCCCCAACGGGGUCAUCACCGUCGGCCCCACGUACCGACACGCGUACGAAUGCGAUGUGGAGUGCGUGGAGUACGCCGAGGCCCUCGCCGAAUCCGAGGCCCUCAUCGCCGACCUGGAGAGCCUCUCCAAGGAGGCACCAGACGUGAAGCGCCAUGCCGGCAACUUCGAGCCAGCGGAGACGGUUAAGUCUGUCCCUCUCGACCCCAGCAACGAUGCCUCCAAGCAGAUCUGGAUCGGCUCCGAGCUCGAUCCCAAAUAGGAAGCAGUGCUCGUCGACUUUCUCCGCGCAAACGUCGACGUUUUCGCGUGGAGUCCCUCGGACAUGCCCGGCAUACCGAGGGAUGUCGCCAAGCACUCGCUGGAUAUCCGAGCUGGAGCCCGACCCGUGAAGCAGCCUCUGCGCCGAUUCGACGAAGAAAAGCGCAGAGCCAUAGGCGAGGAGAUCCACAAGCUAAUGGCGGCGGGGUUCAUCAAAGAGGUAUUCCAUCCCGAAUGGCUUGCCAACCCUGUGCUUGUGAUAAAGAAAGGAGGCAAAUGGCGGAUGUGUGUAGACUACACUGGUCUAAACAAAGCAUGUCCAAAAGUUCCCUACCCUCUGCCUCGCAUCGAUCAAAUCGUGGAUUCCACUGCUGGGUGCGAAACCCUGUCUUUCCUCGAUGCCUACUCAGGGUAUCACCAAAUCAGGAUGAAAGAGUCCGACCAGCUCGCGACUUCUUUCAUCACACCUUUCGGCAUGUACUGCUAUGUUACCAUGUCGUUUGGUUUGAGGAAUGCGGGUGCGACAUACCAAAGGUGCAUGAACCACGUGUUCGGCGAACACAUUGGUCGAACGGUCGAGGCUUACGUCGAUGACAUCGUAGUCAAGACGAGGAAAGCCUCUGACCUCCUUUCCUACCUUGAAGCGACAUUCCGGUGUCUCAAGGCGAAAGGCGUAAAACUCAAUCUUGAGAAGUGCGUCUUCGGAGUCCCCCGAGGCAUGCUCUUGGGGUUCAUCGUCUCCGAGCGGGGCAUCGAGGCCAACCCGGAGAAAAUCGCGGCCAUCACCAACAUGGGGCCCAUCAAGGACUUGAAAGGCGUACAGAGGGUCACGGGAUGCCUUGCGGCUCUGAGCCGUUUCAUCUCGCGCCUCGGUGAAAGAGGCCUGCCUCUGUACCGCCUCUUAAGAAAGGCUGAGUGCUUAACUUGGACCCCUGAGGUCGAGGAAGCCCUCGGGAACCUGAAGGCGCUCCUCACGAACGCGCCUAUCUUGGUGCCCCCCGCUGCUGGAGAAGCCCUCUUGAUCUACGUCGCCGCUACCACUCAGGUGGUCAGCGCCGCGAUCGUGGUUGAGAGACGAGAAGAGGGGCAUGCAUUGCCCGUCCAGAGGCCAGUCUACUUCAUCAGUGAGGUACUGUCCGAGACCAAGAUCCGCUACCCACAAAUUCAGAAGCUGCUGUACGCGGUGAUCCUGACGCGGCGGAAGUUGCGACACUACUUCGAGUCUCAUCCGGUGACUGUGGUGUCAUCCUUCCCCCUAAGGGAGAUCAUCUAGUGCCGAGAGGCCUCGGGUAGGAUUGCAAAGUGGGCGGUGGAAAUCAUGGGCGAGACAAUCUCGUUCGCCCCUCGGAAGGCCAUCAAGUCCCAAGUCUUGGCGAACUUUGUGGCUGAAUGGGUCGAUACCCAGCUCCCAACAGCUCCGAUCCAACCGGAACUCUAGACCAUGUUUUUCGACGGGUCGCUGAUGAAGACAGGGGCAGGCGUGGGCCUGCUCUUCAUCUCGCCCCUCGGGAAGCACCUACGCUACGUGCUACGCCUCCACUUCCCGGCGUCCAAUAAUGUGGCCGAGUACGAGGCUCUGGUCAACGGGUUGCGCAUCGCCAUCGAGCUAGGGGUCCGACGCCUCGACGCUCGCGGUGACUCGCAGCUCGUCAUUGACCAAGUCAUGAAGAACUCCCACUGUCGUGACCCGAAGAUGGAAGCCUACUGCGAUGAGGUUCGGUGCCUGGAGGACAAGUUCUAUGGGCUUGAGCUCAACCACGUCGCCCGACGAUACAAUGAGACUGCGGACGAGCUGGCUAAGAUAGCCUCGGGACGGACAACGGUUCCCCCGGAUGUCUUCUCCCGAGACCUGCAUCGACCCUCCGUCAAGAUCGACGACACGCCCGAGCCCGAGAAGGCCUCGGCUCAGCCCGAGGCACCCUCGGCCCAGCCCGAGGCAUCCUCGGCUCAGCCUGGGGCAUCCUCGGCCCUCGAGGGUGAGGCACUGCGCGUCGAGGAGGAGCGGAGUGGGGUCACGCCUAAUCGAAACUGGCAGACCCCGUACCUGCAAUAUCUCCACCGAGGAGAGCUACCCCUCGACCGAGCCAAAGCUCGGCGGUUGGCACGGCGCGCCAAGUCGUUCGUCUUGCUGGGGGACGGGAAGGAGCUCUACCACCGCAGCCCCUCAGGCAUCCUCCAGCGAUGCAUAUCCAUCGCCGAAGGCCAGGAGCUCUUACAAGAAAUACACUCGGGGGCUUGCGGUCAUCACGCGGCGCCCCGAGCCCUUGUUGGAAACGCCUUCCGACAAGGUUUCUAUUGGCCGACCGCGGUGGCCGACGCCACUAGAAUUGUGUGCACCUGCCAGGGGUGUCAAUUCUACGCAAGGCAGACCCACCUGCCCGCUCAGGCUCUGCAGACGAUACCCAUCACCUGGUCGUUUGCUGUGUGGGGUCUGGACCUCGUCGGCCCCUUGCAGAAGGCACCCGGGGGCUACACGCACCUGCUGGUCGCUAUCGACAAAUUCUCCAAGUGGAUCGAGGUCCGACCCCUAAACAGCAUCAGAUCCGAGCAGGCGGUGGCGUUCUUCACCAACAUCAUCCAUCGCUUUGGGGUCCCGAACUCCAUCAUCACCGACAACGACACCCAGUUCACCGGCAGAAAGUUCCUGGAUUUCUGCGAGGAUCACCACAUCCAGGUGGACUGGGCCGCCGUGGCUCACCCCAUGACGAAUGGGCAAGUAGAGCAUGCCAACGGCAUGAUUCUGCAAGGACUCAAGCCGCGGAUCUACAACGACCUCAACAAGUUCGGCAAGCGAUGGAUGAAGGAGCUCCCCUCGGUGGUCUGGAGUUUGAGGACAACGCCGAGCCGAGCCACGGGCUUCACACCGUUCUUUCUAGUCUAUGGGGCCGAGGCCAUCUUUCCCACAGACUUAGAAUACGGUUCCCCGAGGACGAGGGCCUACGACGACCAAAGCAAUCGAGCUAACUGAGAAGACUCACUGGACCAGCUGGAAGAGGCUCGGGACAUGGCCUUACUACACUCGGCGCGUUAUCAGCAGUCCCUGCGACGCUACCACGCCCGAGGGGUUCGGUCCCGAGACCUCCAGGUGGGCGACUUGGUGCUUCGGCUGCGACAAGACGCCCGAGGGCGGCACAAGCUCACGCCUCCCUGGGAAGGGCCGUUCGUGAUCGCCAAGGUUCUGAAGCCCGGGACAUACAAGCUGGCCAACAGUCAAGGCGAGGUCUACAACAACGCUUGGAACAUCCGACAGCUACGUCGCUUCUACCCUUAAGAUGCUUUCAAGUCGUUCAUACAUCUCGUUCACACACAAAGUCUAACCAUCAAGGAAGGGUCAGCCUUGCCUCGGCAAAGCCCUACCCUCCCUCGAGGGCUAGAAGGGGGGAACCCCCUCCGCAUCAAAAUUUUCCUCGAAAGAAGUCUUCCAUCAAAAAGGCUUUCGCGUCUCCCGGCUAUAUCAGUAACAGGACCCCAAGAAACGAAUAAGGGCGCAUGUAAGUGGCAAGGCCGACCGAGCCAAGGGACUCCUACGCCUCUGGGAUACGAAUACCUCACUCGUCACCUACCACGAAAAAUGACUCUUACUUGGGCAAGCUACCCUGCUACUGACGAACGGGCCCGGAUACGCAAAACGGAAGGAAAAGGAGCACAACCUUAUACUACGAUAAUAAAGUGUUCGGGCCUCGGCGGCCGCAAAAGACACAUAUGCAUUCAAAGAAAACUGCUCCGGCAGAGUCAGGCGUCGCCCGGAGAAGGAGUCGCGCCCUCGGCUUCGUCCCCACCUUCGGCAAGGUCCGCCCCGGCCUCGGACGAUGGCACAAGCGGGAGGAUCUCUGCCUCGAAGGUGGUUGCCAGCACCGCGCUUGGGCCCGCGGCAGCUGCAUCGAGCCUCUGGACUUCCGCCAGGGCGGCUUCAUCUUCGUCGGGGAGGCAAUACCCCUCGCUGACCCGCUCCAGAUCCACGACAUAGUGGGAAGCAAGCACGACGAAGGCCCGCCUGACGCCGUGAUGCAGCGCCUCGUGGAGUCUGCCACGCGCAUGGUCGCCCAAGGCCUACAAGCGACUUUGAGGGGAGCUUCCCAAGGGGACGUCGUCGAAGCCAAAGACCCGGCAGAAGGCCGAGAUGGCCUCGGACAUGGCAGCGUGGUCGGCCUCCCUCUGCUCGGCCGCCUGAGCAAGCGCCUUGGUGGACUUAUCAAGGGCAGACCCGAGCUCUGCGAACAGCCAAAGCGGAAGACCUCAAACACAAGUUGAGGAACCGAGCUGAAACAAAAACCUAAAACAGCCAAGACAUACCUCCGGAUCGGGCACGCUGCUCCGAGGAUUCGGCUUGGGCCACGGCUAGGUCUGCUGCAAGGGCUCUGGCCCGAGCAGACGCCUCGGCUAGCUGGACUCCAAGAGCCUCAGCCCGGCUUUCGGCCUCGGCAACCCGGCCCCGGGAUUGGUCCCGCUCGCUGGUGACCUGGUCAAGCUCCGACCGCCGCCGCUGCGCCUCUGCGCGUGCCGCUGCUGCCUCUGCUCCCAGAUCGACACAGAGCAACCGAAGGUCCGCCACCUCGGCGCUCUGUUGGGAGAGGCGCGCGGUAGCCCUGGCAAGCGUGGUCCUCAGGGACCGCAGCGAACCCCAGACAUCGACCUCGCGGCGGAUGGACGACAACUUGGCGGCGCUCAGAUCCGUCAGAUCCUGAGGGAAGGAAGUGGGGCGUCACAAAGAACGCCUUGAUUACGAGAAAGGUAUGCCUGAAAUCAUUACCUAGACAAUCUUGGGAACGUCCCUGGAAAGGACCUCCAAGGUCGACCGGAGCGACCCCACCGUUGCCUCGGCACACUCACGAAGCCCGUCCCAAGACUGCUCCUCCCGCUCAUCGUCAAGAACGAAGAGGGGAUCCGAGGCCCCACGGGUCCGGAACCGAAGCAACUGGCGCCACCCCUCGGAGCUGCGCCGCGCGGGGACAAGGCUGCUGCUCGACGGGACGGGUCGCGGUCCCGCGCCCCCCUCCUCCGAGGCACCAAGUAGCGACGCCUCGGCCAUCUCAGCGUUGGCGGCGACGGGUGGCUCCACGGCCAGAACGGCAACGGCCUCGGCAGCAGCCGGCACCAGCGCCGGUAGCAGUCUGGUGGGCCCGAGGCCACGGCCGCGCCAGCAGCCUCCCCCAGCGCGACGGCCGCCUCGACAGAAGAGCCAGCCUCGGGAGCUCGCUCCACGGCAACUGGUGCCGCCUGAGCCCCCCGCUGUGGGGCGUCUUGCGAGGAGGUCAGCUGGCCGGCGAGGCCCGGCGCGGCACUAGCUGCGGAAGGCGACGCCGUCUUGAGGACCUUCCGGGGAGCCAGAUCGGUCAAACCGUGACUCCGCUUGCUAAGGAGAAAAGGAAAAUCAGGGUCGGGACAUACGAAGGAGGAGCCAGGACGAAGAUAUCCUAAGAUACUUACCCACUCUGGGCCAUAAUCAAUCGUGCCUGUGGGGAGGUCUCUCGAACCUCGACCCCCGAAGGUACCACCGAGGUCUGCCUCGCUGCCAGCUUCGGUACCAUCCUCGCCUUGCGCGCCCUAGGCGCCCGAGAGACGGACUGCCCAGGCGCAGCCACGACAACCUGAGGAUCACCCUCCCGCGCAGUCGGCACGGGCAACGGUCCUCGGGGAACAGGCAGGUCGGCCUGACUCCCCGGGGUCACCUCAACUUCCCCGACCGAGGGGUCAAGUACUUCCUCGGUCUGCCCCCGCUCUUCGGACCGGGACCCCGACGUCCCGGCCCAGGAUACCGACAACACCAGCCCGCUCGGGGGCUGGCUUGACGACCCCUGGCCCAGCCUCAGAUCCGGGCUGAGGCCAAGGCGGGCAGCCAUAUCGUCGUCUUCAUUGUCGUCUUCAUCGUCGUCGUCGUCGUCAGGCGUCUCCAGCGAUGGCUCCCUCGGGAGCCCAUCCCUCUCCUGCCGACGACGGAGCCUUUCCAAGGCGUCCCGAGCCCGCGUCCGCUCGCGGGCCCGAGCCUUCUUCGCAUCCUUUUUCUCCUUCCUCUUCUCCGCAGCAACCCUCCGCGCAGCUCGGUCCACCGCGUCCUCCGGGACCAGUGGCAGGGAAGGCUUUGUUAGAAAUAUGCCCUAGAGAUAAUCAUAGAGAUGAGCAUAUUUCUUUGUAUCCAUGAUAUAUAUAUUGCUUAAUUGAAUAUCCAUGGAAGGCACCUUGUAUUGAUUAGCAAUUAUGUGAAUUGUUUGUGAGAUUCUUUACUUACAUGGUUAUUCUAAAUGAUGUCCCUAGUCAGAGUCGAUGACUAGCACAUGUAUUAGUUGAUGACUACAUUUCACAAGUCAUGAACAUGGAGAUGUUAAACUAAUAAUGUGGGCGCAUGUAUGACAUGAGGCUGGACCGACCCAACGUGAGAUAUUGUAAUAUAGUUCUCUUCUUGCAACAUGAAUACUGUAUCCUUAGACCUGAGAUUGUCGCAUGUUCUUAAGAUGUGAAUUGACUUACUUAGGGACUAUCAAACGCUAUCCCGUAACUGGGUAGUUAUAAAGGUAGUUUUGGGUUUGUCAAGAAGCAUGCUGUGAGGCAUGGUCAGUCAAGAUGGAAUUUGUCCCUCUCUUUGUGAGAGAGAUAUCUCUGGGCCCCUCGAGUGAUUGGAUCAAGAAAUGCAUGGCCGUGCUAGGGUUAAGAGUUAACCAUUGAAAGGAUUCCAAUUCACAGUAUCGAGAAAGAGAGGUCAGCUUAGAGCCAGACCAAAUAUCGUGAGACAAAGGGAACAGCAUGUACGUAAUGUCGCAAUGGUUCGUCUGAUAUGAUCUUUACGUACACAUAGGAGUUGACAUGUCUUGCUAGAGACCGCUGUCAAUUAUUGGGCCAAGUAAGAGUACUCGGGCUAUGUCUAUUUGUAAGUGAACCUAUAGGGUCACACACUUAAGGGGAAGGAAGCCUAAUUCGGAUCAGAUCCGAAAUUAGACUGGGCUUUAGGGUUAAUGAUGGGCCUCGGCGUCAGAAGCCCACCAUAACGCCUAUAUAAUGAGGGGCGGGGGCGCGGUUAAGGAUAACCUAAUUCGCAACCAGCGAACUAACAGCCGCCGCCCACCUCUCGCCCUCGCCAAGCCGCCGUCGCGAACCUAGCAGUUCGGUACGCGGCGCUUCCUCCCUGUACGUGUGGAUACCUCGGAGGUGCUGCAUCUGGAGCACUUGGACGAACCGUGCGAGGACGUGAAGGACGCCGGCGACUGCACGGCACUGCUCGACGCGUUCGUCUACAUCGAGACGUCUUUCGCUGCUCUGCGCGUCUAGUGGUAAUUCCAUGACCUAUAACCGCAGUAGUUCUUGGUAUUAUGGGGAUGAAAAUUUUUGUUUUGCGCUAGCGUAGCCUCCCCGUAAUCCUACAGGCUUGUGAUGCCCUACCUCCUGGAGAUAGACGAAAAGUCUCGGCUGUGAGAACCAAGGGCAAUCCAACGCAAGGAGAAAGAAGGAGCGGACACUCACCAGGGACACACACCCGCAAUCAGGACGCAUCAAGGGCUGGUAAAGGGCGCCGGCGUCCGGCUUCCCCAACGUGACGGCUACCCGCCUGUGGAGGUCGUCGACGGGAAGGGGAUCCGAGGACAUCCGCAAACCCUCCAAGUCGGCCCCCGGCGUCAUCUCCCAAAGCGGUAGCCGCCGCUCCGUCAAGGGAAGCACCCUCCGGCGAUGAAUGGCGGCGACCACUCCCGCAGCGGUGAGCCCUCCCUUCCGCAACUCCUCCAGGGCCUUCAGAAGGGGCUGGAGAUUCUUUUGUCUGUCGCGCAGGGUCCCGUAGCGCCAGAUAUCGGCGGCGGCGAUCACCACUCGCUGAGAAAACGACGGGAGCCUCCCGUCGUCAUUUCGGAGAUAGAACCACCGGCGCUGCCACCCUUUGUUCGAGGACGCAAGGAUGGCGGGGAUAUACUGCGGCGCCCUCGCCUGCCUCAGCUGGAGGAUGCAGCCACCAGCCCGCACUGCCGUGCGGACCCUUCUCUCCCCCGUCGGCGAGGCAAAAAGCUCCGCGGAGAAGAAAUGAGUCCACAGGUCCCAGUGAGGGUCAAUCCCCAAGUAUCCUUCACAAACCGCCGCGAAGAUGGCGGCUUGCAAGAUGGAGUUAGGACUGAGGUUGUGCAGCUCCACCCCGUAGACAUGCAGAAUCGCCCGCAUAAAACGGCUUGCCGGCACUCCGAACCCCCGCUCGUGAAAGGAGACGAAGCUCACGACAUACCCCGGCGGCGGGGACGGGGCGGCUCCGCUCGGAGGGGCCAUCCACUCCGGCUGCGGGUCACCGGAGAGAGGGCGAAGCAAACCCUCAGCAACAAGGGCCUCCAGGUCAUCCGCUGUGAUGGUGGAGAAAGGCCACGGGUCGCGCGGCGGAACAAUGGUCACCCGGUCGGCCAUCACCAAGCAGAAGAGGUGGCGGCGGGAAAGGCUGGGUGAGCAGUUUCCUUUCUCUGGCUAUUCCCUCGGGUUGCGAAAACCUAAGAAGGAGGCAAGUAGCAGAGUAAAAAACCAUCACCGGUCCCUCUCCCGAAUAUAUAAAGGCCCAGGCGAGACCCAUUCAACACUUCGCCCGAACCCGCCGCGGGAUUCAAAACUCAAAGCGAAACGCCCGUUCCUCGAACGGCUCGCGCACGCGCAACGGCCGCCCCGUGAACACUCGUCCCAUCGCAUUAACUCUGCGGUAGGACGGGCGGCACCUUUGGCGGGCGAAGCAGGCGACGCUUCACCUCCGCCAUAAUGACCGCGUCAAAAAAGGUGCGCCACGUCAUUCGAUUUCGUAUCCUUUCCCUCUUCCUCUUUCUCUCUCUUACAACAGGGACCGGGAAAGGGGAUACCCCGAAAGGGAUCCUUCUCCGUGAAGGAAACGGGCCCCGAGCCCCCCUACUGAUCAGAGGUUCGAAGGCUGGCCCCUCGGAGGGGUUCAACAGCCGCCUCAGAGCGCUCGGGCUCCGCGCCCACUACUGGUCAGAGGUUCGAAGGCCGGCCCCUCAGAAGGGUUCAACGGCCGCCUCAGGCUACUCGGGCUCCGCGCCCACUACUGAUCAGGGGUUCGUAGGCUGGCCCUCGAAGGGUUCACAGCCGCCUCAGACGUAGAGCGAGGGAUGACCCUGGGUACGUUCGAUACAUAACCAAGGCUCGGGCUACGCUCCUGAGGUACCCUAGGACAUUUCCGAGACCAACGGGAACGAUUUUGUAACGGAAUCCCAUCAAAGGGAGGCAUCGAGCCCUCGGACCCCGUCAAAAGGGGACCGGGUCCGGCAAAUCACCCGCAGGUACUUUUGGAGCGCGCCUCCGGGCCACUAGCCGACUCCUAACAAAUGGGGCACGGGCGUCCACUCGGAUUACCCGUUAGCAGCUCACUGGAGACACCAUGUUCGACGCCCUCCGAGGGCAACAUGGCGCUUUCCCCCCCUCCUCCUUGCGGAAAGGUGACGCAGGGGCGUAUGUAAAAAAGUCGAGUUUGUCCUUGACCGUCCUCUCGCUCUGUGCGGAGGCUCGGGGGCUGCUCUCGCGAACCCGGCUCCGGCCAAACCGUUGACAGCGUCAACAUACCAGCCCGAGAACUUGGGACCCGGCCGUGCACCCGGGCUACGACCAGCUCGCAUGAGGGAACAACUAGACCGGCCAAAGCAUCACGAAACGCAUUAAGACCUCGAAGGAGUCAAACCACUCCUCCGAGGCCUCGGGGGCUACACCCGGCGGGUGCGCUCGCGCGCACCCACCGGAACAAAACGCAACCGAGAAAGGCCGGUCCCCUUGCAAAAAAAGUGCGACAAAAGCCUCCAAGCGAGUAUUAACACUCCCUUCGAGGCUCGGUAGCUACUGUCGGGGACCAUAAUUAGGGGUACCCCCAAGACUCCUAAUCUCAGCUGGUAACCCCAAUCAGCACAAAGCUGCAAAGGCCUGAUGGGUGCGAUUAAGUCAAGGCUCGGUCCACUCAAGGGACACGAUCUCGCCUCGCCCAAGCCCAGCCUCGGGCAAGGGCAGCCGACCCCGGAGGAUUUACGUCUCGCCCGAGGGCCCCCUCAAGCAAUGGACACACCUUCGGCUCGCCCGAGGCCCAGCCUUCGCCAAGAAGCAACCUUGGCCAAAUCGCCACGCCGACUGACCGUAUCGCAGGAGCAUUUAAUGCAAGGAUGGCCUGACACCUUAUCCUGACGCUCGCUUGUCAGUCGACAGAGCCGAAGUGACCGCAGUCACUUCGCCGCUCCACUGACCGGCCUGACAAGAAGACAGCGCCGCUUGCGCCACUUCGACUGUUGUGCCACUCGACAGAGUGAGGCUGACAGCAGCCAAGUCCGGCCUCGGGCGCCAUAGGAAGCUCCGCCUCGCCCGACCACAGGGCUCGGACUCGGCCUCGGCCCCAGAAGACGACGAACUCCGCCUCGCCCGACCCAGGGCUCGGACUCGGCCUCGGCCCUGGAAGACGACGAACUCCGCCUCGCCCGACCCAGGGCUCGGACUCGGCCCCGGAAGACGACGAACCCCGCCUCGCCCGACCCCAGGGCUCGGACUCGGCCUCGGCCCCGGAAGACGACGAACUCUGCCUCGCCUGACCCCAGGGCUUGGACUCGGCCUCGGCCCUGGAAGACGACGAACUCUGCCUUGCCCGACCCUAGGGCUCAGCCCUGGCCUCAGCCGACGGUCUCCGCCUCGCCCGACCCAGGGGCUCGGACUCGACCUCGACCUCGGAAGACAGACUCGACCUCGACCUCGGAGGAGCCUCCGCCUCGCCCGACCCAGGGCUCGGACCGACCACGUCGCAGGAGGGGCCAUCAUUGCCCUACCCCUAGCUAGCUCUGGCUACGGGGAACAAGACCGGUGUCCCAUCUGGCUCGCCCCGGCAAAGCAAAUAAUGAUGGCGCCCCGCGUGCUCCAUGACGACGGCGGCUCUCAGCCCCCUUACGGAAGCAAGGAGACGUCAGUAAGGACUCGACAGCCCCGACAGUUGUCCUUCCACUAGGCUCCAGCGCUCCUCCGACGGCCACAACAUCUCAUGAACAGGGUGCCAAAACCUCUCCGGCUGCCACGACGGCAUGUACUUAGGGCACUAGCUCCUCUCUGCUAGACACGUUAGCACACCGCUACAUCUCCCAUUGUACACCUGGACCCUCUCCUUACGCCUAUAAAAGGAAGGUCCAGGGCCCUCUUACAGAGGGUUGGCCGCGCGGGGAGGACGGGACGGCGCGUGCAGGCCUCUCGCUCCCUCCCACGCGGAUGCUUGUAACCCCCUACUGCAAGCGCACCCGACCUGGGCGCGGGACAAACACGAAGGCUGCGGGUUUCCCCUUUUACGUCUGUCUCCCUCCGGUUUUCCCCCCUUCGCGCUCCGUCUCGCGCCGACCCAUCUGGGCUGGGGCACGCGGCGACAAUUUACUCGUCGGUCCAGGGACCCCCCGGGGUCGAAACGCCGACAAUAAUGAUCAAGAAAAGGAAGAUGAUCAAGAAGAACAGGGUCAAAGACCGCCUCACCCAAGAGUCCACCAAGCGAUACAAAGAGAUCACCCCGUGAACUCCAUCCUCGACGAUAUUCAUAAGGGGGUAACCACUCGAUCACGCGUCGCUCAUUUUUGUGAACAUUACUCUUUUGUUUCCUCUAUUGAGCCAUACAGGGUGGAGGAUGCAUUAAGAGAUUCAGAUUAUGUGUUGGCAAUACAAGAGGAGCUCAACAACUUCACGAGGAAUGAGGUAUGACAUCUUGUUCCAUGUCCUAACCAAAAUGUUGUAGGAACCAAGUGGGUAUUCCGCAACAAGCAAGAUGAGCAUGGUGUGGUGACAAGGAACAAAGCCCGACUUGUGGCCAAGGGAUAUUCACAAGUUAAAGGUUUGGAUUUCGGUGAAACCUAUGCACCCGUAGCUAGGCUUGAGUCAAUUCGCAUAUUACUUGCCUAUGCUACUUACCAUGGCUUUAAGCUUUAUCAAAUGGACGUGAAGAGUGCCUUUCUCAAUGGACCAAUCAAGGAAGAGGUCUAUGUUGAGCAAUCUCCCGGCUUUGAAGAUAGUGAGUACCCUAAUCAUGUUUACAAACUCUCUAAGGCGCUUUAUGGGCUCAAGCAAGCCCCAAGAGCAUGGUAUGAAUGCCUAAGAGAUUUCCUUAUCACUAAUGGCUUCAAAGUUGGCAAAGCCGAUCCUACAAUCUUUACUAAAACUAUUGCAAAUGAUUUGUUUGUAUGCCAAAUUUACGUUGAUGAUAUCAUAUUUGGAUCUACUAACAAAUCUACUUGUGAAGAGUUUAGUAGGAUAAUGAUUCAAAAAUUUGAGAUGUCUAUGAUGGGGGAGUUGAAGUAUUUCCUAGGAUUUCAAGUGAAGUAACUCCAAGAGGGCACCUUCAUCAGCCAAACCAAGUACAUUCAAGAUAUACUUACCAAGUUUGGAAUGAAGGAUGCCAAGCCCAUCAAGACACCCAUGGGAACCAAUGGGCAUCUCGACCUUGACAUGAGAGGUAAAUCCAUAGAUCAAAAGGUAUACCAGUCGAUGAUAGGAUCUCUACUUUAUUUAUGUGCAUCUCGACCGGAUAUUAUGCUUUCCAUAUGCAUGUGUGCAAGAUUCCAAGUCGAUCCUAAGGAACUUCACCUUAGGGUCGUGAAAAGAAUCAUGAGAUAUUUAGUUGGUCUUUGGUACCCCAAGGGAUCCACUUUUGAUUUAAUUGGUUAUUCAGAUGCUGAUUGGGUAGGGUGUAAAAUUGAUAGGAAGCUCACAUCAGGGACUUGUCAGUUUCUAGGGAGAUCACUGGUGUCUUAGGCUUCAAAAAAACAAAAUUCAGUAGCUCUUUCUACCGCCGAAGUCGAGUAUAUUGCCGCAGGCCAUUGUUGCGCGCAAUUACUUUGGAUGAGGCAAACCCUUAGGGACUAUGGCUAUACAUUGAGCAAAGUCUCUCUCCUAUGUGAUAAUGAGAGUGCAAUCCGCAUGGCGGAUAAUCUCGUUGAACACAGCCGCACUAAACAUAUAGCCAUUCGGUAUCACUUUUUGAGGGAUCACCAACAAAGGAGGGAUAUCGAGAUUGCUUAUAUUAGCACCAAAGAACAAUUAGUCGAUAUCUUUACCAAACCAUUAGAUGAGAAAACCUUUACCAAACUUAGGAAUGAGCUAAACAUUCUUGAUUCUCGGAACUGUGAUUGAUACUUUGCACACAUAGCUCAUUUAUAUACCUUUGAUCAUAUUUCUUUUAUGUCUACGACUAAUAUGUUUUCAAGUGUAUUCCUAUGCUAAGUCGUAGAUUGAAAGGGGAAAUGGAGUCUUCGGCGAAGACAAGGCUUCCACUCCACUCUAUCAUUAUUAUUUACCCUUCGCCGUCACUCCGCACCGCACUCCACUUUGGUAUAAUCUUCACUCUUAUUACUAGUACCAAUGGGGAGAAAGUAAAAAGGGCUCUCAAAUGUCUCCGUUUUUGGCGAUUAAUGCCAAAGGGGGAGAAAGUAUUAGCCCAAAGCAAAAGGACCGCACCACCACCAAUUUUAAAGUUUUUAAAAUAAGUUUUCAAUUGGUUAGUAUUUUUCAAAUUGGUAUCUAAAAAUAAUUAAUCUUAUUUCAAUUGGUAAAACCCUCUUCAACACUAAGAGGAGAAUUUCAUUCAGGGGGAGUUUUGCUUUAGUCAAAGGAAAAGCAUUUGAAAUAGGGGGAGGAAAUUGCGAAUCUUGAAAAUGCUUCUCGGAAUAUUAUUCAUAUACCUUUGACUAUUUGCAAAAAAAUUAUGAAAAGAUUUUUCAAAAGAAUUUGCAAAAAUAAAACAAGUGGUGCAAAUGUGGUCCAAAAUGUUAAAAUUAUCAUAUCAAACCUAUCUGCUUAGAAAUGCUUUCAUUUCAAAAUAACUUAUGCACAUCUGUCAAAAUGCAAACUAGUUACAUUUCUACACUUUGUAUUUGCUUUGAUUUGUGUUGGCAUCAAUCACCAAAAAGGGGGAGAUUGAAAGGGAAAUAGUCUCAACAUUUCCUAUAAUCGAUUUUGGUGUUUGACGACCAUCACAAACCUUGUGAACUAACCAGUUUGUCUAGUUGAUCAUUCCAUAGGUGCAUAAGUUCAUCUACAACUAUUCUAAAUCGACUGUCUAGAAUACCGUAGAUUAUUCCGGACAGGAGAAGCUUUUUGGAAAAUCACCUAAGCACGGACCAUCCGGGCCCUUGCGGCGGACCGUCCGCGACACUAGGGUGAGCCUCGGACAGAACCAAUGCAAAAACACAAGUCUACACUACGGACCGUCCGAUGGAAAAGCAAGCACCGUCCGAGACCAAGCACUGACUAUCCUGCCUCAGGCGCGGACCGUCCGAUCAGUGAAGAACCGAAAAACCCGAAGGUGACGAGUUCGGUAAAAUGAAUUAUAGCGUCCUCGUGGACCGUCCGGGGUGCACGACCGGACCGUCCGCGACUGUCUUUAUCUGACAUUUGACGACACAUUAAAUGCUAUAUAGUCGUUGAUAUAGCCGUUAGUGUUGACCGUUGCAAUUUCAGUCGUUGAUGUGCAGGGGUAGACCGUCCGGACGAAGGGCGCGGACCGUCCACGGUCGGCAGAAAGGGAGCAACGGCUAGGAAGUGGUUGGGGCUAUAAAUUCAACCCCAACCACCUCCAUUCACUUCACCCAAGCACUCCAAUCUCUCACAUUCAAUACAAGAGCUAGCAAUCCAUUCCAAGACAUAAUCAAAGCUUCAAAUCUCUCCAAGUUCCACAAUUGAGACAAGUGAUCAUUAGUGAUUAGUGACUUGAGAGAGAGAGAGUGAUCCAUGUGUUAUUUGUCGCUCUUGUCGAUUGGCUUUUGCAAUCGUGCUUUCUUCUUCCCAUUCUUGUUCUUCAAGCACUUGUAAUCAAAGCAAGAGACACCAAGUUGUGGUGGUCCUUGUAAGGGGUCUAAGUGACCCGUUGGAUUAAGGAGAAAGCUCACUUGGUCUAAGUGACCGUUUGAGAGAGGGAAAGGGUUGAAAGAGACCUGGUCUUUGUGACCACCUCAACGGGGACUAGGUUUGCAAGAACCGAACCUCGGUAAAAACAAAUCACCGUGUCACUCGCUUUAUUUCUUGGUUGAUUUGUUUUCACCCUCUCUUUUGGACUCGGUUUUAUUUCUAACGCUAACCUCGGCUUAUAGUUGUGCUUUAAGUUUGUAAAUUUUAGUUUCCGCCUAUCCACCCCCCUCUAGGCGACUUUCAGUCCGGUAGUGUACUGAACUGGUCUGGUACCACCUAACACCUGACAUCUAGUUCAGAACGGUAACUGAAAACGACAAUCUGAUAGAGGUCCAGUGUGUGCUAGACCUACUAUAAUGAGAGGUCCGAUGCACCCGAAUUUAGUGUACAUUUUAAGAAAGUGUUCCAACGACUAUUUGGGUGGGUGGGGGCUAUAAAUACACCCAAACAGACCAUUCAAUAUACAAGAGUUGAGCAAUAACUCCUACAAGCUAGAGCAACAUCCACAACAUCUCUAAAGUGAUCCAAGUGCCACAAAUUGCAAUGUGCCAUGAAGAGCAAGCAAUUGAGUGAUAAUUGAGAGCACACUUGUGCUUGAGCUGAGAAGAGUGUGUGUUUGUGUCAUUGUGUCUUGGUGCAAGACACCCAUUGAUUAUAAAGCUAGCAAGAGCCUUCAACGUGUGAAGCACCUUGCGAAGACUUCGGUCUCUCGAUUGAGAAAAGAGAAGGAAAUGCAAGUUCGAUCUUGGUGAUCACUUGAGUGAGUAAAGUGUUGAGAGAAACACGUGCCUUAGUGGACUUUUCAACAGAGACAUAGGUUUCUUUGUGAAACCAAACUCUAGUAAACAAAUUGUCGUGUCUUUAUUGUGUUCUUGCGAUUGCACUUUUGUUUACUCCUUUCCUCCUUAAGUUCUCUUGGGACCGAUCAUCUUCAUAUCAUCUUGUUGCUCUAAGUCUAAUUUCCUAUCAUUCAAAAGAGCAAUCACUCAAGAAGAAUAUCUACUUUUCACUUCGAUUGUCUUAAUCAUGUUCGAGCCGCUAAUCAGGAUCAAGUUUUGUCUUUAAGUGAUAAAUUUCAGGUUUCACCUAUUCACCCCCUCUGAUGACUUUCAAGCUAGAUGGGGACGCCAUGCGCGUCGGAUGGUGGCGCACUAGCCAAGAAUGCGAGGUCGACAGAGACGCGAAUGUGAGCUCGAGUGCUGGUCGAUGCAGUCUAAUUUUUUCGCGUGCUUCUUUUUUCUCUCUGUUUUCCCACGGUUCCAUUGCUAUGAUGGAGGUGAUGACAAGUGGGACCAUGUAUUUAAGGGCAUUUGAGAUUUUUUCUAUCAAAGCUCCCUAUUUCUAUUGCUAGAGCAGGACCGCAAGUUAAAUAUAUGAAAAGAAAUUGAAACUUCAUAGUAGAGUUGUUGUACGAUACAGUUGAUGAAGGAGAGCUAAAAACUUUAAAGAAUGAGGAGUUAAAACACACCGAUGGUGUUGUUGGAACACAACAACAUAUUAGGCCCUCUUUAAAUGUUCUAUAGGUAAAAGUUAGCUAAAAACAUCCAAACAAACCAAUUAAUAGUUUAACAAUUAGCUACUUUUAACCGGAGACAUCCAAAAACCCUCGCUAAUAGUCUAGUUAACUAUCUACACCUUCAUAGAAAUCUCUACUACUUAUUAAGGCGGUAAGGGGUAGGCUGCCAUUCUGUGUUCUGCCAUUCCCAUUCCCCCUUCCCGCACUGUGUCUCAUUGUUCUGUCAUUCCCAUUACCCCCUCCCCACACUGUCUUUCUCAUCCCCCCUCCUCGCAAAUCCCAUUCCUAUUCCCACGUGCAUCCCACACCUAGCUAAAAUUAAAUUAAAAAAAACAUAAAUGUGGCCCCAAUAGGAUUUGAACCUGCAACCUCUCAAGCAAAUGUGCUCGUAGCUACCACUACACCACAUGUGUGUUUAUGUCAAUAUCUGUUACAGUAAAAAUAUCUACUACAUCUCUCCCAAAGCCCACCUGCUACCUUUGCACAAUGUGUAGUAGUAGAUAAUUAUCAACGAGAUUCCUGAAUUAUAUUUUUGGAUGGAGGGAGUAGUAUUUAAAGAAGAGCCUUGCAUGCAAUUUCUUUUGUUUGAAUAAUGUUUUCAACUUAAAUUCUUUUUUAUAUGUGUGACAUUUUAUUCUCCGUAAUAUUUUUUCCAUGGAUCUGACUUGUGAGUCAUUUUCAUAAAUCAACGCCAAAGAUGAAUCCAUGUUUCUUACUUGGAAACCCUGAACAAACACCACUGGCAGGAGGGGCUUGCGUUGGCGUCGCUCAUCGACGACGAGAAGAAGCUUGGCGACUGCCAGUUCGACCUUUGAAAGCAGUACUACGUGGCCACAUGCGUCGCUGUGUUCGGCAAGCUCCGGCGCAGUCACCGCUUGGACACGGUCCAGAGUGGCUACACCGUGCUGUCCAUCUUCAAAUAGGGGGACCUCAUGGUCGUCGCCAACGCCGGCGACUAUCGGGUUGUUAUGGGCACCACAUCCGACAACGGCGCCGUCACAUCGUCCAGCUCAUCAUCCACUUGAAGCUCAACCUCCCACGUAAGUCACUACUGAUCGGCCAUGAAUUCUUGUGCGCUGGGACGACGGGCGUUGCUGACGUUGUGUGAGUGUCCUCGAACAAGAUUUAUGUAGAGGAGUAACACAUCCGGUGGUGCAACGGCUAGGUGUACUACCUCGCUGAUGAGCCCGGGGUGCACUUCGUUUGGCAACCCAGCCAAGAGUCAUCGGUACUCGCCAUGUCGUGCACGUUCGACGACUACUAUAUCAAGGACUAUGACGUUAUCUUGGCACCAGAGGUGAUGCAGAGGAGGACCGACAACAAUGAUCACUCGCCAUCGUCGGGGUAGCUUUUGUGCUGGCCUGCCUUUAAUUCUCUUCGCAAACACAUACACUUUUUGUUUAAGCAAGCGUGUAUGGUGGUGCGUAACUGAUGACUGACAAUGUACGAGGGAACUUCUACCGACAGAUGUGACACGUGCUCUUCAAUGAUGAGACCAUGCAAAUCGUGGUAUAUAUCGAAGUCUGCAUGAUACUGAUGGUUGCAAUGUAGUAGUGAAACAACUAAAUUAAAAUAACAAAAUUUAUGUAUGGCUAUGAUUACAAAUGUAUUAUGACAUAUUUUUUUAUAACAAUAUAAGACACAUUUUGUAUAUAAGUUAUUAUGUUAUUACAUGUUCCCGUUGCAACGCACGGGUACUCAACUAGUUAGUUUAAAAACACAGAAAAACCCAUCCAAACCCCCGCUAAUAGUCUAGUUAACAAUUAGCUCUUUUGAAACGCAGUAAUUUUAUAGGAAUGAUAUAUGAAUUUUAUAGAAAUUAGUUUAAAACACAGAAAAACAAGAUUCACAAAAUAUUCUUUGUUUUAAAAGAGCCCUAAGGCUGGCUCCAACAAGGCACCCUAAAGGGUUCUCUACCCUAAAUAUAGAGGACCAAACGGUCCUCUACGCUCUCUAGCAACGUCCUCUAAACGGUCCUUUAAAUUUAGAGGACGCUGCUGGAUUCUCUAUACAUAGAGUUUCUCUAAACGGUCCUCUAUCCAUUUGACUACUUUAAAUAACCGGUUUAGCAAAACUAAAAUAUGUACAAUACAUUUGAGAGUAUGAUAAAUACGUAUGUACAAAAAAUAAAAUUAAAAAAUGUCUUUAAUAUGGGUAUUUGAGUAUAGAGGACGUGAUUUAGAGGACGUUGUUGGAGAGAAAUGAGAUAUAGAGGAUGAAAUCUUUUAGAGUAGACUGUAAAGGACAGAUAUAAAGGAUGAAUAUAGAGGACGUUGUUGGAGACAGCCUAAGGCACUAGUGCACUCAACAGUGCAUUCAAACGGAGCCAUAUUAGAAAAACAAAGGACAUAAAAACCCUCCCUCCCAACCCCCGCGUCAGUCCUUCCGCGCCGCAAUCCUCCGUCCAUGCCAGGUCCAACGCCGUCUUCCACGCCGCCGGCGGCAGCCGCAAACCCCAGCCACAACUCGAGGCGGAAGCGGAAGCCCAGGCCGAAAACAGCGCCCCCCUCUGCCCUAAAUCCUAACUGGGCGCUGCUCCAGUCCAAGCUCCCCCACCGCCCCGCUGCGACCCACCUCGGCAAGCGCAAGCACGACGGUGCCACUCCGGCGCCCGCGGAGCCGUCUCCACCACCCACAGCGCAGGAGGUCAGACUCGAGCCAACCUCCGACGAUACCAGGUGAGCAUGCUCUGGCAUCGAGACGCUUUGAAUGUCGGUUUGAGAUUUGUUUUUUGAUUUCGUGAUUUGGGAAUGGUGUUUGGGGGUCGUCAGCUUGACUAAGGUGGUGGCGAUUGAUUGCGAGAUGGUCGGGGUAGGAUUUGAUGGCGGUAAAAGCGCCCUCGGCAGGGUUACCUUGGUAUGCACCAUCUCUUACUUCAGUUUUCUUGUUUAUUUACUUGCCUAGUAACUAGUCAUGAUUAGUUAGUCACCAAUUUAUGAAUUGGAGUAGAGAGCGCUUGGGAUUUGGAGUGAUGACAGAGCAAUAGGUCUGUGGUUGUUCGUUGUUGAAUUGGAAGGUUGAAGGUUCAGGAUGUGCCAAAAGCUGUUAAUCAUGAAGCAGCAAUGUAAUAGUCUGCGCCGUCCAUGGAAUGACAUUGCUACUAUUCCAACGUGGAGAUGUUCUGAAGUUGAACUGGGCAAUUCCAUAGUUGGAGGUUGGUCAUUUCAGAUGUCUGGUUUAACAAAUACUUCCCUGUCCCAAUUAUAAGCCAUUUCAACUUUUUUAGAGAGUUAAAGCAUCUCAAAUUUGAUAAAAUUUAUAUAAUAAAAUAGUAUCAUUUAUGAUAUCAAAUAAGUAUCAUUAGAUUUCUCAUUAAUUAUAUUUUCAUAGUAUAUCUAUUUGAUGUCAUAAUUUUUGUAGUUUUCUAUAAUUUUGGUCAACCUUAAGAUGAUCUGACUCUCCAAAAAAGUUGAAAUGCUUUAUAAUUUGAAACAAAGGAAGUAGGCAGUUUUGAAAAACUCUCGUGAGUCUGACCUAGAUGGAAUCACAUUUUUGUGGUUUUGCGAAGUUUUUUUUGUCACAAUCUUGCAUUCGGCACUAAUAGUAUUUAGGUGUUCGUUUCAGUAACAUGUUACUCCUUCGGUCCUUCCGUCCAUAAAUAAUUGUCGUUCUUGCUUUUGAAAAGUCAAACAUUUUCAACAAAGAGUCAAAGACAACACAACAACAAAGCCUUUUAGUACUAAGCAAGUUGGGUUAGGCUAGAGUUGAAACCUAACAUAAUCCACAAGUCAAGGUUUACAGUUCUGAUAUAUGGAUAGUUGUCUUCUAUGCGCUCCUAUUCAAGACUAAAUCUUUGUGUAUAUUGUGCCUUUGGAUCCUAUUGCAUAUUGGCGUGUCUAGAGAUCUCUGUUGGACAUGUCAACACCAUCUCAAUCAGUGUUGUAUACGCUUUUCUCAGUUAGUGCUACCUCUAGCCUAUCACGUAUAUCAUCCUUAUAUCAUCGUUCGAGACUCAAUUCCUUUUUGUAUGACCACAAAUCCAACACAACAUACACAUUUUUACAACACUUUUCUGUUUAACAUGCCAUUGUUUUGUAGGCCAAUAUUUUGCACCGUACAACAUAGCCGGUUUAAUCGGUGUCCUAUAAAACUUACCUUUUAGCUUUGUGGUGCCCUCCUGUCACAUAGAAUGACAGAUGCUUGACGAUACUUUAUCCACUCUGCUUUGAUUCUAUAGUUAACAUCUUCAUCAAUAUCACUGUCCCUCUGUAGCAUUGAUUCGAAAUAUUGAAAGGUAUCCUUCCUAGGCACUACGUGAUCUACCAAACUAACAUUUCCUUCAUGUGUUCAUAUAUUUGGUUUUAGUUCUACUGAGUUUAAAAUAUUUUGACUCUGGAGUCUCCCACCACAACUCUAGUUUUUUAUUUACUUCUACUCGACUUUCAUCACUAGCACUAUAUCGUUCGUAAAAAGUAUACACUAAGGGAUAUCCUUUUGUACGUCCCUUGUGACCUCAUCUAUCACCAAGGAAAACCGUAAGCAUAGUUGUUAAGGCAUCCCUAAGGCGUCGCUUAGGCGAUACCUAAGCUCUAAAGCGUGCUCUAGUCGUAAGGCGUCCUAGUCGCCUUAGUUCGGAGCCUAAGACGUCCGCUUUGGACAGUAGGGUGUCGUCUCGGCGCCUUGGAGAGGUAUAUGGCGACGCUAUGAUGACACCUAGGAGAGGCCGACGACGGUGGCCCCUCCCCUCCAUGACCGCGAGCGUUCCACACUGGGCCGGCGAGGUUCCCUAGACCCCCUCCCGUCUGUCGCGCCCCUCCCGCCCGCGAUCGUUGCAGGCUACGCAGGCAGAGAGCAGCAUUGGGGAGGGCAGUGCGGCGACGAUGGCGGAGGGUGGCUGGGAGAGAGAGAGAGAAGCGGCUCAGAGAGACCGAGAGAGAGGGCUGGCGGAGGGGAGAAAGGGAGGUGGCUGGUGCUUGGGACUUGAGAGGGAGGCGGCGGGUGCUAGGAGACAUGGCUGGGGUAGAGAGAGGGUUAGUUGGGCUUAACCUAAUUUGAAUGGGCCAACUGGGCUAAGUUGGGCUGGCUGGACUGUUCUUUUUCUUUUCUUUAUUCUUUUUCUCUAUUAAUUUUUUUGUCCUAAACACUUUCUCAAAUAUUAAUAUUUUUCCAUUUUUAAAUAUAUUUAAGGCGUUGCCUCGCCUUACACUUUACCACUUAAAAGGUGAAAAGGGGGUUAGUCGCCUUACCUCGCCUUACCGCCUUAACAACUAUGAACGUAAGGGCUCAAAGCUAACUUCUAUUUUAAUUGGGAAGUUAUCCUUGUCUCCAUCAUUUGUUCAAACACUACUCAUAAUAUUGUUGUACAUGUCCUAAAUGAUUCUAAUGUACUUCGUUGGAACUUUAUGUUUGUCCAAAACCCAUAACAUUUCUUGAUAUUUUGUGAUAAGUCUUCUCCAAGUCAAUGAAAACCAUGUGUAGAUCCUUUUGCUCCAUAUACUGCUGCAUACUUGUCUUAUUAAGAAAAUAGCUUCCAUGGUUGAUCUUUCAGGCAUGAAACCAAACCGGUUCAUAGAGAUUCUCGUUAUUCCUCUCCGACGAUGCUCGAUAACUCUCCUGUAGCUUUAUAGUAUGGUCAUCAACGUAAUUUCCUGGUAAUUAGUACAACUUUAAAUAUCUCUCUUAUUCUUGUAAAUCAGUACCAACAUACUAAUUCUCAACUUGUCAGUCAUUUUGUUCGUUCGAAAACAUGAAUGAACAACCUGGUUAGCCAUACUAUGGCUAUGUCUCUAAGACAUCUCCAUGCCUCAAUUCAGACAACAUCAAGGCCCAUCACAUUAUCCCUUUCAUCCUUUCCAUUGUCUCUCUAACAUUAGAUUCUCGAAUCUUGUGCACAAAGUGUCUAUUGAUGUCAUCAAAGGAGUCAUCCAAUUGAAAGGUUGUGUCCCAAUUCUUCUCAUUGAACAAUUUUUCAAAAUACUCUUGCAAUUUAUGUCUGAUCUCAUCCUUCUUCACCAAGAGGUGCUUCGUUUCGUCUUUAAUGCACUUAAUUUGGUUGAAGUCGCUUGUCUUCCUCUCACGGACCCUAGCCAUCCUAUAUAUGUGCUUCUCUUCUUUGUACCCAAAGUUGUUAAGGAUCCUUGCACACCUUACCUUGAUCCUUUACCACACUUACAACUCACUUUGCAUACUUCUUUGAUACCUUGUACUUCUCUAUAUUGUCCACACUCUUGUCAUGGUACAAAUGUCUAUAUCAUUCAUUCUUCUUAAUAGCCCUUUAGACUUCCUCACUCUGUCACCAAGUAUCUUUAGCUUCGUCUCCACUCCCUUUGGUUGCUCCACAAACCUUUGAGGACACCUUCCGAAUGUCGGUUGUCAUCUCCCACAUGUUGUUUAUGUUAUUUUCUUCCUUCCAGUGCCCUCUUUGUUGGUUCUUUUUUUGAAGACUGUUGGCAUUUCCCCUUUCAGUUUGCACCACUUUGUUCUCAUAAUCAUGGCUUGUUUAUCCCUACGGGCACGCAUUUGAAAGCGAAAGACCGCCACCACAAACUUAUGUUGAGUGAACACAUUUCCUAGGUAUCACCUUACAAUCUAAGGAUGUUAGUUUAUCCUCUCUCCUUAUGAGGACAAUCAACCUAACUAGUGUUGGCCAUUACUACACGUUACUAAUUGAGAUUUCGUCGAGGAUUUUUUACAGUGAAUUUAUGGGGUAGGUCAUGAGAUCGAAAGUUGAAGGUAAAGACACAAGAGAUAUGAAGAUUUUGACAUGUUUAGUCUUUCGAUGUGAGAUAAUACCCUACAUCCUAUAUGGGGUGGAUUUGUUGGUGUAUGUUGUGACGUGAGAUGCGACCUGCCGCUGAGGGCUCCCCUACCCCUUCUCUUAUAGUCCAAGGAGGGGGUGGUUAUAUGGUGGAUAGCGUGUUGGUUACCUAGUCCAUCACGGUACCAACUCGGUUACCUAGUUCUACAUGAAUCUAACUCUAUGAUUACAAGUGUAUCUUCCUUAUCCGUUAGGAUCUUUGCUUUAUCCGUUAGAAUCUUUGCCUUAUUCGUUAGGAUCUUGAUGAUAUCUUCUAUUCAGAUAAGAUCUUUGCCAUGUUUGUGCUUCUGGAAUCCUCUUGACGAUAGACCUCCUAAUGAUGACCGAGUCUAUGGGCUCUCGAUCGAGCCCAUGAGCCUAUCCGUAUAUGCCUUCUUGUUGAGCUUGAUCAUAUUAACUCUAGUAUAUAUUAUUGAAAGUAUCCCUCACGUUUUAUUUGGCUGAGUCAUUGACUCAGGCAGAUGAGACUCUUCUCUCGUAUCUUCUUGAAUGUCUUGAAUUAUUCGUGUCUGAGUUGUUUUGCCUUCUGUCCAAGUUCCCAACUCUGUCAUGUAGUCCUCAUGUUUCUAGACUCGACUUAAUGUUCAGGACUCAGUCAUUUUACUGGUCUGGCGCUUCCAAUUAUGCAACACUGCGUCACUUCUGCUUCUUUAGCCACUUCGUAAAAGCAAAUACUCCAUAGUGCCUCAGUUUCUACUAGCUAUCGGAGUCUUGCCAGGACCCUGCAGUACCUUGUCUUCACCCGCCCCAACAUCGCCUACGUCGUCCAGUAGGUGUGCCUCCAUAUGCAUGCCCCGUGGGAGCCACGUCUCACCGCUAUGAAGCGAAUCCUUCAUUGUUAUUAAAACGUCGUUUAAACGAGAAAACGUGUUUAAAAGUUGGAACGUCCGAACGUUUUAGGUUUAGGGCGUAGAACGUCCGUUUCGAGCGUUUAAACAACGUUUAAGCGUCCAAAUAGCGUUUUAGGGCGUUUUCGAGUACUGCGCUGUGGCUAACGGUGUCGCCGAGGUGACGGCUUCGUUAGCUGCUCCAGGAGCUGCACAGUCCACUGACGCGGAGCACUUUUGUCUAUUGUGACAACGUCAGCGCCAUGUACCUGUCCACCAACCCCGUCCAGCAUCAGCGCACGAAACAUGUUGAGCUCGAUCUCCACUUUGUUCGCGAGCGGGUCGUCGUCGGAGAUGUGCGGGUUCUUCAUGUUCCGACCACUUCUCAAUUCGUUGACUUCUUCACCAAGGGAUUUCCUACGUCGGUGUUUGAGGAGUUACGGUCUAGUCUCAACAUCUUUUGUGGCUAGAGUUUCGACUGCCGGGGGUGGGGGUAGACCGGUAGAGUAACUGUGUCUUGUAUUGUCAUGGGGUCUUGUGUAAUGGGCUUAGGCCCAACAAUUCUAUUAUAAAUAUAGCACCCAACCCUGUUAGGGUUUCCAGCCCACUAACACUUUGUCCUAUUUAACACCAUAUCAGGUUUUGAUAUGUCACGUCGCUAAAAGGGUUAUGCCCCAACAGAUUUUUUUUCGAGUUUCAUCUCCAUUAGAAUGGCUAGGUUCAACGUUGGCUUGUCAAGUCUAUCACAACCCUCCUUUCCUAGGGGCAACAUAGGCAGAGAAGAAAAUAGUAAUAUUAAUAUAUAUGAAAAUAGUAAUAUUUAUAAUAUCAUUGGAUAGAUCUUACAUUUUCAUAAUAAACUUAUUUGAAGAUACAAAUGUUGCUAAUAUUUUAUAUAAAUCUAGUCAAAUUUAAGAAAGUUUGACCAACACGUUUUCCAUAGCAACAGUUAAUAAGGGAUGGAGGGAGUAUUUAUUCAUAUUUUGGUCAGUCACUACAGUAAAACAAUUUAUUAUCCUAUGGGCUGUUGGGUUUCUAUGGUUUGUUAUACUUACCUGAUGUUAAAUCCAGGUGUUUUGCUAACGAAGUGGGGGUAUACUUGGUUUUAUUUAGAUAAUGCCUAGCAACUACAAUGUGAUCCUCUUACCUUGUGCUGUUGUUUUGUCUGCUAUAAACUAGUAUGUAUGUUUACUUGCGCUUUGAAAAUGCUAUAUGAUAUUAUGAUUACUGUUUCAGUGUAUAAACUUAGUGAUCUGAAACCAUAUAAACAUUAAAAUGGUUAGUGGUUUGUUUAUUCACAUUAUUUUCUAAUCCUUGAAUCUGGAAAUAAAGUGAGUCUGACUUCAUGUUAAGUUGUUAAUGCUCAAUCAUCACCCUGUGUCUGAAGAAACAUUGAGUAGAGUCAAUAACAUUUGUUUAUAGGGUAAGUGCACAGAAAACAUUGUGUAGUCCUUUGUAAUGUCAAGAGUGGGCAAGGGUUUCCUUAUUUUCUGGAGAGAGCUAGUGGGAAGAGCUAAACUUUCCUCCUCGAGCAAGAAAGUUUCUAGACCUGUAGCAUGCUGAACACAGGAGCAAGACAUGUCAUAACUGCUUUUGUUAUGCAGUUUUUUAUAGCAUUUGGCAUACGAUAAACACACUUGAUGAAGUUUGUUUGAAAUGUACAAACAUUUGGAUAAUGUAAAUGGGUUCCCUCAUUUGAAUUAUCAUCCUCUAAUCUCAGUAUGCUUGUUGUCAGGUUAAUUCCUUUGGCAAUAUUGUAUAUGAUGAAUAUGUUCGCGCCGUGGAGCGAAUUGUGGACUACCGGACAUGGAUUAGUGGGAUUAGACCUAAGCACAUGAACAAAGGUAGAUAGAUACAUCACUACAUUAUGGGUCAUUCAUUAUAUGGUAUUUUGUUGCUGUCAAGGGUGGUGACCUUUGUGGGUUAUGCAACUAUCUUAUGUCACUGUAGCCAAAGAAUUCUGGGCUGUGCAGAAGGAAGUAGCUGAGCUGAUUAAAGGAAGAAUUCUUGUUGGUCAUGCACUGCACAAUGACCUCAAGGUUGGUGGCUUUAACUCCUUUCUGUAUACACCCUGUGUGUGUUCUUGUGUAAUUUAAUUAGUAUUUUCCAGGUGCUGCUACUAAGCCACCCAAAGAAGGACAUCAGGGAUACAUCAGAAUAUGAGGUUUUCAGAAGGUUAGAUGGUCUGGGCAUCUGCUGUGACAUGAUUAUUCUUGUGAUUACCCAAAACUGUAUUGACAUGUGAAUUUCAAUUCACUAGGGAGAGAAAGAGGCGAUCAUUGAAGGAUCUUGCUGCUGAAGUCCUUGGUGCUAAAAUACAACAGAAUGAACACUGCCCCGUACGCUCUACAUUAUAUGCAUGAUUUGUGUUGUGUUGUUCUUAAUACUUUCUGUACUCUUACAGAUCGAGGAUGCGAGAGCUGCGAUGCUCAUUUACAACAAGCACAAGAAAGCAUGGGAGAAGAACAUGAAGGAACAGUUCAGAUUCAAAAAGAAGCUCAAGAAGCGAGGCAAGAAGAAAACUACUGAGUCCAAUGGGAAUGAUCCCAAUGUCCCCACUGUUCUUCUAUGAAGAUAAAGAAGUAACAAAGGGAGAACUUGUCCUAGUUUUGGAAACAAUAUCUGUAAUGAAAUUUUUGUAGUUCAACAUUAAUGAAAAUUCAGGUUCUGCAAUGAUUGUCUCAAGUGAAAAAGGUAACAGGUGACAAGACCGGGUUGCUGAGCAUUGGGUUCUGCGGACUGGUCUGCUGUCUCGUAGUCGUGGCGAUGGUUGGCGUGAGAGCUUGCCGUUUCCUAACUGUGAAUUGGUGUUGGUGCAGGGGCAGGGAGUUGGUGUCCAGCAUGUGCAGGAUGAGCACCAUGAGCACGGAGCAGGCGAACAUGGGUAUGGGCCCGAAGACCCACAUGAGCAGCGUGGUGGCCAGGUAGAGCGCCCGGAGGCCCAUGGACCAGAAGUUGCCGCCCCGGAUGACGGCGUGCUGCACGUAGGUCGCCGGCACGUCGGAGUCGAGGGUGGUGACGAGGAAGCUGGCCUGCACGUAGUACCUGGCGGAGUGGAUGAAGCAGGUGAAGGAGGCGAGGAAGCAGACGAGGAGGGAGAUGUACUUGACGGUGGCCGUGGACUGGCUGCGGUCGCCGUAGACGAGCUCCGUCAUGAACAUCUUGGUGGUGCUGCUGACCCAGGCGCCGAUGAGGGAGCCCAGCGCGAUGGACAGCGACGCCAGGUUGGUGGACGCCGAGAUGUUGCUGGAGAUGACGCUCAGCGCCAGCCCCGUCUCGUCGGGGGUCGCCUGCACCAUGCGCCGCACCCAGGCGAGCUUGUUGUGGUUCUCGUAGCCGAUCACGGUCGUGGCGGGAUGCCGGAGAAUGCGGUAGAGGAGUAGGAGGUGGUAGCUCAGCAUCACCACCAGCCCGCAUGGCACCAGCACCAGGUCCAGGGACCCCUUCUCCAGCUGCAUCGUCUCGUCUCGUCUCUCUUCAGGCUUUCUGCUCCCUAGCUACUAGGCUUCAUUUGCUAUUGCUUUAGCAUUUCGAUGCUAUUUCUUGGUUGGAGUUGGAGUUGAUCUGUGCAGACUGAACUGCCCUCAUGGCUUGUGGCUUGCGCUUUCAUUUGGAUUGCUAGUUACAGUGGGGCCAGCUAGCAAUGAUCAUGAUCUUGCUUAUGAGUCUUGCUCAGGAGUUGUACGCGUAGCCGUGCGGUACCGAUCGAUGGUGUGGCUAGCUUGUGUCUUGGGGGCAAAGACUGCGAGCACGCACGGCAAGCAAAACUUGUGAGCUUGCUUCCAAGAAAGGCCUGGAGAUCUUAAAAACCAAUAAGAUUUCAUUUUUUGUCUUGAAGGCUCCUGUAUAUAAUACCAAAGCGUGGAUCUGUUUCAUACGUUGCGGCCGCAAUCUGCAGUUCUGAGUGGCCACCGUUCUAAUGACAUUACAAUACAACAACGUGAAAAAUAAACGAUGUUGUCUCCUAGUGUUUCCGGGUUCAGCAGGCCACCAACCCGGCAACCCGUUACGUCGCCCCUGUGCUGUGUGUCAGUGUGUGUACCACCAUGUGUUUGCUUGCACUCAACAGGCUUCAACCUAUCUUACUAGUACACUGUACAUCAUAUAAUUGACUCCACCAGAAUUACUCGAAUUUAUUAUCUUUCUGACUACAGUUCCACUGUUUACUUGCCCGUGUACCUGCUAAUUACAAUUAUUUUCAUGAUUUCAUAAAAGUUGAAGACACGGAUCGGGUGAUUAAAAAAACGCGAAUCCAGAAUAUAACGAAGAAUUCAUCCUCGCUGGUUCAGAACCCUCAAUCGACAUUUUUUAAUUUAUACUAGGUGAGGGCGCCUAGAGAGAGUGAAUAGGUGAUCCGACAAAAUUAACACUAAAAACACAAACUUGGUCUAAAAAUGAAGUUAGUGCAAACUAAAACCAAGUUUGAGUAAAGAGAAGAUGAAAACAAGUACUCUUCACUUGAUUGCUCUUUCAAGAUAUAGAAUAGAUUAAGAGCAAUAUUACAAGUGAAUUUGAGAGACUUAGGAAGAGGGAGAAAAAUCACAAGCAAAUAAGCACACAAGACACAAUGUUUUUCACAUGGUUCAGUCAGGCCUAAAAUGAUUUCCUACUCCACGUUGUGGUGUCCCAAUAGACAAGUGUUGCACUCAACCACUCUCAAGUGAUCCAAAGAUCGAACUUGAGUGCCAUAGUUGAAAGUUCCCUUUAUCCGAGAACAGGACCUGGAUGUCACAUAAAGGGGGGUGAAUAGGAGAGUAAAAAAUAUUACUUUAAAAAACUGGAAGUUCUUACUCUACUCGAAGACUUGAUCGUAGUGGAAUGAAAGACCCUUCGAACAGAUCGCAGCAGAAUUGAAGUUCCUGUCUCAAAAUACCCUGCACUUCAUAGACAACUUAUGCCACAAAUAAGUAUUGAUUGCAAGUAUAAAAGUAAUAAAGACAGAGAGACAUCACACAACACAAAGCAAAACACACAUACACAUGAUUUAUCUCGAGGUUCGGCCAAGCCUGAAAUACUUGCCUAAUCCUCAUUGGAGUUAGCCACACCUUGGCUUGGAGUCCAUUUCAACUCCUUCCUCCGUUUACUUAGAUCUGUCCACUAUGUUGAUGAUGGAUACAACGACGCUGAGGCUGCUUACAGUAUUCUUGAUAGCACUUUGGCAGAGUAACGACGUUUAAGAUCUUGCUCUUGCUCUCAACAGCACUUCCCCUCUCUCUAGAGGCUUAUAAAUGUGCCUCUACACAAACUAGAGAGAUACACAAGUGAGAGAGAAAGAAUAUGAUCACUUGAUGUGUGAACUUGUUUGCUGCACUUCUCUACUCCAAAUGGGCGCCUAGGGUCCCUUUUAUAGCCCCAAAUGAGCCCCUAGUUGUUGCCCCUUUCCUUAUGAAGAAGAUCUCAAUCAUGGGAAAAACUGCCACUUCUGCGGGGGCACCAAACUGUGAGCAGUCUCCGAUGCUUUCCUUAAACGACUGCACCAACCAUUGAGCUGGUAGAAGCCUUCGAUCGCAUGGCACACUGGACAAGGCACGAGGGACCUAAGUCACGACUCGCCAGAGGCCAACCUCGAGUGGGAGAUGCAGUCACGACUCGCCCGAGGCAAACCCCGAGCGGGACAUCGAGUCACAGCUCACCCGAGGCCAACCUCGAGCGGGAGACGCGGUCACGGCUCGCCCGAGAACUCCCACAAUCAUGAGUCGCCCGAGACCAUCCUCGGGCGGCAGAUACAGUCACAGCUCGCCCAAGACCUCCCACAGUCAUGACUCGCCCGAGGCCAACACUGAGCAGGAGACAUGGUAUUGGCUCGCCUAAGACCAACCUCGGGCAGUAGACACAAUUCCAACUCACCCAAGACCAACCUCGAGCGGGAGACACAAUUCCGACUCACCUAAGGCCAACCGCCCGACGAAGUCACGACUCGCCUGAGGCCCAUCACUCGACGCAGUCACGACUCGCUCGAGCGCAGUCCUAAUUCACCUGAGCACAAUCAUGAUUCGCCCGAGCUCAUCUCUAACUCGCCCAAAGGCGUCUCGGGUGACUGUCCGGUGAGGCCCUGUCGGGUACCGUAAUUGGGGGUACACCCAAUGCUCCUUAAUCCGGCUGAAAAACAUAUUCAGAACAAACCAUACACGACUGAUGAAGCGUGGUUCAAGUCAGAGCCUCGUCUACCAAGGGACGCGACCUCAUCCGAGCCCAGCCUCGGGCGGGAACAGUAGUCCCACACGGAUUCACGCCUCGCCCGAGGGUCCCCUCAGUCAGCAGACGCACCCUCGGCUCGCCCGAGGCCCAGCUCGGGCAGACUUUGUCGUGCAGCGACCUUGGCCAAAUCGCCUUACCAGCCGAUCGUAUCGCAUGCGCAUUUAAUGCGGGGAUCGCCUGACACCUUAUCCUGACACGCAUGCCUCAGUCGGCAAGGUCGAAGUGACCGCAGUCACUUCGCCCAUUUACUGACCGAUCUGAUGGGAAAACAGCGCUGUUUGCCCCGCUCCGGCAACUGUGCCAGCCACCAGGGUAAAACUGAGUCACGAUCUCCCACGAGUUCGGCCUCGGGCGCAACAGGGAGCUCCGCCUCGCUCGACCUCAGGCCUCGGCCUCAGCCUCGGCCUCGGGAGAAGGUCUCCGCCUCGCCCGACCUCAGCCUCGGCCUCAAGAGAAGUCUCCGCCUCGCCCGACCUAGGCCUCGGACCGACUACGCUACAGGGGAUACAUCAUUACCCUACUCCUAGCUAGCUGCCUCAGGCUACAAAGGAACAAGACCGAUGUCCCAUCUAAGGUUACUCCGGUAACAGGUAAUGAUGGUUCCCCGCGUGCGCCCAUGACGUCGGAUUGCUCUCAACCCCCUACGGAAGCAAGGAAACGUCAGCAGGAUCCAUGCCACCCGACAGCUGUGCUUCUAUAGGGCUCAAGGCACUUCUCCGACGGCCACGUUAGCUCGUGUACAGGGCUCAAGGCACUUCUCCGACGGCCACGUUAGCUCGUGUACAGGGCUCAAGGCACUUCCCCGCCAGCCACGUUAGCACAUAGCUACACCCCAUUGUACAACUGGGCAUCUCCUUGUAUCUAUAAAAGGGGAUGUCCAGGGCCUUCCAAAGGCACGUGAAGGGGGGGGGGGGGGAGGAAAAAAGGUUCACGUUGAGACGUUCGCGUGGACACACGUUGGCAUAGAGGAAGGCAGGGCAGACGAGACAGGCAGAGACGGACGCACACAGGAACUCUCUCUCUCUCUCGCUCUCGCCCUCGCUCUUUUGCAACGCUUGUAACCCCUACUACGAGCACCCCGGUGCGAGAUAACAUAAGCCACAUUUCCCCCUUGUGUUCCAUCUUGCAUCAACCCAUCUGGGAAGGGACACGCAACAACAAAUUUACUGGUCGGUUGACGGUCCCCGCGGGUCCGAAACGCCGACAGUUGGCGCGCCAGGUAGGGGCUCGCUGCGUGUUAACGAACACUUUCCCAUUUGAGUUCCAGAUGGGUAGCCUCCAGCAACCUCUUCAGCCGGGGACGGUGCUCCGCUUCGGGAGUCUCGAGUUCAUGUCCCUUGACGACAACUACGACAUGAUACUCCUCCCCCCCAGCGCGACAACAACAACGGUCAUCGGCUCGCCCGGCGGCGGCGAACUCGACGACGACUUCCCACCGUGGCAGAAGAGGACCACCCGGGUUUGCCCCGCCACCCUCCUUGCCGGAGGAGGAGGAGAUGGGGCAACCGUGGCCAUGCAGGAGGCGGCACCUCGUUGGCUGUCGGGCCAGAGCGAGUCGACGACGCUGGCACCCCUGCGGGGGCCAUGUCGGGUGUUGUCCUCGCACCUGAGACAACGACGGGUGUCGCUUCCCCGCAACGCGCCAACCCCGAGCGAACUGAUGACGCUAGCACCCUCGCAAAGGACUUGCUGGGCGCUAGCCUCGUACCUGAGAUAACGUUGCAUUCCGUCCCCGACGCGACUUCACCACCGUCCAUCGACCAAAAGGUACCGUCCGUUUUCCACCCUGUCCCUUUUAGAUUCAGCUUCGAUCCACCAAGCGACCCUGCUUCGGUGAGCGCUUUCGCAAGGGCAUACCCUGACCUUCUAGGGCAUCAUAUGUGGUCAUCUUGGGAUCGACUGACGGCCGUCUCAACCUCCAGACCCGCGGGUUCCGAGGAAGACGACGACUCCAACUUCGGUUGGGAUUUCUCCAGACUCCGUGAUCCUAGUGCCAUGCGAGACUUCAUGUCCGCAUGUGACUACUGCCUCUCUGGCUGCUCUGACGAUGACCACAGCCUCGGCGACGAGGGUUGCGACCCAAGUCGCGAGUGUUUCCACAUCGAUCAGGGGGAUCACGACGAAGACAACCACCUCGGCAUGCCGCAAGAUGACAACGCCCCUGUGCCUGUGUCUCGCGUUGACAUCCCACGGGAGCUAGCUGUGGUCCCAGUCCCUGCAGGGGGUUAGGACACACAGCUCGAGCAAUUCCGCGAGAUGCAGGCCAAGCUCGACAAAGAAGCGGGGCGGCUUGUGCAGCUCCAACAAAAUAUCGAGCAGGAGUGGACAGGCCGAGGACUAGCCGGAGGAGCGCAUCAUUGGGCCCAAGACAUCCAGCACCGUAUCAUUGACGAAGCCAGGGCAAGGCUGCCCCCCCGGCCUUCAGCGAGGUCGACCAGAAUCUAGCUGCAGCGGCGAUGCUACUUCGAGAAAUGCCGGAGCCAUCCACCACCGAGGGGCGUCGUAUCCAGAGCGAACUCAAGGGUCUCCUGGAAGACGCAGCGGUCCGACGAGCUGAGAGCUCUGCCUCCCAAAGGCAAGGGUGCCCCUCGAAGCAUCGCGCAACGUCUUCCCGACACGUGCGGGAGGCCUCGGUCCGCACCGAGCGCACACGGGACGGGACACCCGUAGCCCCGGAUCGACUCGGCGACGAGCAGCACCGCCGCGACCGUCGAGCCCGCCUCAAAGAGAAGGUGCGCCGAGGCUACCACCCCAGGCGUGGAGGACGCUACGACAGUGAGGAGGAUCGGAGCCCCUCGCCCGAACCACCAGGUCUGAGGGUCUUCAGCCGGGCCAUACGACGGGCGCCAUUCCCGGCCCGGUUCCGAGCCCCGACUACCAUCACCAAGUACUCAGGGGAGACAAGGCCGGAGUUGUGGCUUGCGGAUUACCGACUAGCAUGCCAGUUGGGAGGGACGAAUGACGACAACCUCAUCAUCCGCAACCUCCCCCUUUUCCUCUUCGACGCUGCCCGAGCAUGGCUGGAGCAUCUGCCUCCUGCGCAGAUCUCCGACUGGGACGACCUGGUCAAGGCCUUCGCGGGAAACUUCCAAGGUACGUAUGUGCGCCCUCGGAACUCAUGGGACCUCCGAAGCUGCCGCCAGCAGCCAGGGGAAUCCCUGCGAGAAUACAUCCGACGGUUUUCAAAGCAGCGCACCGAGUUGCCCAACAUCACCGACUCGGAUGUCAUCGGGGCGUUCCUCGCCGGCACCACGUGCCAGGACCUGGUGAGCAAACUGGGGCGCAAGACUCCCACCAAGGCGAGCGAAUUGAUGGACAUCGCCACCAAGUUCGCCUCUGGUCAGGAGGCGGUUGAAGUCAUCUUUUGGAAGGACAAGCAGCCUCAGGGAAGACAGAAGGAAGACGCCCCCGAGGCGUCCAUCCAGCGUGGCCCAAAAAAGAAAGCCAAGAAGAAGGCGCAAGCAAAGCGCGACGCCGUUGACGCAGAUCUCGUCGCUGCUGCCGAGCACAUGAAUCCUCGGAAGCCUCCCGGAGGAGGCAACAUGUUUGACAAGAUGCUCAAGGAGUCGUGCCCCUAUCACAUGGGUCCCGUCAAGCACACCCUUGAGGAGUGCGACAUGCUCCGGCGUUACUUCAUCAAGGCGGGGCCCUCGGCAGAAGGUGGCAAGGACCAAGGCAACAACAAGAAGGGGGCGACAAGGAAGAGGAGUUCCUGGAGGUCCGCGACUGCUUCAUGAUCUACGACGGACAGGUGGCGAACGCCUCGACUCGGCACCGCAAGCAAGAGCGCCGGGAGGUCUGCUCGGUGAAGGUAGCGGCACCAGUCUACCUAGACUGGUCCGACAAGCCCAUCACCUUCGACCAAGGCGACCACCCCGACUACGUGCCGAGCCCAGGAAGGUACCCGCUCGUCGUCGACCCCGUCAUCGGCAACGCUAGGCUCACCAAGGUCCUCAUGGACGGAGGCAGCAGCCUCAACAUCAUCUACGCCGAGACCCUAGGGCUCUUGGGGAUAGAUCUAUCCACGAUCCGGGCCGGUGCAGCACCCUUUCACAGGAUCGUCCCCGGUAAGCGCGUCCUGCCCCUUGGUCAACUUGAUUUGCCCGUCUGCUUCUGAACUCCCUCCAACUUCUGUAGGGAAACCCUCACGUUCGAGGUGGUCGGGUUCUGAGGAACCUAUCACGCGGUGUUGGGAAGACCGUGCUACACCAAGUUCAUGGCCGUCCCCAACUACACGUACCUCAAGCUCAAGAUGCUAGGCCCCAACGAAACCAUCACCGUCGGAUCCACGUACCGCCACGCUUACGAGUGUGACGUGGAAUGCGUGGAGUACGCUGAGGCCAUCGCGGAGUCCGAGGCCCUCAUCGCCGACCUGGGUUGCCUCUCCAAGGAGGCGCCUGAUGCAAAACGCCACACCGGCAACUUCGAACCGGCCGAGGCAGUUAAAUUCGUGUCUCUCGACCCCAACAACGACGCUUGCAAGCAAGUCAGGAUCGGCUCCAAGCUCGACUCCAAGCAAGUCAGGAUCCGAGACCAAGAUCCGCUACCCACAAAUCCAGAAGCUACUGUACGCAGUAAUUCUGACGCGGCGAAAGUUGCGACACUACUUCGAGUCUCAUCCGGUGACCGUGGUGUCAUCCUCCCCCCUGGGAGAGAUCAUCUAGUGCCGAGAGGCCUCGGGUAGGAUAGCAAAAUGGGCAGUGGAACUCAUGGGCGAGGCAAUUUCAUUUACCCCUCGGAAGGCCAUAAAAUCCCAAGUCUUGGCGGACUUCUUGGCUGAAUGGGUCGACACCCAAUUGCCGACAGCUCCAAUCCAGGCCGAACUUUGGACCAUGUACUUCGAUGGGUCGCUGAUGAAAACAGGAGCAGGUGCUGGGUUGCUCUUCAUCUCACCCCUCGGGAAACACGUACGCUACGUGCUGCGCCUCCAUUUUCCGGCGUCAAACAACGUGGCCGAGUACGAGGCUUUGGUUAACGGGUUGCACAUCGCCGUUGAGCUAGGGGUUCGGCGCCUCGACGCUCGAGGAGACUCGCAGCUCGUCAUUGACCAAGUCAUGAAGAACUCCCACUGCCGCGAUCAAAAAAUGGAGGCCUAUUGCGACGAAGUUCGGCGCUUGGAAGAUAAGUUCCACAGGCUGGAACUCAACCAUGUUGCUCGACGGUACAACGAGACCGCGGAUGAGCUGGCUAAAAUAGCCUCGGGGCGAACGACGGUUCCCUCGGAUGUCUUCUCCAGGUACAUAUAUCAACCAUCCGUGAAACUCGACGACACGCCCAAACUCGACGAGACCUCGGCCCAGCCCGAGGAACCCUCGGCCGCCGAGGGUGAGGCCUUGCGCAUCGAGGGAGAGCGGAAUGGGGUUGCGCCAAACCAAAACUGGCAGACCCCGUACCUGCAAUAUCUCCUCCGAGGAGAGCUGCCCCUCGACAAGGCCGAAGCUCGGCGACUAGCUCGGCGCGCCAAGUCAUUCAUUUUACUGGGUGAUGAAAAAGAGUUGUACCACCGCAGCCCCUUAGGCAUUCUCCAACGAUGCAUAUCCGUCGCCCAAGGACAAGAGCUGUUAUAAGAAAUACACUCGGGGGCUUGCGGUCACCAUGCAACACCUCGGACCCUCGUCGGAAACGCUUUCCGACAAGGUUUCUACUGGCCGACCGCGAUGGCCGACGCCACUAGGAUUGUACGCUCCUGCCGAGGGUGUCAAUUCUACGCGAGACAGACGCACCUGCCCGCUGAGACCCUACAAACAAUACCCAUCACUUGGCCGUUUGCCGUAUGGGGUCUGGACCUCGUCGGUCCCCUGCAGAAGGCACCCGGGGGCUUCAAGCACCUGCUGGUCGCCAUCGACAAAUUCUCCAAGUGGAUCGAGGUCCGACCCUUAACCAGCAUCGGGUCCGAGCAGGCGGUGGCGUUCUUCACAAACAUCAUCCAUCGCUUUGGGGUCCCGAACUCCGUCAUCACCGACAAUGGCACAUAGUUCACUAGGAAGAAGUUCCUGGACUUCUACGAAGACCACCACAUCCGUGUGGACUGGGCCGCCGUAGCUCACCCAAUGACAAAUGGGCAGGUGGAGCGCGCCAAUGGUAUGAUUUUGCAGGGACUAAAGUCGAGGAUCUACAACGACCUCAAUAAGUUCGGCAAGCGGUGGGUAAAAGAGCUACCCUCGGUGGUUUGGAGCCUAAGGACGACGCCGAGCCGGGCCACGGGUUUCUCGCCGUUCUUUCUAGUCUAUGGGGCCGAGGCCAUCCUACCCACAGACUUAGAAUACGGUUCCCUGAGGACAAAGGCUUACGACGACCAAAGCAACCAGACCAACCGAGAGAUUCGUUGGACCAGCUGGAAGAGGCUCGGGACGUGGCCUUACUACACUCGGCGCGAUAUCAGCAGUCUCUGCGACGCUACCACGCCCGGAGGGUUCGGCCCUGAGGCUUCCAAGUGGGAGACUUGGUACUUCGGCUGCGACAAGACGCCCGAGGGUGCCACAAGCUUACUCCUCCCUGGGAAGGGCCCUUCAUCAUCACCAAGAUUUUGAAGCCCGGGACAUACAAGCUGGCCAACGAUCAAGGCGAGGUCUACAGCAACGCUUGGAACAUCCAACAGCUACGUCGCUUUUACCCUUAAAAUGUUUCAAGUCGUUCAUGUAUCUCGCUUUCUUUACAUGCAUAAAUAAAGUCUAACCAUCAAGGAAGGAUCAGCCUUGCCUCGGCAAAGCCCGACCCUCCCUCGGGGGCUAAAAGGGGGGAACCCCCUCUGCGUCAAAAUUUUCCUCGGAAAUGUAACACCCCAAGUGUUACCAUGGCUAUGGCACAUCUAUGCACUAAUGACUGUGAUCACAUAUGGAAGAAACUUGAGGAGAAGAGCAUAAAAACUUUGGAGACCAUGUUUUACCCAAGAAUGUGAAUGACCAAAAGCAUUGCCCAAGCUUUUGUGCAAUUAUCACCUUGGACAAGAGGGGAGUAAACCCUAGACCCCUCUUGAACCCCUAUCUCCCAAAACCUUGGUUGAAGGGGGGGAUUAAGAAAAUGUGCAAAUCAUGACCUAACCCUUGGCCAAAGUUAAGUAACAUAUUAAUCAACAAAUAUAGAGAGGAAACAUUGCAAAAAGACCCCUUAAGAAACCCCAAAUCCAAUCCUUAAGUAGAGAGAGAGCUAGAGCUAUCUAAUUCUCUCUAAGUCAAAUUCUACACCUAAUCUAAAGAUCCACCGUGUUCACCUUGUAGAUGACACCAAAACCACCUAAGUUGUAUACCAAAAAUGUGGCAUACUACCUAAGGCACCCCCUGGAAAAAGUUGAGACCGAGCCCUUGACAUUUGACAUGUCUUAGCAUCACUUUUGUCGCGAAGUGGGCAGGGAGACAAGCCAAAUUUGGCGUCCGCAUAUCUUCUGACCUAGGGAUUAUCUUCCCUUGGAACUCACAUACAAGAGAUAGCCAUAGGUGCCAGGAAGAGGUCUGCGCCGGAUUUUUGCCAAGAUUCGCACGUAUGCGAUCUCAGCAAGCUUUUGAACAUGGGUAGAAGAACACCUCCACGUGUUCGACGCGCUCUGCGCGCGCCAUAGCACGCCCGCGCCCGAUCCCGCGCGCCCCGCGCCACGCCAAGCCGCGCCCGCGUCUCCUGCUUGCGCCCGCGCCUAUAAAUCACCCUCAGGCAUCGACCGUACUCCUCCGCGCACGCUCGACCUACCGGAGCCCGAAACCACCAGCGUUUGCCCCGCGCACGGCGUGCCCGCGGCCACCCGAGCCCCUGCCACCAUAGACCGGCCAACAGAGCCCUUCCCAGCCACGCCCGACCCUUGGAAGAGACUGUGCACGCCUCGGUGAAGCUCCUCGAGCAAGGAAUCGGACUUUGCUUCGCUGGAGAAGCCAGUCCACGGUCGCCGGACUUCGCCUGACCGCCGGUGAACGUAGACCGGGUAAAUCUCUGCUCCAUUCUUCGAUUCCUUGUGCACAUAGCCUCUACGUCACCCCGCGGAGCUCAUCGUGCCAUUUGAUUGAACUAGAUCGCCGUGGUUUAGCCGAAACACCCGCCGCCGCCGAGAUCACCCGCCUGCGCACGUGGACCGGACGAUUCCGGCCACCUCCGCCGUCGAGCCGUACACCGCUGUGACCGCCAGGACCUCCCGGAGCCAACCCCGCCCCUCGCCGGACCUCUCUCGCCGCCCUUUUCUUUCCCGCGGGUACUGUUUGCAUUAGGGGAAGGACCUUGGGGAAGAAGAAGGAAAGGUCGGGGGAUUUUUGAACUGUCAGUGACUCAGGGGAAUAGUGGCGCAUGGGUAGAUUUGAGUGGGUUGAUUUGGAUUAAACCCAGGGUCCUCGGUGUAAACUGUUUUUCCAGGAAACCUUUUUAUUAAUCUGAUUUAAAUUCAAACAGAACUUGAAAAAUUCAUAUCUUCUGUUUUGUUCACCUAAACCGAGUCAAACCAGUUUUGCCAGAUCUUAAAUAAUGUAAACCACUUAGAAAAAAUAUAAAACCCCUCAGUGUUAUAGAAAACUUUAGAGUUUUGAAUUAAAUGAUUAACUGGCCAAAAGCUAAAAGAAAUAAGGAAAAAUAGUUACACUAUUUGACUGAGGUUAAGAAAAUUUAGAGAAGUACUUGAUCACCUACUAACCUGUUUAAAAAUGAUAGGUAGAGUUUGCCAUUUAUUUCACCUUGUGCUUAAAGUUAAAGAAAAUAGAAAAGGUAAUUUAAAUAGAGAACCAGGGAGCACCUACAUUUUUGUUAGUCUACUUAUUCAGUAUAGUUCACUAGAAAAAUUUAUUAUACUCUGGUUUAGUAUAAAAUAAUUGGGAUACCUUUUAUUUUAAGAAAACAAAGAAAACUUAGAAAAACCCUAGAAAAUAACCCCAAGGUGAAAACACCCCAAACCAUGGGAUAAUUAAUGUUUUGUUAUUAAGAACAUAUGAAAAAUAUGAAAUCUGCUGUUUGACCUUUUUCAAAUAACAAGAUAGUAGAAAGUGCCUUUUUGACAUUAAACUUUAGAAAAUCACAACUAAAUAACCACCAAUUAACCUUCUGUGAUUUUUAGCACAGAAGCUUGUGAUUACUGUUAGAUACCAACAAAAAUGACCCUUAGGACAGAACCCACCCCUAGUUAAGAGUUGUAGUGCAAAGUGACCCCCUUUGCCCAACUUUUGUUAUUUUUGUCCAAGGCAUACUCUUUUUAUUCUGGACCUCAAAUUCAUAGAACAGACUAUAGUGACCAAUAGUAACCCACUGUAAUUUUUACAAUUUUUUUGGAAAAAGUUAAACCACUGUUGUAGUUCAAACCCACACUAGAAUUCAUAAAUAGAAAAUAAAGAAAGGGAAAAUUAAUGGUGGAAAUUAGUGUCACCCUAACCCAACCAGCAAAACCCUUUUAAAUUGCCCACUGAAAUAUAUAAGGGAAAUACAAAUCCACUAUGCUUAUCUUAACAAAACCCAAACCUAGAGUGAUAAGCAUUAACCACUAAAAGCCACGUAUGACCAAGAAACCCUAAGUUACUAACUAACUUAGUUUUUCUUCCUUUAGCAUAAUGUUUGUUAAAUCCUGCAUAAUCAUGACAUACAUAUUCCUAUUCAUUGCAUUCGAUAGACUGCAACCUCGCUGACGGAGAGUACGUCCUCGUGCCGGAGCAAGGAGCUGCUCAGGAGGUAGCCCCGGAUCCAGCACCAGAGCCUGCACCAGAGGAUCUCGCCUGCCCCAGCUUUGGAAGGCAAGCCCCGGUUUUAUGUAUAACCUAUUUAUUAUGCUAUUUUACUACACUUAAUGAUUGUAGGAUUGAAUGUGCACUUAAGUGUAGGAGUUGUUUGAAACCCUAGUUGCAUGAUCUCAGGAAUCCUUUUUGAGAUGGAUACUAGUAUGUUAGGUCGAGUAGCUGCUUUGCUAAUUAGGGAUCUCGGUAGAAGUCGAGUUAUUUUUCUAGCACUCGCGCGAGGUCAGGAAUUGGUUGUAUCCAUUUGUAUAUCAGACUGAUGAUGGUCUAUGGACAACGGUCCAUGGGGAUGCGUUGUCUACGAGACGGAAAUUGGAAUAAGGAUUAAGGUGUGGUACCGUGUGUCAAGCGUUUGAACGUACUAAGCACAUGCCGAGAAAUAUGGUAAAUCGGUAAGCCUACUACCUGAUUGAACCUGGCAGUAGACUUUGCCCCUCACGCGACCUGAGACGUGGUCUCCCAUUCCGGUUAUGGUGGAUACAAGUGCGGUCACUGCACGACGGCAGUCAGGGUCAGUGAUGCAUUGUACGCCAAGGCGGUGAGCCCUGAUCUGCUGACAGGGAAUCGAUGGGGACGGUUGAUGUGUGUGGGGACGGAGUGUCUCGCCACGUCGUGUGUUUAGGUUUACCUUGCAAGGAUAAAAACUCGAUUCGAAUCGUCUGCUUCUCGCAGCUAAUGAGACUGCUUGAUCCAUGCUGCUACAUUGAGUAACAAGUGAAAAUGUGAUGAGGUGACAAAAGAUGUUGAUUGCUAAUUUGCUUGCUACCAUGAAUGAGUAGAUAGUACAUAUUUAGUCUUAAGAGAGUCACACUAAAACUUGACAAAGCUAAAACUUGAUUUAUGAACUCAGCUAGUGCUUUUGGCAACCAAACCCCACAGCCAAACAGCUGCAUGUCUAGAGGUAGAGGAGUAGACUCCUCACACCGGGUAAGUCUAGCUGAGUAUUAGUAUACUCAGCCUUGCUUGUGGCAUAAUUUUUACAGGUUCUUUGGAGGACAUGGUUGCUGGAGUGACUUGGCCAUCCAUCUUGCCACCAGGUUGGACUGUCGAGUGGGACCCCGCCUCGGCUGAGGAGGAGCACGAGGAGUGAUGGGACAGGCUUCCCCAUCUCUCUGUUUAUUUAUCGUUAGUUUUAUUCCGCUGCAUUUCGAACAAUGAUGACUACUUUUGCUAAAACUCCGAUGAUGAUGUAAUAUGUUUAAUACUCUUUAAUGUAUGGUUUUAUGCUUUAUUGUAUUUGCUCUGUGACUAACCAUCGAGUGAGACUGUGGUACUUGAUCCUGUCAGUGGCCUCGUCGGACUAGAUCCGAGGGAUUGACGGGUUAUUCCCAUUUAAGUGUGGUCUAGCCUCUAAGGCGGGACUUAGGCACUUAAGUUGGAAUAAUUCGGGCAGUUCCGCCACAGCUGGUAUUGGAGCUUGUACCACCACAGAGGAAUCAAUAAACUAUAAAUACCAUCCUUUUCCAAAGUAAAACUUGAUAGAAACAAAUGUUGGAUAGAUCGUAGGACGAUCAGGAUAGACCUAGGACGUGAAGCCUUAGGAUGAUAGAGGGGUAGCUAGGUGGCUAAUUGAGUCAACCCUACAGGCUACUAUAAUGGAUGGGAGUUCUUCUCUAUUCCCUCUAAGAUUGAUGUGAAGUCGUUCAGGACGAGCAUGCAUGCAUCAUUAAUUAAACAAAUGGAUAAUUGGGUAAAAACUUUGAUACAAAUGAUGACCAAAUAAGUACCCCAGUACCACUGCCAUGGUUAUAGAGAGGCUGAGUUGUGAUUCCUUUUUCUUUUUAUAAUUCUUUUUCUUUUACUUACGCUUAACCGUACACAAAUGACUUCUCACGGAUCCUCGGACGAAGGGAAUGCACUGUCCCACACUGACGGGCUUGCACGAGAGGGUUUUCCCCAUAUUUUGUGGGAGGUACUUCAGGGAGCUGGUUACACGAUGCCUCCCCAGUAUGCGGUGCAGCAGUUCGAGAAGCACCGAGUGCCCCGCUGUAGGGUGAGGAUGACCCUGGAGCCUCAUCCCCUGCAGCCCGGCUGGCGUUCGCUGGACUCUGAGUCCUUUGGAUACCGGGCUGAGGAUACGAUCGAGGUGAUUGCUCUUCACGGAUUGACCACUUUCUGCGGAUUUCACCCCUUGGAGAUGUCCACUCACCCCAUUGGCUUGUUCCCCGCUAAGAAGGAGGAUGACCCAAUGUGGAAGGACCGAGUGGAGCAUGCCAAGGACAUCUGGGCUAUCUACCCAGGCCAGACUGCUCACUUGACGGUGCGGUGCAUGAAUGCCCUGUAUUGUCUACAAGUGAUGCGUGGUGAGGCAAUGUCCCAUCUGAUGGCGUUGUUGGAGGCAACUAAGAUCACCUUGGAUAACCGAGAGGAGCUUGUGGUUGACUUAUCCACUGAGAUGGUGGAAAAGGACUUACAGGUGGAGCAACUGUCAAAUGAGAUCCAAGAGAUUGAGGAACUAGUGGGAACAAGGGAGAACACCAUCGAGGUUCUCAAGGAUCAGUUAAUUAACACCCAGCAGCAGCUUGCCGAGGCUAACGAGCACCUGGAUAUGCAUCACCAGGAGAUCCAGGACAUGGAGGCCAACGAGGAUGUCGACAUCGAGGGAGGAGAGUAGCCUGCCUCUAGCUUGGACACUACUGGCUCAGGGAGACCCCCUUCCCCCGAGUCGAGUGUUUCCUCGUUUGCUCACUAGGUCGCAGGGGUAGAGUUAGAAGUCGGUGAUGGUAGAACUCCUCGAAGCUAGCUUAGCUUUUGCACCCUUAGGGUACUAGGCUAGAUAGAGUUGAGUCUUUUGGGGUAUUGAUUUAAUCGCGAUGAACUCUUUUGGAAGCAUGGUUGAUGAAUGAUGUCAGUCUUAAUUUAAUAAGAAAAGUUUAUGCCAUGUGAAAUCUUUUAUGAUUAUGUAAGAAUCUAUCGGUUUCACCUUUUGACUCUUUCACCGCGAGUGAACCUUGAACCUCAAAGUUGUGUUAUUGAAUAUAUAUGUGAUUUUUCAGAUGGCCGGGAGAGUGCGUCGUGGUCAAAAUGAGCGCGUUCCUCCACCACCGCCACCGCCUCCUACUCUGCAGGAGCUGAUGGCUCAGCAAAAUGAGAUCUUGAGACAGCUAGCUCAGCGUCAGCCACCACCUCAGCACUAUGGUGGUGGUGAUCAUCAGCGUCACCCCGUGGCAGCCACCUAUCAUGAGUUCCUCAGUACCCAGCCACCAUUGUUCACCAGGGCAGAGGACCCACUUGAUGCGGAUGUAUGGUUGAGAGUAGUGGAAUCCAAAUUCCCGCUACUCCAUGGAGUUUGUUCAGAGGUCACUAAGGUCAGGUUCACCACCCAGCAGCUUCGCGGACCCGCGCGGACAUGGUGGGACCAUUUUCUUGCUAUGCAGCCAGAUGACCGAGAGGUGAAAUGGAGAGAGUUCAAGGCAUCUUUCAGGGGGCACCAUAUACCAGCAGGCAUUAUGGACCGAAAGCUCAACGAGUUUCUGGCACUCACUCAGGGAAACCGAACAUUGUUACAGUAUGCUCAGCCCUUCAAUGACCUGUGCCAGUAUGCCGGGUAUCAUGCAGACACGGACGAGAAGAAGAGGGACAGGUUCAGGAGGGGGCUCAGCACUAAGCUCCGUGACCGUCUCAACACAGUCAGGGCCAACAGCUAUAAUGAGUUAGUCAACAUGGCCAUUUCUCAGGAGGACUGUAUCACAGCUCGUCAGGCAGAGAAGAAGAGAAAGACCCCUGUGGCAGGACCUUCAGCUCAGCCACAACGCUUCAGGAUCGUGUCUGACACUCAGAACAGAGGACCUCAGCAGCAGCAAGGGCGAUGGGUGAUCCGACCACAGCAGCAGCAGCAGCAGGCACCCAACCGCACCCAGUUUCCGGCUCAGAGGAACAAUCAACAGCAGCAGCAAUAUCGUCAGGCAAAUGACAACAGGUGUUUCACUUGUGGCAACACCAGACAUUAUGCCAAGAAUUGCCCCAGAAACCAGCAGAGGCAGGGAUAGAAUGUUAAUCAGAAUCAAGGCAAGAGGCAGAAAGUGCAAGUGAGGCAAGGCAGGCUGAAAUUCACCACCAUGGCUGAUAUUCCAGAGGGAGCACCCGUCUUGACUGGUAUCUUUUCAGUUUUGAAUUAUCCCGCAAUUAUUCUUUUUGAUUCGGGUGUAUCACACAGUUUUAUCAGUACCAAAUUUAGUGCCAAGUGUCAGUUACCUUUCCUCCACACCAAUGGGGGUAUUACAAUUUCUACACCCGGAGGCAGGGUUGCCACCCAUCAGAUCAAUAGACACGUACCAAUUAAGUUGGGUAGUUUCAUAUUUAAAACCACUCUCUUGAUAAUGGGAUUGGAUAGUGUGGAUAUCAUCCUAGGGACUGAUUGGUUAUCGCGACACCACGCGGUGAUUGAUGUCGCAGCCAGAGCCAUAGAAAUCCACUCCCCUCUGGAUGGCGAGAUCACCUUGUACCUACUCGAUCAGGGUUGUACCCGUUCUUGUGCAUUCACCAUGAUGGAGUCCCCAGUUGAGAAAAUCCCUGUGGUCUGUGACUACCCAGAUGUUUUUCCAGAAGAAUUGCCAGGGAUGCCACCUGAUAGAGACAUUGAGUUUGCAAUUGAAUUGCAACCCGGGAUAGCUCCUAUCUCCAAGAGACCCUAUAGGAUGCCUCCCGCGGAAUUGGCAGAACUGAAAAAGCAACUGUAAGAGUUGUUGGACAAGGGGUUCAUUCGCCCAAGUACUUCACCGUGGGGAUGUCCGGCCUUAUUUGUGAAGAAGAAGGAUGAGAGUUUGAGAAUGUGUGUCGAUUACCGCCCUCUCAAUGCAAUGACCAUCAAAAACAAAUACCCACUACCCCGCAUUGAUGUUUUGUUUGAUCAGUUGGUGGGAGCCAAAGUGUUCUCCAAGAUAGACCUUCGCUCGGGUUACCAUCAGAUCAAGAUCCGUGCCAGUGAUAUUCCCAAGAUGACCUUCUCUACCAGAUAUGGGCUCUAUGAGUUUUUGGUGAUGUCUUUUGGGCUGACCAAUGCCCCAGCUUAUUUCAUGUACCUGAUGAACUCAAUAUUCAUGCCAGAGCUGGACAAAUUUGUCGUGGUUUUCAUUGAUGAUAUCCUGGUCUAUUCCAAGAAUGAAGACGAACAUACUGAGCAUCUGCACACCGUGUGUUGGAGACUUGUUCUCAAAUGCUAAGAGUUAAGAACAAGGCAACAUAAAAAGUGUUAAAUGUUAAGGUCCUUCGUCCUUCAAUACAUUAUGUCCCUUCGGAUAUAAUGAAUUCCGGACGAAGGUUAUGAAGGAAGAGACCUUCGUAAGCUCGAUAGAUGAUAAAGAAGAACGCGUAUAUGGAAUACGAAUAAUAAUAAUACAAAUAUUAUCAUCAACUUAUUUAUAUUUGCAUUAUCAUAUCCAUAAUAACAAAUUAUGAAUGUACCUUCGGAUCGACGGAAAGUAAAGGUACAGGCGUGAUACGAAAAGCGAAUGCCAAGUCAGCGUGAACAAUACAGGAGUACUGUUCAUCUAUUUAUAGGCACGGGGCGCAACACGUGUAGAAUUACAUUAAUGCCCUUCACAUUUAUCAAUAAGUCUAUAGUAAUUCUUUGAGGUUUAAUUUGGCUUUUCAUCUUUAAGUCGGUUCCCCUUUUCUGCUGUCAUGCCGAAACUUUUCUGUGCAUAGCUUCGUGAUCAUCUUAUCCUUCGUCGUAAUCGCCUUCCGUCCCACUCAAGCUUCGUCCUGACCAUACUCUUGUAUACCCAUAACCCGAUUCCGAAGAUACAUGUUCACAUAUUUCACUUGGAAAACAUUGUCAAAUCAUGUUUUUGAGGACCUUCGUAAGCUGAAGGCCCCCAACAGUAGCCCUCGCAAUAUUAAUUUGCUGGAAUGAUAAAUUCAUAUUGCGACAUGGACGAAGGCUUUAAGCCGAAGGUCCGAAAAAACACCUUCCCUUUGCUAGAAUAGCAACAGUCUUUGACAAGCGGGACCCUCCAGUUUUCAACGCACUAGGCGUAUAAAUAAGAGCUCACCACGAGUAUAUUUGGCACGCUUUCUUGCCAUCUGCUCUUGCUCACCCGACUUUUAGUCUGUGCGCAACAACACUUGAUUGGCUUUUUAAAUUUUUAAGCUUCGGAUUUGAGAGCACUUUCUCAGUGUUUGCGAAGAUGUCUGAAGAUAAGAAAGCUGUUGCUGAAUCGAAGCUGAGCCUUUCUGAGGAGAUGCAUCUCGGCUUUCUUCAAUCAAUAGCAAAGACCAAUACAGAGAAGAUUACUAGGGAGAUUUUGGAGGGUUUAUCUGAAGACACUGGCAACAGUGACAGUUAUGAUGUGGAUAGUGGUGGUGAAGACUUCGAAGAUCGACCUUGGCAACCAAGCCAUGCGGUUUUUGGUAAAUCAAGUAUUAAACAAAGCCAUCUUGUCAAUAUGAGGGGUAGAUAUUUUCGGGACUUGUCUAUCGUGAGGGCUGACGAAGGAGAGAAAACUUGCCCUACUCCCGAGGAGAAUGAAGUCGUGAUAUUCCGAAGCUUUUUAAAGGCUGGACUGCGGUUUCCCUUGAACAGUUUUGUCGUGGAGGUACUGAAGAUUUUUGAAAUCUGCCUUCAUCAAAUUACUCCCGAAGCUAUCAUAAGGAUGGGCAUCUUCGUCUGGGCUGUGAGGAGCCAAGGUUUAGAACCAAAUGCAAAAAGUUUCUGCAACAUACAUGAGCUAUUGUAUGAGACAAAACCCUGGGGUAAAGAGCAGUAUCACAACAACUUUGGCUGCUACAGCUUCGGUGCCCGAUCUUGGUCAAGCUGUCCCGUGCCAACCUUUCGAAAGAGAUGGCCCGACGACUGGAUAACAGAAUGGUUUUAUGUGAAGAAUGAUUUGAAAACACGGGAAGAUAUUAAAGAUAACAUUAUGCGCCCUUUAUGGCAACGCUUCGGCGCGGUUGGAAAUGAAUGAAGGUGGAAAUGAAUGAAGCAGCUGAAAAAUGCCAAAGAGCCUUCGGCGCGGUUUGCUCUUUUAUUGGGACAAGGGACUUGAUGCAAGAACAUAUUGCCUUCAGAGUAUGGCCGCUUGCAGAUAAAUGGGAAAUACCGAAGGAAACCGUCAGGGAACCUGACGAAGGUGGACUAGUUAGACUAAAAUACACAUUCAAAUACGGAGAUAAGUUCGUCGAGCCGGAUGACGACUGGCUGAAGAGUAUUGAGGCCAUAAGUGAUGAACUGCUUGGGUCGUAUUCGAAGGCCGAAGAUACUGCACUAUCAGCGGCCUUCGGAGGCCGAAAGAAGAAGAGACUUAACCGAGUAUUUGAUGCAAUUGGGUUCGUCUACCCCGACUAUCGUUAUCCAACACGGGGUCAAAAGAGAAAAAAUACUGCUUCAACAAAGGAAGUUGCUUCAGCCGCUCCCAGUGAGCCAGCGUCAGAGAGGAAAAAGAUAAAGGUUAUUACUCACCGGCCACGCUAUAUUGAACCGGCCACAGUGCCUGAAUAUACCGGUGAAACCUCUUCGGCUACCGAAGCUAAAGAACCAACUGCCCUGCCGAAUAUUGAAGGGCCGGCCGAAGUGCCGGCGACGGAAAAAAUAGAAGAACCAAGGGCUGAAGAUCAAAAGACAUUGGAAGUUCUAAGUCCUUGAGCAAAAAUUGAGGUAGCAACAAGCCAGAAGGGUCCAGCAGUGACCCCCAAAAGAAAAAGGAUGGUCAAUGUGCUGGAUGUUUUGGAAACAAUAAAAUCUUCAAGCACUACUCCGAAGAGAAUUGAUGAAACUUCCGAAGUGCAAAUUGAAACCUUUGGUGCCGAAACUUCUAAGGACCAGGUAGAGACUGAAGCUGGGCCUUCAGAGCCCGCCAAGGUGAAAUCCUUGGAAGCCGAAGAAACAGAAACAACAGAACAAAUUUUGGCUGAAGAAACUGGCACUGCUGCCCCCGAAGCAGCUUCCGAAGUACUUGAUUAUAUUGUACGACAUGCUUCGGGAAAAAGAUUAUCUGAAGAAGAGAUUUUUGAAGCUAAUCACUAUGCCCGAGAACUGAAGUAUCUAAAGGGGGCCUUAGUAUUCAAUGGCACAGACGAAGAUGACUUCUUAUACUGCCUCCCAGACAACAAAGAAUUAUCUGUCUGCCGGGAGAUGGCUAGAAGUAUGGGGUUCCCGAAGCUUGAAGCUGGCCUCUGCGCUAUGAUGAAGGACGAUCUUGCAGAUAGCCUCGCAUAUAAUAGUCUGAAGGUAUAAAAAUUGUAUAUUUGGAUGUUUAUAAAUUUUGAAUUAUUCUUUUAUUCUUAUACUAAUUCUUUUCAUAUAGGGUUUAAUACUUAGCAACGCUUUGAGAGCGCAAAAGAAUGCCGAAGAUGAGAGCUAUAAUAUUGCUUUCAACAACCUACGAACAGAGGUUAUUAAGCCGAGGAACGAAGCUUUAGAAAAAGAUAAAAUUCUACUUACAUUGGUGGAUAAAAUAAAGGAAGACGAAGCUACUUCUAAAGCUCAAGCUGAGGCUCAGAAGUGCGAAAUUGAGGAUCUUCGGAAACAGCUAGCCAGAGCUAAAGAAGAACGCAUACUUGAAGAGACGAAACGAGAACUUAGUGAUCAGUGGGCAAAUCAUUUAGAAAGAAACGUUGAAGAGCUUCGUGCAUCCAAGAAAAGGUGCUAUGAAAAGUCUGUGGAAUGUGUUAAGAGAGUAAAAACCAGCUUCGCCAACGUUGGCGCUUUUUCAAAUGAAGAGAACUUUAUAAAGGGUGUCCCCGAAGGCCCAAUCGAAUGGAUCAGCUACGAAGCUGAGGCCUUUGAAGAAAUUUUGAAUAGCCGCGGAGACAUAUGUGCCUUUUUGGGUGCCAGGGGGAUUGCUACCAUUUUGGAGAGGAAAGGCUGUGAGCAUGUGAAAUUUUUGGCACAAUCCGAAGCCGCCUUAACCUCCGAAGAUAUAAAAGACCCCUCGACCGAAGCUAGCCUGGUCGGUGGAAAAUUUUUCACCGACAUCUGGGACAACGGUGGCCGGGAAAUGGCCCAAGAAAUUAUUCGAAAAAGCGAAAAAGGCAUCCAUGACGCUAGAAAAGUAGCAGAGGCCACUGAGAAAAGUGCAGAGCCCGAAGGGCAAAUAGGUACUAACUAGUGGUUUUUGGCUCUGUUGUAAUUUUUGAUUUCAAACUUGCUUACAGUUUGUAAUAGUAAUAUAGCCAUAUCUUCUUCUCCCCCAGAGCCUGAUGAGCCAUCUGCGGGCCCCCACUUGAAGGGGGAUGACGAAAUUAGGAAAAUGGCCGAAGCCAUCAUGGAUAAGGUUGUUGAUCAACUGCUAAAUGAAGUUGCAGAAGUAGUUCUAAGGGAAGAUUAGAUACUACUGUAAAAACAUUUAGAAUGUAAUGUUUGUUGAGAAACAUGUGUAAUAUUUUGCAACUUUGAAUGUAAUAUAUUAGCUGUUUAUGGUUCUAUUCUUUACGAUGCAUGAAAUUUCUUAUACAUACCGUUUUUGAGCCUUCGGCGAAAAAACACCUUCCCUUCUUUUCAUGCUUCGUAAACAAUAUCCGUGCUCUCAUAAUAUCAAUAACCAAUAGAUCUUUUCCAUUUCAGAGUUUGACGAAGGUAUAACUCUUCAAUAGCUAUUUUUUGUGCCUUGUCACUAUUUUUUCGAAACAAUUUUCGAAUAUCAAUACUGAGAUUCCCUUCUUGCAUUGUUGAUGCAACAUGAUGUGUGAUGUUAUGCUAUGCAAAUGAUGUAAUGAUGUGAUGUUAUGCAAAAUGAUAUUUGCCGAAGAUCGAUAUUUUUUCACUACAAGCCUCCCUUGGGAUCUUCUUCGCCUUUUACUUCAGCGGAAUCAACGUUUAUUUUUCGCUGUAAGCCUCAAUUAGGAGCUUCUUCGCCUUUUACUUUCAGCGGAAUCAGCGUUUAUUUUUCGUUGUAAGCCUCCCUUAGGAGCUUCUUCGCCUUUUACUUUCAGCGGAAUCAGCGUUUAUUUUUCGCUGUAAGCUCUGCAUUCCCUUCGGAACGACUUUUGAGCAGAAAACUUACACUGCGCUCCCUUAGGAACGACUUUUGAGCAGAAAACUUACACUGCGCUCAUUUAGGAACGACUUUUUGCUGCUUCGGAGAAAUUACGCUGCAUUCCUUAGAACAAAAAUUUUGAUAAUUCGAAGGUCCUCCUUGCCACAAAAAUUCUUAUGCUUCGACAACUUAAGCCUAUAGAGAAGAUAUAUUUUCAUUAUGGUAAAAAGUGAAACUGUUACAAAAGAUUGAAAACAACAAAAAGCACUUAAACCUCCCAUAAUUGUUCUUUAUUAAAAAGAAAAUAAUACUGAAUGCGAAAAACUGAUGUCGGGGUAGGAUAUUUGUCAGUAAAUGUGCUUCGACUCUGGCACAGUGCUAUUGACUGUGCGAGCUUCGGACUCUUCUCUGAAGUCGCGCUAAAGGUGAGUGUGCUGACUCCCUUCUGGCUGCUGGCCUCGUUGCGUUGGUGGUGGAGGUGGAGGCUGUUGCCAAGAUGCUUGGGGUUGGCUUGCCGAAGCAACAGAGGCUGCAGGGUGGUUGCCCACAUAUUCUGGAAUAUAAGGUGAAUGGUACGAAGCAGUAUGCAUGACUUGCUUCGGCUGACUCUGUUGCGCUGCAACUUCUGCUAUCUCCUUUUGCUUCUAGAUGGUAACAUGGCACAUCCUGGUGGUAUGGCCCUUGUCCUCACCAUAGAAUAGACAGUAGAUUCUCCUUGGCUGAUCCCCAAAUCUUCCUCCGAAGCCCCUGGCGCCUCUGCCCCUUGGAGCUGGCGGCCGGUAAGAGCUUUGCUGCUGCCCCGAAGCUUGUGAGGAGUACUGCGGCCUUUGCUGUUGAUUCCCUCUAUCAUCACUCUGAGCAGAGUUGUGAAUUGACCUGACGUGCCUCGGAUGGAAUCUUCCUCCGAAGCCCCUAGUCAUUUCGGAGAACCUGUUGCUUCCUCCCUUCUUUGGCGGAAGUCAUUGUCAGCUCGAAUAUAUUCAUCCAUCUUCUGGAGCAGCUUCUCUAAAGUUUGAGGAGGCUUCCUGGCAAAGUAUUGAGCUGAAGGUCCCGGCCGAAGCCCCUUAAUCAUGGCCUCAAUGACGAUUUCAUUAGGCACCGUUGGUGCCUGUGCCCUCAGACGCAGGAACCUUCGAACAUACGCCUGAAGGUAUUCUUCAUGGUCUUGGGUGCACUGGAAUAAAGCUUGAGUAGUGACCGGCUUUGUUUGAAACCCUUGGAAGUUGGUUAUCAGCAUGUCCUUCAGCUUUUGCCAUGAAGUGAUCGUUCCUGGCCGAAGAGAGGAGUACCUGGUUUGUGCAACACUCUUGACAGCCAUGACAAAAGACUUUGCCAUGACUGCAGUAUUGCCACCAUACGAAGAUAUGGUUGCUUCAUAACUCAUCAAGAAUUGCUUCGGGUCUGAAUGACCGUCGUACAUGGGGAGCUGGGGUGGCUUGUAAGACUGGGGCCAAGGUGUAGCCUGCAGUUAUGUCGACAGAGGAGAAGUAUCAUCAAAAGCAAAAUUUCCAUGAUGGAAAUCCUCAUACCAGUCGUCCUCGUUGUAGAAGCCCUCCUGAUGAAGCUCUCUGCGCGGAGGCCUUCGGUUCUGGUCAUCUUGAGCAAGAUGACGAACUUCUUCAGAGGCUUCGUCUAUCUGCCUUUGCAGGUCAGCUAGACGAGCCAUUUUUUCCUUCUUCCGUUGGACCUGUUGAUGGAGCAUCUCCAAGUUUUGGAUUUCUUGAUCCAAGUCGUCCUCCGGAGGCAUUGGACUGGUGGCCUUCCUCUUUUGGCUUCGGGCCUCCCUAAGAGAAAGGACAUCCUGAUUGGGGUCCAGCGGCUGCAGAGUGGCAGCCCCUGUUGCUGGAGCUUUCUUCGGCGGCAUGACGAAGGUGAUGCUUGCCGAAGGUGUUCGAAACUCAAAAAAAUGGAAGUGAGUUCACCAGAGGUGGGCGCCAAUGUUGGAGACUUGUUCUCAAAUGCUAAGAGUUAAGAACAAGGCAACAUAAAAAGUGUUAAAUGUUAAGGUCCUUCGUCCUUCAAUACAUUAUGUCCCUUCGGAUAUAAUGAAUUCCGGACGAAGGUUAUGAAGGAAGAGACCUUCGUAAGCUCGAUAGAUGAUAAAGAAGAACGCGUAUAUGGAAUACAAAUAAUAAUAAUAAUAAUACAAAUAUUAUCAUCAACUUAUUUAUAUUUGCAUUAUCAUAUCCAUAAUAACAAAUUAUGAAUGUACCUUCGGAUCGACGAAAAGUAAAGGUACAAGCGUGAUACGAAAAGCGAAUGCCAAGUCAGCGUGAACAGUACGGGAGUACUGUUCAUCUAUUUAUAGGCACGGGGCACAGCCCAUGUAGAAUUACAUUAAUGCCCUUCACAUUUAUCAAUAAGUCUAUAGUAAUUCUUCGAGGUCUAAUUUGGCUUUUCAUCUUUAAGUCGGUUCCCCUUUUCUGCUGUCAUGCUGAAGCUUUUCUGUGCAUAGCUUCGUGAUCAUCUUAUCCUUCGUUGUAAUCGCCUUCCGUCCCACUCAAGCUUCGUCCUGACCAUACUCUUGUAUACCCAUAACCCGAUUUCGAAGAUACCUGUUCACAUAUUUCACUUGGAAAACAUUGUCAAAUCAUGUUUUUGAGGAUCUUCAUAAGCCGAAGGCCCCCAACACCGUGCUUCAGCAACUGCGCGAUCAUCGCUUGUAUGCCGAGUUAUCUAAAUGUGAAUUCUGGCUGAGGGAAAUUAAAUUCUUGGGUCACACAAUUUCAUAGAAUGGGAUAUCAGUUGAUCCUGAGAAGGUACAAGAGGUAAUGGAUUGGAAACCUCAUACCACAGUGAGACAGAUUCAGAGUUUUCUGGGUUUGGCAGGGUAUUAUCGACGAUUCAUUCCGGAUUUCUCUAGAAUCGCCAAGCCAAUGACUGAACUAUUGAAGAAGGGAGUCAAGUAUAAUUAGAGCCAGAAGUGUGAAGAUGCCUUUCAUACACUAAGGCAGCAUUUGACAACAGCCCUAGUGCUAGCUCAACCUGAUAACACCAAGCCCUUUGAAGUCUAUUGUGAUGCUUCCGGUACUAGAUUGGGAUGCGUCUUAAUGCAAGAUAACAGAGUGAUUGCUUAUGCUUCCCGAGCACUUAGACCCCAUGAGCAGAACUACCCUACCCAUGAUUUGGAGUUAGCAGCUGUGGUUCAUGCUCUCAAGAUUUGGAGACAUUAUUUGAUGGGAGCUCACUGUAACAUUUACACUGAUCAUAAGAGUCUCAAAUACAUUUUCACUCACGCAGAUCUAAAUAUGAGGCAAAGGAGAUGGUUAGAGUUAAUCAAGGACUAUGACUUGGAGGUGCAUUACCAUCCUGGCAAAGCCAACGUUGUGGCAGAUGCCUUGAGCAGAAAGGCCCAGUGCAAUUGUAUGAGCAUGGAUGCAAGAGUUACCACCCUGUGUGAUGAGUUGUGCAAGUUGAACCUGGAAGUUGUUUCUUUAGGUGCCUUAAGUUAUAUCUCGGUGGAGCCCACAUUACAAGAGCAAAUAGUGAGGGCACAAAUUGAAGACAAGGGUGUUCAAGUUAUCAAGGAAAUGAUCAAGCAGAAAGCAGAAAAAUACAAAUGCUUCCGUCAGGACUGCAAAGGAAUUCUCUGGUUUGGAGAUCGAUUGGUUGUUCCCAAGGUCCCUGAGCUCAGAAAGAAGAUAUUGGAUGAAGCUCACCUUUCAAAAUUCUCCAUGCACCCCGGCAGCAACAAGAUGUAUCAUGAUCUCAGAUCCUUAUACUGGUGGACCAGAAUGAAGAGGGAAAUUGCCAAGUACAUAUCCGAAUGUGACACCUGCCAGAGAAUCAAGGCCAGUCAUUUGAAGGCAGCAGGCCCUUUGCAACCCCUUCCCAUACCAUCUUGGAAAUGGGAGGACAUUUGCAUGGACUUUAUCGUGGGAUUGCCCAAUACCUCCCGGCACCAUGAUUCCAUUUCGGUCAUUGUGGACAGAUUGACCAAGUCAGCUCAUUUCUUGCCGGUACACACCACUCACAGGACAGAGAAGUAUGCAGAAAUCUACAUCGACCAGAUAGUUCGUUUACAUGGAAUACCAAUGACUAUAGUAUCGGACAGAGGAGCACCUUUCGUGGCCCGAUUUUGGGAGCAAUUGCAGGAAUCACUUGGGACCCAUGUAAUACGAAGCUCAACAUACCAUCCUCAAACAGAUGGCCAGACCGAAAGGGUAAAUCAGAUUUUGGAAGACAUGUUGAGGGCAUGUGUGCUACACUAUGGAAAGGAUUGGGACAAGUGUCUUUCUUUGGCAGAGUUUUCUUAUAAUAACAGCUACCGGUCCAGUAUUAAGAUGGCACCUUUUGAAGCCUUGUAUGGGAGAAGGUGUAGAACCCCGCUAAAUUGGUCGCAAGCUGGAGAGAGAGAAAUAUUUGGACCAGACUUGGUACUUGAAGCAGAGGAAAAGGUCAGAGUCAUUAAGAAGAACUUAGAAGCUGCUUAGGCCAGGCAAAAGAGCUAUCAUGAUAAGAGGCGGAAACCUCUGCAGUUUGAAGUGGGAGAGCAUGUUUAUCUUAAGGUGUCACCCACCAAGGGUGUCCAGAGAUUUGGGAUCAAGGGCAAGUUAGCUCCUCGAUACAUGGGACCCUACGAGAUCAAGUAAACUUGUGGACCAGUAGCAUAUCAAUUGAAGUUGCCACCACACAUGUCAGUUGUUCAUGAUGUGUUCCAUGUAUCUCAGCUGCGAAAAUGUGUCCGCUUACCCACUGAAGUGCUACCUGAACCAGAAAUUGAGAUAGAACCAGACCUGUCCUAUCAAGAGUACCCCGUCAAGGUAUUGGAUCAGAAAGAGAGAUCAACGAGGGCAAGGUCGAUCAGAAUGUAUAAGGUUCAGUGGAGUCACCAUUCAGUAGAAGAAGCUACAUGGGAGACUGAGGAUUUUCUACGCUCUCGCUUCCCCGACUUUCUGCCCAAAAGAGUCGGUACGUAACCCAAAACCCCCCACCUGCCCUUUGAAUACAAAUAUAAGAAAAACUUAGAUGAUAAGGGUAGUCUAAGUUGUGGAUUUGACUUAAAAAGGACUUCCUUCUGAAGUCGCAAAGAGAAUGACAUUCGAAGAGCAGUUAACUAGUGAAACUUGAAUCAAAGAAGGAACAACACACCAACACACCUUCUCGACACCCCUCCAGAGGACUCUACCUAAAGUCUCGGGACGAGAUUCCUUUAAGGGGGGAGGGCUGUAACACCCCAAGUGUUACCAUGGCUAUGGCACAUCUAUGCACUAAUGACUGUGAUCACAUAUGGAAGAAACUUGAGGAGAAGAGCAUAAAAACUUUGGAGACCAUGUUUUACCCAAGAAUGUGAAUGACCAAAAGCAUUACCCAAGCUUUUGUGCAAUUAUCACCUUGGACAAGAGGGGAGUAAACCCUAGACCCCUCUUGAACCGCUAUCUCCCAAAACCUUGGUUGAAGGGGGGGAUUAAGCAAAUGUGCAAAUCAUGACCUAACCCUUGGCCAAAGUUAAGUAACAUAUUAAUCAACAAAUAUAGAGAGGAAACAUUGCAAAAAGACCCCUUAAGAAACCCCAAAUCCAUUCCUUAAGUAGAGAGAGAGCUAGAGCUCUCUAAUUCUCUCUAAGUCAAAUUCUACACCUAAUCUAAAGAUCCACCGUGUUCACCUUGUAGAUGGCACCAAAACCACCUAAGUUGUGUACCAAAAAUGUGGCAUACCACCUAAGGCACCCCCUGGAAAAAGUUGAGACCGAGCCCUUGACAUUUGACAUGUCUUGGCAUCACUUUUGUCGCGAAGUGGGCAGGGAGACAAGCCAGAUUUGGCGUCCAUAUAUCUUCUGACCUAGGGCUUAUCUUCCCUUGGAACUCACAUACAAGAGAUAGCCAUAGGUGCCAGGAAGAGGUCUGCGCCGGAUUUUUGCCAAGAUUCGCACGUAUGCGAUCUCAACAAGCUUUUGAACAUGGGCAGAAGAACACCUCCACGUGUUCGACGCGCUCUGCGCGCGCUAGAGCACGCCCGCGCCCAACCCCGCGCGCCCCGCGUCUCCUGCUCGCGCCCGCGCCUAUAAAUCACUCUCAGGCGUCAACCGUACUCCUCCGCGCAUGCUCGACCUCACCGGAGCCCGAAACCACCGGCGUUUGCCCCGCGCACGGCGUGCCCGCGGCCACCCGAGCCCCUGCCACCGUAGACCGGCCAACAGAGCCCUUCCCAGCCACGCCCGACCCUUGGAAGAGACUGUGCACGCCUCGGUGAAGCUCCCCGAGCAAGGAAUCGGACUUUGCUUCGCCGGAGAAGCCAGUCCACGGUCGCCGGACUUCGCCCGACCGCCGGUGAACGUAGACCGGGUAAAUCUCUGCUCCAUUCUUCGAUUCCUUGUGCACAUAGCCUCUACAUCACCCCGUGGAGCUCAUCAUGCCAUUUGAUUGAACUAGAUCGCCGUGGUUUAGCCGGAACACCCGCCACCGACGAGAUCACCCGCCUGCGCACGUGGACCGGACGAUUCCGGCCACCUCCGCCGUCGAGCCGUACACCGCUGUGACCGCCAGGACCUCCCGGAGCCAACCCCACCCCUCGUCGGACCUCUCUCGCCGCCGGUAAGCCGCGCCGCCCUUUUCUUUCCCGUGGGUACUGUUUGCAUUAGGGGAAGGACCUCGGGGAAGAAGAAGGAAAGGUCGAGGGGAUUUUUGAACUGUCAGUGACUUAGGGGAAUAGUGGCGCAGGGGUAUAUUUGAGUGGGUUGAUUUGGAUUAAACCCAGGGUCCUCGGUGUAAACUGUUUUUCCAGGAAACUUUUUUAUUAAUCUGAUUUAAAUUCAAACAGAACUUGAAAAAUUCAUAUCUUCUGUUUUGUUCACCCAAACCGAGUCAAACCAUAUUUGCCAGAUCUUAAAUAAUGUAAACCACUUAGGAAAAAUAAAAAACCCCUCAGUGUUGCAGAAAACUUUAGAGGUUUGAAUUAAAUGAUUAACUGGCCAAAAGCUAAAAAAAAUAAGGAAAAAUAGUUACACUAUUUGACUGAGGUUAAGAAAAUUUAGAGAAGUACUUGAUCACCUACCAACCUGUUUAAAAAUGAUAAACCCCUCUAUAUACCCCAUUAAGGUAGAGUUUGCCAUUUAUUUCACCUUGUGCUUAAAGUUAAAGAAAAUAGAAAAGGUAAUUUAAAUAGAGAACCAGGGAGCACCUACAUUUUUGUUAGUCUACUUAUUCAGUAUAGUUCACUAAAAAAAUUUAUUAUACUCUGGUUUAGUAUAAAAUAAUUGGGAUACCUUUUAUUUUAAGAAAACAAGGAAAACUUAGAAAAACCCUAGAAAAAUAACCCCAAGGUGAAAACACCCCAAACCUUGGGAUAAUUAAUGUUUUGUUAUUAAGGACAUAGGAAAAAUAUGAAAUCUGCUGUUUGACCUUUUUCAAAUAACAAGAUAGUAGAAAGUGCCUUUUUGACAUUAAACUUUAGAAAAUCACAACUAAAUAACCACCAAUUAACCUUCUGUGAUUUUGGCACAAAAGCAUGUGAUUACUGUUAUAUACCAACAAAAAUGACCCUUAGGACAGAACCCACCCCUAGUUAAGAGUUGUAGUGCCAAGUGACCCCCUUUGCCCAACUUUUGUUAUUUUUGUCCAAGGCAUACUCUUUUUAUUCUGGACCUCAAAUUCAUAGAACAGACUAUAGUGACCAAUAGUAACCCACUGUAAUUUUUACAAAUUUUUUGGAAAAAGUUAAACCACUGUUGUAGUUCAAACCCACACUAGAAUUCAUAAAUAGAAAAUAAAGAAAGGGAAAAUUAAUGGUGGAAAUUAGUGUCACCCUAACCCAACCAGCAAAACCCUUUUAAAUUGCCCACUGAAAUAUAUAAGGGAAAUACAAAUCCACUAUGCUUAUCCUUAACAAAACCCAAACCUAGAGUGAUAAGCAUAAACCACUAAAAGCCACGUAUGACCAAGAAACCCUAAGUUACUAACUAACUUAGUUUUUCUUCCUUUAGCAUAAUGUUUGUUAAAUCCUGCAUAAUCAUGACAUACAUAUUCCUAUUCAUUGCGUUCGAUAGACUGCAACCUCGCUGACGGAGAGUACGUCCUCGUGCCGGAGCAAGGAGCUGCUCAGGAGGUAGCCCCGGAUCCAGCACCAGAGCCUGCACCAGAGGAUCUGCCUGCUCCAGCUUUAGAAGGCAAGCCCCGGUUUUAUGCAUAACCUAUUUAUUAUGCUAUUUUACUACACUUAAUGAUUGUAGGAUUGAAUGUGCACUAAAGUGUAGGAGUUGUUUGAAACCCUAGUUGCAUGAUCUCAGGAAUCCUUUUUGAGAUGGAUACUAGUAUGUUAAGUCGAGUAGCUGCUUUGCUAAUUAGGGAUCUCGGUAGAAGUCGAGUGAUUUUUCUAGCACUCGCGCGAGGUCAAGAAUUGGUUGUAUCCAUUUGUAUAUCAGACUAAUGAUGGUCUGUGGACAACGGUCCAUGGGGAUGCGUUGUCUACGAGACGGAAAUUGGAAUAAGGAUUAAGGUGUGGUACCGUGUGUCAAGCGUUUGAACGUACUAAGCACAUGCCGAGAAAUAUGGUAAAUCGGUAAGCCUAGUACCUGAUUGAACCUGGCAGUAGACUUUGCCCCUCACGCGACCUGAGACGUGGUCUCCCAUUCCGGUUAUGGUGGGUACUGAAAGGGAAAUGUGCCCUUGGGCCAUUUCUAAGUAUUUUAAUGAUUUAGUGUCUAACACAAGUGCUUAAAUGUAAAAUGGUGGACAAAGUACAAACCAAGGAUAAAGGUAUGUUUCUCAGACUUAGUACAUUGUUUUAUGGACUAAUGUAUUGUGUCUAAGUGCUGGAAACACGAAAAAUCCAAUUGGAAAUGUCUUGGCUCGAGUAGCCAAGAAUCUGCUCAGUCUGGGAGCACCGGACUGUCCGGUGGAGCACCGGACAGUGUCUGGUGCGCCAGGCUGGUUCAAGCGAACUAGCCGCUCUCGGGAAUUCACUGGCGACGUACGGCUAUAAUUCACCGGACUGUCCGGUGUGCACCGGACUGUCCGGUGAGCCAACGGUCGGCCAGGCAAACGGUCGGCCGCGCGAUCUGCGUGGGACAUGUGGCCGAGCCAACGGCUAGAAGGGGGCACCGGACUGUCCGGUGUGCACCGGACAUGUCCGGUGCGCCAACGGCUCUCUGGCUGCCAACGGUCGGCUGCGCCAGUUAAGGAAAGAAAUCGGGCACCGAACAGUGUCCGGUGUGCACCGGACUGUCCGUUGCGCCACGCGACAGAAGGCAAGAAUUGCCUUCCCAGAUUGCUCUCAACGGCUCCUAGCUUCCUUGGGGCUAUAAAAGGGACCCCUAGGCGCAUGGAGGAGUACCCCAAGCAUCUUUUGAGCAUUCUUGAUCACUCACACUCCACUCUUGCGCACUUGUUCGACAUUCUAGUGAUUUGAGCCCUGUUCUAGUGUGCUAGUCUUUUUGAGCUCAAGUCUUGGUCUUGUGUGUGCGUAGUUGCUGUGAUCUUUGUGUCUUGUGUGAGUUGCUCAUCCCUCCCUUACUCCGUGAUUCUUUGUGAACAUCAAAAGUGUAAGGGCGAGAGGCUCCAAGUUGUGGAGAUUCCUCGCGAACGGGAUAAGAAAAGAAAAGCAAAACACCGUGGUAUUCAAGUUGAUCAUUGGAUCACUUGAGAGGAGUUGAGUGCAACUCUCGUCCGUUGGGACGCCACAACGUGGAGUAGGCAAGUUUUGUACUUGGCCGAACCAUGGGAUAAAUCACUGUGUCAUCUCUGUGUUGAUCUCUUUGUGGUUAUCGUAUUGUGCAAGUUCUUCUCUCUAGCCACUUGGUGAUUAUUGUGCUAACACUUAACCAAGUUUUGUGGCUUAAGUUUUAAGUUCUACAGGAUCACCUAUUCACCCCCCCUCUAGGUGUUCUCAAUUGGUAUCAAAGCCGUUCUCUUCAAGAAGGGACUAAUCGCCCGAAGAAAUGGAUCCUAAGGGAAAGGAGAUGGUGGUCAACAACAACGAGAAGGAGUCUAUCUUCAACGAGCCGAAGGAUGACAAGCCUACCGACUUGGGCUCAAGCCAUAAGCGCAAAGAUGGGAAGAAGAAGAAGACAUGGCGCAUCAAGGAAAUCGUCUACUACGACAGCGAUGAAUCUUCCUCUUCCCAAAAGGACGACGACGACUACGAGAAAAAGAAAACGGUCAAUUCGAACUUUUCUUUUGAUUACUCUCGUAUUCCUCAAAGUACAAAUGCUCAUUUAUUAUCCAUUCCACUUGGUAAACCUCCUCACUUUGAUGGAGAGGACUACGGAUUUUGGAGUCACAAAAUGCGUAGUCAUUUGUUCUCUCUCCAUUCAAGCAUAUGGGAGAUAGUUGAGAAUGGAAUGCAUUUUGAUAGUAGUGAUAGUCCCAUGUUUAUCAAUGAGCAAAUUCAUAAAAAUGCACAAGCUACUACUGUUCUUCUAGCUUCUUUGUGCAGGGAUGGAUACCACAAAGUGAGCGGCUUGGAUAACGCCAAGCAAAUUUGGGACACCCUCAAGAUCUCUCAUGAGGGGAAUAAUGUCACAAUGCUCACCAAGAUGGAAUUGGUGGAAGGCGAACUCGGGAGAUUCGCUAUGAUAAGGGGAGAAGAGCCAACUCAAACGUACAACCGGCUAAAGACCCUUGUCAACAAGAUAAGAAGCUAUGGAAGCACAUGAUGGACGGACCACGACGUCGUCCGCCUAAUGCUAAGGUCUUUUACUGUCCUUGAUCCUCAUCUUGUAAACAAUAUUCGUGAGAAUCCUAGGUACACCAAGAUGACGCCCGAGGAGAUACUUGGAAAGUUCGUGAGCGGGCGAAUGAUGAUCAAGGAAGCAAGAUACGUGGACGACGCAUUGAAUGGUCCAAUCAAUGAGCCUCAACCUCUUGCUCUCAAGGCAACAAGAAGCAAUGAGACGCUACCUAGCAAGGUGGCACAAAUUGAGGCGGCCGGACUUAAUGAUGAAGAGAUGGCUCUCAUCAUCAAGAGAUUCAAGACGGCGCUAAAAGGUCGCAAAGGGCAGCCAAGCAAGACCAAGACAAAGGGGAAGCGCUCAUGCUUCAAAUGUGGUAAGCUUGGUCAUUUUAUUGCUAACUGUCCCGACAAUGAUAGUGAUCAGGAUCAAGGGAACAAGAGGGAGAAGAAGAAGAACUAUAAGAAGGCAAAGGGCGAGGCGCAUCUAGGCAAGGAGUGGGAUUUGGAUUGCUCCUCUUCCGACUCCGACAAUGAAGGACUCGCCGCCACCGCCUUCAACAAGUCAUCCCUCUUCCCCAACGAGCGUCACACAUGCCUCAUGGAAAGGGAGAAGAAGGUAUGUACUCGAAACUCUACUUAUGCUUCUUCAAGUGAGGACGAAUCUAGUGAUGAGGAUGAAAUAGAUUAUUCAUGUUUAUUUAAGGGCCUAGAUAGAACCAAGGUAGAUAAAAUUAAUGAAUUGAUUGAUGCCUUGAAUGAUAAGAAUAGGCUUUUAGAAAAACAAGAGGACUUGUUGUAUGAAGAACAUGACAAAUUUGUAGAAGCACAAAAAUCUCAUGCCUUAGAAGUUAAGAGAAAUGAAAUGCUUUCUUGUGAAUUAUCUUCUUGCCAUGAGACAAUUUCUAGCUUAAGGAGCAUUAAUGAUGAUUUGAAUGCUAAGUUAGAAAUAGCUAGUAAAUCAACAACUUGUGUAGAAAAUGUUGUUAUUUGCAAUAGAUGUAAAGAUUUUGAUAUUGAUGCUUGUAGUGAACACAUAGCUUCUAUUGCAAAGUUAAAUGAUGAAAUGGCUAGUCUUAAUGCCCAACUUAAGGCUAGCAAAAGUGAGUUUGAUAAACUAAAAUUUGCUAGGGAUGCCUACACGGUUGGUAGACAUCCCUCAAUUAAGGAUGGACUUGGCUUCAAGAGGGAAGCCAAGAACUUAACAAGCCAUAAGGCUCCCAUCUCCGCCAAGGAGAAAGGGAAAGCCCCUAUGGCAAGUAGUACUAAAAGGAACCAUGCUUUUAUGUACAAUGAUAGAAGACAGUCUCAUAGAAGUUGUAAUGCUUUUGAUUCACAUGCCUAUGAUUCUUAUGCUAUGUUUGCUUCCAGUUCUUCCUAUAUGCAUGGUAGAGAUAUGCCUAGGAGAAAUAUUCAUCAUGUAAAGAAUAUUGUUCAUGUUCCUAGGAAAGUUAUGAAUGGACCCUCUACAAUUUAUCAUGCUUUAAAUGCUUCCUUUGCUAUUUGUAGAAAGGAUAGGAAGAUAGUUGCUAGAAAAUUAGGGGCAAAAUGCAAGGGUGAUAAAACUUGCAUUUGGGUCCCUAAGACAAUUGUGAUUAACCUUGUAGGACCCAACAAGAGUUGGGUACCUAAGUCCCAAGCCUAAAUUUGCCUUGCAGGUUUAUGCAUCCGGGGGUUCAAGCUAGAUUAUCGACAGUGGAUGCACAAACCAUAUGACGGGGGAGAAGAAGAUGUUCACUUCCUACGUCAAGAACAAGGAUUCCCAAGAUUCAAUAAUAUUUGGUGAUGGGAACCAAGGCAAGGUAAAAGGAUUAGGUAAAAUUGCAAUCUCAAAUGAGCACUCUAUUUCUAAUGUGUUUUUAGUUGAGUCUCUGGGAUAUAAUUUACUAUCUGUUAGUCAAUUAUGUAAUAUGGGAUACAAUUGUUUAUUCACAAACAUAGAUGUGUCUGUCUUUAGAAGAAGUGAUGGUUCACUAGCUUUUAAGGGUGUACUAGACGACAAACUUUACUUAGUUGAUUUUGCAAAAGAAGAGGCCAGUCUAGACGCAUGCUUAAUUGCUAAGACUAGCAUGGGCUGGCUGUGGCAUCGCCGCUUAGCACAUGUAGGGAUGAAGAACCUUCACAAGCUUCUAAAGGGAGAACACGUGAUAGGAUUAACUAAUGUGCAAUUCGAAAAAGAUAGACCUUGUGCAGCAUGUCAAGCAGGUAAACAAGUGGGAGGAGCACAUCACAGCAAGAAUGUGAUGACCACAUCAAGACCCCUGGAGCUGCUACAUAUGGACCUCUUCGGACCCGUCGCCUAUCUAAGCGUAGGAGGAAGUAAGUAUGGUCUAGUUAUUGUUGAUGACUUUUCCCGCUUCACUUGGGUAUUCUUUUUACAGGAUAAGUCUGAAACCCAAGGGACCCUCAAGCGCUUUCUAAGGAGAGCUCAAAAUGAGUUUGAGCUCAAGGUGAAGAAGAUAAGGAGCGACAACGGGUCCGAGUUCAAGAACCUUCAAGUGGAGGAGUUCGUUGAGGAGGAAGGGAUCAAGCACGAGUUCUCCGCUCCCUACACACCACAACAAAAUGGUGUGGUAGAGAGGAAGAACAGGACGCUCAUCGAUAUGGCAAGGACGAUGCUUGGAGAGUUCAAGACCCCCCCGAGUGCUUUUGGUCGGAAGCCGUGAACACGGCUUGCCACGCCAUCAACAGGAUCUACCUUCAUCGCCUCCUCAAGAAGACGUCGUAUGAGCUGCUAACCGGUAACAAACCCAAUGUAUCGUACUUUCGUGUAUUUGGGAGCAAAUGUUACAUUCUAGUGAAGAAGGGUAGAAAUUCUAAGUUUGCUCCCAAAGCUGUAGAAGGGUUUUUGUUAGGUUAUGAUUCAAAUACAAAGGCAUAUAGGGUCUUCAACAAAUCAUCAGGUUUGGUUGAAGUCUCUAGCGACGUUGUAUUUGAUGAGACUAAUGGCUCUCCAAGAGAGCAAGUUGUUGAUCUUGAUGAUGUAGAUGAAGAAGAUGUUCCGACGGCCGCUAUACGAACCAUGGCGAUUGGUGAUGUACGACCACAGGAACAAAAGGAGCAAGAUCAAUCUUCUUCCUCAACCAUGGUGCAUCCCCCAACUCAAGACGAUGAACAGGUUCAUCAACAGGAGGCGUGUGAUCAAGGGAGAGCACAAGAUGAUCAUGUGAUGGAGGAAGAAGUGCAACCGGCACCUCCAACCCAAGUUCGAGCGAUGAUCCAAAGGGAUCAUCCCGUCGACCAAAUUCUUGGUGAUAUUAGCAAGGGAGUAACUACUCGAUCCCGAUUAGUUAAUUUUUGUGAGCAUUACUCCUUUGUCUCUUCUAUUGAGCCUUUCAGGGUAGAAGAGGCCUUGCUAGAUCCGGACUGGGUGUUGGCCAUGCAAGAGGAGCUCAACAACUUCAAGCGUAAUGAAGUUUGGACACUGGUGCCUCGUCCCAAGCAAAAUGUUGUGGGAACCAAGUGGGUAUUCCGCAACAAACAAGACGAGCACAGAGUGGUGACGAGGAACAAGGCUCGACUUGUGGCAAAAGGUUAUGCCCAAGUCGCAGGUUUGGACUUUGAGGAGACUUUUGCUCCUGUAGCUAGGCUAGAGUCCAUUCGCAUUUUGCUAGCAUAUGCCGCUCAUCAUUCUUUCAGGUUGUUCCAAAUGGAUGUGAAGAGCGCUUUCCUCAACGGGCCAAUCAAGGAGGAGGUGUACGUGGAGCAACCCCCUGGCUUCGAGGAUGAACGGUACCCCAACCACGUGUGUAAGCUCUCUAAGGCGCUCUAUGGACUUAAACAAGCCCCAAGAGCAUGGUAUGAAUGCCUUAGAGAUUUCUUAAUUGCUAAUGCUUUCAAGGUUGGGAAAGCCGAUCCAACUCUUUUCACUAAUACUUGUGACGGUGAUCUUUUUGUGUGCCAAAUUUAUGUCGAUGACAUAAUAUUUGGUUCUACUAAUAAAAAGUCUUGUGAAGAGUUUAGCAGGGUGAUGACGCAGAAAUUCGAGAUGUCGAUGAUGGGCGAGUUGAACUACUUCCUUGGGUUCCAAGUGAAGCAACUCAAAGAUGGCACCUUCAUCUCUCAAACGAAGUACACGCAAGACUUGCUGAAGCGGUUUGGGAUGAAGGACGCCAAGUCCGCAAAGACUCCGAUGGGGACCGACGGACACACCGACCUCAACAAAGGAGGUAAGUCCGUUAAUCAAAAGGCAUACCGGUCAAUGAUAGGGUCAUUACUUUACUUAUGUGCUAGUAGACCGGAUAUUAUGCUUAGCGUAUGCAUGUGUGCUAGAUUUCAAUCCGAUCCUAAGGAGUGUAACUUAGUGGCAGUGAAGCGAAUCCUUAGAUAUUUAGUUGCUACGCCUUGCUUCGGGCUCUGGUAUCCAAAGGGGUCUACCUUUGACUUGAUUGGAUAUUCAGAUUCCGACUAUGCUGGAUGUAAGGUCGAUAGGAAGAGUACAUCGGGGACGUGCCAAUUCUUAGGAAGGUCCCUGGUGUCAUGGAACUCUAAGAAACAAACUUCCGUUGCCCUAUCCACCGCUGAGGCCGAGUAUGUUGCCGCAGGACAGUGUUGCGCGCAAUUACUUUGGAUAAGGCAAACCCUCAGGGACUUUGGCUACAAUCUGAGCAAAGUCCCACUCCUAUGUGAUAAUGAGAGUGCUAUCCGCAUAGCGGAAAAUUCUGUUGAGCACAGCCGCACAAAGCACAUAGACAUCCGGCAUCACUUUUUGAGAGACCACCAGCAAAAGGGAGAUAUCGAAGUGUUUCAUGUUAGCACCGAGAACCAGCUAGCCGAUAUCUUUACCAAGCCUCUAGAUGAGAAGACCUUUUGCAGGCCGCGUAGUGAGCUAAAUGUCUUAGAUUCGCGGAACUUGGAUUGAUUUGUAGCAUACAUGUGUUUAUACCUUUGAUCAUGUUCUUUAUGCAUUCUGUUGCCUAGUUAUGGUGCUCAAGUUGUACAAACACUCCCUGGACCUCACAAGUCCGUUGCAAAGUGAUGUACAUAUUUAGGGGGAGAUGUGUUACAACUUGACCAUUUGAGACUAACCAUGUGCUUGAGUUUGAUGAUUUAGUCUCAAAGAAGGAUUAAAAGGGAAAAGGUGGACUUGGACCAUGAAAGACUUCCACUGCACUCCGAUGAGAGGGUAACUUAUUCCAAGUUCAUCUCAUGUACUCUUAUUGCCUUUAUAUUCUUAUUGAAGAUUUUGGUGAGGCAAUGAGGUUCUAGGGCCAAGGUUAAUCCCGUUUUGGUGCUUGAUGCCAAAGGGGGAGAAAAUAAAGGCCAAAGUGAUAAAUGGAUCAGCUACCACUUGAGAGAUUUUGAAAAUAGUAGAAUAGAGCUUUUGGUUUGUCAAAACUCUUUUAUUGUCUCUCUUGUCAAAAGUUGGCCUCUAGUGGGGAGAAAAGUUGAUUAUGGGAAAAAGGGGAGAUUUUGAAACCUUGAAUCAAUUUCUCUUGGAAUGACUCUCUUUAUGUCUUAACAUGUGUGUUUGACUUAGAGAUAGAAAUUUGAGUUUGAUUUGCAAAAACAAACCAAGUGGUGGCAAAGAGUGAUCCAUAUAUGUCAAAUCUGAAUAAAAAACGAUUGGAGUUCUUAUUUGAAGUAAGUUUGUAUUUGUUCUACUUGCGUUAUAUUGUGUUGGCAUAAAUCACCAAAAAGGGGGAGAUUGAAAGGGAAAUGUGCCCUUGGGCCAUUUCUAAGUAUUUUGAUGAUUUAGUGUCUAACACAAGUGCUUAAAUGUAAAAUGGUGGACAAAGUACAAACCAAGGAUAAAGGUAUGUUUCUCAGACUUAGUACAUUGUUUUAUGGACUAAUGUAUUGUGUCUAAGUGCUGGAAACAGGAAAAAUCCAAUUGGAAAUGUCUUGGCCCGAGUAGCCAAGAAUCUGCUCAGUCUGGGAGCACCGGACUGUCCGGUGGUGCACCGGACAGUGUCCGGUGCGCCAGGCUGGUUCAAGCGAACUAGCCGCUCUCGGGAAUUCACUGGCGACGUACGACUAUAAUUCACCGGACUGUCCGGUGAGCCAACGGUCGGCCAGGCCAACGGUCGGCCGCGCGAUCUGCGCCGGCCGAGCCAACGACUAGAAGGGGGCACCGGACUGUCCGGUGUGCACCGGACAUGUCCGGUGCGCCAACGGCUCUCUGGCUGCCAACGGUCGGCUGCGCCAGUUAAGGAAAGAAAUCGGGCACCGGACAGUGUCCGGUGUGCACCGGACUGUCCGGUGCGCCACGCGACAGAAGGCAAGAAUUGCCUUCCCAGAUUGCUCUCAACGGCUCCUAGCUGCCUUGGGGCUAUAAAAGGGACCCCUAGGCGCAUGGAGGAGUACCCCAAGCAUCCUUUGAGCAUUCUUGAUCACUCACACUCCACUCUUGCGCACUUGUUCGACAUUCUAGUGAUUUGAGCCCUGUUCUAGUGUGCUAGUCUUUUUGAGCUCAAGUCUUGGUCUUGUGUGUGCGUAGUUGCUGUGAUCUUUGUGUCUUGUGUGAGUUGCUCAUCCCUCCCUUACUCCGUGAUUCUUUGUGAACAUCAAAAGUGUAAGGGCGAGAGGCUCCAAGUUGUGGAGAUUCCUCGCGAACAUGAUAAGAAAAGAAAAGCAAAACACCGUGGUAUUCAAGUUGAUCAUUGGAUCACUUGAGAGGAGUUGAGUGCAACUCUUGUUCGUUGGGACGCCACAACGUGGAGUAGGCAAGUUUUGUACUUGGUCGAACCACGGGAUAAAUCACUGUGUCAUCUCUGUGUUGAUCUCUUUGUGGUUAUCGUAUUGUGCAAGUUCUUCUCUCUAGCCACUUGGUGAUUAUUGUGCUAACACUUAACCAAGUUUUGUGGCUUAAGUUUUAAGUUCUACAGGAUCACCUAUUCACCCCCCUCUAGGUGCUCUCAGGUACAAGUGCGGUCACUGCACGACGGCAGUCGGGGUCAGUGAGGCAUUGUACGCCAAGGCGGUGAGCCCUGAUCUGCUGACAGGGAAUCGAUGGGGACAAUUGAUGUGUGUGGGGAUGGAGUGCCUCGCCACGUCGUGUGUUUAGGUUUACCUUGCAAGGAUAAAAACUCGAUUCGAAUCGUUUGCUUCUCGCAGCUAAUGAGACUGCUUGAUCCAUGCUACUACAUUGAGUAACAAGUGAAAAUGUGAUGAGGUGACAAAAGAUGUUGAUUGCUAAUUUGCUUGCUACCAUGAAUGAGUAGAUAGUACAUAUUUAGUCUUAAGAGAGUCACACUAAAACUUGACAAAGCUAAAACUUGAUUUAUGAACUCAGCUAGUGCUUUUGGCAACCAAACCCCACAGCCAAACAACUGCAUGUCUAGAGGUAGAGGAGUAGAUUCCUCACACCAGGUAAGUCUAGCUGAGUAUUAGUAUACUUAGCCUUGCUUGUGGCAUAAUUUUUACAGGUUCUUUGGAGGACAUGGUUGCUGGAGUGACUUGGCCGUCCAUCUUGCCACCGGGUUGGACUGUCGAGUGGGACCCCGCCUCGGCUGAGGAGGAGCAUGAGGAGUGAUGGGACAGGCUUCCCCAUCUCUCUGUUUAUUUAUCGUUAGUUUUAUUCCGCUGCAUUUCGAACAAUGAUGACUACUUUUGCUAAAACUCUGAUGAUGAUGUAAUAUGUUUAAUACUCUUUAAUGUAUGGUUUUAUGCUUUAUUGUAUUUGCUCUGUGACUCACCAUCGAGUGAGACUGUGGUACUUGAUCCUGUCAGUGGCCUCGUCGGACUAGAUCCAUGGGAUUGACGGGUUAUUCCCAUUUAAGUGUGGUCUAGCCUCUAAGGCGGGACUUAGGCACUUAAGUUGGAAUAAUUCGGGCAGUUCCGCCAGAGGAAAAGUCUUUUGCCAGAACGUCUUUCGUGCUUUUUGACUGCGUCGAUAACAGAAUCCUAAAGACGAGCGAGAGAGACCUUGAACGGCAAGGCCGACCGAGCCGAUGGACUCCUAUGCCUCCGGGAUACGGAUACCUCACUCAUCACCUUUCGCGAAAAGUAGCUCAUGCUCGGAUAAGCGAUUCUGCUAUCGAACAAGUCCUAACGCUCGAAAACUUUUCUACCAGAACGACUUUCGUGCCGUUUCGACUGCGUCGAUAAUAGAAUCCUAAAAACGACGAGGGACCACAUAAGCGGCAAGGCCGACCGAGCCGAGGGACUCCUACGACUCCGGGAUACGGAUACCUCACUCAUCACCUUCCGCGAAAAGUGACUCACGCUCGGACAAGGGAUUCUGCUACCGAACAUGUCUUAACGCACGAAACGAGAGGAAAGAAAACACAGCUUUAUAAUCCGACGCUAAAAUGUUUAGGCCUCAGCAGCCGCAAAAAACAUACGCAUACUUCAAAGCAAACUGUUCUUGCAGGCUCAGAUAGUAGCAGGGGGAGGAGCGGCACCCUCGGCGUCGUUUCCACCCUCGGCAGAAUCUGGCACGGCCUCAGACGGCGACACGGGCGGAAGGACCUCCACCUCAAAGGAGGAAGCCAGCGCCGCACUUGGGCCCUCGACAGCCGCGUCAAGCCUCUGGACCUCGGCUAAGGCAGCCUCUUCUUCGUCGGGUAAGCAGUACCCCUCGCUAACCCGCUCCAGAUCCACGUCGUAGUGAGAAGCGAGUACGGCGAAGGCCCGCCUAACGCCGUGGUGCAGCGCCCCGCAGAGUCUGUUGCGCACAUGGCCGCCCAAGGCCCACAGAUGACUCUGGGGAGCUACUCGAGGGGACGCCGUCGAGGCCAAAGGCCUGGCAGAAAGCCGAGAUCGCCUCGGACAUGGCCACACGCUCGGCCUCCUUCUGCUCAACCGCCUCGGCAAGCGCCGUGCAGUUCUUGACGGACUCGUCAAGAUCCGUCUCGAACCCUGCAGAUAGCAGGACGACAAUCUUCAGACGCAAGGUGAAGAAUGGAGACAAAACAAAGUCACAGAGCGGGCAAAACAUACCCUCGGCCCGGGCACGCUGCUGUGAGGCCAUGGCUCGGGCAGACCGGGCAGACCCGACGACCACGGCCAGACCCUCCGCAAGGGUCCCGGCCCGAGCGGUCGCCUCGGGUCUAGAAAGGGGGAAGUCCCCUCUGCAUCAAAACUUUCCUCAGAAAAGUUUUCCGCCAAAACGACUUUCGUGCCUUUCGACUGCGUCGAUAGUGGAGUCCUGAUGACGAGCAAAAGAGACCUUGAAUGGCAAGGCCGACCGAGCCGAGGGACUCCUAGGCCUCCAGGAUACGGAUACCUCACUCGUCACCUUCCAUGAAAGGUAGCUCACGCUCGGAUAAGUGAUUCUGUUACCGACGAACAAGUCCUAAUGCUCGAAACAAGAGGAAAGAAACACGGUUUUAUACCCAAAUGUUUAGGCCUCAGUAGCCACAAAGAACAAACACACGUACUUGGGAUAGCAGUGGUACCUAGACCUAGACGUCGGCAACGCCCUCGGCGGUUGUCCCGACCUACGGCAGAUGUCUUAGUACUUAAAGCUAUUACAUCUUGCUCUUAAGAGGGUACCAUUACAAACGGGACUCCGGGUCCAAUCCCGCAGGAAUGAACAACCUCCACACCGGAAGGCCUGCGGGAUAACAAACUCCAGGUGGCUCACCGGCAACCACUGCACCAACAACGCGACAACGACCUCCGCGUCGGGCGGCUAGACAGCAGCAGCGAUGGCCUCAGGGCAAACGCCACUGCUGAAAGGCCCUCGUUCACGUCCCCUCACGGGGGACGAGAACCAGCCAUUAAAGCCAAAGAGCCGGAGGCCCGGAGCGCAGGUGGCGCUGACGGUCUCGUCGGCGGAAGCAACCACCGCUGCGGUGGGAAGCCUCACCAGCGGCGGCCACCACUUCAGCACCGGCGACAGGAGCCACCUGCGCACGACACGACCGUCGCCCGGAUGGAGGAUGGACAGCUGCACCCUGGCCAGGCAGCAGCAGUUCGCCUUCCCCCGCAUGGUUGGAGGACGCCUCCUUCGCAGGGCUGGAGGAUGCCCUUCUCCCCCGAAUGUUGGAGGAAGAAGCGGGCCACUGGCCCACGCGAGAGCAGGCCCCGACUCGAGACACCCUCCUCCCCAGCAUGGAUGAUCAACAUCCUUGAAGUUGAGGGCGGGGCAGAGGCCGCAGCUCGGCUUGCUUCUCCCCACCACAAGGCUGGUGAUCAUCCCUACAAAUGACCAUUGGUGAGGGACUGCAGACGGACUGCAUGAUGAAAAUCCUUGAAGCCGAGCGGUGACUGAAGAGCGCCAACCCCCACGGGGUCGCGCUCCUCAAACAGCAGCAAAAAGAAGGCAACACAGGUGCACCCCAUCUGGGGGCUCGGAAGGUGGAAGGGCACGAUGAAUGCGAGAAGUGUGAAGGCAUGGCUACUGCCCGGGGGAUCGACCCCUUUUUAAAGGCAGACCUCCUCACUCGCACCCCCAAGCAUCAUGGGCAAAGUCUCCACCAACGCGCUCCAGGGUUCUCACCCUCCGACGCGGAGGCUGGGUCCCACACGUCAUGCGAGCUGACCCGAAACGGAAGAAGCCAAAUUGCCGCACACGAAGCAUUUAACCGCCCCGAGGUUAUAAGCAUUCCCCCAUCCUCGUCAAAACCAGCGGUCGAAAGGGCGGAUCGCCACGCAGGAAGCAUGCAACCGCACCACGGUUGUGCACCCUUUCGGCUUCGUCGCAUCCGGCGGUCCAGCAUGGAGGCCCGGGCCCACAUGUCAUGUAACCGGCGCAACGGUUACUACGUGCAAGGAAACCGCACCGCCACUCGCGCCAAUGUCGCGUCUACUCGACUGCAGAACCAGUGCCGCGACUCGAGGCAGCCCUGCGCGUGGCCCAACAGUGUCAAUUGAGUGCAACGAUCAUGGGUCAGUCAGCCGCGGGGAUAGGCACGACAGUUGAUAUGACAAGAGGCGGGCGGCAGUAAUUGUAGCAGCAGACGGGCGGAAGCAGCGGUCCAAUCACCUACAGGCUCGCACCCUCUCUUGAAACGGCAGGGGAGCCCUCUCCCACAGAGUAAAGACGACGCACCCGUGUUCCGUUCCUCGAACGGCUCGCGCACGCGCAACAGACGCCCCACGAAUCGCCCGUCCCGUCGCAUUAACUCCUUGGCAGGACAAGCGACACCUCCGGCAGAAGAAGCGGGCGCCGUUUCGCCUCUGUCAUGAUGACCGCGUCAAAAAAGGUGCGCCACCUUAUUUAAAUUCAUGUCCUUUUUCUUUCCCUCUCUCUCUCUUGCCACAGGGACCGAGAAAGGGGAUAUUUCGAAAAAGGAUCCUUCCCAGCAAAGGAAACGGGCCCCGAGCCCUUAGGCUCUGAGCCCUCGGGCUCCGAGCCCUUUACUGAUCAGAGGCUCGAAGGCUGGCCCCUCGGAAGGGUUCGACAGCCGCCUCAGAGCACGUAGAGUCAGGGAUGACCCUGGGUAUGUCCGCUACAUGGUCGAGGCUCGGGCUACGCUCCCGAGGUACCCUAGGACAUUUCUGAGACCAGCGGGAAUGAUUUUGUAACGGAAUCCCACCGGAGGGAGGCAUCGAGCCCUCGGACCCUAUCGAAUGGAUUCGGGUCCGGCAAAUCACCUGCAUGUACUUUUGGAGCGCGCCUCUGGGCCACUAGCCGACCCUUAUCGAACGGGGCUCGGGCGUCCACUCGGAUCACCCAUUAGCAACUCACUGGAAACACCAUGUUCGGUGCCCCCCGAGGGUAAUAUGGCGCUUCCCCCCUUCCUCCUUGCGGAAAGGCGACGAAGGGGUGUACAAUAAAAGUCGAGACGGUCCUUGAUCGUCCUCUCGCUUCGUGCAGAGGCUCGCGGGCUGCUCUCGCACCAGGCUACGGCCGAACCGUUGACCACGUCAACAAACCAGCGUGAAAACUCGGAGCCUGACCAUGCACCCGGGCUACGGCCAGGCCGCAUGAGGAAACAACAAGGCCGACCGAGGCACCGCAAAAAGAAUUAAGACCUUACAGGAGUCAAACCACUCCUCCGAGGCCUCGGGGGCUACACCCGGCAGGUGCGCUCGCGCGCACCCACCGGAACAAAAUAUAACCGAGAAGGGCCGGUCCCCCUGCAAAAAUCCGGCAGAACCUCCAAGCGAGUGCCCGCACUCCCUUUGAGGCUCGGGGCUACUGUCCGGUACCGUAAUUGGGGGUACCCCCAAUGCUCCUUAAUCCGGCUGGAAAACAUCUUCAGAACAAACCAUACACGGCUGAUGAAGCGCGGUUCAAGUCAGGGCCUCGUCUACCAAGGGACGCGACCUCAUCCGAGCCCAGCCUCGGGCGGGAACAAUAGUCCCGGACGGAUUCACGCCUCGCCCGAGGGUCCCCUCAGUCAGCAGACGCACCCUCAGCUCGCCCGAGGCCCAGCUCGGGCAGACUUUGUCGUGCAGCGACCUUGGCCAAAUCACCUUACCAGCUGACCAUAUCGCAAGCGCAUUUAAUGUGGGGAUCGCCUGACACCUUAUCAUGACACGCGUGCCUCAGUCGGCAAGGUCGAAGUGACCGCAGUCACUUCGCCCCUUUACUGACCGAUCUGACGGGAAAACAGCGCUGUUCGCCCCGUUCCGGCAACUGUGCCAGCCACUAGGGUAAAACUGAGUCACGAUCUCCCACGAGUUCAGCCUCGGACGCAACAGGGAGCUCCGCCUCGCCCGACCUCAGGCCUUGGCCUCAGCCUCGGCCUCGGGAGAAGGUCUCCGCCUCGCCCGACCCCAGGCCUCGGCCUCAGCCUCGGCCUCGGGAUAAGGUCUCCGCCUUGCCCGACCUCAGGCCUUGGCCUCAGCCUCGGCCUCGGGAGAAGGUCUCCACCUCGCCCGACCUCAGGCUCGGCCUCAGGAGAAGUCUCCGCCUCGCCCGACAUGGGCCUCGGACCGACUACGCUACAGGGGAUACAUCAUUACCCUACUCCUAGCUAGCUGCCUCAGGCUACGAAGGAACAAGACCGGUGUCCCAUCUAAGGUUACUCCGGUAACAGGUAAUGAUGGUUCCCCGCGUGCGCCCAUGACGUCGGAUUACUCUCAACCCCCUACGGAAGCAAGGAAACGUCAGCAGGAUCCGUGCCGCCCGACAACUGUGCUUCUACAGGGCUCAAGGCACUUCUCCGACGGCCACGUUAGCUCGUGUACAGGGCUCAAGGCACUUCUCUGAUGGCCACAUUAGCUCGUGUACAGGGCUCAAGGCACUUCCCCGCCAGCCACAUUAGCACAUAGCUACAUCCCAUUGUAUAGCUGGGCAUCUCCUUGUAUCUAUAAAAGGGGAUGUCCAGGGCCUUCCGAAGGCACGUGAAGGGGGGAGGAAAAAAGGUUCACGUUGAGACAUUCGCGUGGACACACGUUGGCAUAGAGGGAGGCAGGGCAGACGAGACAGGCAGAGACGGACGCACGCAGGAACUCUCUCUCUCUCUCUCGCUCUCGCCCUCGCUCUCUCGCGACGCUUGUAACCCCUACUACGAGCACCCCGGUGCGAGAUAACAUAAGCCACAUUUCCCCCUUGUGUUCCAUCUUGCAUCAACCCAUCUGGGCAGGGACACGCAACAACAAAUUUACUGGUCGGUUGACGGUCCCCGCGGGUUCGAAACGCCGACAGGCCCAAACAGCAGCCCGAACUUGUUUUUUCUCCAUUUCUUCUCCACUUGACUUCAACUCUUAGGAGGAUCUUCCUAUGACUUAGACAAACACAUUUAGAGUAUAAUUCAAUUGACUAAGUACUAGAAGAUUACCUCUUUUCAUAUUUUCUCCCAUCUUUUAUGUUUCACCUCAAAUAGAGCUCCAAAUGACACUUUGUCUACAAACAUGGUUAGAGAGCAAAACCAAAGUGCCAUAUGUGUAGUAGAAGGUGUAUGCAAUAUAUUUGAACACUCAUACCUACAUACUUAACCUUCUUCACUAUUUUGCUCCUUUUGGCUUGUUUGAAGUCGAUGUUGGACUCCAAAACUCCAAGUCUUCAUGGCUUGAACUAGAUUGCCAUCUAUGAGCUCCAACACCCUGCAUAGGUCACAUAACAUAUCCAAACACAGGAACAACACAAACUCAGGGUCAAAGUAAACUUAGCUCUUUUGGGUUGCUUCCAGGUUCUAGCUUUGACACUACUCCUCCUUCUAGUGACCUUGCUCUAUGCCUUGAGCUUGAUCUUGAGCCUUAUGACUUACACCACAUAACCAUAGAUGUUACCUCAUUGGUUGUAAGUCAUGUUCUUAUGUCGUGAUCCUCGAUGCACCAUAUCUCUUCUCAACUCAAUCAACCUUGACUUUGCAAGUCUUCUUCUUCACCCCUGGCUUUGGGUUCCUCGACCUCCAUGACCUUCUCCCGUGCACUCGGUACCUCGAAGCUCUUCUUGCCUCUAUCCUUGGCUUGAUCAAUUUUGUCCGAGUUACCCACACCGAGUCUCACUUAAGCAAUGUUCUUCUUCACUUGUGAUGUUCACAACCAUAAUCAACUCAACCUUUGGACCAUCCAUCAUUCUUGAACACUUGUGUUGAACUUUUCAAGCUUUACACUAAACACCUGCCCAACACUUAACACACAUGUUAGUCCUUUAAUUGGGUUGUCAUCCAAACCACCAAAACCCAUAGGAGAGCUUUCAAUAGUUCUUCCUUAUAUCAAGAUUAUCCCUGUUCACAAGGGAUCUCUACAAGUUGGAGUCUCUUGCAGCCUUACACAAGAUAAAGUCACAAAUAAGAGUAAGGGAGGGAGGGAGAGAGUACAAUCUCAAGAGAUCAAAACCAGCAACUCAACACAAAAGAGAGAAACACAAGCGCACAAUACACAAAGUACGAAGAACAACACUAGGAUGACACUCAAAUCUUGCUAGAGUCACAUGAUUGAGUUGGAGCAGAGUGUUACCGUGUUGAGAGUCUUCUGGUAUGCUUGUGUGCUGAAUGGAGGUGCAUAGGGGAUGUUUAUAUAGGCAAAAGAGGCCUAGGAGUAGUUGCCUCCUUCCUUAUAAAAGUAGGAAAUCUAGGCUGUGUGUGGAGCAACGGACCGGUCCGGUGCACCACCGCACCGAGUCCAUGCGCCCCAGUUUGGGAUCUGAUUUUGCACUUUCCUUAGCUAUGUGGCACUAGAACGGUUCGAUGCGCCUCUAGACCGUGGGCCACACCAACUAUCAUUGGUGUGCUGGAGCCCACCGGCACCCGACCGUUGGAGACAGUUCGGUGGCACACCGGACCAUGAACAUUGGCAGUCCAGUGAUUUUUAUAAAUAAAAAUCCGAGACCACCGAGUUCAGCAAUACAGGCGGUCCGGUGCACACGAACCCGGUCUAGUGCGCUAGGCCGCCCAAGGCUAAGUACUAGCCCCCCACAGACCCGAUUUGACGCACCACCGGAUCGGUCCAGUGAGACCCAGACCAACGCAACCUAAGUCCUCCAAUCUUUCUCGUCUAUUCUUGGGAGCUUCCCUAUGAUUUACACAAACAUAAUUAACACAUAAUCCAAUUGACUAAGUGUGGGAAACUUACCUCUUUCUCAUAGUUUCUCCAGGAUUUCCAAUAUAACAAAAAAUAGGUCCAAAAUGCACUUUUUCUACACAAAGAGUUAGAGCCCAAAAGCAAGUGCUAGAAACAUUGUAAUGGACCUAUGCAACAUGUCUAAGGGUGCAAAUCUCAUAGAUUUACCAUUUCAUUCUAAGUUGCAUUUCUGGCCUCUUGUUUAGCUCUACCUAAGUCCAAAUUGCAGUUUUCUCAUAGAAUAGAGUUAAAGCUCAAAGUAAGUGCUAGAACCGUAGUAUUAGGCAUAUACAACUUAUUCAAACACUCAAAUCUCAUGUUCUUACUGUUUUACCACAAGUUGCACUUUCUAGCUUCCAAUUAAGCUCAUUUGGACUUAGUGCCAUCUAUUUGCCUUUAAUUGAACAUGUGCUCAUACUCACAUCAAGAUAUUUAGUCCAAGGUGGUGUGUUGGAUACUUAAUCACCAAAACAGGUAGAAAUGGCUAUCUAGCACAUUUCCCUUUCACUAGCACAUAACUACAAUCAACAAUCCCUAUAAACUCGAGCAUAUGAACAAAUAUAUCAACUUUAAACUAGACAUAGAAUACUAUAUAAUUGAACAAGUAUAAAUCAUGUUUCUCGUAUACUACUCUUAUGAUUCCCUUUGCAUAGAUGCAUUGAUCCAUAUUGAUAGAGUAAAUACUUCAUAUAGUUGGUCUGACAGGUAGUGGCCUUGCACACAAAUUUCUUAUGUUUCAGAUAGGUCUUGUCUUCAUAUUCCACAGAAUUGAGAAGAUGCUACUGGACGCUAAGAUCACAGUUGGCAGCCAAAAUUUCAUCGUCGACUAGCUCGAGGACAUGCGCCUACAAGAUUCUAAGCCACCCAUGUAGGAGGACGAGCCACCCCUCAUAUGUAUGUUCCUCGUUGGGCUUAAGGAUGUUAUGGAGGAAGGUAUACUCACAUUGGAUAACCACUUGAACCUCUAUGCUUAGGACACCUUAUUCAAGUCCAGUUUGGAGUACCACCUUUCAAAGGAUCAAGAUGCCCAAGCAGGGGAGAGGAGGUAAAUUAGGUUUCUCUAAAACUUCUUGCUUAAACUAAAACCUAAUUAUGAGCCCAAUCUCUUUUGAGUGCCUAAUAUAUAUGACAAAGAGUUUUGCACCCUUGUUUUCAACCCUAUGCUACUAUGAAAAUUCUAAGAAAGUAAAGACUUGAAGUAAAUUUCUUAAAUAUAAAUGAGUUUAGUCAAACAAGGGUUAGAAAGACUGCUCGAUAUUUUGUCAAUGUCUCAAAGAGUCGGCACUCUCCAUUAAUCCUUUUUGUAGCAUCCAUGCAAGGGUGUCUGUAGCAUCCCAAAAAUUCAAAUCUUGAAAUUUUCUCAAACUUGCUCUAAAUUCAAAAUGAAUUUCAAAUCUCAUUUCAAAAUGUUUGUUUGCGAGUUGAUAUCAGCAAAUAAAAUAUAGUGGUCUAUAUUCUCUCUAAAAUCCUCCUCAAAUAUCCUACAAAUAUUUCCCCAGUGAUCCCCUUCAAAUUCUUUCCAGAAAUACUGCCCAGAUAUUCCUAUAAUACCCUAAAAAAACCAAACCAUGUUUAAAAUCCUAAUAUGGUGUGUCCUACUGAUGAUCGGAGACCGUAGAUGCAUAGAUAUCGUCGAGACGAUUUCGAUCGACUACUAGUUUGCCUUGUUUGGAGUCUGAAUGAGUUUUUUCAAGUGCCGGUCGAUCUGAGCCAUUGGAUAUUAGGAUUGGGGGAGUUUUCUUCUAUUUAUACCUCCCUAACCCUAGCAGCCACGUCCUCCUACCCUAGCAGCCAUCCCCUUUUGUGCCUUGCCCCAAGAGAAGAGAGGAAGAACAAGGGAGAGAAGAGAGGGAAGAUUAGGGCACGCAGUCGCCUGUCGUCGUCAUCGUUCCUCUUCAAGAAUUGGUUGGAUUUUCUUUCCUCUCUCCAUUGUCCCCACUUGAUGGAUGUUUUACCUUGUUUUGGAUGAGUUUUAGGCCCUGCAAUUAGCCCUUUAUGUUGGAUUAGAUGGGGGAUUAGAUUUUUGAUCUCGAAAUUAGUCUCUGCAGAAUGACAGAUUCAACAGUUUCUGUUAAUCCCAGUUAUCCGUGGUCUUAGAAGCCUCAAAAAAAUAAAAAGUCUAUAUAUAAGUCGUAGAUAAUUUGUAGAUCUUUCCGUGGCCGCGAAGAACACCUCAAUCGGACAUCUGAUCAGAGAGUUAUUGCAGUUUGAUUAUAGCCGUUUUUCAGUCUCUUAAUUCUGUGCAGAAUCUGUUCUCUUAAGAUUUAGGCAAUUUUAUCAACAGAAUUAAAUCUUGGGUUUUUAAGAAAAGAUGUAGAUAAUUUCAUAAGCUUUCCAUAUUGUUAAAGAGUGCAUUCAUAUGAAUUAUGAAACUCCAGUUAUGUUUGUUUUACUGUGGCUGUUUCUGUUAGCCUGACAGAAAUGAGCGGGUCUGUUCACUGGUAGGUUUCAUCAAGUAAAUAGCCGAACUGGCUCUCCCAGCUAUGGAGACUUUUGUAGAGGGAUAAAAGUUCUUACUUUCAGCAGAAUUUCAUGAUUUUUGGUUGAGUAGUUUGUGAGAUAUCGAAUUUUGAAAGUUAACUAUGCUGCUGUCUAAAACAGAUUCAGUCAGUUAUCUUGUUAGAAGUUUUAGAACUUAUAGAUGGCAGAAUUUAAUUAUCCAUCGAAUAUCGAAGUUGUAGAAUAUUUUGUGUAGAUACUCAUGGAGUAUUUGUUUGAUAUCACCACUGUUAUAAUUUUAAAGAUACAAAAUUAACAAACAACAUUGCUGUUGUAUGACAUGUGGUUCAGAGUGGGAGGUUUUCCACCAGGUCUUGGUUUCAGGUGUAGGAUCGAUUUGUUGAUUGUUGGCAAAUGUUUGUGAAAUAUUUGUACUAAGUUUUAUGCCCGCUAGCAGGUGGCUACACUCAGAUCAUGCCUAGUACAUUUUUCUUCUUCGAUGAAGGCAAGUGAAUGUAGCGGUGGUUGCUUCCGUUCUAACCUGUUAUUUCUAUUGCCUACACUCUAAUAUUCAGAAGUAUUGGAUUCUUUCAUACUUGGACUCUAUGGUGAUGCUUUACUUGCUUGCAUUAUACUGAUGCUCAAUCAUAUAUUGAUGAUGAUUAUGAUUCGAGUAUGACUCAUGAGAUUAAUUCACACCCCUGAAGGUAAAUGAAGUAUUAUUUGAGGUUGGUAUUGUAUCUGAAGGUAAAUGAAGUAUUAUUUGAGGUUGUAUUGUAUGUGAAGGAAGUGAAGUAUAUUGAUAAAUGCAACAUGCCAUAUACAUUGCAUGAUUCACUUGCAUCUGAAGUUGGUCGUGACCUAUGGUCCGACCGUACCGGUACAACUUAGCAUCGUACAUUGCCCGAGGAGGGGUACGAUGCGGCUUCAUACCCUUAGAGGUAUGAAGGCAGAGGACAUAUGCAUUGCAUUCAUAUGCAUUCAUUGAAGUGAUAUUUGCAUAUGAUGUGGUUUUAUACCCUCAGAGGUAUGAAGACAGAGUACCUACACUUUGUGUUCCUAUGCAUACAUUGAAGUGAUAUUUGUAGGUAUUGUUGACGCAGGGAAGUGUUAUACAAACUAUUGUGGUUGUUUAAGGAAAUGAGAUGGUAUUGGUUAUAUUGAGACUACUGAGUUCUAUAUCUACAAGAAUUUCUGAUUUUAAUUACGAUUCUUUUAAAAUGUUGAUUAAUUCAAUUUGUGGUUUAAAUAUCUUGUCAAAACAAUUCGCUUGCUGAGAUGUUUCAUCUCACUCUUGCAUUACUCAAUGCAGGUGCUUGUUGCUCAUCAAGGGAAGUGGGAAGUAGCAGCACAUCCACCUUCACUCUCAUAAUAACGCUGCUUAGACGCAGUCAUGAUUUAAUUAGAAACUUCUUGUCAAAGGAUGUUGUUUCUAACUAGUUGUGCGCACUGGGUGAUUUAGUUCAUGCCGUUAUGGUUGUCUUUCCAUUGCUAGCAGAUUAUUAAUGUCUAUUAUGUUCUCUUAUCAUGAUAUCUAUUUAUAUUUUGUUGCUUCCCCGUUUAUGUAAUUUUCAAAGGGGAUGCUGUCGAAAUUUUAUAUAUGAAUGUUAGAUGUGUAGUUCAGUAGCAUUCUGGGUGUUUGAGGAUCCCGGGGUGUUACAGUUGGUAUCAAAGCAUAGGCUUUAGAUUCUUGGCAAUUUGAAGAUAAAUUUGACACACUUGCACAUAUAGGAAGGGUGUGGGUUCAAAUAUCUUUGAUAUAUGUUAAUGUCUUUGAAGUGCAGAUGAAAUAAUUUCACCCUCCCUAAUCCUUUACGGUGAUGUGGUAAGUUGUUUAUGACUUAAUGUCUGAUAUAAUUCAUUUCUAAAUUUUGAUAUUGUUUAUUAAUACGAUUGAUAUCACUGUUCUUUUGUGAGAUUGAAGUCGUUAUUAUGCUUGUGAUAUACAUGUAUGCCUAUGUUGUUUUCGACAUGUUUUUCAUGGUUGAGUUUUAUUACAAUAAUAUUGUUAUAUAUGUUUGAUUGAGGAUGUUUCCAAGAGGAGUGUGAAUUGCAUGUUUUGGGUUACAAGGUAACCAUCGAUUUGGAUUUAAGUUGUUGGGCGGUUGGUGGAUAGCUCCAACUAUCUUUGCAAGGAAUGAUUGUUUAUGCCGAGAAACCAGUUCUGAAAGAAAUAAAUAUUGGUACUUUUAUAUGGAUUUUGGGGGGGGAAGUCUUUACAUAGCUAGCUAGAGUGGAUUACAUGUCUCCCUUCUAUCUUGUGUUUUAGUAGCCACAAAGCCUAGAUGUGGUUUAAAGUGGUUGCAUGUUAGUCAUGCUAAUUGUAGAAUAAAUCUUUUAUUUUCUUGAUCCAUUGAUUAUAUAUUAAUACGUUGAGGAUCUGAUGGUUAUCUCCCUGAUGCAUGCUUGUGGAGCCAUUGUUGGACCACUUAUCUAUUGGUUUGAAUGAAGUCAUUGCCUAGCCUAGAGUUGGUUGGGUGUGGUUAGUCACCUAUUUCUAAAUGAUGUGGUUCUUACAUCAGAUUGAGAUGUUUGUCAUGUGUGUGAAGGAUUACAGGGUUAUUAUUGACCCUUUAUGUCUGGUACUUUGAGUGCAUCGUAUGAUGGAAUGAAAUGUAAGUUUCUGAACUACAGUAGAUGAAGACAUAUAUUAUGUGUAGGUUAACCUUACUAGUUUGGAUAUUUUUUAGUUGAGUUGUUGGAUGAAGUAUAGUGACAUUAGUUAAGCAAAGUAUUGUGUUGUUGCUGUGCUGUCAGUGCUCUUUGUGGAGUUUUUGGCAUUUGUUCGAUGAACUGUGCCGCACAGAAUGUUAUUGGCUUCUUGUUGGCUUUAUUGCUCCAUUAGUUCUAUAGACUUUCUCCCUUUUGUGGGGUGUAUAGAACGUUAGAUUACAUGAUUAUCUUUUUCAUGACGUCAAGAACAAGGUUUAGUAAGAUUAGGAGUUUUGUUUCAAUGGAACUACUUGUUUCGUGGUGCUUUGAUGUGAGGUGUUUGAUCUUCUUAUACAUUCAUCUGGUGUGGAUGUUUGACAAUUGAAUUAAAAUGAAUUGUUGAAGUUGGUAAGGGUUGUUCUUAGUACAUAUUACCUCUUCAUAAAAAAGAGUGUUGUUUUAAGACAUUGAUCUUGAUGUAUAGCUGCAUCUAAAUUCAAUGAUGGCAAAUCCUAGUGUUGAUUGCACCUAUGACAAUGCCUUGGGAAUUCGUUUUAUAUUGUUUUAUGAUUGUUGUCAAGGUGUGUCAUUUUCUUUGGUAAAUUAGUCCGACUUAGAGGUUAUUUCUUGAAAAACUCUUUCAUGAACUCGUCAAGGCUACUAGUCUACUAUAUGAGUCUAUUUAGGGUGUUUGACCGAGUUUUAUCGUUGGUGAAUGUCUUGAUUUGUAGAAGUGGCUGAAUUCGAGGACGAAUUCUUUUAAGGGGGUAGAAUAUAAUACCCUAAAAAAACCAAACCAUGUUUAAAAUCCUAAUAUGGUGUGUCCUACUGAUGAUCGGAGACCGUAGAUGCAUAGAUAUCGUCGAGACGAUUUCGAUCAACUACUAGUUUGCCUUGUUUGGAGUCUGAAUGAGUUUUUUCAAGUGUCGGUCGAUCAGAGCCAUUGGAUAUUAGGAUUGGGGGAGUUUUCUUCUAUUUAUACCUCCCUAACCCUAGCAGCCACGUCCUCCCACCCUAGCAGCCAUCCCCUUUUGUGCCUUGCCCCAAGAGAAGAGAGGAAGAACAAGGGAGAGAAGAGAGGGAAGAUUAGGGCACGCAGUCGCCUGUCGUCGUCAUCGUUCCUCUUCAAGAAUUGGUUGGAUUUUCUUUCCUCUCUCCAUUGUCCCCACUUGAUGGAUGUUUUACCUUGUUUUGGAUGAGUUUUAGGCCCUGCAAUUAGCCCUUUAUGUUGGAUUAGAUGGGGGAUUAGAUUUUUGAUCUCGAAAUUAGUCUCUGCAGAAUGACAGAUUCAACAGUUUCUGUUAAUCCCAGUUUUCCGUGGUCUUAGAGGCCUCAAAAAAAUAAAAAGUCUAUAUAUAAGUCGUAGAUAAUUUGUAGAUCUUUCCGUGGCCGCGAAGAACACCUCAAUCGGACAUCUGAUCAGAGAGUUAUUGCAGUUUGAUUAUAGCCGUUUUUCAGUCUCUUAAUUCUGUGCAGAAUCUGUUCUCUUAAGAUUUAGGCAAUUUUAUCAACAGAAUUAAACCUUGGGUUUGUAAGAAAAGAUGUAGAUAAUUUCAUAAGCUUUCCAUAUUGUUAAAGAGUGCAUUCAUAUGAAUUAUGAAACUCCAGUUAUGUUUGUUUUACUGUGGCUGUUUCUGUUAGCCUGACAGAAAUGAGCGGGUCUGUUCACUGGUAGGUUUCAUCAAGUAAAUGGCCGAACUGGCUCUCCCAGCUAUGGAGACUUUUGUAGAGGGAUAAAAGUUCUUACUUUCAGCAGAAUUUCAUGAUUUUUGGUUGAGUAUUUUGUGAGAUAUCGAAUUUUGAAAGUUAACUAUGCUGCUGUCUAAAACAGAUUCAGUCAGUUAUCUUGUUAGAAGUUUUAGAACUUAUAGAUGGCAGAAUUUAAUUAUCCAUCGAAUAUCGAAGUUGUAGAAUAUUUUGUGUAGAUACUCAUGGAGUAUUUGUUUGAUAUCACCACUGUUAUAAUUUUAAAGAUACAAAAUUAACAAACAACAUUGCUGUUGUAUGGCAUGUGGUUCAGAGUGGGAGGUUUUCCACCAGGUCUUGGUUUCAAGUGUAGGAUCGAUUUGUUGAUUGUUGGCAAAUGUUUGUGAAAUAUUUGUACUAAGUUUUAUGCCCGCUAGCAGGUGGCUACAUUCCAGAUCAUGCCUAGUACAUUUUUCUUCUUCGAUGAAGGCAAGUGAAUGUAGCGGUGGUUGCUUCCGUUCUAACCUGUUAUUUCUAUUGCCUACACUCUAAUAUUCAGAAGUAUGGGAUUCUUUCAUACUUGGACUCUAUGGUGAUGCUUUACUUGCUUGCAUUAUACUGAUGCUCAAUCAUAUAUUGAUGAUGAUUAUGAUUCGAGUAUGACUCAUGAGAUUAAUUCACACCCCUGAAGGUAAAUGAAGUAUUAUUUGAGGUUGGUAUUGUAUCUGAAGGUAAAUGAAGUAUUAUUUGAGGUUGUAUUGUAUGUGAAGGAAGUGAAGUAUAUUGAUAAAUGCAACAUGCCAUAUACAUUGCAUGAUUCACUUGCAUCUGAAGUUGGUCGUGACCUAUGGUCCGACCGUACCGGUACAACUUAGCAUCGUACGUUGCCCGAGGAGGGGUACGAUGCGGCUUCAUACCCUUAGAGGUAUGAAGGCAGAGGACAUAUGCAUUGUAUUCAUAUGCAUUCAUUGAAGUGAUAUUUGCAUAUGAUGUGGUUUUAUACCCUCAGAGGUAUGAAGACAGAGUACCAACACUUUGUGUUCCUAUGCAUACAUUGAAGUGAUAUUUGUAGGUAUUGUUGACGCAGGGAAGUGUUAUACAAACUAUUGUGGUUGUUUAAGGAAAUGAGAUGGUAUUGGUUAUAUUGAGACUACUGAGUUCUAUAUCUACAAGAAUUUCUGAUCUUAAUUACGAUUCUUUUAAAAUGUUGAUUAAUUCAAUUUGUGGUUUAAAUAUCUUGUCAAAACAAUUCGCUUGCUGAGAUGUUUCAUCUCACUCUUGCAUUACUCAAUGCAGGUGCUUGUUGCUCAUCAAGGGAAGUGGGAAGUAGCAGCACAUCCACCUUCACUCUCAUAAUAACGCUGCUUAGACGCAGUCAUGAUUUAAUUAGAAACUUCUUGUCAAAGGAUGUUGUUUCUAACUAGUUGUGCGCACUGGUUGAUUUAGUUCAUGCCGUUAUGGUUGUCUUUCCAUUGCUAGCAGAUUAUUAAUGUCUAUUAUGUUCUCUUAUCAUGAUAUCUAUUUAUAUUUUGUUGCUUCCCCGUUUAUGUAAUUUUCAAAGGGGAUGCUGUCGAAAUUUUAUAUAUGAAUGUUAGAUGUGUAGUUUAGUAGCAUUCUGGGUGUUUGAGGAUCCCGGGGUGUUACAAUUCCACCGAUAAUUCUCCAAGUAUUUUCUUCCUCAGAAAUACCUUCAGAAUCAUUUUUACAAUCCCUACAAAUACUCUCUUCAUAAUUUUUCUCAUGCUCAUAUGUAUAUGUAUGCCUCCGGUGUCAUACGGUGAGCUCUACAAGCUAAUCUCCCACUAAUCCUCUCAUCCUCCUACUAAUCCUCUCAUCCCUCCCCCUAAUCCCCCCACCAUGGCUAUAAAUAGAGGGGCAAGGGCCUCCUCUCAUCCCACCCCAAGCCAUUUCAUGGCAACUCUCUCCACUCCCCCCCCCACACGCCCACUCCACCUCCCACACAAGCACACACUAGCACAAGGAUCGUUCGGUCAUUCUUCGAUCGUUCGUCCCCCUGUUCUUAGUUUGUUCGUUCGUUCGAUCGUUCGUCCGAUCGUUCAUGGUUCGUUCGUCCGUUCGUCCGAUCGUUCAAUCAUUCUUCCGUUCGUUCGUCCAAAUAAUCUUUUUCCUGCCGUUAUGCUGCCGAAAUCCCGAUCGUUCGUUCGAUCAUUCGAUCGUUCAUCGUUCAUUCAUAGUUCCUAUUCAUCGUUCAUCGUUCGUUCAUAGUUCCUAUUCAUCGUUCAUCGUUCGUUCAUAGUCACUAUUCAUCGUUCUUCCAGAUAAUCUUUGUCCUGUCGUUAUGUUGCCGAAAUUCUGAUCAUUCGUUCGUCCGUUCGUUCAUAGUUCAUAUUCAUCGUUCGUUCAUCAUCACUAUUCAUCGUUUAUCGUUCGUUCAUACGCUAUUUACCAUUACUAUUCAUCGUUACUAUUCACCGUUACUAUUCAUCGACACUAUUCAUCAUAGUUGCUAUUCAUCGAUGAUAUCUAUAGUAACUUUUUCGUUGUCACUAUUCAUCGUUACUAUUCAUCGAUCGUCCGAUCAUCUCGAAAUUCAACUACUCAUUCAUCAUGUUGUCCAGUCCACCCAAGACCAGCCAGACCCAUAUUCUAGUCAUACGAACUCCGGUGACUGUGAUUUUCCUUCAGUAGGGAACUUCCCAUCUGGUCACCCAUCCCAGGUUUCUCCAAGUUGAGCACGCUUAACUUUGAGAUUCCUUCGAACUAGGCUUUCAAACUCUGAUUCCAAUAAUUCUUGUUUCUAAAUUCUUAUCAAACUAUUCCCUAUCCAACCAUGUCAUCCCUUAAGCAUGGUUCAUGUUCCAGAAAACUCCCAAAAUACUCUUGUCCCAUAUUCUGCCUAUAACUCUCCUGUUCAUACUAAGUCAGACGAUUCAUUCGUCACCAUUCUCACCAACAGUGAACUUCAUAGUGCUACACCACAUACACCCAGCUAUAAAUACAUCCAACUACCCUCUCCCUCUCCACACACACACUCAACACCCUCAGCCAAGGCAAACACCCCACCCACUUAGUUACUCCGCUCUGCCGACUACACGCAUAGUGUUGCUUCGCCUCUAGUUCACCCUCCUAGUAAGCACCUCCGCUCCACCACUAGUAGUAUCUCAACACCACAUGACACAGAUUCUACUCAAGACUCUACCCAUCCAUAUAUCACCGUUCUGACCACUAUACUAAAUAUUUGUUGGCAUGCUUGCUUGUUUGUAUGUUUGCUUAUUCAUGUUGCAUAGUUAUCGGAGCGUUCGUGCCGUCUCGUGGAGGCCAGAUCUACAAGUCUACGCCAGGCGGUGGAGCUAGAAGCCAUUUCCGUGAGCUCUCCUUCCCCUUCGCCGGAUAAGCACGACAAGCUCACUGGAUCCUUUUGAUGCAUAAAUUACCUAUGAUUUUUCAACCACAACCCUCAACCUGUUAAUAUGAUUUUGAGACAGGUUAUUAUGGCCACCCAGCCGCUUGCCGCAAUCAAUCCUUGAUAUAUUUGUUACAAAUGAUUUGAGAAAAGGUGUGAGUUUUCAAAAGAAAAUGCUUUUCAAAAUGUGUAUUAUGAAGGGUUUUCACCCUUAUCACCUUUGAGUAGGGAUGAUCAGGGACUCCCUGGUUUAGGGGAGGGCCUAAGGUGAUGGCUCAGCUGUUUUAGGUGUGAGCAGAAGGAUUGUCCCCUCAUAUAAGGACCGAUUUGUCAUCCUUCACUACCUGUACUCAUGAUAAGUACAACCACUCGAGACUAUAUGGGCAGUCACUCAAUCCGAACUCGUACGGUCCAAACCCCAGGGUUAUGAAGGCUGGGGAGCACCGGGAGGAUAAGGAGGGGGAAUGUUUUGUCCGGUUUGGACAUGGCGGUGGUCUGACUCCUUCCAGUAUAACCGCUAAGGUAAGGACGUGCGAGGAAAGAAAGAGAUUCGCCAUUCGGAUCUCACGACGGUGAGAUCGCAGAAACCGGACUAGUGGGUAAAGUGUACCCCUCUGCGCAGAGUUCAAACCUAUUCAAAUAGUCUAUGUCCACAGGAAUGGACGAGUCUGGUGUGGUAUGGCAAUUAGUGUUUUGUUUUAAAAAAAAGGGUGCGUUUGAGAAAGUGGUUUUUAAAAAGGUCCGGCGGUUGAGCCGUGAGCUAUGGUGGACGGGAAGUCCAAUAGCUAUUUUUGAAAAUGAAAACCAGUGGGAAACUGCUGAGAUACCUGGAUGGUUUAGUCCAGGGGAUUUUGUUCUAUAUUGAAAAAAACUUCCUCCUCCUUUGGGAGAGGAUGCGCUUUGAAAAAUACAAAAUGUUUUACAAAACAACCCUGCAUAAAAUAUUGUUGUUUCUGCAAAAUAUCGUGAGCUCCACAUAUUCCAUGCAUUAUAUCUGAUUUCCCCAUUCCACGGGUGAAGGUGGGCUGCUGAGUACGUUUGUACUCACCCUUGCUUAUUUGUUGUUUUUCAGAAAAAGGAGAUCGGGUAAGAGUUACGACUGUUCCCAACCUUGCCUGUGGCUGUUGGACCGCUGAUUUGCUUCGCUGCGUAUAUCGGGCUGCUUUAGCCCCACUCUGAUGAUAUGUCCCGAGUUGUGGACCAACUCUUAAAGUUGAUCGCCACCUUUAUAGGUUUGUCUUGUUUAAGCAGAUCUAUAAUCAUCUGAUGUAUAAAUGUGUUUACUAGCCUCCUAGAACUAGUAAUUGUAUCACAUGAGUCCCAGAGGAUCUGGGGCGCUUUAGGUGGUAUCAGAGCUGUUAGGUUGGCCGCAGGACGUAACCCUUAGCCUGAUCCAAAAGUUUUUGAGUCAAAACUAUUUUCUAAAAAAAAAUCUUGCUCUCAUCCCUUCAUUUCAAAAAUGCUUUCCCCCUUUCCUUCUCUCAGAAGUCAGAUGGAGGUUCGCUGCCAAACCGGUUUUUGCUAGAAUGAAGAUGGUUUCCCCAAGUUACUGUGAGCAUGCACAGUCCGCCUCGGAAUCAGGAGCCAGCCAGAGUAUGAUGGUCGUGAAUUCAUCGAGCAUGGCACAGAGAAGUGUGUCGUGACUGUUUACAUUGGAUCCAGUCUGCACCAUGUGGAAUGGAGUGUCACUGCUGCUGGGCACAGAUUCAGAGACACCUGCCAAGUUGUCGCCCACAAGGCAUUGAGGGCCCUGUGUCCGAUCUAUGAAGAAGAAGUGGCCGACACCCCGCUCAGAUUCUUUCUGCACUUUCAGAGAAACCGUCCAGUUUGGAUGGCCAGGAUGCGUGCAUUGGAAGGGAAGCAACUGCUUGAGGACGACCCCAUAGUCGUGUACCUCACUGCAUACCUGCUCACCCUGGAUGCGCAGUAUGAUUUCUUGGCUCGGCACCACCGUCAGAUGAUUGCUCGAGCAGAAGAUGCAGAGAAGCGCAACUGUAAGCUCCAUGUGGAUCUCACCAUAGCUCAAGCUCGUGUAGCUGCCUUGGAAAGUAGUGAAGCCAUUGCUGUUGAAGCCCUAAAGCAAGCCAAGGAUGAGCAUGUCUAGAAGUUGAUGGAGGCCUACUUGGUCACCUAUAACCAACAUAGAGCCCUGUGGAUCCAAGAGCCCGCUUCAUCCAACCCAGUUCAAUCUGUGAGAGCUGAAGAUCCUCAGAUUCUUGAAGGUCACCUGGUCUCUACCAGAGGAGAAAAGAAGGCUUGGGAACUCCUGGAAGGAGCCAUAGUCUUGGAAGGAAUUCCAGUCUUCCCUCAGGCUAUGGAUAAGCAAGAGCACCCCGAGUCCUCCCAAGAUCCCCCGCCAGAGUUGUUUGAGCCCCUCACCAUGAAGAAGAUUCCAGCAUCGUCGCGUGAGAUCAGAGAAGAAGCUGCAAGCACCCCACCAGCACUGCCACCCUCUGAGGAGCUACAAGAGCCAGUCCAGCUUGAAAAAGAGUUCGACCCCGUCUUGCCAUCUCAGUCGCCGCCAGAAGAAGUCAUCAACAUCAGCUCCCUCUUGACCAAUCCAGAAGAUGUCUCAGAUUGAAGUUGUGAGCCAGCCUUGCCAGAAGAGAAGCUGCCAGAUAUGAAGUUAGUUAUGCCCAGUCCUCUGCAUGCAUUGGGUAGUGAAGUUUUUCUUCACUUUGGCUAGAGACCUGCAUGUGUGAGAGUUAAUCGCGUAGACCGGUGUUUUGAAAAACUCUAAUGGUGUGGCCCCCUAGGGCAUUUCAAAAUGAAUUUUGCUUGAUGUUUGCUCCUCUUUUGAGUGUAUAUGUGAUGCUUUAACGUUAGUGCUCAUAAGUCGCAUUUAGCAUAGUUCUCAAUUCAAGAGCCGAGCAAUAGUAGUUAUGCUUAGCCCUGAAUCUGAGUAGUCCGUGCUUUGAAAAAACUCUAUUCUUCCCUUAUUCAAAACAUUUGAAUUGUUUGUGCUUAUCAUUGCUGAGCUUAUGUGUUUUCUUUCCUUUUAAGAAAGGUUUUCUCUAAAAACAUAGAUAACAAAUUAGAUCCAAUCCUCACCUUAUUCUUCCAUUCUCAUCUUAACCCAUCUCAAGAGAAAAGCACCUUACCCAAGAAGAUACCAGAAAGCUUAACCUUGAAGCCUGCACUAAGCUACAUAAGGAACCUGUCCAGCCGCUCAGUCAAAAGGACCGACCGUGAGAAUCAAAGCACUGCCCCUAAGUCAAAGUAAACAGAAAAAAAGGACUAAAGGAGUUAUUACCAUACAGAGAGGCAAAGAUUCUUGGAACUAGAGACCACAAACAUCAGGGUCAUUGACCCCACCACUCACCCAUGCCCCCCCGCAUACGUGCCCGUCUCCAUGCGCACUACCACCGCCCCUGUCCCCUUUGCAACGCACCCACCGCCAUUACCGCCAGCAACACCCUCCCCCCUCCAUCGCACUUGCUGCCUCGUGUCACCUACUCCAUCAACACCACUCCGCAACCGAACACUACCGCUCGCCUAUAAAACCCCCACACCAGCUCCCUUAAUUCCCAUCCCAAGCAAAACACACCUGAUAAAAUCCCCUCUGCCAAAUCGCAAGCAACUCCAUUUUUCCACUCCCUCGCCCCUAAGAUCACAAUGCUUGGUGAUUCUUGGGUUGAAGAAUGUUGUACAUGAUUCAUAGUCUAUGGUUUCCUCCUAUGUAUGAUGAUAAUACUCUUUGAUAGAAUCCUCCAAUGGGAAGAGCAAAGAGAAAGAAAGAGGCAGUGAAAAGUGAAAAGUGAAAAGAGAAAAGAAGAUAGUGAAGAGAAGAUAAGAAGAAGGUUCUCCCAGAAUUAACCCUGUGUCAGUCAUCUCUCCGUAGCCUGCUCAAGCAGCAACAGCCGAAGAAGGCCCCAUAACACCCUUGUUAUGAGGUACUUCAAGGAGUUCAAAUCCCCAAGAUUCAAGAGUUCUACCCUCAUUCUUUUUAAGUGGGGUAGUGUUCCAGCAAGGUUCCUGCUAUGGAGAAAAAGAAGAAGGCCUGUAGCAAGCUUGUGGAGGACCAGAUCAUCGAAGUAUAAGUUUCUGGAUGAGAAGUGGUCACCCAAGUUUUGUUGAUGAAGCACCAAAAGACCAAUCAAGGAAGGAAUCCAUAUGGGAGUUCGCAAGAGAAAGGUUUGCGUGUUGGCAUCGUUGCUUCUUCAAUGAGCUAGCUGCCAAGUGAAAGUUGAAGCCUCAAGAUGAUCUUUGAGUAGCCAGAAUCAGCGUUUGCAAUCAGCAACUAGAUGCUCCUCAAGACCAGAUUUUGUUGAAGUUCCAUCUCCUCGAAGAGCCUGCAAAGUGAAGAUAUGUAGCUGAAGCAAAGCUAUACCUAUAACCCUUCUAAGCCAAAUCACGAGGACAAGAUUCCUUUUAAGUGGGGUAGAUUUGUAGCAUCCCAAAAAUUCAAAUCUUGAAAAUUUCUCAAACUUGCUCUAAAUUCAAAAUGAAUUUCAAAUCUCAUUUCAAAAUGUUUGUUUGCGAGUUGAUAUCAGCAAAUAAAAUAUAGUGGUCUAUAUUCUCUCCAAAAUCCUCCUCAAAUAUCCUACAAAUAUUUUCCCAGUGAUCCCCCUCAAAUUGUUUCUAGAAAUACUGCCCAAAUAUUUCCCCAGUGAUCCCCUUCAAAUUCUUUCCAGAAAUACUACCCAGAUAUUCCACCGAUAAUUCUCCAAGUAUUUUCUUCCUCAGAAAUACCUUCAGAAUCAUUUUUACAAUCCCUACAAAUACUCUCUUCAUAAUUUUCCUCAUGCUCAUACGUAUACGUAUGCCUCCGGUGUACUACGGUGAGCUCUACAAGCUAAUUACACUCAUAUAAGACAAAUCCAUGCUAAUCUCCAACUAAUCCUCUCAUCCUCCCACUAAUCCUCUCAUCCAUCCCCCUAAUCCCCCCCAUCAUGGCUAUAAAUAGAGGGGCAAGGGCCUCCUCUCAUCCCACCCCAAGCCAUUUCAUGGCAACUCUCUCCACUCCCCCCACAUGCCCACUCCACCUCCCACACAAGCACACACUAGCACAAGGAUCGUUCGGUCGUUCUUCGAUCGUUCGUACCCCUAUUCUUAGUUUGUUCGUUCGUUCGUUCGAUCGUUCGUCCGAUCGUUCAUGGUUCGUUCGUCCGUUCGUCCGAUCGUCCCAAAAUUCAACUACUCAUCCAUCAUGCUGUCCAGUCCACCCAAGACCAGUCAGACCCAUAUUCCAGUCAUACGAACUCCGGUGACUGUGAUUUUCCUUCCAGUAGGGAACUUCCCAUCUAGUCACCCAUCCCAGGUUUCUCCAAGUUGAGCACGCUUAACUUUGAGAUUCCUUCGAACCAUGCUUCCAAACUCUGAUUCCAAUAAUUCUUGUUUCUAAAUUCUUAUCAAACUAUUCCCUAUCCAACCAUGUCAUCCCUUAAGCAUGGUUCAUGUUCCAGAAAACUCCCAAAAUACUCUUGUCCCAUAUUCUGCCUAUAACUCUCCUGUUCAUACUAAGUCAGACGAUUCAUUCGUCACCAUUCUCACCAACAGUGAACUUCACUGUGCUACACCACAUACACCCAGCUACCCUCUCCGUCUCCACACACACUCAACACCCUAAGCCAAGGCAAACACCCCACCCACUCAGUUACUCUGCUCUGCCGGCUACACGCAUAAUGUUGCUUCACCUCUAGUUCACCCUCCUGGUAAGCACCUCCGCUCCACCACUAGUAGUAUCUCAACACCACAUGACACAUAUUCUACUCAAGACUCUACCCAUCCAUAUAUCGUCGUUCUGACCACUAUAAUAAAUAUUUGUUGGCAUGCUUGCUUGUUUGUAUGUUUGCUUAUUCAUGUUGCAUAGUUAUCGGAGCGUUCGUGCCGUCUCGUGGAGGCCAGAUCUGCAAGUCUACGCCAGACGGUGGAGCCAGAAGCCAGUUCCACGAGCUCUCCUUCCCCCUUCACCGGAUAAGCACGGCAAGCUCACUGGAUCCCUUUGAUGCAUAAAUUACCUAUGAUUUUUCAACCACAACCCUCAGCUUGUUAUUUUAUGCAUGAUAUGAUUUUGAGACAAGUUAUUAUGGCCACCCAGCCGCUUGCCGCAAUCAAUCCUUGAUAUAUUUGUUACAAAUGAUUUGAGAAAAGGUGUGAGUUUUCAAAAGAAAUUGUUUUUCAAAAUGUGUAUGAUGAAGGGUUUUCACCCUUAUCACCUUUGAGUAUGGAUGAUCAGGGACUCCCUGGUUUAGGGGAGGGCCUAAGGUGAUGGCUCAGCUGGUUUAGGUGUGAGCAGAAGGAUUGUCCCCUCAUAUAAGGAUCGGUUUGUCAUCCUACACUACAUGUACUCAUGAUAAGUACAACCACUCGGGACUGUAUGGGUAGUCACUCAAUCCAAACUCGUACGGUCCAAACCCCAGGGUUAUGAAGGCUGGGGAGCACCGUGAGGAUAAGGAGGGGGAAUGUUUUGUCCGAUUUGGACAUGGCAGUGGCCUGACUCCUUCCGGUAUAACCUCUAAGGUAAGGAUGUGCGAGGAAAGAAAGAGAUUCGGCAUUCAGAUCUCACGACGGUGAGAUCGCAGAAACCGGACUAGUGGGUAAAGUGUACCCCUCUGCGCAGAGUUCAAACCUAUUCAAAUAGUCUGUGUCCACAGGAAUGGACGAGUCUGGUGUGGUAUGGCAAUUAGUGUUUUGUUUUUUAAAAAAAGGGUGCGUUUGAGAAAAGUGGUUUUUAAAAAGGUCCGGCGGUUGAGCCGUGAGCUAUGGUGGACGGGAAGUCCAGUAGCUGUUUUUGAAAAUGAAAACCAGUGGGAAACUGCUGAGAUACCUGGAUGGUUUAGUCCAGGGGAUUUUGUUCUAUAUUGAAAAAAAACUUCCUCCUCCUUUGGGAGAGGAUGCGCUUUGAAAAAUACAAAAUGUUUUACAAAACAACCCUGCAUAAAAUAUUGCUGUUUCUGCAAAAUAUCCUGAGCUCCACAUAUUCCAUGCAUUAUAUCUGAUUUCCCCAUUCCGCGGGUGAAGGUGGGUUGCUGAGUAAGUUUGUACUCACCCUUUCUUAUUUGUUGUUUUUCAGAAAAAGGAGAUCGGGUAAGAGUUACGACUGUUCCCAACCUUGCAUGUGGCUGUUGGACCGCUGAUUUACUUCGCUGCGUAUAUCAGGCUGCUUUAGCCCCACUCUGAUGAUAUGUCCCGAGUUGUGGACCAACUCUUAAAGUUAAUCGCCACCUUUAUAGGUUUGUCUCGUUUAAGCAGAUCUGUAAUCAUCUGAUGUACAAAUGUGUUUACUAGCCUCCUGGGACUAGUAAUUGUAUCACAUUUGAGUCCUAGAGGAUCUGGGCGCUUCAGUGUCGCUACUCUUGGCUUACGUAAGGAUCAAAUGCUCUUUAUGAGCUAGUUCUUUGUCGAUCCAACAUGAUGAAUGUCUCACAACCGCGUACAAUUCUAAGUCAGGUCACCCACAAUCUCCAAUAAGCCAUAAUAAGGAGACACUCCAACAAGACAUAUUUACACUAUAGUUGCAUAAGGGCCCCUAAUAAAUAAUGAUAGGAGCCAAUGACAAUCUCCAAUAGCUACUUAAUAAUCCCAUGAAGUUCAAGCUAUCUAGUUGACAAUAAUCACCGGGAGUAACAAGAGUAGAACAAGCCAAUCCACUCAACUAGUGCCACAAGAUGCAACAACUAUAUGUGAUGCACUAGGAGCUCUCCAAUCUCACUCAAAUUAUGAACUACAAGAUGCAAGUGAGUGGAGUCUGCUUCUCCAGCCCAAGAGAUAUUUUCAAAAGUAAGCAGUGAAGGAUACCAGCCAAAGGCAACUAAGAGGUCUAUUAUAGCCCUAACUUGAAAUCCAACUGUUACUUAUUGGUGGAUAAAAUUCAAGGGCACUCGAUAUGUCUAAUGCACAAUCGAUUCCUUCACCAGACACAUCUAGUGCCUUCCCAAUAACUAUAAUCUUAGUGGUUAUAAACUAGUCAUUAACAGUGUCAAGUAUCUAGUGCACUCAGUGUAUAAGCCACCGGCACAUCCAAUGCAUAUUGUGUCAAAGUGGACAAAAUAUAUGCUCUAUGGGUACCAUGUUUGGUGUAGUAUCUAGUACCGCCUUAGACGUGUCUGAUGCAUUUGAAAGGUCCUUUGUGUGUUUUGGUGUAUUGAAUGAUAACCCAAUAAAAGGUAUGACCUGUGUGGUAAGUGUUGAACAUGUUUUACUGAAAAGCUUGAAAGGUUCAACAUAAUGUGUUCAAGGGUGAUGUCCCAAUAGGCUGAGUUGACUAUGGUUGUGGACAUCACAAGUCAAGUUGAAGGAUGAACAUUGAUUAAGUGGAAAUCAAUGUACAUGACUUGGAGACAGCCGAUCGAACUGAGGAUGAAGGCAAGAAGAACUUCGAGGAACCAAGAGAAAGGAAGAAGGUCAAGAAGAUUGAGGUACCUAAAGCUAAGGGUGAAGAAGAUGGUCUUGGAAGAAGUCAAGGUUGGUCAAGCUAAGAAGAGUCCUAGUGCAUUGAAUACCAUGUUAUAUGGACAUGACUUACAACCAUUGAGGUAAUGCUUAUGGUUUAAUGGUUUAAGUCAUAAAGCUCAAGAUCCAGCUCGUGUAGAGACAUGGUCGCAAGAAGUGCAGAAGUAUCAAAGUCAGAACCUGGAAGAACCCAAAAGAGCUAAGUAUACUUUGACUAGUAAUUUGGGUCAUUCCUAUGUUUGGAGAUGUUCUUGUGACCAUUGCAGGGUAUUGGAGCUCAAAUAUGGCAAAUAUUAUCAAGUUAUGUCGACGUGAGGAUUAUGAGUCCAACCCCGAGCUCAAACAGACCAAAAAGAGCAAAAUGGUGAAAACAAUUAAGUAUACAAGGUUUGAGUAUUUGAAUCUGUUGCAUACACCUUUUACUAUGCAUUUGGCACUUGGUUUUUCUCUAACUUAGUUUGUAGAGAAAGUACCAUUUGGGGCCCUGUUUUAGAAGAAUAAGAGAAGUUAAGGAGAGAGUGAGAAAGAGGUAAGAAUAUGUGACUUAGUCAAUUGGGUUAUAAACUAAUUAUGUGUAUCUAACUCACAGGAAAGUCCUCCAAAAAGUUCAAGUGAAAUAGAGAAAAAAAUAGAGAAGAAAAGCUAAUUGCAUCCUAUCUAGGUGCACCAGACCAGCUACAAUACUAGUCCGAUGGUGCACCGGACCGCCUCCGUACGUGAACAGACGACCUUCAGGAAUUAUAUUUUUAUAAUUUAUCGGACCUUGAUCAGUUCAAGUCUGGUGGUGCACCAAACCUCAGCCCAACAACUACUUCGCGGGCGUGCUAGCUACCCAAUGGCUAGGUGACGUGGCACCCGAUCCGGUAGCCGCCAGAAGGGAAAGGCACCCAAUUAGAUCAUAGAGUCCGACUACAUGACUCAGUCUAGUGGCGCACCAAACCGGUCCAUUGUCCCCGAUUUAUGUGUAGUUUCCUGGUUUUGAUUCCAACGACUAUGAGAGGUCUUGGAGCUAUACAUAGGCCCUCCCACAACCUCAGCAGUACACAAUUGAUACCCUAAGGUAGCAAAUAAUUGUAGAAUCAUUCUCUGUCCCUCUCUAUUAUAUUUUGUGUUAGUUUUAGUGCUUGGCGCGUGAUGUAGCCAAAACAUAGAGUUGUGCGACUAUGUAGAAAGGCGAGCAAGAUCUUGAGCAUGUUAUUGCGUUGUCGAGCUAUCAACCUGUGAUAGUCGCAAUUUUGAUAUACUACAACAUUGACCAGAUAUAAGGGAAGACUAAGCAAAUGGAGGAAAGAGUUUAAAUAGACUCCAAGCCAGGUUGGCUAACUCCAAUGUGGAUGUAGUCAAGCAUUUUAGGCUUGACCAAACCACAUGAUAAAUUUCCUGUGUCACUUGUCUCUGUUUUGUUCUUUGUCUCUUUGAUUAUUCUUGUUUGCACUUCUUCUACUCUUAGCUUUUGUAUAAGCUAUUUAUGAAGUGCAGGACCUUUUUGAGACAAAGUCUUCAUUCUGCUGCGACAGACUCUUCUUGAUUGGAAUUUGCUACGAUCAACACUACAAGUACAGUAAGAAAGUUCUAAGCUUUGGUGUAAUUUUUAUUCGCCUAUUCACCCCCACUAGGCGACAUCUAGAUCUGUGUUCCCCUCAAAGGGAACUUUAAGCAUUAUAGAGCUAAAAUGUUUGUUUGACAUGCUCUCUGAGUGUCCUGUCCAGUGGGUUAUCUAGAGCCUUAAAGAUACAUCUAGUGCAUCAUAUCCAGUGCACACCGGUCACCACUGUGCUCAACUAAAAAAUUGUGCAACUUGUGUGAGCUGAUAUGUUAUCUGGUGCCCAUGUUUGGUGUACCUAUUCGGUGUACCACCUAACAUGUAUAAUGCCUUCUGAAACUCUACAUCGAGAUUGUUUGUUUUUGUCAUCUUAACUGUUCUAACUUUCAAAUGUUUUAUAAAGCAUAUUAGAGCAUAGUUAUCAUUUUUAAAGUGUUUUCAAUAAUUAUUGUCACUUUCUCUUACGUGUUUCACUUAGGCCUAUAUGUAAUACAUAUGAUUGCAUCACUUAGGAACACUAGAUGACCUAGUUGCCUAUUCAGACUCUCCUCUUAAUAGUAUGGACCAUGCACUCCAUUGCGUCUUAAUUGACAAAACAAAAUGCCCUAACUUAUACAUUUUCUUUGAGCCCUUGUAUUUUGGUUUCUUUUCAUGUUGAGCAGUUGAUUAUCUUUGUGGACAUUACCUUAGUCAUCAACCUUGCUCAACUUGUAAUUAAUCUAUCUCAUUCCUAUACAUAGAGUAGAUGUUAGUCCACUAGUUAUCUCAAUUACUGAAACUACACGUAGAGCUUUCAUCCAUGACAAGUCAUUGGUAUAAAUCCUGGUUAACAGAUUCUACUAUAAGAAACUCAAGUAUUUUUCUGAAACCUCUUCAUAUUUAAUGCACUCAUUUUAUCUCCUAAUCUAGUUUUGAAUUUCUGCGAUUAUGCAUGUAGUACUGAAACAACCUCACAACUAUUUUAGUUAAGAAAGUAUAGUACGAUAUUUUUUCGGAUUUUAUAGUAAUUUGUGCUAGAGUUACUAGAAAUCUACUUAUUACUUCUUGUUAAAAGACACUCGAGUUUGGAGCUUCCUCCGCGUUUGGCGCGUACGGCGGGACGCCGGCAUCACCACGUGUCCAUCACCACGUGCUCUAGCUGUCGUCGGUGCCUCCACUCUGCGCCGAGCUCGUCCUAGAGGGCGGCCACGGCAUGGCAGGCUUUAACCCGGACCUAGGACUUCCACGCCGCCUUUCCCUGUGCCCUCCCACAAGUCGCCUCCCAUACCUCUGUCCGCCACCCUCCUCGCCACACCUUCCGUCGCCUGAGCACGCUCGUAUAUCCAAUCACAACACCUGCUCUAUAGAAAAGUGAAAGGAAAUGAAAAGUGCGUGCAGUACAGUCUAGCACCCGAGGCAUUAGCGUGCGCACAGGCCCCUGCUCCCGUGAACGAGAAAGCCGUGGAACGUUGCAUGAGAGAGUGUGCCCAUUGUUUGGGCUUGUCACGAGAAUAGGAAAGUUAAAGAAAGUUGUAAGGGAAAAACAGUAAACAAUUUUAAUUUCAGAAGCUAUUAUUUAAUUAUUAAUGGUCUAUCUCUAUUCAAAUUUGAACCAACGAGAUAAUUUGAUUAGAGAAUAGAAAAGAAUUUAUUUUAUGCUUCUGAAUAAAAGUUUUAUUAAACCAUUGUUAGAAUUCACAGGGUCUUUAGGAGUAGAUCAAUGGGGUAAUCUGUAUUCAAUUAAGUAAUUUCGGGUUCCUAAUCUCUAGAACAAAACAAGAUUAGAUUGUUACCGUCCGUGGGAAGCGCAGGCGUGUUGAAGGAUGUAGAUCUGUCCGCCACUAGGUUCAUUGAUGAAGGUCGGUGCAGCAAAGAUUAUAGCGGUGUCUUCCCGUCACUGGCUGCGCACCCUCUCUUAGAUCGGUAUUAGGGUUUGUCGGUGGGGAGUACGGCUCUAACGAACUCGGUCAACGCAUUCGCGAUGGCUGCGCAGGCCUCCUCCUCCACGGUCGGCUCUGCCUCCGAUCCCCUCUCUUCUUCGACGAUGCGAGCAUACCCGCUCAUCCUCUUCAUACCUGCACCGCCACCUCAUCCUCUUCCUCGCCGCGCUGACACCCACCGCGCUCUCUCCCUCCUCGUGCAGGCGCGACUAGGCAACACCUCUGCAGUCCGCUUCCUCCUCUCCCUCCCACACCAACCUUCUCGCCCCGUCCGCUUUCGGCCUCUCCUCAUUUUCUUCUCCCAUCACAACCCCAGAUAUCGGUCCCCAUCGCUGCCCUCUCGAGGCGUGACGAGCAGGCUUCUUGCCUCGCACCGCCUCAGCCCAGUAGCCCUUAUCACUUGUCACUGUCGUCGUCGCUGCCGGCCCAGGCGGUCGACGCCUCACCAGUGUGGAGUUCGACGGGGGCGUGCAGAGCCUUGCCACCGGCCUCGUCGAUCGCGGAGUGCGCCCUAGCCACAUCGCCGCCACCCUCGCCCUCAACAGGUUCCUGCCUACCUGCACGCAUGGAUUUCGUUAGUCGGAGCUGCAUAAACAUCUGAAGGCUGAGCCAUUGUUGUACUUACGCACAUGUAUGUGUUGCUCUCUACCUACGAGGAGGAAGUGGAGCAGAUGGGUGGUGGGUCAGGAUCUCAAGGUGGCGGUAGCAACAACGGCAGGGGGAGCAAAUCGAUUUCUGACAGAAAAAACAGAACGAGUGGGUAAACCUUGCAAUUUUUUCAUUGCCGCAAGUUCUUGGAUCUAAACAAGUCUGCAAAAAAUAAAGGAAAAUAACAAGGCGUUGUUGGGAUGGAUUGAUGAGGACAAUUCUCACGAACGAUUGAACUGCCGCUCAACUCACUUGACAGAUCUGUCUGUGCGUAAAUGCCGGUAAAUCUCUUCUCUUCCUUGCUCCUCCUCCCUCCGUCACAUGGAUUAGUUGUCGAUCUUGAUUCUUGUUGUUGCCCCCUUCCUUGCUCCUCCUCCCUCCUCCCUCCUCCCUCAGUCACAUUUUUAUAGAGAGGUUCCAACUUUCUUUUUUGUUUCAAUCAAGAUUCAAGUUUCCAUUGAAUGGUUGAUUUUAUCAGCUACAACUUUUAUGGAUGUAAAACAUUAUUCGGUGUUUCUGGUACUAUUAGUUUAUAUGAGUUUAGAAUUUCACAUUGUAAUUUGAAUACGAUCAAGAUACUUAGUUUAUUUUCCUAUGUUGAAGGUAUACAAAUACCUUCCAAGAGUACCACCCAGUGCAGGCAACGUUCUCGGUCAAAUAAAGCGCCACUAAGGAAUCACUUGCAUAAAUUGUUGCCUUCGAGGUAUGUAUUAGGCUCUGGAUUGUUGAUAUUGAAUUGUGUCGACUGUUUUCUCUGAGUUAAAUAUUUAAGUAUGUAGGUGCCAUACUUGAUAAAGAAUGGAACUGGCAAAGCUUUUGGAUCGUGUGCCAAUACCUGUGAAAGAGGGCUUGGAGGAACCCAGUGCAAAGAUCAAUGGUCUGCUGCAAGCGUAUAUUUCUAGGUUGAAACUAGACGGCCUUUCUCUUAAUUCUGAUAUCGUCUACAUUAGACAGGUAGCUUUGAUUGCUAUUCUCCUAUCACAUGGCGCUUUACUUGCUUCUACAGACGCUAUUAACUAUUUCUAUUCAGAAUGCUAACGGUCUGCUAUUUUUUCCUCUCUACUCUACAUGUAAUUCAGUUCUCGGGUGUUCUUGCUUGGCCCUUCUCAGCACUAGUGUCUACUACACUCCAAAAUGUGCUUUUAACCAGGGUUGUUGUCUAUUGUACCUCAGUUGGGGAUUUGCCAGUAGACCAGGGAUGCUGAUUUAACAUUUUUAGUGUUUCAUGCAAAGAUGGUAUAGGAUAUAUGCAAUUAAUUGCAACGAUGUACGGUUGCUAUUUCCGUAUACAGUUAUUGUGUCCCUCUCUUUGGAUAUCGAAGAAGGUCUACCUUGGAGCACUUUCAUGGAGUUUGAUGGCCACUGUUGCGGAUGAUAAAUAUAGCGCAACAAUCUAUUAUUAUUGGAUCUCUUGUAGUUGUUGUAUCUGAUGUUGUAAGCCAGAAAAUAUUUUCUUAGAAUUAUCAAAUUCUUCACCGUCUUUGGAUAGGGCGCCCGAAGGGGCGCCGCCUGAUCUAGUUGUAUUUAGUAAGAGUGUAGGUGUGCUAAUAGGCAACGACUGCUAUGCAAGCAGUCCUUCCAUGCAAGCGUGCAAGCAAACCAUCUGAUCCAUUAGAUCGUGAUCCAACCGUAAGUCACAUUUAACACUUAAGCCCUUCCACUACCAGCUCAAUGAUUUUAAUAAAAAACACAUAACAAAACAUGAUUGUAUAUGUGGUUGGAUCGUAAUCUAAUAAGUUAGAUGGUUUGCUUGCACGUUUGCACAAAAAUACUGCUUACAUAUCAGUCAUUGUCGUAGAAGUUUUCCACGAUUAGUGGUAUUUAUCCUGUCCAGGAUUAAUGAGUAAUACAUAAGGCAGGUAUCUUCCCUGCCAAAUCUGGCACAAAAUGCAUGACUUGCACACAAACGCCAGGCUACAGCAUACCAAAGCCUCUGGAAUCACGAACAGUGAAUCAACGGCCUGCUAGGCAUGAUAGCAACUUUAUUGAUUAAUUGUCCAAACGUACUUUCAAAAAGGAAGAAUUGUGCGAACUUAGUAAUUCCGUGUCCAUGAGUUCAUGAUUUUUUUUCUGAAGAAUUCCUGUGUUCGAAAAUCGUCGAAUCAAUCUGAAACCAAACCACCGGAAGCUCAAAUGUUCUGUACAUUCUACUCAAAGUCUCUGCCGUAACUGUACAUUCUUUUUCAGGAAAAAAAGAAAGCUAUAAAAUAGCUUCUGAAAUAGCAAAAUACAAUUUCACACAGGCACGCAAAAUUUCCUGUCACUUCCCCAAAGAAUUUAAGCGUUGAUUGGUUUCUUUCUUCACAUCACAAGGGAGGCCGGAGCAGCAUGUCCGCUUUGUGGAUGCUCCUGCCUGGGCAAAGAAGGCAUCCACUGAGACGGCUCUCAUCGCCAUCGUCGUCGUGCUCCUCCUCCUUGCCCACAAGUGCACCGUCACGGCGCCUGUACGCGGCCUCCACGUCGCUGAGGAUGGCCGACACCUCCGCCAUCCCCGGACGGCUGCGCCCGUCGUUCCCCACGCACGCCAGCGCCACCCUGGCCGCCCGCGCCAGCAGCCGCACCUCCUCCUUGUCGGCCGGCGCGCCGGCCCGCACGACGUCGAACACCUCGAUGCUGGCGCCGCCGCGUAUGUGUGGCAGGGCCCAGUCCGCAAGCCGGCCGCCGUCCCAGCGCCGCCCUGUGAGCAGCUCCAGCAGCACCGCGCCGAACAUGUACACGUCGUCAUCGGCGCGCGCGUCGUCGCGGCGGUCGAGGAAGCCGGUCAGCCCGUAGUCGGUGAGCCUGGUGGUGGCGUGCCUCCAGCGCGCGGCGCCGCCGGAGGAGGCGUUCACAAGGACGUUGCACGGCCGCACGCGGCCGUGGGCCACGCCGUGCGCGUGCAGGUGCGCCAGCCCGCGCGCGGCACCGGCAGCGAUCGCGGCGCGCUGGCGCCACGACAACGCGGGUACGUGGUGCGCGUCGUCGCCCCAGCCUAGGAUCCUGUCGAGGCUGACGGCGCCGGCGGGGGCGCGCUCGACGAGGAUGACGCGCUCCCCUGGUCCCUCGGAGAGGCCGAUCACCGCGGCAACGUUGGGGUGGGGCGGCACGGCCAGCGAGCGGACCGCGGCGGGGAACCGCAUCCCGCCGGGGUCGCCGAGGACGAGGUGCGGGUGCAUGCGCUUGGCGGCGAUGCCAGGUGCGGCAGCGUACACGGCAAAGUGCCUCCCCUGCCCGAUGACCCGGCUCGGGUGGAACCCUUCCGUGGUGCGCUCGACGUCGGCGAGCGGGAUCACCGGAAGAGGCUUGGUCGAUGACGAAGAGCCUGAGGCUGCGGCACCAUUGGCGGGGCUUCUCGCGGCUGCCAUACGCCUCUUGCGCCAGAGCAGGGCGAGCGCGACGGCCAGAGCGACGAGCGCGGCUGCGGCGCCGGCCACGACGGUGUGGUGGACGGCGGCCACGACGGCGUCGUGCAUAGCGUGGCUAGAGGGUCGUGGCGUGGAGCCUGUGCGCGCGCGCUCCGGGAGCACGUAUGGGAUUAGUAGCACGUACGCAAGUUAAGACCACACGAAUUGAAGCAAUGGUACGUGUCUUUGGCUCUAGGUCAAACCUGCUAUGCGUACACCCACCGUGAAGGAAUGGACUGCCAGUGGAAUAUGUCGCAGCUAUGUCGAGCAGCUCACAUGCAUGGUUCCUGUCGUUGUUAUUUUGUUCAAUGGUGUAGCAUUUCACAGUUUGUUUUGUCACUUGUUAAAGAAACGAACACUGAUUCUGCGUGACACAUUUUUUUGUCUUUGGUUACAAUGGACGUUGGAAAUGCUUUCAUUGCCGCAACCCGCGGAAAAAAAUUCUUUCCAUGAGGGAUCUAAAGAAUCAAUUUUACAACCCCUUACAUCCACCACCUAGUGAUCCACAUAAGGGCUUGUUCGGUUAGCUCUCAAUCCAUGUGGAUUGAGUGGGAUUGGAUGGGUUUGAAUCCCAAACAAGUCAAACUUCUUCACAAUUUUUUCCAAUCCCAUCCAAUCCAUGUGUAUUAGGAAUAACCGAACAAGCCCUAAAUAGAAGAAAAAAAAUUACUAAAAGAUUAAGUUGCAAAUUUUGAUCUGUUUUUGUGGGCCUCUAAGUGGUGGAUGUGAGGGUCUGUAAAAGAGGAUUUGCAUUCGGGAUGUACAGAUUUUUUUUUUCCCAACAAGCAACGUAUAUCUCUGAGACUACCUGCAGCGCCUGUUGUGUCCGCUCCCCUACCGCGCUACAGUGGCUACAGGAACGCCGCUACGCUCUGUAACGACGUACACUAUGUGCUUCCCUUGACACUACGGUAAAAGUGAAGCCAACAGUGUUGUGCAACCCCUUGCUUCGCCAUUGUUUGUUUGUUGGGAAAAAAUUGGUAAUAGAUAAUCAAUACGUAUGAAAAUGAUAUUUUAUGUUUGUAGUGGGGUAAAAGGGGAGAAUUUAAGGACAAUCGUUGCAAAAGUUAGAAGAGUAGAGGUGUAAUCUGAGUGACAUGGUUGUAUAGUGCGGUAUAGGAGGAAAAUUUAGGAGAGAGCAUUGUAGAUAGUCUAACGGUCAAACUGUUCUUUCAUUUGAUAAAAAAAACUAUUCGAUGUUACCAUUGCUGAAAGGCACUGUUGAGUUAUGGUAAUUCGCUAUUCGGCUGUGACUAUUAAAAUAUUAUUUUUAUAAAUGUAUAGGAGAGAAGUUCAAGGUAAUUCGCUCUUCCGUUCCAGAAUAGUAUUUAUUUUAGACUAAAUAUACAUUAAUUAAUAAAUCUAAAAAUAUUGUUUGUAUGCAUUUCUAUAUUUAUUAUCAUUUACUCGAACGUGGAUAGAAAAAAGUUAGAAAGAACUAUAAUUCUGGAAGAAGUACUUAUGUUGUUACCGUGUGAAAGUUAUUUAAGCAUGUUUGAUCGUGAUCCCACUCAUUUUUACGGAUUUUUGUGAAACUAGAAAAACCUAAGUUUAUUCAUUGGUUCGCACAAAUCACUUACAGUGUUUUAAGUGAACCGAUGAAUACGGUCUAAAGCAUUUUUUCCAUACUAGCUAGGCAAUGAUCCUAGCCGUCGGGUGACCAAAACUGAUGACCUUAAAAACAUUGCCGGGCAGGCAAAGCUAUCUGGUCAGCAAAUCAAUCAUGUCUGAGAAAUCUUUACAGAUAGAGCUUUGGCCAUAUUUUUUAAAAUACGUGACUGAUUAUUGAAAGAAGAUACUUAUUGAUAAAAUCUAAUGAGACCAUGCUUAUUAUUAUCUUAUUAUUUUUUACGAAUUACGCUUAUAAUAUAUGCACCCUCAUUCUUAAGAAAACAUGCACGUAAACUUUAUCAGUACGAGCGACCGACAAAUUCUCAAGCGUCUUCAAAGCACUACAGGAAAUUGAUCAACUUUCAACGGCUAGAUUAAUUUUUGGCGGCUAACAUGAGCAAGUGUCAGUGUAAUACCUAAGGGCUUGUUCGUUUCUACCCCAAUCCAUAUGGAUUAAGGGGGAUUCAGGGGGUUUCAAUCCCUAGUAAUUUAAAAUCCCUUCCAAUCCGUAUCAAUCCCCUUCAAUCCAUAUGGAUUGAAAAUAACCGAACAAGCCCUAAGGUGGUUUUUGAUAAGCUGUCUCACACUACACUCGCCCUGAUGGGCGACUGUCAUGUGCCACACCCAGAUUCAAUACAUAUGAUAACUUAGUGUACAACAAUCAAUGUUAUAUCUUUAUUACUUAAUACAUCUUCUAUACAAAAUAACUAAAUAAAUUAAUUCAUAUAACAACAACGAUCCUCCACAACCCUAAUUGACUAGGAGACGACAGUCUAUACCUCCGAACUUAUCUUCAUAGCCUCCUCCGGUGGUACAUGCUCUUGACCUAAUGUGAUUAUAGCAAGGGUGAGCUUCCAUAUAGUUAUCGCUUAGCAAGUGUGAGAAAAAAAUGUAGUGUAAGACUUACCAAGGAAAAUGCUUGAGGCUGAGCUUAACCUUUAAUUUUGUUGAUCAAAAUUUUAUUAACAAUUACUAAGUAUAAGUAAAUACCAUCACAAUUAAAUAAGAGAUCAUAGAUAAAAUAUCCCAUAAUGUAAUAUAUGAAAUGUUAAGUUUAAUUCUAUAAUUUACUCAUGUGAGUGUCCAAGCCGCUCUUGACCGUGAGCACGACUGAUGUACCGGUUUUAUACUCUGCAGAGGUUGCACAUCUUUAACCACAAGCCGUAUUUCCCUUCUAGCAUGGCUUAGCUAAAAUCUUAGACACUUUCAAGGUGAAUGGCUGAUGAUGCACUACGAGACCUUUAUAAAGUUCUACUAGCAUGAGAAAACCCGCUACGAUUUCAGGCAAAAGAAAGCAUAUGCCUCUUUUCACGGUCUGUAACCUCUCGCAGUAAUUAGAAAGCAUCGGAUAAUGAAUGUGCUGAGAGUUGUUCUUGAUACGCCGCCUUCGGCAACUCGAGAGAAAGUCGCUCCCGCCGUGGCUGACGAAGGGCCUCAACAAGCUGAAAACAGUGGUGGUCCCCUCGGGACAACCUUAUCAAAAAUCGAUAGACUUAUUGGUAAUGUUGCACCUGAGAAAAAUACCGAGGGUACAAUUGUUGCAGAGACUUCAGCGUCGAAGGAAAAAAGAACUGAAGAAGCCUCUUCGGAAGACAAAAGCUUCGAUCUACGGCACCUGGACGGCCAAUAGCUUUCCAAAGAGGAUAUAUCUGAAUUAAAGGAAUUUGCUAUGUCUGGCGGCUACCAUCCUGGUUCUGUUCUCUUCAGCGGCGUGGAUGAAGAGAUUUUAGGAUGUAUUCGUGAUCGCGAUGGGGCAAAAAUUGUGAGCACGCUUUCGAUGAGUAUCAGAUUUUCGAAGCUAGAAAAAGACAUUAACUGUUAUAGAAGACAACAUGUCAUAGGCAACUUAUUCUACUCAAAUUUUAAGGUAUGAUUCUUCUAUUGUUUUUUUCGUCGGGCUAGUUUUAGCAUUUCAUUAAUGAAGGUCUAACUCGACUUCAUCCUUUAACUCAGAGCUUACUGCUGAGCAAAGCUCUAAAAAUGCGACAAGAUGACGAAGACAGGAAAAAUGAGUUUGUUGUCAGUGGCUUGGAGAAAAUGAUUAAAGAACUUGAAAAUUCGUUGAAGGAAAAGGGCGUCUUGCUGAGCUCAACCGAGGGCUCUCUUGCCGAAGCUCGGGCUCAGAACGAGAAAUUGAGUAAAGAGCUGAAGGGAGCACAAAUACUUUUGAAGGAAAACUCAAGUCGUUUCAGCCGUGAGUCCAAAGCUUUAAACAUGACAAUCAAGGCUAAAGCUGAGAAGAAUCUUAAGCUGAGCGGAACACUUAAAGCUCUUCGGGAUAAAUGUUUCGGUUUUGCAACCCAAUGUACUGCUCGGUUAAAAAUAUCUUCAAUUCUGUCGGAGCUACGUUUGAAGAAGGCAACCUUUCUGCCGAAGAUAUCCCAGGAGCACUUUGAUGAAUUGAGAAGGAAAUUGAUGUCCUUGACAAAGUUAUAACUGUUCAUGGUGAUUUUUGCACGUUAGUGGCUUCCCGUGGGACAGCUGCUUCUUUUGCCAAGGCUGGGUGUAAUCAUGUAAAAACUAUUAACAAACCAACCUUCAGCCUCUCACCGUCAGACUUGGUUAAUAUCCCAGCCGAAGCCAGAAGUGUGGGUAACAAAUUUAUUACACAGAUCUGGAGUAAGGGCGGCCGAGAGAUUGCUGGAGAUGAAGCUCGAGCCUUGAUUGGCAAGGUAUGACAAUUUUCUUACUUUCAUGUUUUUAUUUCAGGUCUUUUCUUAUUAUGUUUCUCAAUACCAUUGUCUUAUUAUUUUUAGGGUGAUGUUGAUGAAGACUGAUGAGCCGAAGCUUACUCUGAAACUCUGAACCUGUGUAUUGUCUCUUGGCAACAAUGAUGUGGGUCCGUAAAACAAUAGCUUUGUUGUCAUAAUUUUGUAUGUGCAUUGCAUAUACUUGUUGACCAUAAAAAUGAACCAUAUGGAUCUGGUCAUGCACAGAUCUAGCAUGCUCUCAUGGAUUAUCAUGGUUCCUCCAGUCCUUGGUCGCUGCUUCAUUAGUAUUGUCUUCAUGGUUAGUAAGGUGACUGUCAGUAGAGUUUUCUCUGAACAUAAACCGGUAAUCUAGUAGCUUAGAUGAAUAUGAAUUCGAGCCCAAGUAUGAGCCUAAGUUAAGAGUAAGGUUGGGACGACGAUCCAAGUCUGAGUCUACGUCCAAGUCAGAGUUAAGGCUAGGGUCAAAGUAGGAAUUCGAGUUUGAGUCCAAGUCCAAGUUAGAGUCAUGGCUAGGGUUAGAGCAAGAGUCUAAGUUAGAUUUGAGUCUGAGUCUGAUUCAUGACUGGAGUCGAAUCCAAGUUUGAGUAGGUGCUAUGAGGUCUGAACGACCCAGAGUCAUUGUGGUGGUGGUUGAAUCUCCAUAGUCUUGAUUGCAUGGUGUCGAUGUUGUCAGAAGAUCUAGGAUGAGCCGGUCGUAUGACUAGAUUGUCGUGCGUAUCAUUGAUAAGGUAUUGAAGGUGAAUUCGUCUCCCAAUGUAAGCUUCAUGGAUACCAUCAAUUUUUGGUUGAUCUUUGUGUUAGCUACUACAUGGUUCGCCAACUAUCGAAGAUUAUUCGAUAGUAAAUAUAUAGGGUAGGUCAUGAUAUCGAAAGAUAAAGGUAAAGGCACAAGAGACACGAGGAUUUAGACAGGUUCAGGCUCUCGAUGCGAGACAAUACACUAUGGGGUGGUUUUGUUGUUUUAUGUUUGGAUCUGAUGAUUCUAUAUCUAAUCUUUUGGGUUCUCCGUCCCUCUAUUUAUAUUGCAAGGAGGGACGACGGUUACAUUGCAAGCAUUGAGUCGGUUACCAAGUUCAUGAUGAAACUGAGUCGGUUACCGAGUUGUAUAUGAAUUGAGCUCUAUGUAUUUGAGUUUAUUUCUUGUUUUGUUGAGAUCUUUACCAUAUAUGCUCUUAUACAAUUCUCGUGGUUGUGGCCGUGCAUGUGGACCUUUCUGAUAACGCUCUUCUUUAACAAGCUUGGCUGGGUAGUGGGUACCCAUGGCAUAUCUGGUUGAACAUAGAUAGAAAUAGAGUUCUAGGUUAUCUAAUUUAUUAUCUCCUGUAAGGCGUCAAGGUAAGAUGUCACUAAGACUCUUCGUUCUAACGUACCGUUAGACGACAGUGCUUGUUACUUACUAGAAAACACUAACACACAGUGUGAAAACCUAGUGAGUGCCACUCAAACAAUCACACCAAAUUAAAUAACAUCAUUUGCAGGUUGAUGGUGCUGAAUUCACAUCACGCUAGUUAAGCCAAGCUACACUAACCACACUAGGUGGGGAGUUGGAACGAAAUUAAAGCUUGUAUUCUUAUGUUUGUGUGCAUCCACCAAGAGCACUAGGACAGGUACAAGUGGUUCUAACUAACGUGAUCGUGCAGAGUUUGUUAAUUGCAGAGCAGGUUAGUGUUGAGUUGAAAGUGCUUAUAAGGCUAAACUUUGUUCUCUAAUCCAAAUAUUUUCUUCACAAUGUCGUGCCGUUUCUCACUUGUUGCCGAUGACAUAUCCAUGUUGAUAUAAAAAAAACUAUAUACACAUGACGGUCCCAAUCACACAUAACGAAAGUAUGGAUAUAACAAGGCACUAGGCCGGUUAGUUGAACGGCCUACUCGUACCAUCUUACCUCAUGUGUUUGCCUUCCCUCCUUCGGAUUUGUGUAUCAAAGUUUUGGUCACGGCAACUUUACCUGCAUGAAAAACCAGUUAGGAAAUGGUCUUCUUUGGAUACUCUCUUAUUCACAUCAAUCCACAUGUAUUAAUUUGGAUUGUAGUAUAAAUUAGUUUAAGUUUCACUCUAAUUUAACUCAAUACAUUAACAUUGAGGUGAAUAUGAGAGUAUCCAAACAAGACCUUAGAAUUUGUUUAGUCAGAUCUGAAUGGAAAAGAAUUAGAGAAGAUUAAAUCGCUUGUUAUUUAAAAUUAAAUAGAAAGAAAUUUAAUCCCUCUCAAUUCUCUCUCAUCCUCGUGCAACGUGACAGAGCCUCGGAUGUUACGCUGGCGCCGAACUGCGGGAGUGCCGAAAAAAAACACUCAGCAGGCACUAUAUUUCAUCCAAAACGCUUCUAAUUUACAGGUUUAGCAAAUUUUACAGCCCAAACUAGAAAUGAUUGUUUCAGUGGCUAGUCGAGCACACUAAUUUUACAUUUUGAUUGUAAACAAUCAAAAUACACUAAUGAAGGGCAUUUGUAAACAAUGAAGGGCAGGAUUGUAAUCCUAUACUAAGUCGGUUCGUCUCACCUAUAAAUAGAUGAAUAGUACCUCACAUAAAGUACCUUUAGUCAGGUGCUACUGAAAGGAAAAUGUAUCAUCAGGCCAUUUCUAUAUUAUUUUAGUGAUUAGAUGCACAACACAUUAUAUUUGAACUAACAUGAUGUAUAAGCAAAGGUAUAUGAAGCAAAUUGAAUUCCGAAGAGAACAUAGUGCAAAUCUAGAUGGACCAAGUAAAAAUGUAAGCUCUAGAUACUUAGCCAAUUGUUUUGAAUAGUAAUUAUAUUUGUCUAAGUGUCAGGGACUUUAUAAAGUCAAGUUCAAAAGGAGCAAAAUAAAACAAAGAAAGAAAAAGCGAAAAGGUGUUCGACUGCUGUCACACCCGGUUUUAGAAGGUAAACCGAAUGCGAACCAUGUACGUGUCAGGAUCAGAAAUUCAUGUACACAGCGAUUACAUAAAUGACUCAUCAUAGCACAAUGCUUCGAAUAACAAUAAAUAAUAAGUAAUGAUAUUAAAGACUAAAGUCAUUUCAUAAUAUAAAUCAAAGUACAUAGAAUCGAAAUAUAGCCAACGUAAAUAAAACCACCACAUGCAGCUGACUGGAGGAGGUCGCUAGCCUAAUCCUCGAACUCAUCGAAGUCCUGGAACUCCUGGAGGUCCUCCUCGAUAAUAAUUUCUUCUUCUUUACCUGAGCAUAGAUUGCACCAAUGACAACCUGGUGUUUUGUGAAACCAAGGGAGAGUACACAUCAAUGUACUCAGCAAAUGUUCCGUUUGGCUGAGGUGGACUAGCUUUAUGUGGGGUUAGGGUCAAAGCAGUUGCUUUUAGUUCGUCAAGUUUUUAUUAUUAGUAUAAGCCAAGUUUUAGUAAUAACUAACCCAUGAAUCAUUUCCUCAUCGAGGAACAACAUUAUCAUCAUUGAACCAAAACCAUAAAUAGAACCAUUGUAUCUCAUAUCAUUUGUAUCUCUAAUCAAAGAGGAUCCCAAGGCCGCUCCUAACCGUGAGCACGGCUAAUAUAUCGGUUUCAUUCCCCUGCAGAGGUCCCACACUUACCCAUGAGCCAUGAUUCCCUUUCUGCUUGUGGUUCUAGCCUCCCCAUUGAUCACUUCUGAGGUGAUCCGGCAGGGUUUCACUAUGUAGCCUUUACAGAGAUUCCCUAGAGGUCAUAGCCGCCCGUUAGGUUUCUCCAGUUUGAUAAACACAGUACUUCUCCUCACAGGAAGGGUGACUAACAAAACCAAAUCGAAAGAACUUCGGCAACCAGCCUUGGCAGAGCAAGUACUGUGCCCGGACCCCAUUGACGGCCCUACUGCGAAGCCAACUACACCUCAAGUUCCUCUAAUUAAUCAGCUAAGGGCGUCCCAUUUUACCCUCAUGGUUAUACUGUUAUCCCAGGUGGUCACUCAAUGAACAGGUCUUUACAGAGAGGUACUCAGGAAACAACCUGAGUCCCCUAAAGUAUCACAAAAUCACCAUCAGGAUAACAUCAUUGUAUCAUAAAUAUUCACAUCAUGUUCGUUGAUUAAGUUAAGCAUAAAACUAAUCAUGAUAAUCCAAAAGGUAAACAAGGAUAAGGUAAAUACAUACUAGUCAAUCCUUAGGGUUCAUAAAGUAAUGCAGGACAGUGAAUUAUAAAGUGAAUGGACAUAAUGGGUCAGAGGACACUUGCCUUCACCAAACAAAUGCUCAGGAUCUUCAAUCUCGUAGAAUUCGAGGAGCUUGUUCAUUUGGUCGUCCAAGCUUGACCAUCGAUUCCUCGAAGCUCGGAAACAAAUCACGAUCUAAUCGCUGCGCACAACGAAUACAAACAGGCACAAACAAACAAAUAUAUAUAUAUAUGCAUAAGAACAUUACAUCAUUCAAAUAAAAACAUAAUAAAACAUGCAGAACGAAAUAUAGCGUGUUACUACGGUCACACAAGGAAAAAGAAACGUCAAACUCGAAGCUACGGUCGAGAAAAUAACGUGUUUACGCUAAAUAAAUAUUAACUAUAACAUUUAAUUCGACACUAUCAAAUAUAAAUAAUAUUUACCAUUUAGUUUCGAUUAACAUGUUACACUAGCAGAUAUUAGUUAAACCAGUAAUUUAAUGAAAGCGAGGCGAAAUUACGACGCGCAAAAUAACACGAUAGCGUGCGAACGACGUGCGGACAUGCGCGACAUAGCACGCUGACAACACACGAAACAGUGCACGCGACGAACUCGCAUGCCACCACGUGCGGGACAGCAAGCGCGAUAGGCGAGAAAACUAAAUAGGUGACGUGUUUAUACUAAACAAAUAUUAAAUAAAUAAAAAUUGUUUAAGUUAACAUUAGCCAUGUUAAUGUUUAUUAUCAAAGCGCAAGUUGAGAACUAUACAUUUAAUCUAAUUGGAAUAUUCAUCUAAUCAACAUUAGUCGAGCAAACACUAAAUAAAUUACUUAUAAUAUGUGAGCCGACAAAUUAACGUUAUUAUCAUGGGUGAUUAUAAGCGAAAUCAAUUUAUUAUCACGAGCAAACAUCGCGUGACCCACGUGAAUGACGUGUGACGACACGUGACACUGUGCGAAACAGCGCGCGGACGGCAUGCGAAACAACGUACACGGCAGCGCGCGACACACGCGAGUCAACACGACUACGCGCGCGAAUAGCACGAUGACGCGCAAAAGAUGCCGCGCGCGAACAAGGACUAACAAAUAAUUAACUAAAAGUAUUUAAGCUGGUAUUAAUUAAGUUAAUUAACAUUUAUAUUUAAAAAACACGAGUUAAAGCUACAGACUCGUUCUAAUUAAAUUAUUAUUUUAUUAAUCCUCAAACAAACCAAUAAUUAAUUAUUCAACUAAAACAUGUGACACGACGACAACGAUCGCCACACGUGGGAACAGCGCGCGCGUCACGUGCGAAGGAGCACACGGAAAACGUGCACGACCAUGUGUGACCAUGUGCAAAUGACGCGCGACAACACGUGCGAACAGCACACGCGACCCGCGCGAACGACGCGCGUGAUACGCGAUAAAAAAACUGAAUAGUCAUCGCAUUUAUAUUAAAUAAUUAUUAGAGCAACACAUUUGAGUUACUAUUAAUUAUGUCGAUAUGAAUUUAUAAAACAUAUGUUAACUACUAUAAAUUAGUUUAAUUGAAAAGUCUAAUUAAUUAAUGUUAGAUAAACAAAAAUGUAAUUAAUUAUUUAAAAUGUGCGACAUGGUGAAACAAAGUUACUAACACGCAGACGAUGCUCACCUCGUAACGACGGCGGACGGCCAGACGAGCUCGCGGCGAGGCACGAGAACGGCGAGGCUGCUGCUGCGCUGGGGUCAUGCAAAAAACCGAGCCGGGGCUACGUAGGCCGCGCCGGGGCACACACGCGGGCCGCGCCGGGCGUGAGCGCGAGACCACACCGGGGGCACACGCACGGGCCACGCUCGGGCACUAGCCUGGCCGCACCAUGGCUGGUCCAACCGCGCCUACCACGGGCAGCGGGUCACACCGACGCGCGCGCGAGGGCAGCGCUAGGACCGAGUCGCGCCGGACCGGGCACCAUGGCCGACUGCGACACCCUGCUGAAGAACGUGGAAAACGACAUACGGUCCACGAUUCGAAGAAUUUGAGACAUGGGGAGAAAGAGGGGAGGAUAAGGAACUCGGAUAGGUCAGCAAAACGACCGGACAAGGGAGUUCCACGGACCGUCCACCAUGGUCGGUGAAUGGAGGUCACGGUUGCGUGUGACCAGGGAUCUAGAGGUCACCAAUCCUAAAAGUGAGAGCACGGGAAGAUGCAGAAGGACUUUGGGAAGCUGACCGCGCAACCAAUUGGAUGAAGAUGGAGCGAGCUCGACGAAUUUUGGUAAACGGCGACAUCGGCGCAACCAAUUGGUCAGCUGGCAACAAGCUGCUCUCGGGAAUUCUAGCCUACGUUGGCUACAAUUCACUGGAUGGUCCGCGUGAGGCGUCGAACAGUCCGGUGUGCCAGCUGCACAACGGCUACCUGCCACGUCGACCAGGAGCAACAGUCAAGUGGCGCACCGGACAGUACGGUGCCCCCAGAAACAGAAAGCAGCCAAUCAGGGAUUCUCGGCCCGCGCACUGUUCAAUGUCCGGUGCACCCGUAGACAGAAGGCAACCAGGUCCUUCCAAAUGGUACUCCAACAGCUCCUAGGUCCCUUGGGGAUAUAAAAGGAACCCCUUGGUGCAUGGAGGUACAACCCAAGCACUCAUUGAACAUUCUACAACGCCGAGACUCCGCAAACAUGCAAUUGUUUCAUUGUGAUAGAGAUUUGAGCACUUCUUUGAGCUGUAAUUCUGUUGUGUUGUUUCGUGUGCUCUUUCUUGUGUUGUGUGCGUGUUGUUGCUGCAACUCUAGUUCUCGUGUGUAUUUCUAUUCCCCCUUACUCUUGUGUUCAUUUGAGAUCAUCUGUGUAAGGCGUGAGAGACUCCAAAUUGUGGAGAUUCCUCACAACGGGAUAUUGUUGAGAUAAAGAGAACCGUGGUAUUCAAGUUGAUCUUUGGAUCACUUGAAAGGGGUUGAGUGCAACCCUCGUCCGUUGAGAUGCCACAACAUGGAAUAGGCAAGUAUUCUACUUGGCCGAACCACGGGAUAAAAAUCGUUGUGUCACUUGUCUUUAUCCUACUGCGAUUUUCUCUCCAUUCACUUCACUUACAUUAUUGCUCUAAGUUUAAUACUCACUUAGUGAAGGGCAAUUAAGUGAAGAAGUUUAUUCCGCUCAUACUCCUCAUUCGAACUUGGUUCUUGUUUUCACUAAUCCCAUAUUAGUCCAAGUUUGUUUUGUUGAGCUAUUUUUUAUAGGAUCACCUAUUCACCCCCCCCCCCCUUCUGGGUGUUGUCAGCUACAACUUCGUAUAGCUCAGCCUCCGAAACACCUUCAUGCUAUCUUACAUCAAGAAGUCGGAGGUAUGAUUGUAAGCUUGUCUUGUAUGAGAAGAGAAAUAAAAUGCUAAGGUACAUGAGAUGAGUUCUCAUAUCUUACUUCAUCAUGCAGUGUGUAUUUUAUUUCAUUACACUUUACCUUCGUCCUUGAGUUGUUAUUCCAAAGGAAUAACAUUUCAAGGAUGAAGGUCCCUAUUUUCUAAUUUUGUGUUGCCUUGUUUUUGAUUUCAUAUAGCAAUUAAACACAAGUGAUCAACAUUGGUGCCCACCUCCGAAGAUCUCACGACCACGACGAGUCUCAUCACGACGAAGAGUGUGGCAAGCCAUCAAGCUUCGUCAGCUUCCAUGGAGAAGCUCACUCUCCCCAUUACUGGGGGCCCCUUCUUCAAACCCAGUAACAAAAAGAAGAAGAAAGAAGCCCAAAGAAGGGUGCAACAUGUAGGUGUCCAAGGACCCUACAUUAGGACCAAAUGGUCCCAUAUCCCUAUUACUUUCUUUUAGGAUGAUCUUUGUCUCAAAGAUUACCCAAACAGAGAUGCCAUGGUUAUCUCUUAUGUAAUCAAAGGUUUCGUAGUUCACAAUGUUUUGGUUGACAUAAGUAGCACUACAGACAUCAUAUUUGUAACGCCCUGAAUUUGGGGGUAGAAUUUUUUUUCUUCUUUUCUCUCACCAAAUUCGGGCGUUACUCUUUCCUUUUUCCCUUUUCUUCUCACUAAGCCUUGAUCUUUUCCAAAAGUAUAGCGAGAAUUAGCUCGAUGUCUUGUGUAAGCAAAACCUAGAACUAUUUUGGGUUGUUGCAUCAUGCCGAAUUAUGCACUCUUGUGUUUGUGGUUGAGUGAAUUGGAGAAAUAGGCAUAUAGAAACUAUGGAAGUUAGAAAAAGAAAAGCCUUUUCUUUUUCUCUCUCCCCCUUCUCCCUUUUGGCCCAGCCGCCCCUUCCCCUUGGCCCAAGCGGCCCAGCCGCCCCCCUCCCCUUCCCGCGUGGGCCACGCGGCGGCCCAGCCGCCCCUCCCCCGCGCGUGGGCCGUCCUGGCGGCCCAAGCCGCGCCCCCCUCCCCCCUUUGGGCCCAGCCGGCCCAACCGCCCCCUCCCCUUUUUUUCUUUUUUCCAAAAAUCCCCUCCCCGCGGGCCCCACCCGUCAUCCUCUCUCUCUCUCCCUCUCCCUAACCCUAACCGCCGCCGCCCUCUCCCUGCCCUAGCGCCGCCGCCGCGCCGUCCUCCCCCUCCGGUGAGGCUUCUCCCCCGCGCCAUGGGCGCGCUCGCCCGACCCCGACGAGCUCGGCCCCGGCCCCGGCUGCCCCCGGCUCGGCCGCCCCGCCCUCGCCCCGGCCGCGCCGUCCCCGGCCUCGGCUCGCCAGCCCCGGUGCUCGCCACCCCCGGCCGCACCGUGCCCGGCCCGCCCACCUCCCGGCGAGCUCGGCCGCCCUCGUCGCGCCCCGGCUCGGCCGCCCGCCCCCGCGUCCGGCCUCGCCCGGCCGUGUCCUCGCCCGGCCGUGUCCUCGCUCGCCCGUGCUCGCUUGCCCCGGCGUGCUUGCCCGCUCGCCCCGCCGUGCCUUGCCCGCGUCGUGACGGCCCCGGCGUGGCCUCGAGCUUGGCCCAGCGUGCCUAUGGCGCGCGGCUUUGAGCUCGGCUAGCGCACGGCCCCGACGUGCGCACGGCUAGUUCGCGGCGUUAGCGUGCGGCCUCGCGCGCGUGCCCGCGUAGUGCACGUGCCUUGGCACGACCCGUCGUGUCCCCGUCUACCCCCCCCCCCCGUGUCCUAUGCGCGCUAAUCACGUGUUUAUAUUAAUAAGAUAGGAGUCUCAAUUUGGGAAUUGGUUACGUUAGUUAAUUUGUGUAGCUAAUCAUCUAUCUCAUUCAAUGUUAAUCUACUAAAAGUGGUCACGUUUACAUUAGUGCAUGUAGCUAAUUCUUUUGUUAGAACCAAUUGGAACUAGAGCACGUAACGUUUAGUCAUUUGUUUACCCGUAGUGCGUCUCGGGCAUAAGCUUUAACUCUCGCGAGACCUUUCCCCAUUUCUUUCUAACCAUGGUGAGUUCAUUAUCGUAUGUGAUAUUCUAUGCAUAUAUACUUUAUUUGUUCUCCUGUAUGGUGUACUAUUUGUUUCCUAAUUUGAAUGGAUGGAUGUGUGUAUGCUUGCAAUCGCAUAGAGAACGAUCCGGUUGAAGAGCCCGAGGAACUCGCAGGAGAAGCCCCUGAGCAGCAGUCGGUUGGUGGAGGCAAGUGUCCCAUGACCUAUCUUUGUCCUAUUCAUUCUUUAAUUCACCUCCCGCUUUACACAUUUAUGCGUAAGGAUGGACUAGCGUUGUUAUCCAUGUCCUUGUUUACCUAUUUGGGUUGGAUUAUUAUUGUUUAGCUUUAUGCUAUUGCUCAAACCCUAAUCAAUGAACAUGAUGAGAUUAUCUAUGAUACGCUGUUUUCCCCUCUCUUAUUAUGAUGUUAUACUUGUGGUCUUUAAGGGGGCUCGAGCGGUUUCUCGAGUGCCUCUCCGUAAGGACCUGUUCUAUGGAUGACCGCCCGGAAAACAGUGCAACCAUGAGGGUGGAAUGGGGAGCCCUUAGCUGAAUAAUUAGAGCAUCCGGGGUGUAGUUCGCUUAGCCGUCGUGCCGUCAAUGGGGCUCGGUGUAUGCGGCUCGCUCUGCCAAGUUUGGGUUCGCCCCUUGGGGAGGAGUGCGGUGCAUUUAGGAAACCUAACGGGUGGCUACAGCCCCGGGGAAUCUUUGUAAAGUCUACGUAGUGAUGCUCUGAUGGGUCACCUUGGUAGUGAUCAAUGGAGAGUCAUGAUCUCCGGGCAGAAAGGGAAUCACGGCUUGUGGGUAAAGUGCACAACCUCUGCAGAGUGUUUGAAAACUGAUAUAUCAGCCAUGCUCGCGGUUAUGAGCGGCCAAGGGAGCUCCAGUGAUUAGUGGUACUUGAUCAGAGAUACUUUGGUUUACAGGUGGCAAUGAGACUGAUGGUUCUGGUUAUGAAUAUGGUGCUGGUAAGUGGUAUUCUUUCCGUUUGGAAAGGGUACAUCGGGCUAAUAACUUGGGUUAAUGCUAAAACAUGGCUUUCUAUUAGUAAAUAAUAAUCUGACCAACUAAAAGCAACUGCUUGACUUAUCCCCACAUAAAGCUAGUCCACUACAGCCAAACAGGAUACUUGCUGAGUAUGUUGAUGUGUACUCACCCUUGCUCUACACACCAAACCCCCCCCCCAUCCCCAGGUUGUCAGCAUUGCAACCACUGCUCAGGAGAAGAUGAAGCGGUGGAAGGAGACUUCUAGGAGUUCCAAGACUACGACGAGUUCUAGGCGUGGGUUAGCGGCAACCCCCAGUCGGCUGCCUGUGAAGGCCGCGUUUAUCUAUGUUUCUUUUCCGCACUUUGAUUUAUUGUAAGGACUAUAUGGACGUCUCAGACGUAUGAUGUAAUCGACUAUUAUUUCCCUUUUAAUACUAUUUAGAGCACUGUGUGAUGAUGUCCAUGUUAUGUAACUGCUGUGUACGUGAAUAACUGAUCCUGGCACGUAUAUGGUUCGCAUUCGGUUUGCCUUCUAAAACCGGGUGUGACAUAAGUGGUAUCAAAGCCGUGCUGACUGUAGGACCACUAACCUAGAGUAGAAUGGUCGUUCUAAGGACUAUAGACCUCUGUCUCUGCCUUGACUUUGAUAUCCCUUCAAAAGUUGGUCAUACCGACCAAAACUAUGUUCUAUUGUAUAUUAUACCUUGCUGAAAAUUGUGUUUUAUUCUAAUCCUUCAUUUACUUAUGGUUCAUUACUUGCUGGUCAUAUUAAUUAUGUUCUCACUCUUUUGCUUGCGGUGUCUUUUGUAGAUGGCUCGACUUAGACACACUGCACGAAAGUCCGUCAUCCCCUUCUUACCCUCCCGCCUUGCUGAGCGCCCGCUUCGCCGUCCCGUGGCCGGACAGUCCAGCCACUUGGAGAGACUGCACCAUCGCCUGCAUGAGGAGCAGGAACGUCGACGACAGGAGCAGUAGGGUUCUUCUUUCUCGCUCCAACAGGAGAUAGAGUCCGUGAGGAGCUGCUCCCCUGUGCUUCCCCUGGAGGCGCCCCCUGCACCACCACUGGGUGUCCCAGCCUCUGGAGUAGCUGCUGGAGGAGACCCAGACGACGGAGGUGGCGACGACAGCUCGAGCCACGACACCGACUUCUCUGCUGACUAGGAGCCGGAAGGAUGGGUUGCUCGACCCAUCACUCGCGACGCUGCUCGCGGGUGUCACUUCCAUGAUGCGCUCGACACCCUGCUACGUCGGGCACUUAACCGACGUACUUGGUCCAUCGAGUAUCGCUGUGUGGUCUACCAGCAUAGUCGCGGGGUCUACCCGGACCGCUGGGAGGCGACCUGCUUGGUGUGCCGUCCGGAGAACAGUCUCCAGGGUGCGGAGGCCUGCUCAGAGCACUAUUCUAUCUCUGAGCGGGACUCAGCUAGGGCAGCCAUGCAAGAUGCUGCACGGCGUGCGCUUUCGCACUACUGCCCGGUUCUCGGUGGGGUAGCUGACGGUCUCGACCUGAAGUAUUACCCCUGCCGUCCAUCUUGCAGCACAGGAGGCGUGAUUGUUUCACAUGUUGGUGAGGACAAUCCUAGGUUGAGCAGCACAGUCGACCUAGCCACCGUGCUAAACACGGAGCUAGACCAUGCAUUAGACGAGCUGAGUAGGGCUCGUGCUGAGAUCGCCCUGCUGCGGGCUGAGCGUGCGGAACGUCGUCACCUGGAUGAUGGUUCCCCCGCCCCCGUCGGGACUCAGCACCCGUACCGCUCACCUCGGCGUGGACGCCAGUCUUAUGGCAAUCCCGACUGCAAGACCAAGAUAAAUCUAGAACCAUAGAUCGUUAGAGUUGGAUCUUGUAAUUAAUACAAAAUAUAUAUACGUAGAAGCUACAGUCUUAGUGUUAGUCUCGCUCUUAGUUAGUCUUAGUUAGACAGGGUAGUUUGCUAUAUCCUGUGCAUUUAUGUUUGUCAUGAUGAACUAUGUUUGGUUUGGAUCUUUGUAAUGACUGUCACCAGAGUGUGGGUAUCCCCUGCAUUAUGGUUUACCUGUUAUAUGUUAAUGGAGUUAGUUAUAUAGUUGGGAAACCUUUUAUUCCACUUUCCUCUUUAUCUGAGAAGCUGUGUUGGUCUGUGUUGGAGAUCAGUGAAGAUGCUCAUCUGUUUAGUGCUGUUGAAGAAUUCUAUACUCUUUUCUUAUGCUGUAAGAUUUGCCAGAUCAGUUCUGAUGUGUGGUUGCAUUCUGCAGAUGUCAGAGAACAGGCGCAGAGGAGGAAGGCGUGCUCAGCAGGAGCGAGCCGCUCAGCAGGAAGAGGUACCCCAGCAAUAGCACCUGCCGCCCCCGCCCUCAAUGUCGAUCGAGCAGAUGUUUCUGAUGCAGACUCAGGCAGUUCAAGCCAUCGGUCAGACUUUGGCCGCCAUUCAGCAGCAGGCACCACCUCAGCCUCAGAUGCCCAGAGACAAGCGUGCUGAAUUCAUGAGAGGUCAUCCACCAACGUUUGCUCAUUCUUCUGACCCCAUGGAUGCUAAAGACUGGCUGCACACUGUGGAGCGGGAGUUGCAUACCGCUCAGUGCGAUGAUAGGGAGAAAGUCUUGUAUGGUCCCCGUCUGUUGAGAGGAGCAGCCCAGUCAUGGUGGGAGUCUUACCUCGCCACCCAUGCCCACCCCGACACCAUCACCUGGGAAGAGUUCAGAGGUAACUUUCAUCAGUACCAUGUGCCCGCAGGUCUGAUGACAGUGAAGAAGGAGGAGUUCCUGGCCCUCCAGCAAGGGCCAUUGUCUGUCAGUGAGUACCGGGACAGGUUUUUGCAGUUGUCUCGCUAUGCUCCUGAAGAUGUCAACAUCGACGCCAAGCGACAGUACCGUUUCCUGAGAGGCUUGGUUGACCCUCUUCAGUAUCAGCUGAUGAAUCAAACCUUCCCGACAUUCCAGCACCUGAUUGACAGAGCAAUCAUGACAGAGAGGAAGCGUAAGGAGAUGGAGGAUCGUAAGCGCAAGAUCAGUGGACCUCAGCCUGGAAGCAGCAAUCGUCCUCGUUUCUCAGGCAAUCAACCUCAGCAGUUCAUGCAGAACCAGCGUCCACCUCAGCAGCAUCAGCAAUUCCAGAGGCAGUAUCCUCAGCACCAGUAUCAGAACCGUCAGAGCAAUCAGUCAGGAGGUCAGUUUCAGAGGCAGAAUCAGCAAGCACCUCGUCUUCCUGCCCUAGCCCUGCAGAACAGUCAGGCAGCACCAGCUCGGGUUGGAAACAGAGCAUGUUUCCACUGUGGAGAGCAAGGCCAUUGGGUGAUGCAAUGUCCGAAGAAGGCAGCCCAGCAGCAGUCAGGCCCCAAUACCCCAGCGAAGCAAAACGUGUCUCAGCCUGGAGCAGGCAACCGCUCUCAGCCGCGUUAUAAUCAUGGGAGACUGAACCACUUGAAGGCUGAAGCAGUUCAGGAGACCCCCGGCAUGAUAGUAGGUAUGUUCCCGGUCGACUCCCAUAUUGCAGAAGUGUUAUUUGAUACUGGAGCAACGCAUUCUUUCAUUACUGCAUCAUGGGUAGAAGCACAUAAUCUUCCAAUUACUACCAUGUCAACCCCCAUUCAAAUUGACUCAACCGGUGGUAGAAUUCGAGCCGAUAGCAUUUGUUUGAAUGUAUGUGUGGAAAUAAGGGGGAUAGCGUUUCCCGCUAACCUCAUAGUAAUGGGUACUCAAGGCAUAGAUGUCAUCCUAGGGAUGAAUUGGCUAGAUAAGUAUCAGGCAGUUAUCAGUUGUGAUAAGAGGACAAUCAAGUUGGUGUCUCCACUAGGAGAGGAAGUGGUGACCGAGUUAGUCCCGCCUGAGCCAAAGAAAGGAAGUUGUUAUCAGAUAGCUGUUGAUAGCAGUGAAGCAGACCCAAUCGAGAGUAUCAAGGUUGUGUCCGAAUUCCCAGAUGUGUUUCCAAAGGACUUACCGGGUAUGCCACCAGAGCGGAAAGUUGAAUUUGCCAUAGAGCUUCUUCCUGGAACCGCCCCUAUCUUUAAGAGGGCUUACAGAAUAUCUGGACCAGAGUUGGUUGAGCUUAAGAAGCAGAUUGAUGGGCUGUUAGAGAAAGGUUACAUCCGGCCAAGCACCUCGCCUUGGGCCGCUCCUGUCUUGUUUGUGGAGAAGAAAGAUGGCACCAAGAGGAUGUGCAUCGAUUACCGAGCUUUGAAUGAAGUCACAAUCAAGAACAAGUACCCUUUGCCCAGAAUAGAAGAUCUGUUUGACCAAUUGAGAGGAGCCAGUGUGUUCUCCAAGAUUGAUCUGAGGUCAGGUUAUCAUCAGCUCAGGAUCCGACCUUCGGACAUUCCGAAGACGGCAUUCAUUUCCAUGUAUGGUUUGUAUGAGUUCACAGUGAUGUCUUUUGGUUUGACCAAUGCACCAGCGUUCUUCAUGAACUUGAUGAAUAGUGUAUUCAUGGACUAUCUCGACAAGUUUGUGGUGGUAUUCAUUGAUGACAUUCUGAUUUAUUCUCAAAGCGAAGAAGAGCAUGCAGAUCAUUUGAGGAUGGUAUUGCAGAGAUUGCGAGAGCACCAGUUGUAUGCAAAGUUGAGCAAAUGUGAAUUCUGGAUCAAUGAAGUCCUGUUCUUGGGUCACAUAAUCAACAAGGAAGGAUUGGCUGUGGAUCCGAAGAAAGUGGUAGACAUUCUGAACUGGAAAGCGCCAACAGAUGCCCGAGGAAUCAAGAGUUUCAUUAGAAUGGCCGGAUAUUAUCGGCGAUUCAUUGAAGGGUUUUUGAAGAUUGCGAAACCAAUGACAGCGUUGCUGGGCAACAAGGUUGAGUUCAAUUGGACCCAAAAAUGCCAAGAGGCUUUUGAAGCGCUGAAAGAGAAGUUGACUACAGCGCCUGUCCUAGUCUUGCCUGAUGUGCACAAGCCCUUCUCGGUGUAUUGUGAUGCUUGUUACACUGGUUUGGGAUGUGUGUUGAUGCAAGAGGGAAGGGUUGUGGCUUACUCGUCCCGACAGCUGAAGGUUCAUGAGAAGAAUUACCCAAUCCAUGAUCUAGAGUUGGCAGCAGUGGUUCACGCACUGAAGACAUGGAGGCAUUAUUUGUAUGGACAGAAAUGCGAUGUUUACACAGACCACAAGAGUCUGAAGUACAUAUUCACUUAGUCAGAGUUGAAUAUGAGGCAGCGAAGAUGGUUAGAGUUGAUCAAAGACUAUGAGUUGGAGAUCCAUUACCAUCCAGGCAAAGCAAACGUAGUGGCAGAUGCUUUGAGCAGGAAGAGUCAGGUCAAUCUGAUGGUCGCUCGUCCGAUGCCUUAUGAGUUGGCCAAGGAGUUCGACAGGUUGAGUCUCGGAUUUCUGAACAACACGCGAGGAGUCACAGUCGAGUUGGAACCUACAUUGAAGCGAGAAAUCAAAGAAGCACAAAAGAAUGAUGAGAAGAUCAGUGAGAUCCAGCGACUGAUUCUAGAUGGCAGAGGCAAAGAUUUUCGGGAAGAUGCAGAAGGUGUGAUAUGGUUCAAAGACCGCUUGUGUGUUCCCAACGUCCAAUCCAUUCGGGAGUUGAUCCUCAAGGAAGCUCAUGAGACAGCCUAUUCGAUUCACCCUGGCAGUGAGAAGAUGUAUCAAGAUCUGAAAAAGAAAUUCUGGUGGUACAGAAUGAAGAGGGAAAUCGCAGAGCAUGUGGCUAUGUGCGAUAGUUGUCGAAGAAUUAAGGCAGUGCACUAGAGACCAGCUGGAUUGUUGCAACCAUUUCAAAUUCCUCAAUGGAAAUGUGAUGAAAUCGGUAUGGAUUUCAUAGUCGGAUUGCCUCGCACUCGAGCCGGCUACGAUUCUAUUUGGGUAGUAGUGGACCGCUUGACCAAGUCAGCCCACUUCAUACCUGUCAAGACCAACUACAGCAGUGCAGUAUUGGCAGAGUUGUACAUGUCUCGGAUCGUUUGUCUUCAUGGUGUGCCAAAGAAGAUAGUGUCAGACAGAGGAACGCAGUUCACCUCUCAUUUCUGGCAGCAGUUGCAUGAAGCCUUGGGCACGCAUCUAAAUUUCAGCUCGGCAUAUCAUCCGCAGACAGAUGGUCAAACCGAAAGAACCAAUCAGAUUCUGAAAGACAUGUUGAGAGCCUGUGCGUUGCAAGAUCAGUCCGGAUGGGAUAAGAGAUUGCCUUAUGCAGAGUUUUCCUAUAACAACAGUUAUUAGGCCAGUUUGAAGAUGUCACCAUUUCAGGCGCUCUAUGGAAGGAGUUGUAGAACUCCGUUGCAAUGGGAUCAGCCUGGAGAGAAGCAAGUGUUUGGGCCAGACAUUCUGCUGGAAGCUGAAGAGAACAUCAAGAUGGUCCGAGAGAAUCUGAAGAUAGCGCAAUCGAGGCAGCGAAGCUAUGCAGACACAAGAAGAAGAGAGCUGAGUUUCGAAGUCGAAGACUUUGUCUAUCUGAAAGUGUCACCGAUCAGAGGAGUCAGAAGGUUCGGAGUCAAAGGCAAGCUAGCACCCCGCUACAUUGGUCCGUACCAAAUUCUCUCAAGGCGUGGAGAAGUAGCCUAUCAGCUCAGUCUGCCAGAGAAUUUGUCCGUCGUGCAUGAUGUCUUUCAUGUGUCUCAGUUGAAGAAGUGCUUGCGUGUGCCAGAAGAGCAGUUGCCAGUGGAAGGUCUCGAAGUCCAGGAGGACUUGACCUACGUUGAGAAGCCAGUGCAAAUCCUUGAGGUUGCAGACAGAGUCACUCGAAGGAAUACCAUCAGAAUGUGCAAAGUCAAAUGGAAUCACCACUCUGAGGAAGAAGCAACCUGGGAGCGUGAAGAUGAUCUGAUGGCCAAAUACCCUGAGCUCUUUGCUAGCCAACCCUGAAUCUCGAGGGCGAGAUUCUUUUAAGGGGGAUAGGUUUGUAACGCCCUGAAUUUGGGCGUAGAAUUUUUUUUCUUCUUUUCUCUCACCAAAUUCGGGCGUUACUUUUUCCUUUUUCCCUUUUCUUCUCGCUAAGCCUUGAUCUUUUCCAAAAGUAUAGCGAGAAUUAGCUCGACGUCUUGUGUAAGCAAAACCUAGAACUAUUUUUGGUUGUUGCAUCAUGCCGAAUUAUGCACUCUUGUGUUUGUGGUUGAGUGAAUUGGAGAAAUAGGCAUAUAGAAACUAUGGAAAUUAGAAAAAUAAAAGCCUUUUCUUUUUCUCUCCCCCCUUCUCCCCUUUUGGCCCAGCCGCCCCUUCCCCUUGGCCCAAGCGGCCCAGCCGCCCCCCCUCCCCUUCCCGCGUGGGCCCCGCGGCGGCUCAGCCGCCCCUCCCCCGCCGUGGGCCGUCCUGGCGGCCCAAGCCGCGCCCCCUCCCCCCUUUGGGCCCAGCCGGCCCAACCGCCCCCUCCCCUUUUUUCUUUUUUUUUUCCAAAAAUCCCCUCCCCGUGGGCCCCGCCCGUCAUCCCCUCUCUCUCUCCCUCUCCCUAACCCUAACCGCCGCCGCCCUCUCCCUGCCCUAGCGCCGCCGCUGCCCCUCCCCGGCGCCGCCGCCGCGCCGUCCUCCCCCUCCGAUGAGGCUUCUCCCCCCUCCUCCCUCCUCUCCUCCCCCUCCCUCCUCCUUCCCUCCCGUCGGCGCCCUCCCCCGCGCCAUGGGCGCGCUCGCCCGGCCCCGGCCGCCCCCGGCUCGGCCGCCCUGCCCCACCCUCGCCUCGGCCGCUCCGGCGAGCCCCCGGCCUCGCCCGCCCCCGGCCGCGCCGUCCCCGGCAUCGGCUCGCCAGCCCCGGUCGCGCCCGCCCCCGGCCGCGUCGCCUCCGUGCCCGGCCCGGCCGCCUCCCGGCGAGCUCGGCCACCCGCCCCGUGCCCCGGCUCGGCUGCCCCCGUCGCGCCCCGGCUCGGCCGCCCGCCCCCGCGUCCGGCCUCGCCCGGCCGUGUCCUCGCCCGGCCACGUCCUCGCUCGCCCGUGCUCGCUUGCCCCGGCGUGCUUGCCCGCUCGCCCCGCCGUGCCUUCCUCGCGUCGUGACGGCCCCGGCGUGGCCUCGAGCUCGGCCCAGUGUGCCUAUGGCGCGCGACUUUGAGCUCGGCUAGCGCACGACCCCGACGUGCGCACGGCUAGUUCGCGGCGUGUGCGUGUGGCCUUGCGCGCGUGCCCGCGUAUUGCACGUGCCUUGGCACGACCCGUCGUGUCCCCGUCUACCCCCCCCCCCCCCCCCCGUGUCCUAUGCGCGCUAAUCACGUGUUUAUAUUAAUAAGAUAGGAGUCUCAAUUUGGGAAUUGGUUACGUUAGUUAAUUUGUGUAGCUAAUCAUCUAUCUCAUUCAAUGUUAAUCUGCUAAAAGUGGUCACGUUUACAUUAGUGCAUGUAGCUAAUUCUUUUGUUAGAACCAAUUGGAACUAGAGCACGUAACGUUUAGUCAUUUGUUUACCCGUAGUGCGUCUCGGGCAUAAGCUUUAACUCUCGCGAGACCUUUCCCCAUUUCUUUCUAACCAUGGUGAGUUCAUUAUCGUAUGUGAUAUUCUAUGCAUAUAUACUUUAUUUGUUCUCUGUAUGGUGUACUGUUUGUUUCCUAAUUUGAAUGGAUGGAUGUGUGUAUGCUUGCAAUCGCAUAGAGAACGAUCCGGUUGAAGAGCCCGAGGAACUCGCAGGAGAAGCCCCUGAGCAGCAGUCGGUUGGUGGAGGCAAGUGUCCCAUGACCUAUCUUUGUCCUAUUCAUUCUUUAAUUCACCUCCCGCUUUACACAUUUAUGCCUAAGGAUUGACUAGCUUUGUUAUCCAUGUCCUUGUUUACCUAUUUGGGUUGGAUUAUUAUUGUUUAGCUUUAUGCUAUUGCUCAAACCCUAAUCAAUGAACAUGAUGAGAUUAUCUAUGAUACGAUGUUUUCCCCUCUCUUAUUAUGAUGUUAUACUUGUGGUCUUUAAGGGGGCUCGAGCGGUUUCUCGAGUGCCACUCCGUAAGGACCUGUUCUAUGGAUGACCGCCCGGGAAAACAGUGCAACCAUGAGGGUGGAAUGGGGUGCCCUUCGCUGAAUAAUUAGAGGAUCCGGGGUGUAGUUCGCUUAGCCGUCGUGCCGUCAAUGGGGCUCGGUGUAUGCGGCUCGCUCUGCCAAGUUUGGGUUCGCCCCUUAGGGAGGAGUGCGGUGCAUUUAGGAAACCUAACGGGUGGCUACAGCCCCGGGGAAUCUUUGUAAAGGCUACGUAGUGAUGCCCUGCUGGGUCACCUUGGUAGUGAUCAAUGGAGAGUCAUGAUCUCCGGGCAGAAAGGGAAUCACGGCUUGUGGGUAAAGUGCACAACCUCUGCAGAGUGUUUGAAAACUGAUAUAUCAGCCGUGCUCGCGGUUAUGAGCGGCCAAGGGAGCUCCAGUGAUUAGUGGUACUUGAUCAGAGAUACUUUGGUUUACAGGUGGCAAUGAGACUGAUGGUUCUGGUUAUGAAUAUGGUGCUGGUAAGUGGUAUUCUUUCCGUUUGGAAAGGGUACAUCGGGCUAAUAACUUGGGUUAAUGCUAAAACCUGGCUUUCUAUUAGUAAAUAAUAAUCUGACCAACUAAAAGCAACUGCUUGACUUAUCCCCACAUAAAGCUAGUCCACUACAGCCAAACAGGAUACUUGCUGAGUAUGUUGAUGUGUACUCACCCUUGCUCUACACACCAAACCCCCCCAUCCCCAGGUUGUCAGCAUUGCAACCACUGCUCAGGAGAAGAUGAAGCGGUGGAAGGAGACUUCCAGGAGUUCCAAGACUACGACGAGUUCUAGGCGUGGGUUAGCGGCAACCCCCAGUCGGCUGCCUGUGAAGGCCGCGUUUAUCUACGUUUCUUUUCCGCACUUUGAUUUAUUGUAAGGACUAUAUGGACGUCUCAGAUGUAUGAUGUAAUCGACUAUUAUUUCCCUUUUAAUACUAUUUAGAGCACUGUGUGAUGAUGUCCAUGUUAUGUAACUGUUGUGUACGUGAAUAACUGAUCCUGGCACGUACAUGGUUCGCAUUCGGUUUGCCUUCUAAAACCGGGUGUGACAAUAUUUGUGAAGGCUUUCAGGCAAAUGCAGGAGCCUGAAGAUAAGCUCCAAGACUCAGCUUUUCCUCUCUGUGGCUUUGGAGGCCAGCAAGUAAUGGCUCCAGGAAAGCUAAUCAUGCCCGUCACCUUCGGCUACGUCAACAACACAAGAACAUAACUCUAAGGAUAAGAAUAUCACUCUAAAGAUUCACGGCAAGAGCGCUUUCAUUUGCCAUCAUCAAAGCAAGCAUUCACGCAAUUACAAAAUCUCAUUUUGGUUAUUGAAGCUUUGGUGGACUUUGGAAAUGAGAAAGAUAAAUGGACUUUCAUUUGGAAUCGCAAUUUUUCUUAGUUAAAAGAACUUAUAAAAUCCUUUUGGGGGUUGCUCUACUCACCCAAUCAUCAAAUGGCUCUAGAGGUCUUUAACACAACUCAAGCAUAAAAUCUUUUUCUAGCUUCUUCUCAAUAAUAGACUAAACACAAGAGAGUUAUUGCAAAAAAAGAACCUUUCCCUGGAUUCCUAUGAUUGCGAAAUAUGUAUUUGACAAAAAUCUGAAACUAUUGGCCACCUAUUUUAGGUGCAAUUUCGCUAGAAGAUGCUAGAGCAAGAUUAAUAUUUCCUUCUCCCAACAUGUCAAUGCCUCCCAAGCAUAAUCUCGAUGAAAUCAAAGCUAGCAGUUCCUUUUGUGAUGGACAUUAUCAUUCUUAUGACUUGGGUAAUCUAGAAGCAGAGAAAUGAAUGGUUUUUGCAUGGAUUAGACCCAUCGCUCAUGUCUUGCUAUAGUGACUUCAAAGAGUUUUUUAUCUUCUCUUGCAUAGGAUGUAGCAGAAAAAGAAUUUCUCCGCUACUAAACUUUGGAGAACAAAUCUUCCUUAACUUUCAUAAUUUUAUUUUUGUAAUUUCAUUUUUAACCUCCAUGAACUAUUUUCUUUUAAUAUAUUUUUAGUAGGGGCUUUUGCCCCUACUAUUCAUUCAACCAAAAAGCCAAAUAAAUGAUGAACCAUCCAUAGUAACGUCCCAAAUCUAAUCUACAACAUGUAUCAUGUCUAUGACCCUAGGAGCAUCCGCUAUUGUUAUAUGAUGAUCUUGCACGUGAACAUGGAUAAGAACCUCCAAAGAGGUCCAUCUAGAGUAAACAAUGAGACUAAAAGUGUAAGGCAGGGCAGCAGAUGUGUAUCAAUCUCUCUAGCUUCCACAUGCACAUGUUGUAGUUUGCAUGUUGUGCAGUGUACACAUCUACCGGUGUAGAAUCGAUCUAAUGACAUGAAAGUGUCACACAAAAAUAGAUUUAAACUACACAAGCUAACAAGCAGAUUUUGCCAACACCAACACUUAACACAAGAUCUACCAGGGUAUGGUGAUAAUAACAUACUACCUUGACAUAAUCUACUAGAAGUGAUAUCAAGGAAGCAUAGCGCUUACCUUGGGAUACUCUUGUGAAAAGGGGUGGUGAUGCGCUGAUGAGAUGAGAAGCAUGCGCUGCUUGGAUGAACAAAUGUCUUAUGUCUAUUAUGGUCAUAAAUUGAUAUAUUUUAUAGUCUAUGGACUUGAAGUGAUAAGCACUUCCUAACCAACUUUUAAUCUGAUCUAAAAGCCAAUAUAAAACACAUGAACCAGAGGUUAUAUCCUUCUACCUAGGUUGAAUAUAUAUGAUGUCGAGUCCAUCGGCUAGAAAAGGUUGCACCAAUUCGGCUAGGACUUGGUACCAACAGAUGUAGAUUGGAUGGGAUACAUUGAUGAUAAAAUAAGUUGCUUUGCCAUCUCUUCAUCUGCAAAGAAUUCUCGAUGUAAAAACACAUAGACAAAGGCAUGAUCUUGGAAUAGGGAAAAUAAUGGAUCCAAAGGUUCCAAAACAAUUGGCUUAUUAAAAAAUGCCUUCUUCUUUGGAUAUAUCUCAUGUUUUGUACUGCAUUCUUCCACUCUGCAAGAAGUCCAAAUCAGUCACUAGCAUCUCCCUUUUUAUGAUAAAUAUACCAAAAAUAUUUUGAAUAAAUAGUAGUAUCUCACAAUUCAUCCUCUUUAAUCUGCUUGGACCUACUCUAAUACACAUAGGAAAAUCUCUAGUCAUAUUCAGCAAACUAGUCCCUACAAUCAAAUAGAUUGUCCCAAGGAUCCCAUAUUCUAGGAGCCCAAAUUAUGCUAUUGGAAAUUUAUUCCUCUAGCAGUUUUAGUUUAACCAUUUUGUUUCCUUUUUCAAACUCCACUUCUUCUCAUACAUCGUCCCUAAUCAAAGAGAUAAUAGCAUUGAUUUCAAAACAUUUCUGAUGUAUUCCUUAGUUUGGACUAACAAAGUAAUGUCACUAGAUUAUCAUCAAUUCAACUACAAUCUUAUUCUCUCGGUAAGGAUUGCACCCAAGCACCUUCUACUUCUAAUAGGCCAUGAACUAUAGAUAGUGAAGAAUUAUUAUGUGUGAGCCCAUAAGAAGCGACCCACUUUGUCAUCAGUUCAAGGAAAAUACCAAGAUCUUGUAGUACCAGUCUACUAGAAAAACUCAAAAUAGAAAGAAGUCUUGUUAAUCUCUUCAUGCUCGAUCCAAGUUUGAAGUACCAUUUGGCCAAAUAAAAACUCGCUUUCAAACAUGAUUGCCUCUUUAUAUAGAUAGAUCUACGGAUUAUUUCUUAGAAGUCUAGUUUAUCAAAGAUCCCCUCCUACCAGAUAGAAAAGGGUCGCAUGAUCUCAAGCCAGUCUUAUCUUAGCUUGCAAACCCAAAGUUUGUUUAUGAAGACAUAAUCUGAUUGUAUUACCUUCUAUAAUGGAUUUCUUAUGUGGAAUAAUGGAUAGGACCUCAGAUUCUAGUAGGUUGUUGUGCUGGCGUCGGUCAGCCAUACGAUGGUGAAUAUGUUCUUGGGCCUUGUACAUGGCACCCAUAAAAGAUUUUGUAGUAUUCCUUAGACCUAAUUUAAAUUCUUGUAGUGCACCUGUUCGUGACACGGUUUUGGACCGAUUCGAGCUUUUAGGUGUCUGAUUUGUGAUCCGUUUGUUUUGUUGGUCUCGUCUGGGUAUUAAGAAUAUUUUGAAAUCAUGAGAUCACUGGUUUGUUGAUGUGAUUUUGGUUUGAGUGUUUACUUCAUUUCAAUUGGAGUGAAGUGCUCAUUUUCAGUGUUUAGCAGCAAAAUUUGAUUGGCUCUAUUUACCCCUCUGGUUGUCUCAUCGUUCCUUCAAUAAAGUUCAACCAAACAUUUCUUGGUCCAGAAUACUACAACAUUAUUAAAUAUCAUAGUAUUGUAUUGGAUUUGUAAAUAAACAUUGCUACCAAAGAAGCCCUAAGCCUUACGAGUUCUUUCGGUAGGACUGAGAGUUUCCAUUAAUUCAUGGGCACCUCUCAAACUUCUUUCUGAAUUUAUGAAUGACUUCUUUUAGCUGAAGGAAAAUGCAGCUUACCCUUAUGAAGAUAAAAAGAUUUGACGAGGAUACUUAGGGUUGGUUUGGUGACAAGGGGAUCCCGAGAGGAAAUAAACUAAUUUCUCUCUCAAUCCUCUCCGAUCCUCCCGGGAUCACAGGUCACCAAAUCAGCCAUUAUUGGUUUCCAGGAAUCUCUCGCAAGCACUGAGCUAAUUUUAAUACUCACUUCAAUUCUUCUGGAUCCAAAGUAAAUUGAUUCUUUCGUUUCAUUAGGCUAUGUCUAGCGGACGCCGAACGCACGCGCCACGGCAGUUGCAUGCUCGAUAAGAAAAGUAACCGUUUUCAGCAGUAUGCGCAUUCGGAUGUGCAUCCUCUCUCACAGGAGAGAGAAAGCACGGAUAUACACGGAUCUCGUAGAGAGAGAAAACAUUCAAUCACAGUUGCAAAUCAAACAACAUGUAGCUUACGUAGGAAUUAUCCAUAGGAGGGCCAUGUAUUUGAAGUCGAUAUGCUAAUUCCAUAAUUACCUUGGCUCAGCAAAAGUACGUCGCGUGAAAGAAGCAAUCGCAUACAUGGCAGAUUGCUUGAAUACUAAUUGCCAUCUAAUAAAUAGAUCUGGACUGUUCAUUUCGGCUUAAAGUCAGUUGUUUGAACUGCUACAGCUGUAAUCAAUAGAGACAAAAACAUUGUAGAAUCAAUAGAAACCAUACAGAUAAGGAACACGCAUGCUAGCAGGCUCCAAAGCACCUCACACUUCUAAAUGUAUGGCACAAAUCUUGCAUGUCUAAUUGUAAUAUGGUUCGUUGUUUAGCACAAACGACUAAACGAGACAGAAAAAAAAAAGAUCACUACUGCACUCAUAAGUACAAAACUUUGAUCAGGGAGCCAUCAACAGCACAGUGAUACAUGGGAAUAUUCAUAUUUCAUGUCAGCUUCAUUCGACAUGAAAUAAUGAUUACGUGUAACAAGAUGAAAAUGCACUGCAUUCUGAAGUAGGAAGACAAUGGGAAUAGGUUAAGUACAACUAAUAAUACUUCUUUAAUAUCAGCAGCAUCUCGUGUCAUCAACUAGGAUCGAAACUUUACUAGCAGUAACAUCUCAUAUUGUUUGAGUGUCAUCAACUGGUAAAUGAAAACACAAGUGACAGCAUUCCGUAGGAUAUUUCUUUUUCAAGAAACUACUACACGACUAUCAGUCGGCCAUGCCUUAGUAGAACCUCCGACGACACAGCGAAGAACUAUAUUGACAAACUUUGGAUUUCAUUCUUCUAUUCACACCUUGGACACGAUCUAUUUCAGAGUUAUUAUAGUCAUAAGUCAGUUCCUGUAGUGGUGGAAUUGUCUCUGCAGCAAAGAACAUAAUAUGUGGCAUCCUUUUGUCACCAUGGUCCCGGAGAACAUUUUGUGCUUGAAGAUUUGGUGAACAGCUGUGGUUGAUGAACCUUCCGAUGUUUCCAUACACAGAUGCAUCUAUAGUGAAGCGCACAUCUUCCAUGGCCUGGGAGCAAGAGCUAGAAGAGUUCAAACCUGAAACAUUUGAUAGCAACACACUGCUAACAUUCUCGUCAUCAUAGUUAAGGCCUACAUCAAACAAGUAAUUGUUGUUCCUUCUCUUGUCAGCCGCCUUUUGAUGCUGCACCUCACCGAUAUACUCACAUAUGAAGCUGCCAGCAGGAAUGGACCAUAGAGAUCUUACGCCCCAACCUGUCUUGGUUGUCCUGAAUACUUCCAGUGGUAUUUUCAUAUCAUGCUGACUGACCCUGUUGCGGCACGACGGAGGACAUUUACAAGAUGAACCACACUCAAAUAUCACAGACUUCUCAUUGAGAAUUGCGCCACUUAAGUCAAAUGGGAUCUCCCCUCCAUUCUUCACAGCACAGGCACAGCUCUCAGAGUCUGAGCAACCAUUGGUGCAGUCACAACCCUGAUUGUGUUUUUCUGUAAGCCCAAAUGGAUAUCUAAUUCUAGUGGUGUAUUGGAAAGGUCCAGGUUGCACAUCAUCGACUGUAUUAAUGACACAGAUGGGAGUGGCUUCCUUCCCUUGAGAUAUAUCAGUCAUGCACAGGCCUGGACGGCUUUUGAAGCUCUUCAAUCUUUUAGCUAUGUGCAUAGGAAGUUCUGGUUGCCCAUGAAUCUUUUUUAACUUGUACUUAAACACCCUUGAACCUGGUUUACCAUCCAUCCAGAAAUCCACCACUAAAUACAAUCCAUCAUAAGUGUAUUUUGGGAUUAGUUUGGCCCCCGAAUGACUGCCUCGAUCGGUAUUCCGACACUUAAAUCCAUGAAUCACUCUUACAGGAGUCUUUGUUUUGAUGCAAUUCUUUAGUGCAAGGUUCCCACACUUAAGCUUUUGAUCCUCAUCUUUCUUCUUAACAGCAGACUUCCCGCCAGAACCAGUGUAUAUCAGUUCACCUGAGCAACCCAAUUCAUCAGGAUAACCUCCAGAAGCAACAAUGCUUAUUGCAAUAAGCAUGCCAUUUCUAUAUGUGGUGGUGGAAAUGCCUCUCCGGUACUCACUAUGUAGACCAGCAAUAGCAAGCUGAGCUCUGUAUAGAAACUCAUCACCAACUUCAACUCCAGGAACUUGUCCCACAAUAGGACCAUGUUUAGUAAAACCUGGUAACGCCUUCAUUACUUUAGCAGCUUCAUUGUCAAUUCUCAUCUUCAAUGAACGCUGCUCCAUAGUUUGUACAAGCGUCCUGCAUACAAACUCAAACAUCCUGCACAACAUUUUAAAUCUGCUCCUAGCAUCUGCAUUCAUGUAUCUAUAUUGCCUUUGACACCUCACAGAAGGCAGGCCUGAUGAACUAUUGAGGUAAAGCUCGAGAUUUCUUUCAUUUAAAACUAUUUCCCUAAAUAUGUCAUGAAUUUUCAAGUUGGAAGCCACCUCAUCAUCCCGUUUGCUCUUACUACCCGAGGCAAACAUCCUCUGUUGAUGACCUAGAGCUUUUGCCUUCACCAUCCUCUUGUGACCAAAGAAAUCCCUAGUUGUGGCAGCCUUCUUUUUGUGUGUCAUGGGCAUGGGGCACAUGUCUGCAGACAUGGGAGCUUGCAUAACUCGAUCCUUAGUGAGCUCAACAGAGUCCUGAAUCCCAUUUGUUGUUACCCACCUUUCGCGUACGGUUUCCUUCUUGCCUUUGGAAAAUGGUAUAUGCUGAGCAUCUGUAACAAAUUUCUGAACCACAUUGUCUGGCUUGACUGUGCUUUGAUUUGUAAACAUGUCCUUACUUCCCAACACAGUGCCCUCACCAGACACUUCUGCUGCAACAUCAGAAGAUAUCAUCCUGUUAAUCCUACCACUGUCAGAUACUAUCUUACCCAUCACGGGUUUUUUGGAAGAAUUCUUAGAAAAAGAUGCAGCAACAGUGUUGUAUCUGUACGAAGUCCUACCAUAUUUGUUCAUCACCUUUCUAUCUUUUACUAGUGCCCAUGACAGCGUCUUCCUUCCAAAGUUCCCACUUAAACCAGGGAAAUCUCUUGCAGAAACAUCCCUAUAAGAUGCAGGAUCAAGCAGAACAGCAUCGGAAGAAACCUGAGACCCCCAAGCCUUCUUGGAGGGAACCUCUCCAUUCUCUAAUUUGCCAUCUUGUACAGCUCCAGCACUAGUACCAGUGCAAGCAGCAACAAUUUCCACAGCACGUCCAUCAGCCAAAGAACUACCAUGAGCACGCCCAGACUCCAAUGGCCGAUGCACCUUGCUAUGGCAACCGCCAUCCUUUCCAUGGCCAGGUAGCAAGGUGCGUGUGGUAGAUAUGAUCUCUGGCUUUGGUGGAAAUCGUGCGCCGGUCACCGGGCCCUUCUUCCCCCGCAGCUCAUCAAUCCUUGCUCCCCUUCCUCUGUCAUGUGCAGCAGACGAUUUCACCAAUCCAGCAUCAUGACGAUCUGUGUUCGACAUUGGAGCAGCUCCAUCCCUGGCACACGGCUUUUUGAGAACCCUCGUGCCAGCAGCUUUGGGGGACACCGCUCUCGACAUCACACCAACACCAACACCAUCCUUGAGGCCCGCGAGGGGACGAGCAACUGCCGGCUUCUUGAAUGCAUCAGAAGCUCUGUUCUCACGUUGCCCUUCGUAUCGUGUCCGCAAACCUCCGUCGGCAUCUGCACCAGCGAGCGGAGCAGGAGCAGCCGAGGUCCACCUGGAGGCGGGUGGGAACUGCCGAGUGACGGAGACCGCCCUCCGCUUGGGCGGUGGGAGCACGGGCGCAGCAGACGGGCGCUUGCUCACAAGAACACCACCUCGUCCGCCGCCAUCCUCCUCCCGCGGCGGUGGAGCCUCACCACCAGUGGCGACGGUCGCAGCAUUCCGUCCCACAGGGUCCGCGCUGGCACUCACCGCCACCUCACGGUCCGCCACGCCGCCGCGCCUCGUGUACCGCCCGCCCGCCUCCUCUCCCGCGCUCCGACGCGCUCCCCCGCCGCCGCUGCCUCCCUCGCCUCGAUGACCAUUGGCUGUGACAUGAGGAGGACGCCGAAGCGGAGGCGGCGGGCGACGCAGAAAGACGCGGCGGGUGCCGCGCUGGUCGCGCGCGCGGUUGAAGUUGGCUCCGGUCCCCGGAGGCCGCGCCGAGUGAGGCAUGACCUGGCCCAAGCACGAAACAAAAGCGCACGAGAUCAACAUUCGCCAUUCGCAGAGCACCACCGUAGAAAAAAAAGAAAACAGAGAAAAACGAAGCCGGAGGAGAGACGCCACGUGGAGGGAUACGCGCACGGACUCGCUCACCUCUGAGCUUUCAACCAACGGCGGCGUCGACGAUGUAGAGGAGGAGAAGCGCGCCGCCGACGAGGGCACCCUGGAAGUUCCACCAGAGGAUCCGGUUGGGUUGAGGAGAGGCAUAGAGCGGUUGGGGUUUUAGAAUUUGGAAUUGGAGGCCGAAACGGCGAAACGACAGUGCCUUGCGCGGUUGCGCCCUUGCCUGAGAAUGGGGAGGACGAGCGAGUGGGACCGGGCCCUGGCUCACGGGCACGUGGCCUGGGCCAGGGGCACGUGGCCUGGCGUGCGGGAAGUUUGGACUUUGGACUCGAGCUUGACUGCAUGACUGCCAGGUCCGAGAUGGGUCCCUCGGAGUCGAAACGGAUAUGCACACGGCGCGACCUGUCCGGCUGUCCGUCGUCUCGUGUCGUGUCGCUUGCGAUUGCUCUAAUUCUCACGAAAAUCUCCCUUCCCGGAUGAAUCAAUUCCUUCCUAAAAUCUGGGAAAGCGAAAUUAUCAUAAAUCAUCAUGUUAAAAAAUAUGUUCUACAACUACAAUAUAUCUAAUAAUAAUAAUACUAACUUGAUGUCAUGUCAUAAGUAUUGAUGAUUUGUUUUCAAAGUUCAGUUAAAGUUUAAAAUUUUUUAUUUAAACUAACGUCCCUCUUAGUUGACACCCCAAGCAAAUAGCCACCGAAUUAACCAAUUAUUAGCCGGGUCAAUAAGGGUGUGUUUGGUUUAACUUUUGACAUUGACUUUUGCCCUCUAAAAGUCAAAAGCUAAAUCAAAGGUCUAGAUCUAGGAACUAGUUUUUUCUAAAAUUCAACUUUUUUGCAGUACAAAACUGAAAACACCUUCGGAUCUGCUUUUAGUGGCUUUCGAAUGGAACUGUGAAAACAUAUAUCGAAUAACUUUUAACAACUUUUAGUGAUUUCGACCAAACGGUUUUAGCUUUUUAAUAGUUUACAGUCUAUAAUAGUUUUUUCCACAGCUCACAGCUCUUAGCAGCUUUUUUCACAGCCACAGCCCAACCAAACAGACUCUAAAUCAGCCAGAGGAUGGUAAAAACCGACAAUACUAUAAAAUAGUUAUGUUUAAAUGAUAACAUAUUUUUGUUAUAAUUGACAUCCGUUAAUACUAAUAACAUCCUACAGAGAGUAUUAGGGGGUGUUUGGUUUCUAGGGACUAAUUUUUAGUCUCUACAUUUUAUUCCAUUUUAGUUCCAAAAUUGCCAAAUAUGGAAACUAAAACUCUAUUUUAAUUUCUAUAUUUGGCAAUUUAUAUACUAAAUUGGAAUAAAAUGAAGGGACUAAACAUUAGUCCCUUGAAACCAAACACCCCCUUACAAGUCUCACUGAAAAUUAAAGAAAUAUCCAAUUUGACUGGGCAGAAAGGAAGAUCACUGUACUGGGGCGCUGGGCAGUAGUGCAGGUGUGCAUUGUUUGAAAACUAUGGAAAUCUACCAUAAUUUUCUUCCGUGAGAAAGUUUGCUGAACCGAUAUUCAAAUGUUUUUGCCCCAAAGCAAGCCAGAGCCAAGCAGAGAGUAUGUGUGGAGCAUCUUCGCCUCGAUGUAUAGAGAGGUUUGUGGCCUGAUUGGUUGUCUUCCUAGUGAGUCAGUCUCGCACCACGGAAAUUUUGGUAAUAUCAUCAGCCCUCUGGUGGCCUCUCGUGGGUCACCGUCUCACCGAUGAUAAUCUCUUUGUAUUUGCCUUUAUCGGCCGCAUUAGAUCGAACCAGGACUUUCUUCUCGUCAAAAUUGAUCAUAUUCAUCGGAAGGGGCUCUGUGUCCACCUAUAUUUCUUGAAGCUUUAAUCAGCCCUUGUUGAUGGCUGAUUGGACCUGUCGUCGAAAUAUAUUACAAUCAUUAGUGGCAUGAGAGAACAAAUUAUGUCACUUGCAAUAAAGCACAGCGUUUAAGCUCGUCGGCAGCGGAUGUAAUCGUGUGAUUUAUUUUAGUAUUGCCACUUUUGAGUAACUCGACAAAUAUUCUGUCACAUUUGCCAACAUUGAAUGUAAAUUUGACCUCUUCUUGUCGUCUCUUCUGAACAGACUGCAAAGAGGAAUAAACUGAAGAUUUGGCCUACUUUGACGAAACCAUCUCGGCAACGUAUACUUCUUGUGGUUCGUCGUCCGAGCUACUCUAGUCACAUUCUACCACAUAGACAUAAUGAUGAACUGAUUUAGAUGUGUCUUUGCUUCGGCUUUCGCAAAUCAAAGCUCUCUGGUGUAAUUGAGCUAGCGUAAAAAAUGAAUGUCUUCUAAUCUUUCUUUCAAGUAGUAUCACAUUCCAUUAAAAGCUAAUCCUGCUAGCUGUUUUUCUGUAAUGUGAAUUUGAAAACAUUGGUUCCUCAUGUCCCGAAAGGCCGAAACCUCUGGAUGUAAUCAUUAACCGAUUCGUCCUUCCCUUGUCGUAAAGCUACUAAAUCUAGCAGAUCUAACUCAUAAUCGCUGGAGAAAAAAUGAUCAUGAAAUUUCUGUUCUGAACCCCCACAAAAAACUAGAGUUUGGAGGUAGCGUGGUGUACCAUGCGAAUGCAGUCCCUGUUAGAGACAUUGAGAAUAAACGAACGUGGAACGUCUCUGUGUCAGCCAAUUCUCCUUACUAUGCUAGGAACUGGCCUAUGUGCUCGUGUGUGCUCUUACCCUGGUCACCCAAAAAAUUUGCAAAUUUGGGUAUCCUUGUUUCCUGGGGAUAUGGGUGGUAGUCAAAUCGGAUGUCAUAAGGUUUCCUAUAUGACCGUCCCCCAGGGCCAUGCUAACUUCGAGCUUGUGUCAGAACGCUCCAGCUAUUUCUUCCCUUACUAUGUCAAUGGCGGGCAGUGGUAGCCCACCGGCCCUUUAGCCUAUACAUGGUGUGGGCGUUUAUGUAUUAUGUUGCUUACGUGCCUAGGAGUUUGGGUUCUGUGAAGCAUUAAUGCUUAUCCUGGGGCAACUCAUAUGAUUGGUCAUCUCUUCCCGCCCUCCUAGGGGACCAAAAAGUGCUCACCCCAUGCAUCUGUGGGGUGGUGCUAUGUUGUUGAGGAGUCGUAGGGAGUAAGGGGAAGCUUGGCUGAGACGGGUAUACAGAUGGGUGAUAAUAAUUUGCAUCGUGAUUUGUAUACUCUGCAUCAGACUGACCGGUCAGAUGUGCGGACCGUCCAACUGUGCACACAGACUAUCCGACUACGUAGCCGGACCUUCCGUUUGUAACACCCUAGUGUUACGAUAACUAAAACUUUGGUAUGUCAUCAUCUGCACUUACAUUAACUUGUUUGAUAUACCUAGAAUGCAAUCACUAGGUUAAAUUUUUCCAAAAGUGUGAUGUUGUGCGUUGGGUUUAGGGUUUAGUUUAACGACUUGACAUAAGCUAAACAAGAUAGAUCAUCUUUUGAGCAAGUGACAAAUUGACUUGGAGCCUUAAGUGCCAAGCGGCAAGACUUAGAAUCUAGAGCAACUUUACUUUCAAAGGUAGAUCAAGUGGAAGAAACACUUGAAGAAAGUGAAGAACAUAUGAAACCCUGAAUUAGCUCCCAAAGUGGAAUUCAAAAUCCAGAGAAAAGUGGAUAAAAGUUCAUAUACCAAAGUUGUAGUAUUUAAAAAAGUGAACAACUUUUAUAUUUGGAGAUUCCCAUGUUCUGUGAAAGAAUUUGGAGUUAAGUACAAAAAUUCAGUUGAGUUCAGAUUGAAAUUUCUGAAAAUAAUAUCAACUAGCCAACUUUGGACCAUUGUAACUUUUGAUUUAUAAGCAGUUUGGAGAUGGUCGUUGUAGCUAAGUUGUAGAGCUAUCCUAGGUGAACAAACUUGUUUAAGUUACUUAACCUUAAAGCUAUAUGGAACUAGGUGUAAAACUGGUCCAAAUUGGGAAUAUGUGAAUCUGAAUUUCAGAUUUAGUGCACAUUCAGCACUGCAGUUUUUGUAUUUUGAAUAAACCUUGGAGCCUGUUGGCUGACCUAUACAGUGAUUGGUUAAAGUUUCUGUACCAAAGUGAAAGACCACAUGUUGAUGUAUAAGUUUGGUUGAUGGUUACACCCUUGAAACUAUUUGGAACUGGAUAAACAGUAACCCAAAAAUGUAAUGUUUAUUUCUGGGUUUCAGACUUGGUAUAAAAUCCAGAGUCUAAAUUUGUGUUUGAUGCCAAAUUUGAGCCUCUGUAGUUUGGAAUUCAGGAGGAUUUAGCUAUGGGUCACUAUAUUAAAUUUGUAGAGGAACUAUAGGAGUAUAAAAAUUUAUGAAGAAACUUGCCCCUAAAACUAUAUGCUACUAGUAUAAAAAGGUAGUCCAAUGAGGGGUUAACAGAUCUCUGCAUUUUCAGAUUCAGAACAGUACACUAAGUCUGAAAUUGCAGCGUUUUGGCUGAUUUUGGAACUCAUUUGUGCCUAAUACAUAGGGUGUUGGGCUGUGGAGUAUAUAUAGAAGUUAAAGACUAUAGUUUGGUGAGAAAGAGUCUUUAAGAGUUAAGGGUUUGAUCCUGCACAAAAGUUGGAGAAAAGGUUGCUCAAGGUUGGACUGUCAGAUGGUGGUGACUGAGUUUAGUUCAGAAGCUGAAACUGAAUAUUCAGUGAAGUUGGUUCAACAUUGAAAUACUUUAACUUUUAAACCAUGAGUCUUUAGUUAUUGGUCAUGAUAGCAACAUUGUAGAGCUAUUGUAGUACAAACUUGGCUAAGCUACUUGACCCUAGAGCUACAUGGAAUUAGGUGUAAAAAUUGCUCAAAGUGGUGCGGUCAGGUAGUGAUGCACUGAACUAGGUUCAGAUUAACCAAUUCUGAGUUCAGUUCUUUGGGCUCAACUUUAGAGGCUCCUUGAGACAAUUCUAUGGAGUUGUAGGUCAUGCUUUAUAUAGCAAGUUGUAGACCAAAGUAAGACAAACAAGUUUCUUAAAGAGAGGUGGACUUGGUGCUACACAAAAAUGGGAGUAAAAUGGGUCCAAACCUUCUCUGUCAGCCUGUGAGUGGUCUGAAUUUGAUUUAGUUAUCUGUAGUUCAAUCGGUGCGUGAGUCCCAGUUUGGGGCUCUUUUGUGGCCAGUUCAUGAGGAUUUGGACUGGGAAUUUUAUAGUACAGUGAGAUACUAAGUUAUAGUGAAUAAGUUUUGUGCACAGAGUUGGUCUUAGUACUGUAUACAAUUUGGGAAAAUGGAUCCCAAGUCAGGCUGUCAGGUUUGGUACUGUACUGUUGUAGACAGUGGAAAUUGGACAUUUCAGUGUUUUUACCCAACUUUGGAGCCUUGUGGUAAUUACUCCAAGAGAAAUGUGGUAGGGAUUUCACAGCCAAAUGAAAGACCACAUCAAGUACAACAAGUUUCAUACAAAUAAUGGACUUGUUACUGUACAAAGUUGAGAGUAAAAGGUGUCCGAAACUUCUCUGUCAGAGUGAGUGCGGUGCUAUUUCAGUUCGCUGAAAAUGAACUUUUCUAUGAUUUUGCUCUGAUUUGAGGUAUCAUAACUUUUGAUUAGUAUGGUUUCAGUCUGAGGAUGCUAUGCCAAAGUGGUAGAGCUAUGUCUAGAGAAUAACUUUGAGUAAGUGAGUUAGGUCUGUUGUUGAGGGGAAUUGUGAGAUACCAGGGGCUUAAAUAGGGAGGUGUGGAGAUGGGCAGCAAGCUUAAGACAGUUGAGUUCAGGGUUUCAUUUGAAAACUGAAGAAGAAUCACCCCUGCUGCUCUCACUCGUGUAUGUGAAUGAAGAUGAGAAUGAAAUAUAUCACCAAGGUCUAGAGACCCCAGUUCCACUGUAAAUAUUCAGUUUGGACUAUAUGGGAGUAGUGAGCAGUGGGUAUUAAUUACUUUUGUUUGUUGUCUGCACUUGAAGACAAAAGGUAAUACUUGUGAGUAUAGUUUGGGAAGGAAAAGAGAAGAUUUUCAUCCCUUUGUUGUGCUCCAUUUCGUGCACAAACUGAGAUAAGCUUGGAGUGGGCAAUAAAGAAUCUAGAGACUCCUCUCCACUGUAGAAAUAUCAACUUGGUAUCCAUUUGAGUCUGUCCCCAAGUAGAGUAAAUAUCUGUUUUGUUUGCUAGCUACAAAACUGGACAAAAGUGAUAUUUGGGUUGAGUUGUGCUGAUCCAACAAGGUAUUUGUACAUGGGAGCCAGGUGUGUUGACCAUGCAGUGCUGACAUCCUGUGGACUUCUCUCCACCGUGUGUGAACAAGUACAGUAAACCACUGCCUUAGUCUUCCCAUCUCCUACUUAAUUCAUGGUCCAGUAGGCCCUGCAGUCCUAGAGCUCGAGUGAUAUCCUUGGCUCUUGUACCCUAUGUUUCCCCAGAGUUAAUCCCCUUCCAGUCUCUUGGUCCAUCUACCCGGAGCUUGGUGUACCAGUCCUGUUAGGAUUUAUGGGCUUGGCCCAAUUAAGAAAUUCUAAUAAAUCCCAGGAAAAUCUCAAAAGCCCAUACAAGUGGAUGGCUAGGGAAUUGGUGGAACCAAUAGCACCAUAUUGCUAGUUCUAGUGGAGUAGAGCUAGCUUAAAUAUGGAAGCCACACUCACUCACCAAGUCAUGGAUGAGAGGAGAGAGUGUGGAGAGCCACACGCGCGCGCGCGCUCGCUCGCCUCGCCUCGCCGGGGCGGGGCGAAGGGCGCGGGCGCACGACAUGCGCGUGAAUGGUCCGCCGAAAUCCGGCCCCUCGCCUUGCGGGGGCGCGGCUUCCUUUUGCCGUUUGAUUUUUUGGUUACUUGGCUGUUACGCUUAUCCUAACCGAUCGCUAUAAAAUCUCAACUGAUUGCGAGAUUUUCGUGGGCGGAUAAGCUCAGGGGUCGCAGACUCGGCCCUAUAUAAGGAGCCCGGCAGCCAGCCUCCAAAUCAUCCCAGUUCGCUUUCGCCUCUCUUCAUAGCUGAGCCGCCUUUUAGUUCCCUUCGUCCCGACCGCAGAGGUGCAUCUGUGAUCAGGAGAGCAGGUCUCCGGAACCCUUCGUCUUCUAGAUCCUGCACCGGGAGAGGGCGAAUAAGGUUUUUGGGAAGCGUCUUCACGCGACUGCUCGUGAUCUGCUGACCUCGUCGACCCUGCUGAUUUCGCUACUUCGACAUCGUCGACCCUGCUGAUUCCGGCGCGUGCCAUCUAUCAGUAAGUCUAAUCAGUAUGCAUCAUCUGAUUUGGCUUGUUAUUUCAGUUCUUCUGAUUUGGUCAUGAUUUAUAUUCGGAAUUUAAACUGGAAUUUGUCUAAUUAUUCAACAAGUCCCUGGGUGGUGACCAUUGUCGACAGUUAGUCCACCUCGCCAUGACCAAGUAACUUCAAGGGUUUCCUUAGCCUAGUUGUGCAUGUUUUGUGAUCUGCAUAAGAUAAUGAAGCUCAUAUGAUGGUGAACAAUCUACUUAAGACAAUUUGGUUGGAUGCUAUAUGAAAAUUGGAGUAAAAGAUGCCUAAAGUUGGGCUGUCAGGUUAGCUGUGAUUAAGUUUAUUUAGUUCCUGGAAUCUGUAUUGCAUCACAUGGUGCUCAGUUUAGAGCCCUUUAGGCAUCAAACCAUGUGGUUUUGGACUGAAGUUUCUAUAACAAACUUGGAGACCAAUGUUAGAGGGAUAAUACUUGGUAGGGGUCAUGCCAUUGAAACUACAUAGAACUAGGAGUAAUGGUGCCUAAAAGUGUGAUGUCAGACUUAUUUUCUCUAAACUGGAUUCAGUUAACUGAAAACUGGAAUUUCAAUGUUGGUGAACAGUUUGGAGCUCUUUGGUGACCAAAUCAUGGGGUUUUAGGUUAGGAGUUCUAUAACAAAGUGAAAUACCAAGGUAAGGCAAACAAGUUUCAUGUGAAUAACUGGGCUUGUUACUAUGAAGAAAUUGGGGGAAAAUCUAUUGUAAAACUCUAUGUCAGACUUGGUAUAGAGCUGUUUUAGUUAAGCUGAAACUGGACUUUUCAGUAGAUUUUGUUCUACUUUAGUGCCUCAUAGCUAUUGCUCUGGCCUCUGUGUAUUUUCAGUCUUGGAGUAUUGUACCAAAGUGGAAGAGCAAUACUUAGGGAAUAGAUUUGGCUAAGUAAGUGGGUCUCUUGUCAUGUGAGUUUGUGAGAUAAAAGGCAUUGAACAGAGAGGAGGAUGGAGCAGCAUGACUGAUGAAAUUGGAUUCAGUGUUUAGUGGGGUUACUGAAGAUUUUUUUGUCCCUGCUGGUUGCACUUGUUUGUAGGGAUGGAGAUAAGGUUGUAGUGCAUAUUUGAAGGUGCUAGAGGUCUCACUCCCUGCUGAAAGUAUACAAGUUUGUAAUGAUUUGGGGUGUAGAAAAAAAGAAAAAUCUCCUCUCCCAGCUGUCCUACACUUCUGGGCACCAAUAAAGAUAAGUCUUGAGUGACGACAAAGAGUCUAGUGGUCUCAUUCGCUUCUGAAAUAUCAAGUACCGCACCUGUUAGUGCCUAUCCACAGAUGGGGUCUUAUCUACCUUAGUUCCAUGUCUAUAGAAAGGGACAAGUUGGAUAUUUGGCUGGGUGAGCUCGACCAGAUUUAGCGUCCUGGCUAGGCUUGAAUGUUGGCGUGGUGUUGGUGCUUGUAUGCCAUGUAUUUUGUGUCCAUGUUGUGCUGGCACCCUAGGAGUCUUUCUCCACUGAGUUGUAUACAAGUUCAGAGAUAACUGCUUACAUGUUGAGCUACCUUGAGUGCUGAGUUCAGUAAAGUUCCUCCCAGUCCUCGAGUUCCAGCAUUUGUUCACUACUUGUGUGAGGUGUAAACUUUGUGAAGCUUUAUUAUAUCUUCUUUACAUGUUGCAUAAGCAUAAGUAUUCAUGGACAUAUCAUUUCAUGUAGAGUACCAAAAAAGAAGAGGUGAUUACUAAAGAGGAGUCUACUCCAGUGUCUGCUGAUCAAGUGAAGAGCCAUCUAACUGGUUAUUUGAUAGAAAGAUCUAGAACCUCUUCUCUGCAACAAAGGCAAGCCCCGGUGCAUUUGCCCCUUUCUUAUAUUUUUAAAAGACUUUUAUACACUUUAAGUCUAGUGAAAUGUGCACUAAGUUUAUAUGAGUUGCUUGGAAACUAUUUGAUGCAUUGACUACCUUGAUAUCCAUUCCUUUUAGUCACACCCGGAUUUAAGGGCCAAACCCAGGCGUGAAUCAAAUGUGUGCUAGGAUCAAGACUCACACAUAUGAUUACUCAUGGUACAAAAACAAAUGUCACAUCUUUAAUAUAUAAUGAAGUUCUGUACAAAAUAGUUAAAUAAUUACAUCAUACGAAGACAACGAUCUAGUAACCACAGUAGGCUGGGAGAUGACGGCCUAGACCUCUCACGAACUCAUCGCGGCAUCCUUCAUGCUCCUUAUCUUGUGGUACCUGUCCUUGACCUUGGGGAUGUGAGUACAGCAAGGGUGAGCUCGCAUACGUUCAUCACUCAACAAGUUGUGGGAGUAAUGUGCAUGAGCUCACUUACGGUGUGGCUCAUGUGAAGUGUAAAUCUUACCAAAGGAGAUGGUUAAAGAUGAGCAUUGCUUUUAAAGUUGGUCAAAGUUUUAUUAGCAAUUACUAAGAAUAAGUAGAUACCAACCCAAAUAAAUAAGAGAUCACAAUUAAUAAUAACACCCACAAUGUCAUGCAUAUGACAAAUUAAGUUUAGUUCCAUAAAUUACUCAUGUGAGGGUCUGAGCCGCUCAUGAACGUGAGCACGACUGAUAUACCAAUUUUACACUCUGCAGAGAUUGCACAUCUUUACCCACAAGUCAUGUUACCCAUCUGCCAUAGGGUCAUGAAUCUCAUACACCUCUAUCGAGGAGGCAAGGCAGGGUAGCACUACGAGGCCUUUCCAAAGUUCCACUAGUUCGAGAAAACCCACUAUGGAUUCAGGAAGAAGGAAGCAUAGGAAUCCCUCGUCCGAAAUGCCAUCGUAGUAGUUCGACUGGAGGACCUCCCUAUACUCUGCAGCGACGCCUCCCCGCUUGCCCCUUUCGGGUAAGGUAAUCUCUCCCUGGCUUUCCUAAUUACUUGGCCAAGGGCGUCCCAUUCCACCAUUGUGGUAGCACUGUUUUCCCAGGUGGUUCUCCAUGUUCCAAUUAACAUAAUGAUCUUAUCAUGAACAACAAUUAGAACAACAACAAAAAUGGAACAUGAUCAUAAUAUAACAUUAAUUUCCCAAAACCAGGUAGAGUAAUAGCAAAUCUACCCAAUAGUUCAUUUGUUUGCAAGGUCUGGGAUAAACAAUAGUAGGGAAACCUAUUAGGUCCCAUCAAAUUAACCUGAACAUGUCACAGUGAUAACAGGAACAUUAUUAGGUAGAGAAAAGUGAUCAAGGGAACAACUUGCCUUAGACUUGAGAUCCCAAGUACUUCACCAAAUUGGUCUUCGGGUGACUCGCAACCUCGUCGCUACUCGUAGAAAUACAUACAAAUAGACAAGCAGUACAUAAAAGUAAACCAAACAUGAGAACAAACCGCGUAAGAAUAAUCUACCCGCUGCUACGGGAUCGUAGGUUCGAGAACCAUUAACAUCGGAGUUAAAACGAAGAAGUUAUGGAUAAAUCAAUAUUUUAGGCGCAAUAAAUCUAAUAUAUAUUGCAUUUAAACUAAGCAGAUAUUAAAUUGGAAUAUUUGAGUUGAUAUUAAUCACUUUAACAAUUAUUUAUUAUAAACGUAAGGUAUAACUAUAAAUUAGAUUAACUAGAUUGGCUAGCUAAAACAUUAUUUAAACAAAUAAUUAAUUAAGUAACUAAUUAUUCAAAACAUGUGGCAUAAUUAAAGCAAUGUUAUUAUUACGUACGCAAAAUUAAUAUGAACCUAACACAAUUUGAAAUGAUUAAAACAAAUUAUUUGACCAAGAAGAUAUCAUAUUUUUAAUAAAUUAGUAGGGCUUCACAGAAAUAGGUGAUAUGACACGAUCUGAUUGUUUAGAUAGGUUUGUUAAAGAUGGAAAAAGUUUGUUUAUAAAUACAUGACCUAGCUGAUGCAAAUAAAUCAUGAUUGUACCUAUCAUUAAACUUGUGUUAUAUGACAAUCUUGCAUAUAAAAAGGUAUAUGGUGGUGAUUAUCUAUCAGGUGGGAAGCGUCAAACUUAUCAUACAGAAAAGACCCCUAACCUACCACUAUCUUAUCUUACAAUCAAGCCCUUCACUCCCUCGUUGUUGCUGGUCAUCUCGGUUUUUUAUUAUGAACCGGAAGCGCGGUGACGAAGCUCUCUCAAGCUGGUUACGGCGAUAUUCUAGGCUGCCCCGAAAGAUGAAUGAACGAUGAGAAACUACUUGUCGAAUUUGUCGCUAUAUUUGGGGAGGAACUCGAACUUCGACGAGCUGGUCAUAGCGGCUUAUGGCUGCGACUGCGAGCUUAGCUGGCAGCGGGCUACUGUAGCUUGGAGGAGAUGAGUCUAUGAUUGAUGGCUUGAGGUGUUAUGGUGGCAUGUAUUUAUAAAGGUUGUGAGGUAUGUGGUUACAUGACAGAUCUAAUCUGGUACUUAUCUAUUAUAAUCAUAUCCUAUCUAUUAGAAACUCUAACAAACUUGAAACCAAAUAUGUUACAUGAUAGAUCUAAUCUGGUAUUUAUCUAUUGCAAUAACAUCUUAUCUAUUAGGAAGUCUAACAAACUCGAAACCAAAUCUGUUACAUGAUUUAUCUAAUCUGGUACUUAUUUGUUACAAUCUUAUCCUAUCUGUUAGGAAAUCUAACAAACUCGAAACCAAAUCCGUUGCACAUGUGAGAAGUUUGGCCGGACGGUUACAACAACUACGGUGGUUAGUUUGUUAUGAACAGCAAGGGAUGACUGAUGUCAUGGAUGAUGUAACAGUGAUGCAAGAUCUAGCAAGUGGAAUAAAAAAUAGGAGGAAAAACUCACGUGGAUUGUGUUCCUUAAGUGGUCGAAUAGAUAAGCCUUUUAUUUGUUAUUCUUUUUUUCCUAUUUUUUUAUUUCCAGAUUUAAUUAUCAUAAUUCAAAUUUGAUUUUAAAUUUUGAAACCAUAUUUAUAUGCACAACCAAAACACCAACACGAAAGCAAAUAUUUUAUAUUUUUUACUCUUUAUUUACUUUGCUCAAAUAAGUAUUUGUAUGGAUGAAAUUUAAUAAGCAUGGAAUUCACAUAGUUAUAUAACCCAAUAGGAGUAAUUUAUAUAGAAUAACUCACUAUCCUAUUUAUUACAGUUUAAGUAUAUAGCCAACAUUUUAUAUUUACUAUUUAUUAAAUUUUAGGGAAGAUAGUCUCAAUUCAUAACUUAUACGCUUGAAAUUGUAAACCUUUAGAGAAUUUUCUUAAUUCACCAUGAUACGAUUUUGGGGUGUUACACUUUUAUAGAUACUUCUUUGGAAGUGAUAGUCGCCUAGAGGGGGGGGUGAAUAGGGCGAAACUGAAAUUUAUAAAUAUAAACACAACUACAAGCCGGGUUAGCGUUAGUAAUAAAGAAACGAGUCCGCGAGAGCGGGUGAAAAACAAAUCGCAAGCAAAUGAAGAGUGUGACACGCGGAUUUGUUUUACCGAGGUUCGGUUCUUGCAAACCUACUCCCCGUUGAGGAGGCCACAAAGGCCGGGUCUCUUUCAACCCUUCCCUCUCUCAAACGGUCCCUCGGACCGAGUGAGCUUCUCUUCUCAAAUCAAAGCCGGGAACAAAACUUCCCCGCAAGGGCCACCACACAAUUGGUGCCUCUUGCCUUGAUUACAAUGGAGUUUUGAUCACAAGAACAAGUGAGAAAGAAAAGAAGCAAUCCAAGCGCAAGAGCUCGAAAGAACACAAGCAAAUCACUCUCUCUAGUCACUAUGGCGUUGUGUGGAAUUUUGGAGAGGAUUUGAUCUCUUUGGUGUGUCUAGAAUUGAAUGUUAGAGCUCUUGUAGUAGUUGGGAAGUGGAAAACUUGGAUGCAAUGAAUGGUGGGGUGGUUGGGGUAUUUAUAGCCCCAACCACCAAACUUGACCGUUGGUGGAGCUGUCUGUUCGAUGGCGCACCGGACAGUCCGAUGCACACCGGACAUGUCCGGUGCCCCAGCCACGUCACCAGUUCCGUUGGAUUCCGACCGUUGGAGCUUCUGACUUGUGGGCCCGCCUGGAUGUCCGGUGCACACCGGACAUGUACUGUUCCUUGUCCGGUGCGCCAGUAUGGGCGCGCCUGACUUCUGCGCGCGCAGAGCGCGCAUUAAUUGCGGCGCAGGUAGCCGUUGGCGCCGAAUAGCCGUUGCUCCGGAGUUGCACCGGACAGUCCGGUGCACACCGGACAUGUCCGGUGAAUUAUAGCUGGCUAGCCGUUGGAGAUUCCCGAAGCUGGCAAGUUCCUGAGGCCGCUCUUCCUUGGCACACCGGACACUGUCCGGUGUACACCGGACAGUCCAGUGAAUUAUAGCGCGAGUGCCUCUGGAAAUUCCCGAAGGUAGCAAGUUCGAGUUGGAGUCCUCUGGUGCACCGGACAUGUCCGGUGGUGCACCGGACACUGUCCGGUGGCACACCGGACAGUCCGGUGUGCCAGACCAGAGGUGCCUUCGGUUGACCCUUUGCUCUUUUGUUGAACCCAACUUGGUCUUUUUAUUGGCUAAGUGUGAACCUUUAGCACCUAUAUAACUUAUACACUAGAGCAAACUAGUUAGUCCAAUUGUUUGUGUUGGGCAAUUCAACCACCAAAAUUAUUUAGGAACUAGGUGUAAGCCUAAUUCCCUUUCAAUCUCCCCCUUUUUGGUGGUUGAUGCCAACACAAACCAAAGCAAAUAUGGAAGUGCAUAAUUGAACUAGUUUGCAUAAUGUAAGUGCAAAGGUUGCUUGGAAUUGAGCCAAUAUAAAUACUUAUAAGAUAUGCAUGGAUUGUUUCUUUCUUAUUUAACAUUUUAGACCACGUUUGCACCACAUGUUUUGUUUUUGCAAAUUCUUUUGUAAAUCCUUUUCAAAGUUCUUUUGCAAAUAGUCAAAGGUAAAUGAAUAUGAUUUUGCAAAGCAUUCUUGAGAUUUGAAAUUUUCUCACCCUGUUUCAAAUGCUUUUCCUUUGACUGGACAAAACUCCCCCUAAAAGAGAUCCUCCUCUUAGUGUUCAAGAGGGUUUUGAUAUAUCAUUUUGAAAUACUACUUUCUCCCCCUUUUGAACACAAUAGGAUACCAAUUGAAAAUAUUCUUGGAAACACGAAGUUUUUGAAAUUGGUGGUGGUGCGGUCCUUUUGCUUUGGGCUCAUACUUUCUCCCCCUUUGGCAUGAAUCGCCAAAAACGGAGUUAUUAGAGCCCUCGAAGUAAUUUCUUCCCCUUUGGCUAUAGACAAAUGAGUUAAGAUUAUACCAAAGACGAAGUCCUUUUGCUCUCUCCCCCAAAGAUGGAGAGUGGCUUGGAGCGACGGCGAAGCAUGAGUUACGGAGUGGAAGCCUUUAUCUUUGCCGAAGACUCCAAUUCCCUUUCAAUAUACCUAUGACUUGGUUUGAGAUAGACUUGAAAACACAUUAGUCAUAGCAUAUAAGAGAGAUAUGAUCAAAGGUAUAUAAAUGAGCUAUGUGUGCAAUCUAGCAAAAGAAAUUGCGUGAAUCAAGAAUAUUGAGCUCAUGUCUAAGUUUGGUAAAAGUUUGUUCAUCAAGAGGCUUGGUGAAGAUAUCGGCUAAUUGAUCUUUAGUGUUAAUGUAAGAAAUCUCGAUAUCUCCCUUUUGUUGGUGAUCCCUAAGAAAAUGAUACCGGAUGGCUAUGUGCUUAGUGCGGCUAUGCUCGACGGGAUUGUCGGCCAUUUUGAUUGCACUCUCAUUAUCACAUAGCAAAGGGACUUUGGUUAAUUUGUAACCGUAGUCCCGCAGGGUUUGCCUCAUCCAAAGCAAUUGCGCGCAACAAUGGCCUGCGGCAAUAUACUCGGCUUCGGCGGUGGAAAGAGCGACCGAAUUUUGCUUCUUUGAAGCCCAAGACACCAAGGAUCUUCCCAAGAACUGGCAAGUCCCCGAUGUGCUCUUUCUAUUAAUCUUACACCCCGCCCAAUCGGCAUCCGAAUAACCAAUCAAAUCAAAUGUGGAUCCCCGAGGGUACCAAAGCCCAAACUUAGGAGUAUAAGCCAAAUAUCUCAAGAUUCGUUUUACGGCCGUAAGGUGGGAUUCCUUAGGGUCGGAUUGGAAUCUUGCACACAUACAAACGGAAAGCAUAAUGUCCGGUCGAGAUGCACAUAAAUAGAGUAAUGAACCUAUCAUUGACCGGUAUACCUUUUGAUCCACGGACUUACCUCCCGUGUCGAGGUCGAGAUGCCCAUUAGUUCCCAUGGGUGUCUUGAUGGGUUUGGCAUCCUUCAUUCCAAACUUGCUUAGAAUAUCUUGAGUGUACUUCGUUUGGCUUAGGAAGGUGCCUUCUUGGAGUUGCUUCACUUGAAAUCCUAAGAAAUACUUCAACUCCCCCAUCAUAGACAUCUCGAACUUUUGUGUCAUGAUCCUACUAAACUCUUCACAUGUAGAUUCGUUAGUAGACCCAAAUAUAAUAUCAUCAACAUAAAUUUGGCAUACAAACAAAUCAUUCUCAAGUGUUUUGGUAAAGAGCGUAGGAUCGGCCUUUCCGACUUUGAAUCCAUUUGCAAUAAGAAAAUCUCUAAGGCAUUCAUACCAUGCUCUUGGGGCUUGCUUGAGCCCAUAAAGCGCCUUAGAGAGCUUAUAGACAUGAUUAGGAUACUCACUGUCUUCAAAGCCGGGAGGUUGCUCAACAUAGACCUCUUCCUUGAUUGGUCCAUUGAGGAAGGCACUUUUCACGUCCAUUUGGUAGAGCUUAAAGCCAUGGUAAGUAGCAUAGGCCAAUAAUAUGCCAAUUGACUCAAGCCUAGCUACGGGUGCAUAGGUUUCACCGAAAUCCAAACCUUCGACUUGAGAGUAUCCUUUGGCCACAAGUCGAGCUUUGUUCCUUGUCACCACACCAUGCUCAUCUUGCUUGUUGCGGAAGACCCAUUUGGUUCCUACAACAUUUUGAUUAGGACGUGGAACUAAAUGCCAUACCUUAUUCCUAGUGAAUUUGUUGAGCUCCUCUUGCAUCGCCACCACCCAAUCCGAAUCUUGAAGUGCUUCCUCUACCCUGUGUGGCUCAAUAGAGGAAACAAACGAGUAAUGCUCACAAAAAUGUGCAACACGAGAUCUAGUAGUUACCCCCUUAUGAAUGUCGCCGAGGAUGGUGUCGACGGGGUGAUCUCGUUGGAUUGCUUGGUGGACUCUUGGGUGUGGCGGUCUUGGUUCUUCAUCUUCCUUGUCUUGAUCAUUUGUAUCUCCCCCUUGAUUAUUGCCGUCAUCUUGAGGUGGCUCAUUUGCUUGAUCUUCUACUUCAUCAACUUGAGCUUCAUCCUCAUUUUGAGUCGGUGGAGAUGCUUGCGUGGAGGAGGAUGGUUGAUCUUGUGCAUUUGGAGGCUCUUCGGAUUCCUUAGGACACACAUCCCCAAUGGACAUGUUCCUUAGCGCGAUGCACGGAGCCUCUUCAUCACCUAUCUCAUCAAGAUCAACUUGCUCUACUUGAGAGCCGCUAGUCUCAUCAAACACAACGUCACAUGAGACUUCAACUAGUCCAGUGGACUUGUUAAAGACCCUAUAUGCCCUUGUGUUUGAGUCAUAACCAAGUAAAAAGCCUUCUACAGUCUUAGGAGCAAAUUUGGAUUUUCUACCUCUUUUAACAAGAAUAAAACAUUUGCUACCAAAGACUCUAAAGUAUGAAAUGUUGGGCUUUUUACCGGUUAGGAGUUCAUAUGAUGUCUUCUUGAGGAUUCGGUGUAGAUAUAACCGGUUGAUGGCGUAGCAGGCGGUGUUGACCGCCUCGGCCCAAAACCGAUCCGAAGUCUUGUACUCAUCAAGCAUGGUCCUUGCCAUGUCCAACAGAGUUCUAUUCUUCCUCUCCACUACACCAUUUUGUUGUGGCGUGUAGGGAGAAGAGAACUCAUGCUUGAUGCCCUCCUCCUCAAGGAAGCUUUCAAUUUGAGAGUUCUUGAACUCCGUCCCGUUGUCGCUUCUUAUUUUCUUGAUCCUUAAGCCGAACUCAUUUUGAGCUCGUCUCAAGAAUCCCUUUAAGGUCUCUUGGGUUUGAGAUUUCUCCUGUAAAAAGAAUACCCAAGUGAAGCGAGAAUAAUCAUCCACUAUUACAAGACAAUACUUACUUCCGCCGAUACUUAUGUAAGCAAUCGGGCCGAAAAGAUCCAUGUGGAGUAGCUCAAGCGGCCUAUCGGUCGUCAUAAUGUUCUUGUGUGGAUGAUGGGCUCCAACUUGCUUUCCUGCCUAGCAUGCACUACAAAUCCUGUCUUUCUCAAAAUGAACAUUUGUUAGUCCUAAAAUGUGUUCUCCCUUUAGAAGCUUGUGAAGAUUCUUCAUCCCAACAUGGGCUAAUCGGCGGUGCCAGAGCCAACCCAUGUUAGUCUUAGCAAUUAAGCAUGUGUCGAGUUCAGCUCUAUCAAAAUCUACUAAGUAUAGCUGACCCUCUAACACACCCUUAAAUGCUAUUGAAUCAUCACUUCUUCUAAAGACAGUGACACCUAUAUCAGUGAAUAGACAGUUGUAGCCCAUUUUGCAUAAUUGAGAUACAGAAAGCAAAUUGUAAUCUAAAGAAUCUACAAGAAAAACAUUGGAAAUAGAAUGGUCAGGAGAUAUAGCAAUUUUACCAAGACCUUUGACCAAACCUUGAUUUCCAUCCCCGAAUGUGAUCGCUCUUUGGGGAUCUUGGUUUUUCUCGUAGGAGGAGAACAUCUUCUUCUCCCCUGUCAUAUGGUUUGUGCACCCGCUGUCGAGUAUCCAACUUGAGCCCUCGGAUGCAUAAACCUACAAAACAAGUUUAGUUCUUGACUUUAGGUACCCAAAUGGUUUUGGGUCCUUUGGCAUUAGACACAAGAACUUUAGGUACCCAAACACAAGUCUUUGACCCCUUGUGCUUGCCCCCAACAUAUUUGGCAACUACUUUGCCGGAUUUGUUAGUCAACACAUAAGAUGCAUCAAAGGUCUUAAAUGAAAUGCUAUGUUCAUUUGAUGCAUUAGGAAUUUUCUUCUUAGGCAACUUAGCACGGGUUGGUUGCCUAGAGCUAGAUGUCUCACCCUUAUACAUAAAAGCAUGGUUAGGGCCAGAGUGAGACUUCCUAGAGUGAAUUCUCCUAAUUUUGUCCUCGGGAUAACCGGCAGGGUAUAAAAUGUAACCCUCGUUAUCCUGAGGCAUGGGAGCCUUGCCCUUAACAAAAUUAGACUAUCUUUUAGGAGGGGCACUAAGUUUGACAUUGUCUCCCCUUUGGAAGCCAAUGCCAUCCUUGAUGCCCGGGCGUCUCCCAUUAUAGAGCAUACUUGUAGCAAAUUUGAAUUUUUCAUUCUCUAAGUUAUGCUCGGCAAUUUUAGCAUCUAAUUUAGCUAUAUGAUCAUUUUGUUGUUUAAUUAAAGCCAUGUGAUCAUGUAUAGCAUCAAUGUUAACAUCUCUACAUCUAGUGCAAAUAGAAGUGUGCUCAACGGUAGAUGUAGAGGGUUUGCAAGAUUUUAGUUCUACAACCUUAGCAUGCAAUAUUUCAUUUUUACUUUCAAGGUCGGAAAUAGUAGCAUUGCAAACAUCUAAAUCUUUAGCCUUAGCAAUCAAAUUCUCAUUUUCUAAUCUAAGACUAGCAAGAGAAAUGUUCAAUUCUUCAAUCCUAGCAAGCAAAUCAUCAUUAUUAUCUCUAGGGUUGAGAAUUGAAACAUUGCAAACAUGAGUAUCAACCUUAGCUAACAAAUUAGCAUUUUCGUUUCUAAGGUUGUCAAUCAUCUCACGGCAAGUGCUUAGCUCACUAGAUAGUUUUUGACAUUUUUCUACUUCUAGAGCGUAAGCAUUUUUAACCUUAACAUGCUUUUUAUUUUCCUUGAUUAGGAAGUCCUCUUGGGUGUCCAAGAGAUCAUCCUUUUCAUGGAUGGCACUAAUCAAUUCAUUAAGUUUUUCUUUUUGUUGCAUGUUGAGGUUGGCAAAAAGAGAUCGCAAGUUAUCUUCCUCAUCACUAACAUUUUCAUCACUAGAAGAUUCAUAUUUAGUGGAGGAUUUAGAUUUGACCUUCUUUUUGCCGUCCUUUGCCAUGAGGCACUUGUGGCCGACGUUGGGGAAGAGGAGUCCCUUGGUGACGGCGAUGUUGGCGGCGUCCUCGUCGUCGGAGGAGUCGCUUGAGCUUUCGUCGGAGUCCCACUCCCGACAAACAUGGGCAUCACCGCCCUUCUUCUUGUAGUACCUCUUCUUCUCCUUUCUUCUCCCCUUCUUGUCGUCGCCCCUGUCACUAUCACUUGAUAAUGGACAUUUAGCUAUAAAGUGACCGGGCUUACCACACUUGUAGCAAACCUUUUUGGAGCGGGACUUGUAGUCUUUCCCUCUCCUUUGCUUGAGGAUUUGGCGGAAGCUCUUGAUGACGAGCGUCAUUUCCUCAUUGUCGAGCUUGGAGGCGUCUAUUGGUUGUCGACUUGGUGUAGACUCCUCCUUCUUUUCCUCCGUCGCCUUGAAUGCGACGGGUUGAGCUUCAGAUGUGGAGGGAUCAUCAAGCUCGUUGAUCUUCCUUGAGCCUUCGAUCAUGCACUCAAAACUUACAAAAUUCCCGAUAACUUCCUCGGGGGUCAUUUUGGUAUAUCUAGGAUUACCACGAAUUAAUUGAACUUGAGUGGGGUUAAGGAAAAUAAGAGAUCUUAGAAUAACCUUAACCACCUCGUGGUCAUCCCACUUUUUGCUCCCGAGGUUGCGCACUUGGUUCACCAAGGUCUUGAGCCGGUUGUACAUGUUUUGUGGCUCCUCCCCUUUGCGAAGCCGGAACCGACCGAGCUCCCCCUCGAUCGUUUCCCGCUUGGUGAUCUUUGUGAGCUCAUCUCCCUCGUGCGCGGUUUUGAGCACAUCCCAAACUUCCUUGGCGCUCUUCAACCCUUGAACUUUGUUAUACUCCUCUCUACUUAAAGAGGCGAGGAGUAUUGUUGUCGCUUGAGAGUUGAAGUGCUCGAUUUGGGCCACCUCAUCCUCAUCAUAGUCUUUAUCCCCUACGGAUGGUACCUGUGCACCAAACUCAACAACAUCCCAUAUACUUUUGUGGAGUGAGGUUAGAUAAAAUCGCAUUAAAUCACUCCACCUAGCAUAAUCUUCACCAUCAAAAGUUGGUGGUUUGCCUAAUGGGACGGAAAGUAAAGGUGCAUGUUUAGAAAUGCGAGGGUAAUGUAGGGGGAUCUUACUAAACUUCUUACGCCCUUGGCGUUUAGAAGUUACGGAGGGCGCAUCGGAGCCGGAGGUCGAUGUUGAUGAAGUGUCGGUCUCGUAGUAGACCACUUUCCUCAUCCUCUUUGGUUUGUCCUCACUCCGAUGCGGCUUGUGGGAAGAAGAUUUUUCCUUCUUCUCCUUGUGGUGAGAAGAAGAUUUCUUCUCCUUCCCUUUGUUGGAGGAGCUCUUCUUCUUCUCCCUCCACUUGGUGCGGGACUCUUCCGAUGAAGUGCUCCCGUGGCUUGUAGUGGGCUUUUCGCCAGUCUCCAUCUCCUUCUUGGCGUGAUCUCCCGACAUCACUUCGAGCGGUUAGGCUCUAAUGAAGCACCGGCUCUGAUACCAAUUGAUAGUCGCCUAGAGGGGGGGUGAAUAGGGCGAAACUGAAAUUUAUAAAUAUAAACACAACUACAAGCCGGGUUAGCGUUAGUAAUAAAGAAACGAGUCCGCGAGAGCGGGUGAAAAACAAAUCGCAAGCAAAUGAAGAGUGUGACACGCGGAUUUGUUUUACCGAGGUUCGGUUCUUGCAAACCUACUCCCCGUUGAGGAGGCCACAAAGGCCGGGUCUCUUUCAACCCUUCCCUCUCUCAAACGGUCCCUCGGACCGAGUGAGCUUCUCUUCUCAAAUCAAAGCCGGGAACAAAACUUCCCCGCAAGGGCCACCACACAAUUGGUGCCUCUUGCCUUGAUUACAAUGGAGUUUUGAUCACAAGAACAAGUGAGAAAGAAAAGAAGCAAUCCAAGCGCAAGAGCUCGAAAGAACACAAGCAAAUCACUCUCUCUAGUCACUAUGGCGUUGUGUGGAAUUUUGGAGAGGAUUUGAUCUCUUUGGUGUGUCUAGAAUUGAAUGCUAGAGCUCUUGUAGUAGUUGGGAAGUGGAAAACUUGGAUGCAAUGAAUGGUGGGGUGGUUGGGGUAUUUAUAGCCCCAACCACCAAACUUGACCGUUGGUGGAGCUGUCUGUUCGAUGGCGCACCGGACAGUCCGAUGCACACCGGACAUGUCCGGUGCCCCAGCCACGUCACCAGUUCCGUUGGAUUCCGACCGUUGGAGCUUCUGACUUGUGGGCCCGCCUGGAUGUCCGGUGCACACCGGACAUGUACUGUUCCUUGUCCGGUGCGCCAGUAUGGGCGCGCCUGACUUCUGCGCGCGCAGAGUGCGCAUUAAUUGCGGCGCAGGUAGCCGUUGGCGCCGAAUAGCCGUUGCUCCGGAGUUGCACCGGACAGUCCGGUGCACACCGGACAUGUCCGGUGAAUUAUAGCUGGCUAGCCGUUGGAGAUUCCCGAAGCUGGCAAGUUCCUGAGGCCGCUCUUCCUUGGCACACCGGACACUGUCCGGUGUACACCGGACAGUCCGGUGAAUUAUAGCGCGAGUGCCUCUGGAAAUUCCCGAAGGUAGCAAGUUCGAGUUGGAGUCCUCUGGUGCACCGGACACUGUCCGGUGGUGCACCAGAUAGUCCGGUGUGCCAGACCAGAGGUGCCUUCGGUUGACCCUUUGCUCUUUUGUUGAACCCAACUUGGUCUUUUUAUUGGCUAAGUGUGAACCUUUAGCACCUGUAUAACUUAUACACUAGAGCAAACUAGUUAGUCCAAUUGUUUGUGUUGGGCAAUUCAACCACCAAAAUUAUUUAGGAACUAGGUGUAAGCCUAAUUCCCUUUCAGGAAGUAUCAAAUAUUGUUUACAAAACUGCUUAGUCCUGCCUAGAGGUAAGUCUUGCAGAUAGAGUUUGUCCUUUGCACUAAUGCCUAGCUCAGGGUUUAUCCUGAGGAAGGAUGGCUCUACCUACAAGAAUAUUUUCACCAGGAUCAUGGGGAGAUCUAAUGCAAGGUUUCCUUUGAUGUUUUAAUCAUCCUAAGGUACACAAAUAAGUUCUAAGGAUGAAAGUAUUUAAAUCGAGAUUUGGGCUAGGAACAAGUGAUGUUCUACCUAGGUUGAUUAAGGAUUAAAGCGAAUAUAGGCUUGAUGAUCGAGGACUAUAUUAACUAGUCACAUGCCCUGGUAUGGGACGGGUAAACCUAAUCUCAGCUUGACUCAUACCAGAAACGCUACCACGCAACGGGAGUGGAGAGAUGGCGAGAGUAGCAUGUACCCUCCGUGACAAAAGGCUGAACGAUGGAGUAACUGUGCUCUCGGUUGGGAAUAUUUUACAAAAUUGCUUAGCCCUGCAUAUUCUUCUUAGUUUCAACCUCAUGCAUGGGAUUAAUACCAAUAGCGGAUUUAUCAAAUGCACGCGCUAUCCUCCUAUAAUCAUCUUGCAUAACCCCCAUAUUAUUUGUUGCAUUUGUUCUCGCUAUUCAUCUAUGUAAGAUCAAAGAGAUUGAAUUUCACUUGUUUUACUAACUUUGGGGGUAGCUGCAGCAGGCCGAAGCGAAGCUAGAUCAGUCGCCCACCGCCGGACGACCUUGUGAUUUCUGUCUACUUUAAAGUUGGCCAGAAAUUUUGUCUGUGCUUCCUUGAUCAACUGCUCCUUAUGUUUCUCGAACUCCUGCUGAACUUCAACCAGCACAGUCUCCAUAAUCGAUUCGAUGAUUUUGCUUGGAGACACGUCAAAAUUGUCCUUUGAACCGACUAUUGGAGGCCGAUCUGGUAGAUCUUCAUCAUGCAAUGUCCCCAGCGAAGUCAUCAAAAAGUGUAUUGGCGCCGAUCUCGGCGUCAAUCACUAUGAAGUGUACCGGUGGCAGCGUGGAUGGUCUGUGGCCUAGGGUCGGAUGGUCCAUAAUCUGAAUCAGGAGCUAGAUCUUCUCUGCGCCGAACUGGAAGUCCGCACUUGGUGGUCGAACGGUCCGCGUGUGCGCAGAGGUGACGGCGUUUACAACAGCACAUGGAUCUAACCUCUCGGGAGGGACCCCGUUAGGGAGAAGAGAUCCUAAGUUUUGUUUUGGUGUCGACAGACCAGCCAAGACGCCCCUAGAAAUGACUUAAGUAGAAGAGAUAUAAAGAUUGAGAUGAAGAAGACUAUGUUAUUGUCUAUUCCUAGGGCAAAAAGUAAAAAAUGAAAUAUAUAUUGAUUUGAUUCGAUUGUUGGUUCUUUCAAUUGACUCUUCUUUUUCAAAUAUAUAAGGGGAGAACUAGACCUGUUUAUAGGUGCUCUCCAACAACUCUAAUAUAUAAGUUUAAAUUGAUAAACAUGCAUCAAGAUAGGAGUUAACCAAUCUGAUCUAAUUUAAUUGGGGACUGUUCAUGCCACCGUCCGCAGCCGUUUGAACCUUAGAGCCAGACCGUCUCGUCGGUACAAUCAGUGCUCAGCAACUUGUUUUGUUCCGGUCGUGGUCUGGUCACGUACGAACACGCACGACGGACUCGGAAAAGUUAAGGGCUUGUUCGUUUCUGCCGGAUUGGUGGGUCGGAACGAUUCCUAACCGGAUUGCUUCUCUAAUUUAUAUAAACUUUGAUUAGCUGGAACGAUUCCGGAUGCAAUCCGAUAAAAACGAACAAGGCCUAAAAUGCCCGCACAGUAGCAGUCGUCGUCAUGUCCACGACGAAGCUGCGUCCGCACCAACGAUCCUUUGAAUUCACGACCGGUCCCACCUGGAAGUGGCGCGCAAGACGAGAAUGUUCACCGGAGAACUUUUUGACUACAUGCACCAUCGUCUUCAUUUAAAUGUAAGUACGAUGGUAUAGCAAGACAUCAAGAGAUAUAAAGAAAGUUUUAAAAAAGAUGAGACAAUUUUAUUUAGAUGAAAUUUAGAACACACCAUUAGAUAUUAGUCGGUUGCUCCUGCGUUACGACGGUUCACAACAAUACCCUCAUAAGCUAUUCACCAAAAAGAUCUCAAGAUUUUUUAUUGAUUGUCUUCGCUCUCCGCAUAAUAUUUUUUAUUUGACUAACUGAUGUUGUUGUUUACUUCAUCUAAUAUGUCAUGGUAGAACACGGAUAAUGAAGUGAAUGAUUAGAAGCGAGUUCAGAACAACUUACUGAACGAAUAGAGAUUAUAGAAUGACAUAAUUCCACCAUACAGAGAUCAAAUAAGAGGAAGUUUGUGAGCUUAAGUUUCUAAAAUAAAUCACAUGAACUCAAACUUAUAGAAAAGAUAGAUCAAAAUAUGAAGUGGUUGCUAAAGUCAGUCAUCAAUAAAACUAGAUAUGCUCCAUACAAAUUAUGGUACUUCAUAGCAAUUACUAAUGUUUGAAAUCAACAAAUAACCUUUCCUUUUACUGUUAGCAUGACAAAUCAUUGCUGCUUCAUCCAAUUCAGUAACCUCAAACACCAUGGAGUUCAUUGCGCCAAUGUGGUCUCAGAAAUGACCUAAUGCAUGCAAGAGCCAAGAACACAAGGGACGAGCACCCUGUGGUAGUGCUCGCAUGGAUCUCCAAAUCUUAACACAUAUUUUGCAGGAUCCAUAAGCCAUCAUCAAAAGAACACAAACCACGUGCAGACAAUAAAUAAAGUAUUAACACACCCAAAUUAUAUUCAGUCCUUAGCACAACAAAAAGCUAACACAAAAAACAACAGAGGAACAACACAAUAAUUUUUGCAAUAACAGAAAGAUGAGUGACAGGUACAUAGAAGUGGUAGAAGCAUACCGAGUCGACACCGUAGCAAGGGAAUGAUCAUGUAGACUGGCGAUGUCGAGCCUGAGCAUGAUGUUCUACUGGUUAGACAACUUCACCCAGUAUCUCUUGACCUUCUUGCAUCAGGGCGUGAGUUCAAACCCCACCUCAUGCACCGCUUUUAACAUUUUAUGCUGAUUUAAUCAAAUGGCCCGAUGGGCUAACGGGCCGGGCUAGCACGGUCAGCAGGCCGGAGCUGCGGCCCACUGGCGUCGGGCCUAGUGGGCCCGUGCACGUGGAUGUUGUCUGCGCGGAGGGGACAUACAUGCAGCGGGUUAAUUUAAAAUAGAUGUGAGGGGUUAUUUGUAAAAAUAUGACGUGGGAUGACCGUUGAAACUAGUGCUUUAAUAUAGUAGAUAUAAAGAUAGAGAUAGAGAUAGAGAUAGAAAUAGAGAUAGAGAAAACAUAAUACGACGUUAUUGAAAAUAGUACAUGAAACCAAAUGCACUCGAAUAGCCUUAUCUUCUGCAACCAGUCGUUGUUGCUGCUGCCUGCUGCAUGCAAGGCUAAGCCAAUGCGCGCCUAAUCGAAGUAUAUGCAUUGACAUGAACUUACGCAUAGUGUGGCACCGGCUUCUGGCCCCCUUCCCGGAGCCUGCUUCAAACGCGUUCUCAGGACGUGUUGUUGCCAUUCAAUUUUGACCUGCGGCCGGAAAAUGUAAAGUAAUUCUACGAGGCAGGCUGCCGCCUAUAUAUAUGUUGUGCCGAUAGAGUAGCUUUCGAGCUCAGGCGACCACACUGCUGAGCUAGGUUAGUUUUUCCGCAACCAUCAGCGUUCUUCUUCCUCGGUCUCUCCUCUGAUCCUCCUGGAGCACAAAUCGAACAUCUACCUGUAAACUCGUGUUAUUCUUCAUUGAUCUUAUUGAUCGUUGCAUUAGCCGAGGAUGGCAACAUGGAGGCCGCGUGACAACGAUGACGACGGGGGCGGAGCCGAUGAUGAUCCGCACAAGGCAGAUCCGGUCAGCGCCGUGCAUAACAACAAUUCAUAUCACUGCUUCCAUCAAUUAGUUUAGUUUUUGGAUGUUUUGGUUGACUCGAGUUUCUACUUCCAACAUACACAGCCCUAGCUGUUGCGCGUCCUCCAAUCAUUUAUUUUUUGUUUCAAGUAUGAAGAACUGCACAAAGAAUAUGGGUAGAUGUUUUCUGCGGUUUGGGUCAAGAUAAACUGAUCAUCAACCAGUUCAUCUCACCUAUGUGCAUCAGGGCUAGAGAGUAAAAAUCCCACAAUAAAAUUCAUGGAAUCACCAGAAAAAACAUCAUUUGCAACUUAAAUCAACGAAGACCCUAUCUAGCUAGCUACUUAUUACCCUAUCUUGCUUGCUAGCAUUGUGUUAAUUGACAAUUUGGCAUCUAGAAAAUGUAUCCUUUGGUUUUAAAUGUUAGGCCAUCCUAUGAGCUCCAUUUUUUUUCAUAUUCUGAUGGUGACUAAAUUCAAGAUGUUUCUCAUAGGCGUAUGUAUCUGUCGAUAUUCAUGUAUACUAGCUUCCAUCUCAAAGAUUCAUUUAUGUAUGUUCUCGUUUUCGUAGUGUCGUAAGAAGAUUUGUAGACCAAGAAACUUUUCAACAAAUAGUCCACACUAUAUGGAACCAUUUAUUAGUACAUGUUGAGUUUGUGAUCCAAAUUCUGAAGAAGACGGCCAAGUUGGCGAGCGAAGCGGAGAUUGUGUUGUGAGUUGGAAAGCUCGUUUACAAGAUAUUGUUGCUUUGUCUACCACAGAAGCUGCGUAUAUGGCGAUUGUAGAAGUUACUAGGAAAGACUUAUGGUUGAAAGAUAUAUAUUUAGAGCUAUGUGGAAUUAAGUCUUGCAUUAUCAUUCAUUGUGAUAGUCAGAGUGCUAUUUAUCUCACCAAUGAUCAGAUGAUUACUGAGAAAUCCAAGCAUAUUGAUAUUCGUUAUCACUUCGUUCGCGAUAUCAUUGAGAAAGAUUUGGUGAAGGUAUGCAAGAUCAGUACUCAUAAUAAUCAUGAUGAUAUGAUGACGAAGCAUGUUCUUUUGCUAAGUUUAAGCUAUGCACAAGCUUAGUUGGUAUUACAAAUUGGCCCCUAGUGGCUGUUGGGGCGGGGAUGAUGAUGAUGCAUUGUUUGAGGUGGAGUUUGCUAUUAUGAUGUUACAAGAAUUUGUCUCAAUGUGGAGUUUGUGAUCCAAAUUCUGAAGAAGGCGGGCAAGUUGGCGAGGAAAGCGGAGGCCCGUCGGCGGGAGGCUUGGGGGCGGAGCGUAGCGAUGCUUACUGGCAUUCGGCCCGCGGCCCAGGGACGCCUAGAAGGGUGCGGGGGGCUUCGCCUCCCGCGGUACAGAUCAUUCCCUACUCACAUUAGGGUUUCGCCUCUAUAAAUUCACUUGUAAUCCGCAGGAGAUCAUCACCUCAUUGUAAAUCUCCUGCGAUCUGUAACCACCCGAAAAAUAAUGAUAUUGUUGCUGGCCGACGUCCGUGGUUUUUUCCCUUCGCUUUGGAGGAGUUUUCCAUGUUAAAUCUGUGUCUUCUCUGUGUUUGAUCUACUUUAUGUCGUAUUGAUUCAUAUCAGUACACAGUGGUAAAUUACACUCAACAUUUAUUAUAUAAACUCAGUUCUUACAAACUUAGAUGCUAGCAUGAAAUAAUGGUAUAAACUCAGUUCUUUAUUGAGGAAAUAACUGUCUGCUGAUGGUUGCCCUAAAAACGCACUAGUCUCAAUGGUUCUUACAAAUGCCAUCAUAAGUUGAGAACACUGCUAGACACAUGCACCUCGACUAAUAAUAUCAUGUACGUACCAUGUUAUGCUUAGGUGCGUGAGGAAAUCUAGAACAUCUUUUCGCAUCUUCACCACGAUCUCAUGCCAAUCGGGUAUCUGAAAAUCCCUUUCUUUCUUUUAUUAUCCGAAAAAAUUCGAAGUUUGCAGGAUUCAUAUGUCGUUGAAGAAGCAAAUCCAAAUUUAAAUUAAUAACAUUACCUACAACUGCACUAUGACAAGUCUAAAAUAUUAACUCUUUAUCAUAUUUCUUCCUCUACGCAUCCAAGAGGCACAUGUCUUGCCUCCUUUGAAGCUAGUCUUUGCUAAGCAGCUUAAGCAACUAAUCUUCACAAACAGCAAAAUCGUUGAAAUAGCGAACAACCCAGUUGAAAUCCAGCUCAUGGACACAAGAACUAACUCUAUGAUCGCACCAGCAGAUACUCACCUUGGACCUUUAUCAGUAAGACUAGAAGUCUUGGUUCUGUAUGGUGAUUUUCAGUGUGAGGACCGUGAAGUGUGGACGGCUAACCAGUUUAAUGCAGUGGUUGUGAAGGCUAGAGAAGGGAAAAGACCAUUGCUAGCUCCUGGGCUCGCUCAAUGUCCCUAUGAACAAUCAUGGAGUAGUUGUGAUUGAUGAUAUGUUCUUCACUGAUAAUUCGAGCUGGAUAAGGUGCCACAAGUUUCGAAUUGGUGUGCGCAUCAUGCCCGUGAGCAAGAGAUUCACCAUCAAAGAUCAUCGUGGUGAAUGUAAGUUUCAUUCCAACUUGUAUAGGUUAAUAUUAACUAGUUAAUGAAUAUAUUUUUGAGAAUGAAAUAUAAAUUAUAUGCCAUGAUUUAUAUGAGGAAUGUAUCACCAAUCCUUUACUAGUGUACAAGAAGCACUACCUCCUUUGCUGAUUGACAACACAUGGAGGCUCAAGAACAUUGGAAAAGAUGGAUCAAUCGACAAGAGGUUGCAGUCUGAGGGGAUUAGGAACGUACGUCUAGGACUUCUUGAAGCUUAACAACGUAGAUCCUGAAAAGCUCAAAGAUGUAAGAACUCAUACACAUGAUAUUUCCACACACACACAAAUAUUUAAGCACGAUCGAGAGUUAUGUUGUGUAUACAUCCAUGCAUGCUAUUAUAUUUGAAUUCGAAAUAUUUCUAUGUUUGUCGGGGACCAUAAUUAGGGAUACCCUCAAGACGCCUAAUUCUCAGCUGGUAACCCCCAUCAGCAUAAAGCUGCAGAGGCCUGAUGGGUGCGAUUAAGUCAGGGAUCAGUCCAUACGAGCGACUCGAUCACGCCUCGCCUGAGCCUAGCCUCGGGCAAGGGCAGCCGACCCCAAGGGAUUUCCGUCUCGCCCGAGGCCCCCCUUUUUAACGGCGGACACAUCUCCGGCUCGCCCGAGGCCUUGCCUUCGCUAAGAAGCAACCCUGACUAAAUCGCCGCACCGACCGACCGAGUCGCAGGAGCAUUUAACGCAAAGGUGGUCUGACACCUUUAUCCUGGCGCGCGCCCCCCGGCAGAGCCGAAGUGACCGCCGUCACUUCGCCGCUCCACUGACCGGUCUGACAGAAGGACAGCGCCGCCUGCGCCACUCCGACUGCAGUGCCACUUGACAGAGUGAGACUGACAGGCAGUCAGGCCUUGCCAAAGGCGCCAUAGGAAACUCCGCUCCGCCCGACCCAGGGCUCGGACUCGGGCUAAGCCCCGGAAGACGGCGAACUCCGCUCCGCCCGACCCAGGGCUCGGACUCGGGCUAAGCCCCAGAAGACGGCGAUCUCCACUCCGCCCGACCCAGGGCUCGGACUCGGGCUAAGCCCCGAAAGACGGCGAACUCCGCUCCGCCCGACCCAGGGCUCGGACUCGGGCUGAGACCCGGAAGACGGCGAACUCCGCUCCACCCGACCCAGGGCUCGGAUUCGGGCUAAGACCCGGAAGACGGCGAACUCCGCUCCGCCCGACCCAGGGCUCGGACUCGGGCUAAGACCCGGAAGACGGCGAACUCUGCUCCGCCCGACCCAGGGCUCGGACUCGGGCUCAGCCCCAGAAGAUGACGAACUCCGCUUCGCCCGACCCCAGGGCUCGGACUCCGCCCUGGCCUCUGCCGAACGACCUCCGCCUCGCCCGACCCAGGGGCUCGGGCUCGGCCUCGGCAGCGGAAGACAGCCUCGACCCCAGCUUCGGAGGAGCCCCCACGUCGCCCGGCCUCGGGCGCGGGCCCGCCACGUCAACAGGGAGCGCCAUCAUCACCCUACCCCGAGCCGACUCGGGCCGCAGAGAACAAGACCGGUGUCCCAUCUGGCUAGCUCCGCCAGAUAGGCAAUGAUGGCGCCCCGCGUGCCCUGUGACGACGGCGGCUCUCAGCUCCCUUACGGAAGCAGGGGGACGUCAACAAGGACUCGACCGCUCCGACAGCUGUCCCUCCGCCAAGCUCCGUUGCUCCUCCGACAGCCACGACAUCACACCAGCAGGGUGCCAAGAUCUCUCCGGCUGCCACAUUGGCAUGUACUCAUGGCGCUAGCUCUCCCUCCGCUAGACACGUAGCACUCUGCUACAUCCCCAUUGUACACCUGGAUCCUCUCCUUACGCCUAUAAAAGGAAGGACCAGGGCCUUCUUAGAGAAGGUUGGCCGCGCGGGGACGAGGACGAGACAGGCGCUCUCUCGGGGCCGCUCGCUUCCCUCACCCGCGUGGACGCUUGUAACCCCCUACUGCAAGCGCACCCGACCUGGGCGCGGGACGAACACGAAGGCCGCGGGAUUUCCACCUCUCUCUCGCCCGUCUCCGGCUACCUCGCUUUCCCCCCUUCGCGCUCGCCCACGCGCUCGACCCAUCUGGGCUGGGGCACGCGGCACACUCACUCGUCGGCUCAGGGACCCCCCUGUCUCGAAACGCCGACAGUUGGCGCGCCAGGUAGGGGCCUGGUGCGUGUUGACGAACAGCUUCCCGUCAAGCUCCAGAUGGGCAGUCUCCAGCAACCUCUCCGGCCCGGGACGGUGCUCCGUUUCGGGAGUCUUGAGUUCAUGUCCUUCGACGGCAGCUACGACAUGAUACUCCUUCCACCGCCGCACGACAACGACAAUGGCGGCCGACAACCCGCCCGCCGGCGGCGGAAUCGACGACAUCUUCCCCGCGUGGUGGAAGAACAACAUUCGAGCUCGCCCCGUCCUCUCCCCCGCCAACGGAGGAGGAGGCGGGGCAACCUAGGCCAAGCGGGAGGCCGCGCUACAUCGGCUGUCGAGCGAAUCGACGUCCCCAGCGCCUCAACGGAAGGCACGCCGGGCGUCGACCUCGCGUUCGAGACGAAGGCAAGCGCCGUCCCCCCGCGACACACCAAUCCCGAGCAAGUGGACAACGCCAGCGCGCUCGCGGAGAGCUUGCAGGACGUCGCCCUCGUACCUGAGACGACGGUGCAACCAGUCCCCGACGUGACUACGCCGCUCCUCGUCGACCAAAAGGUACUGACUGAUUCCCAUCUUACAUCAUUUCGACUCGGCCUCAACCCGCCUAGCGACCUUGCUUUGGCGGGCGCUCUCGUUGAGGCGAGUGCAACCCCACUGGGGUUUCGUAUGCGGUCGCCUUGGGACCGGCUGACGGACGUCUCGACCUAUGGGCCCUCUGGGUCCGAGGAAGAUGACGAUCCCAGCAUCUGUUGGGAUUUCUCCGGAUUUGGCAACCCCAGUGCCAUGCGGGACUUUAUGACCGCAUGUGACUACUGCCUCUCCGACUGUUCCGACGGUAGCCGCAGCCUUGACGACGAGGACUGCGGCCCGAGCCGCGAAUGUUUCCACGUCGAGCUAGGGGAUCCCUCCGAAGGCAACCAUCUCGGCAUGCCGGAGGACGGUGAUCUCCCUAGGCCGGUGCCUCGCGCUGACAUCCCGCGGGAGCUAGCUGUGGUCCCCGUUCCGGUGGGGGGUCACGACCCACAGCUCGAGCAAGUCCGCGGGGCGCAGGCCAGGCUCGACGAGGGAGCAGGAGCGCUUGAGCCGAUCCGCCGGGACGUCGGGCAGGUAUGGGCGGGCCAACCCCCGACCGGAGAAAUACGUCACCCGCCCCAAGGUUUCCAGCACCGCGUCGCCAACGACGUCAGGGUCAGGCCGCCACUCGCAUCCAGUGGGGUCGGUCAGAACCUGGCUGCAGCAGCGAUGCUCCUCCGCGCGAUGCCGGAGCCAUCAACCACCGAGGGUCGGCGAAUCCAGGGAGAGCUCAAGAAUCUCCUGGAAGGCGCUGCGGUCCGACGGGCCGAGAGCUCUGCCUCCCGAAGGCAGGGAUACCCCUCGGAACCUCAUGCCGCGACUUCCCGAUUCAUGCGGGAAGCCUCGGUCUACACCGGGCGCACGCGCAACACCGCGCCUGCGGCCCCGGGCCACCUCGGCAACGAGCACCAUCAUCGCGACCGUCGGGCCCACCUCGACGAAAGGGUGCGCCGAGGCUACCACCCCAGGCGUGGGGGACGCUACGACAGCGGGGAGGAUCGGAGUCCCUCGCCCGAACCACCCGGUCUGCAGGCCUUCAGUCGGGCCAUCCGACGGGCGCCGUUCCCGACCCGGUUCCGACCCCCGACUACUAUCACAAAGUACUCGGGGGAAACGAGACCGAAACUGUGGCUCGCGGACUACCGCCUGGCCUGCCAACUGGGUGGAACGGAUGAUGACAACCUCAUCAUCCGCAACCUCCCCCUGUUCCUCUCCGACACUGCUCGCGCCUGGUUGGAGCACCUGCCUCCGGGGCAGAUCUCCAACUGGGAUGACUUGGUCCAAGCCUUCGCCGGCAAUUUCCAGGGCACGUACGUGCGCCCCGGGAAUUCCUGGGACCUCCGAAGCUGCCGGCAACAGCCAGGAGAGUCUCUUCGGGACUACAUCCGGCGAUUCUCGAAGCAGCGCACCGAGCUGCCCAACAUCACCGACUCGGAUGUCAUCGGCGCGUUCCUUGCCGGCACCACCUACCGCGACCUGGUGAGUAAGUUGGGUCGCAAGACCCCCACCAGGGCGAGCGAGCUGAUGGACAUCGCCACCAAGUUCGCCUCUGGCCAGGAGGCGGUCGAGGCUAUCUUACGAAAGGACAAGCAGCCCCAGGGCCGCCCAUCGGAAGAGGCUCCCGAGGCGUCUACUCCGCGCGGCGCCAAGAAGAAAGGCAAGAAGAAGUCGCAAGCGAAACGCGACGCCGCCGACGCGGACCUUGUCGCCGCCGCCGAGUACAAGAACCCUCGGAAGCCCCCCGGAGGUGCUAACCUCUUCGACAAGAUGCUCAAGGAGCCGUGCCCCUAUCAUCAGGGGCCCGUCAAGCACACCCUCGAGGAGUGUGUCAUGCUUCGGCGCCACUUCCACAGGGCCGGGCCGCCCGCAGAGGGUGGCAGGGCCCGCGACAACGAGAAGAAGGAAGAUCACCAAGCAGGAGAGUACCCCGAGGUCCGCGACUGCUUCAUGAUCUACGGUGGGCAUGCGGCGAAUGCCUCGGCUCGGCAUCGCAAGCAAGAGCGCCGGGAGGUCUGCUCGGCGAAGGUGGCGGCGCUAGUCUACCUAGACUGGUCCGACAAGCCCAUCACCUUCGACCAAGCUGACCACCCCGACCACGCGUCGAGCCCGGGGAAAUACCCGCUCGUCGUCGACCCCAUCAUCGGCGACGUCAGGCUCACCAAGGUCCUGAUGGACGGGGGCAGCUGCCUCAACAUCAUCUACGCCGAGACCCUCAGGCUCCUGCGCGUCGAUCUUUCCUCCGUCCGAGCAGGCGCUGCGCCCUUCCACGGGUCAUCCCUGGGAAGCGCGUCCAGCCCCUCGGACGACUCGACCUUCCCGUCUGCUUCGGAACGCCCUCCAACUUCCGAAGGGAGACCUUGACGUUCGAGGUGGUCGGGUUCCGAGGAACUUACCACGCGGUACUGGGGAGGCCAUGCUACGCGAAGUUCAUGGCCGUCCCCAACUACACCUACCUGAAGCUCAAGAUGCCGGGCCCCAACGGGGUCAUCACCGUCGGCCCCACGUACAAACACGCGUUCGAAUGCGACGUGGAGUGCGUGGAGUACGCCGAGGCCCUCGCCGAGUCCGAGGCCCUCAUCGCCGACCUGGAGAACCUCUCCAAAGAGGUGCCAGACGUGAAGCGUCAUGCCGGCAACUUCGAGCCAGCGGAGACGGUUAAGGCCGUCCCUCUCGACCCCAGUGGCGACACCUCCAAGCAGAUCCGGAUCGGUUCCGGGCUCGACCCCAAAUAGGAAGCAGUGCUCGUCGACUUUCUCCGCGCAAACGCCGACGUUUUUGCGUGGAGUCCCUCGGACAUGCCCGGCAUACCGAGGGAUGUCGCCGAGCACUCGUUGGAUAUUCGAGCCGGAGCCCGACCCGUCAGGCAGCCUCUGCGCCGAUUCGACGAGGAGAAGCGCAGAGUGAUAGGCGAGGAGAUCCACAAGCUAAUGGCAGCAGGGUUCAUCAAAGAGGUAUUCCAUCCCGAAUGGCUUGCCAACCCUGUGCUUGUGAGGAAGAAAGGGGGGAAAUGGCGGAUGUGUGUAGACUACACUGGUCUCAACAAAGCAUGUCCGAAGGUUCCCUACCCUCUACCUCGCAUCGAUCAAAUCGUGGAUUCCACUGCUGGGUGCGAAACCCUGUCCUUCCUCGAUGCCUACUCAGGGUAUCACCAAAUCCGGAUGAAAGAGUCCGACCAGCUCGCGACUUCUUUCAUCACGCCCUUCGGCAUGUACUGCUAUGUCACCAUGUCGUUCGGUUUGAGGAAUGCGGGCGCGACGUACCAGCGGUGCAUGAACCAUGUGUUCGGCGAACACAUCGGUCGCACAGUCGAGGCCUACGUCGAUGACAUCGUAGUCAAGACAAGGAAGGCUUCCGACCUCCUCUCCGACCUUGAAGUGACAUUCCGAUGUCUCAAGGCAAAAGGAGUCAAGCUCAAUCCUGAGAAGUGUGUCUUCGGGGUGCCCCGGGGCAUGCUCUUGGGGUUCAUCGUCUCCGAGCGAGGCAUCGAAGCCAACCCGGAGAAGAUCGCAGCUAUCACCAGCAUGGGGCCCAUCAAAGACUUAAAGGGCGUACAGAGGGUCAUGGGAUGUCUCGCGGCCCUGAGCCGCUUCAUCUCACGCCUCGGCGAAAGAGGUCUGCCUCUGUACCGCCUCUUAAGGAAGACCGAGUGUUUCGCUUGGACCCCUGAGGCCGAGGAAGCUCUUGGGAACCUGAAGGCGCUCCUUACAAAGGCGCCUAUCUUGGUGCCCCCAGUUGAUGGAGAAGCCCUCUUAGUCUACGUCGCCGCGACCACUCAGGUGGUUAGCGCCGCGAUUGUGGUCGAGAGGCAAGAAGAAGGGCAUGCAUUGCCCGUUCAGAGGCUAGUCUACUUCGUCAGCGAGGUACUGUCCGAGACCAAGAUCCGCUACCCACAAGUUCAGAAGCUGCUGUAUGCAGUGAUCCUGACGAGGCGAAAGUUGCGACAUUACUUCGAGUCUCAUCCGGUAACUGUGGUGUCAUCCUUCCCCCUGGGGGAGAUCAUCCAGUGCCGAGAGGCCUCGGGCAGGAUCGCAAAGUGGGCGGUGGAAAUCAUGGGUGAAACAAUCUCGUUCGCCCCUCGGAAGGCCAUCAAGUCCCAGGUGUUGGCAGACUUCGUAGCCGAAUGGGUCGACACCCAGCUGCCGACGGCUCCGAUCCAACCGGAGCUCUGGACCAUGUUUUUCGACGGGUCGCUGAUGAAGACGGGAGCCGGCGCGGGCCUGCUCUUCAUCUUGCCCCUCGGGAAACACCUACGCUACGUGCUACGCCUCCAUUUCCCGGAGUCCAACAAUGUGGCUGAGUACGAGGCUCUGGUCAACGGGUUGCGGAUCGCCAUCGAGCUAGGGGUCAGACGCCUCGACGCCCGCGGUGACUCGCAGCUCGUCAUCGACCAAGUCAUGAAGAACUCCCACUGCCGCGACCCAAAGAUGGAGGCCUACUGCGAUGAGGUUCGGCGCCUGGAAGACAAGUUCUACGGGCUCGAGCUCAACCACAUCGCUCGGCGCUACAACGAGACUGCGGACGAGCUGGCUAAAAUAGCCUCGGGGCGAACAACGGUUCCCCCGGACGUCUUAUCCCGGGAUAUGCAUCAACCCUCCGUCAAGAUCAACGACACGCCCGAGCCCGAGGUACCCUCGGUCCAGCCCGAGGUACCCUCAGCUCAGCCCGAGGCGUCCUCGGUUCAGCCCGAGGUACCCUCGACCCCCGAGGGCGAAGCACUGCACGUCGAGGAGGAGCAGAGCGGGGCCACGCCUGAUCGAAAUUGGCAGACCCCGUACCUGCAAUAUCUCCGCCAAGGAGAGCUACCCCUCGACCAAGCCGAGGCUCGGCGGGUAGCGCGACGCGCCAAGUCGUUCGUCUUGCUGGGCGAUGAGGAGGAGCUCUAUCACCGCAGCCCCUCGGGCAUCCUCCAGCGAUGCAUCUCCAUCGCCGAAGGUCAGGAACUCCUGCAAGAAAUACACUCGGGGGCUUGCGGCCAUCAUGCAGCGCCUCGAGCCCUUGUCGGGAAUGCUUUCCGGCAAGGCUUCUACUGGCCAACGGCGGUGGCUGACGCCACUAGAAUUGUCCGCACCUGCGAAGGGUGCCAAUUCUAUGCGAAGCAGACCCACCUGCCCGCUCAGGCUCUGCAGACGAUACCCAUCACCUGGCCCUUUGCUGUAUGGGGUCUGGACCUCGUCGGUCCCUUGCAGAAGGCGCCCGGGGGCUACACGCACCUGCUGGUCGCCAUCGACAAAUUCUCCAAGUGGAUCGAGGUCCGACCCCUGAACAGCAUCAGGUCCGAGCAGGCGGUGGCGUUCUUCACCAACAUCAUCCAUCGCUUCGGGGUCCCAAACUCCAUCAUCACUGACAACGGUACCCAGUUCACCGGCAGAAAAUUCUUGGAUUUUUGCGAGGAUCACCACAUCCGGGUGGACUGGGCCGCCGUGGCUCAUCCCAUGUCGAAUGGGCAAGUAGAGCGUGCCAACGGCAUGAUUCUACAAGGGCUCAAGCCCAGGAUUUACAACGACCUCAACAAGUUCGGCAAGCGAUGGAUGAAGGAACUCCCCUCGGUAAUCUGGAGCCUGAGGACAACGCCGAGCCGAGCCACGGGUUUCACGCCGUUCUUCCUGGUCUAUGGGGCCGAGGCCAUCUUGCCCACUGACCUGGAAUACGGCUCCCCGAGGACGAGGGCCUACAACGAUCAAAGCAACCAAGCUAGCCGAGAAGAAUCGCUGGACCAGCUGGAAGAGGCUCGGGACAGGGCCUUGCUACACUCGGCGCGGUACCAGCAGUCCCUGCGACGCUACCACGCCCGAGAGGUCCGGCCCCGAGACCUCCAGAUGGGCGACCUGGUGCUCCGGCUGCGGCAAGACGCCCGAGGGAGGCACAAGCUCAUGCCCCCCUGGGAGGGGCCAUUCGUCAUCGCCAAAGUUCUGAAGCCCGGAACAUACAAGCUGGCCAACAAUCAAGGCGAGAUCUACGGCAACGCUUGGAACAUCAAACAGCUACGUCGCUUCUACCCUUAAGAUGUUUUCAAGUUGUUCAUAUACCUCGCACCCACGCAAAGUUUAGUCAUCAAGGAAGGGUCGGCCUCGCCUCGGCAAAGCCCGACCCUCCCUCGGGGGCUAAAAGGGGGGGGGGACCCCCUCUGCGUCAAAAUUUUCCUCGAAAAAAGAUCUCUUUUAGCAGAAUAUCUUUCGUGCUUUUUGACUACUUCGAAAAGCGGAUCCUGAAAACGACGGAGUACACGUAAGCAGCCAAGGCUGACCGAGCCGAGGGACUCCUACGCCUCCGGGAUACGGAUACCUCACUCAUCACCUUCUGCGAUAAGUAACUCGCGCUCGGAUAAAGUGAUUCCGCGGACCGAACAAGUCUUUACGUUCGGAAGCUCUUCUGCCGAAGCGGUCCUUCAAGCCUUCUCGACUGAGUCGGAGAUAGGGCCUCAUGGACGGGUGAAAGUACGCGUAAGCGGCAAGGCCGACCGAGCCGAGGGACUCCCACGCCUCCGGGAUACGGAUACCUCACUCGUCACCUUCCGCGAGAAGCAACUCUCGCUCGCACAAACACCCCUGUUACCGACAAAAAGUCUAGAUGCUCGAAACAAGAGGGAAAGAGACGCAGCUUUACAACGCAGCGAGGGUGUGUAUUCUGGCCUCGGCGGCCGCAGAAGGCACACGCUACAAGACAAUCUGAUCCUGCAGGCUCGGGUCUUCACGCUGGAAGGGGGCUGUAGCACCCUCGGCAUCGACGACACCUUCAGCGAGGUCCGACCCAGCCUCGGACGACGACGCGGUCCGGGGACUUCUCCGGGAAUCCGGCCCGAGCAGGCGGCUCGGCCGGUUACCCCUGGGGCCUCGGCCAACCAUCUUCCAAGGGCGCCAGCCCGACCCGAGGCCUCGGCUGGUCAACUCCGGCGUCGGUCCCGCUGACGGACAACCCGGCUAGGCUCCGGCCAACCAGGUUCCCAUUUUCGAGCCAACUCCGCCUCUGUUCGUACUGAUAUCGCUACCCCUGGCCUCGGCUCGUCGAAGAGCGGCCAAGGGGGCUCUUUAACUAAGCUAGAGGAGCCUCAGACAACAAGGCCGAUCGAGCCGAGGGACUCCUACGCCUCCGGGAUACGGAUACCUCACUCGUCACCUUGACACGGGGCGACUCAUGCUUGGUGAAGCGGUUCAGAUAAUCAACAGGCGAGACUUAGUGCUCGAAAAUGAGGAAAAAACACGGCUCCGUGCCGAAAUUACAUACAUGUUCAGGCCUCGACAGCCAUAAUGAACAAAGACACUGGCAUUCGAAGUGCCAUUACAAACGGAACUCCGGUUCCCCCUCCGCAGGUACGAACAACCCCACUCCGUGGGGGAAGGCCUGCGGAGCAACAGAAGACUGACGAGCGGCUCGCCGCCGCCCGCUCUGACUACGACGAUAACGACCCCCGCUCUGGAUGGUCGGGCUGCAGCAGCGCAGGCCUCAGGGCGGGCGCUGCUGCAAUCUUGCCCUCGCCCACACCGACGCUCGAGGGGCGAGGACAAGUGCGAAGAACCGGAGGCCAGAGGCGCGGAUGGUGGCGGUGAUCCCGUCGGUGACGGGGACUUCUCGAGCCGCCUCCGCCUCGGCACCGACGGUAGGGCCCAUCGGCUCCCCGGCAGAUCCCCACUCAAAUCCUCCCGGGCGAGUGGGGCACCGACCUCCGCGUGAGGGCGCCAUCCCGGUGCAAAGGCAGGACCACCCCAGAACACGAACGCCGCCCUAUCAGCGCGCGGCAUCUUGGGUGGUCCUCCCGUGCACACGGCGCGGCAGCCGCCCUCCGGCAGGAGGGGCCGCCGGGAACCAAGCCAACGAGCCCGACACGCUGGAGGUGACGACGCCCGCCGUCGACCGGCCCCGCGUUGUCGAAGUCCGGGCCGCCCGCAGGGCCAGUGAGCGCCCUCUCCCCCGAACGCCGCGGGAGAGGGAGACCCACGGACCCGCGCGGGAGGUAGAGCGCCGGCUCAGCCCGACCCCCACCCCAACGAGGAUGAUGAACAUCCUUGAAGCUGAGGGUGGGACCAAGAUCGCAGCCCGGCUUGCUUCUCCCCACCCAGGAACUGGUGGUCACCGUCUUGGGUGACCACCGGCGGGGGGAUACAGCCGGGCUACAUGAUGAAAAUCCUUGAAGUCGAACGAUGGCUGAAAGGUACCAACUCCCACGGAGUUGCGUUCCUCCAACGAUGGGGCGGAAAGACGUCGGAUACCCCCCAUCCGGGGGCUUGGAAGAUGGAAAGACACGACGCAUAAGGGAGGAAGAAGACAUGGUCGCCUUCCGAAAGGGGUCACCCUCCUUUUAAAGGCAACUCUCCCUACGUGCGCCCCCAAACGCCACGGGCUGAGUCUUCUCCAACACGCUCCAAGGCCCUCCCCUGCGGCGCGGGGGCUGGGUCCCGCAUGUCAUGCAAACCGACUCAGAGCAGAAGAAGCCAAAGCGCCGCGCGUGGUGCACACAACCGCCCAGCGGUUACAAGCGACCCCCACUUUUGCCCAGACCAACGGGCGGAAGGAGCGGGCAGCCAUGCAGGCGGCAUGCAACCGCGCCAAGUGGACACGCUUCUCCGACUCCCAACGCGCCAGCAUGGAGGCCCAGGCCCACGCGUCGCGCAACCUGCGCCGGAUGCUGCAUGCAGGCAACUGCACCGCCACUUGCGCCACCAUCGCGCCUCUUCGGUUGCGGGACCAAUGCCGCGACUCGAGGCGACCCAGCGCACGACCCAGCGGCGCCAGCCUGGCGCGACGGUCAAUGCGGCCAAAAGUGGGCCGGCAGUAAUGACGGUGGCAGGCGGGCGGGAGCAGCAGUCACGUCGUCAGCCAGGCUCACGUCCCAUCCUGGGGCAGCAAGAGAGCCUCCUCUCACGGCGUGAAGACGGCGCGCCCGUGAUCUAUUCCUCAAACGGCUCGCGCACGCGCAACGGCCGCCCCGCCAACCACUCACCCCGUCGCAUUAACUCCGCGGCGGGACAGGCGGCGCUCCUGGCAGGAGAAGCGGGCGACGCUUCGCCUUCGCCGUAAUAACCGCGCCAAAAAAGGUACGCCACGUCGUUCGAUUUCGUAUCCUUUUCCUUUUUUCCUCCUUCUCUAUCUCUUGCAACAGGAACCGGGAAAGGGGGAUACCCCGAAAAGAAUCCUUCCCUGUGAAGGAACCGGGCUUCGAGCCCCCCCUACUGAUCAGAGGUUCGAAGGCUGGCCCUCUGAGGGGUUCAACAGUUGCCUCAGAUCGCGUGGGCCCUACACCCACUACUGGUCAGAGGUUCGAAGGCCGGCCCCCCGAAGGGCUCCACGGCCGCCUCAGGCUACUCGGGCUCCGCGCCCAUUACUGAUCAGGGGUUCGAAGGCUGGCCCCCGAAGGGUUCACAGUCGCCUCAGACGCCGAGCGAGGGAUGACCAGGGGUACGUUCGAUACAUAACCAAGGCUCGGGCUGCGCUCCCGAGGUACCCUAGGACAUUUCCGAGACCAGCGGGAGCGAUCUUGUAACGGAAUCCCAUCGGAGGGAGGCAUCGAGCCCUCGGACCCCGUCGCCAGGGGACUGGGUCCGGCAGAUCACCCGCAGGUACUUUUGGGCGUGCCUCUGGGCCCCUAGCCGACCCCCAACGAACGGGGCACGGACGUCCACUCGGAUUACCCGCUUGCAGCUCACCGGAGACACCAUGUUCGGUGCCCAUUGAGGGUAACAUGGCGCUCUCCCCCCCUCCUCCUUGCGGAAAGGCGACGUAGGGGCGUAUGUAAAAAAGCCGAGUCUAUCCCUGAUCGCCCUCUCGCCCUGUGCGGAGGCUCGGGGGCUGCUCUCGCAAACCUGGCUCCGGCCGAACCGUUGACAGCGUCAACAUACCAGCCCGAGAACUUGGGCCCCGACCGUGCACCCGGGCUACGGCCAGUUCGCAUGAGGGAACAACCAGACCAGCUGAAGCAUUACGCAAGGCAUUAAGACCUCGGGGGAGUGAAACCACUCCUCCGAGGCCUCGGGGGCUACACCCGGCGGGUGCGCUCGCGCGCACCCACCGGAACAAAAUGCAACCGAGAAAGGCUGGUCCCCUUGCAAAAAAGUGCGACGAAAGCCUCCAAGCGAGUGCUAACACUCCCUUCGAGGCUCGGGGGCUACUGUCGGGGACCAUAAUUAGGGGUACCCUCAAGACGCCUAAUUCUCAGCUGGUAACCCCCAUCAGCAUAAAGCUGCAGAGGCCUGAUGGGUGCGAUUAAGUCAGGGAUCAGUCCAUACGAGCGACUCGAUCACGCCUCGCCUGAGCCUAGCCUCGGGCAAGGGCAGCCGACCCCAAGGGAUUUCCGUCUCGCCCGAGGCCCCCCUUUUUAACGGCGGACACAUCUCCGGCUCGCCCGAGGCCUUGCCUUCGCUAAGAAGCAACCCUGACUAAAUCGCCGCACCGACCGACCGAGUCGCAGGAGCAUUUAACGCAAAGGUGGCCUGACACCUUUAUCCUGGCGCGCGCCCCCCGGCAGAGCCGAAGUGACCGCCGUCACUUCGCCGCUCCACUGACCGGUCUGACAAAAGGACAGCGCCGCCUGCGCCACUCCGACUGCAGUGCCACUUGACAGAGUGAGACUGACAGGCAGUCAGGCCUUGCCAAAGGCGCCAUAGGAAACUCCGCUCCGCCCGACCCAGGGCUCGAACUCGGGCUAAGCCCCGGAAGACGGCGAACUCCGCUCCGCCCGACCCAGGGCUCGGACUCGGGCUAAGCCCCGGAAGACGGCGAUCUCCGCUCCGCCCGACCCAGGGCUCGGACUCAGGCUAAGCCCCGGAAGACGGCGAACUCCGCUCCGCCCGACCCAGGGCUCGGACACGGGCUGAGACCCGGAAGACGGCGAACUCCGCUCCACCCGACCCAGGGCUCGGAUUCGGGCUAAGACCCGGAAGACGGCGAACUCCGCUCCGCCCGACCCAGGGCUCGGACUCGGGCUAAGACCCGGAAGACGGCGAACUCCGCUCCGCCUGACCCAGGGCUCGGACUCAGGCUCAGCCCCAGAAGACGAUGAACUCCGCUUCGCCCGACCCCAGGGCUCGGACUCCGCCCUGGCCUCUGCCGAACGACCUCCGCCUCGCCCGACCCAGGGGCUCGGGCUCGGCCUCGGCAGCGGAAGACAGACUCGACCCCAGCUUCGGAGGAGCCCCCACGUCGCCCGGCCUCGAGCGCGGGCCCGCCACGUCAACAGGGAGCGCCAUCAUCACCCUACCCCGAGCCGACUCGGGCCGCAGAGAACAAGACCGGUGUCCCAUCUGGCUAGCUCCGCCAGAUAGGCAAUGAUGGCGCCCCGCGUGCCCUGUGACGACGGCGGCUCUCAGCUCCCUUACGGAAGCAGGGGGACGUCAGCAAGGACUCGACCGCUCCGACAGUUGUCCCUCCGCCAAGCUUCGUUGCUCCUCCGACAGCCACGACAUCACACCAACAGGGUGCCAAGAUCUCUGCGGCUGCCACAUUGGCAUGUACUCAGGGCGCUAGCUCUCCCUCCGCUAGACACGUAGCACUCUGCUACAUCCCCAUUGUACACCUGGAUCCUCUCCUUACGCCUAUAAAAGGAAGGACCAGGGCCUUCUUAGAGAAGGUUGGCCGCGCGGGGACGAGGACGAGACAGGCGCUCUCUCGGGGCCGCUCGCUUCCCUCACCCGCGUGGACGCUUGUAACCCCCUACUGCAAGCGCACCCGACCUGGGCGCGGGACGAACACGAAGGCCGCGGGAUUUCCACCUCUCUCUCGCCCGUCUCCGGCUACCUCGCUUUCCCCCCUUCGCGCUCGCCCACGCGCUCGACCCAUCUGGGCUGGGGCACGCGGCACACUCACUCGUCGGCUCAGGGACCCCCCGGUCUCGAAACGCCGACAAUGUUCCUCAGCUCGUCGGCAUGUCAGGUAAGCAAUGGAACGCAAUGCUGAAUCAUGCAAAAACGUGUGACAUGGGACGGAAAUGUUAUGCUUUCAAGACUAUUGCGUGUGAAAUUACCUUUAACCCCAUAGGAGAGGUCUUAGGGGCAAGAAUUGGAGAGUAGACUAGACAUUUCCGCUGCAAGAACUGCACCCAUAUCAACUGGUAAUGUACAAUAAUCACAUUGAUUUUUAGUAACUAAAUAGGAGUGUUAUUUGCUGACUUGACCUUACCAGUGAAUCUGUAAAUGAUAUUUCCUUGCAUGAUGGCCUCAAACGCAAUUCCAUGUGAAGCAGUUGGCCGCUCAUGCAUACCAGAUGUGGGAUCAACUAAAGGAAGUAGCCAAUGAAAAACCAUUUGCUGCAAAUAAAGAGCUUUGUUCCAAAAAGUAAAUCUGAUCGGGAGCAGACUUUCGGACAAGCAGAGAGCAUGAUCAGCCCAGGGGCGUUUGGUAGAGCUCACAUAGCUAUGCUCCCAACAAGAAUUACUUUCGCAGAGCUAAACAAUAAAAAUUUGAACUGCUCUAUGGAAGGAGUUGAGUGAAUCUAGUCUCUAUUUUGUACUAGAAAGAGAGAGUCAAAAAAUCUGUUUCCCACCGCUCCCAACUUAUUCUCCACUCUCUAACCCCUCAGGAAUCACUUCAAAGCCUAUUUGUCAAACGAUUUUCGUCAAAUAGAUUCACUUCCGCUAGAGAAUCACUCGAAAUCACUCUAUUAGAGAAUCAGCUCAUGGAGCUAGAGAAUCAUGCAAUAGAGCUCUGUCAAAAGAGCCCAAAGUAUCUUGACUACACUGGAACUACUACCUCCAGUGUUGCAGCAACACUACAUUAACAAAGCCCAUUUUCAGCGGCUAGGAACCGCCGACGAAAAUAACCUAUUUUUAGCGGCAAAAGGUUUAUUUUUCAGUGGUUCCUCGCCGCCAAAAAAAUUAGUCAAAAAUAAGCUAUUAUUUUCGGCGGCUAGACCCAGGCCGCCGAAAAUUGCCUAUUUUCGGUGGCUGUCUCGUCGCCGCUGAAAGUUCAAUCGGCUAUUUUCAGUGAGCUGCGUUCUGGCCACCGAAAAUAAGUAUUUUCAGAGUAUUUUUUUAGAAAAAAGUAAAAUUAAUAGAACUUUCAACAACAAUAUAUAUAUAUAUAAGCAACACAAAUCCAUCACAGAUAUAAUAAUUCAUCCAUAAAACCAUCACAAAUAUCACAAUUCAUCCACACAAGUAUCACAAUACAUCCACUGCAAGAGUACGUCAAUUGAUACAUACCACAUACACCAUAAUACAUCACAGUUCAUAUCAAAUCCAUCGCAAGACGCCAAAUUCACCACAAGAGUAAAUUGAUCACAUACAGGGGGUCGUUUGAGUUGUGGCCACUACCUUCAGAAGUGAAUAAGUUGUUGACGAAGUUGUCUAUCUGGUUUGGAGUCUGAAAGAAAGAUAAAUACAUUAAUAACUACAAUUCUAAGUUGACCACUAUUCAAACGAUUUUUUUGUCAAACAAACCCCUUCUGUAGUAGUUCCCUCCCCUCCAAAAUCUCCUCCUGGUGCUGGUAUCACCGGUGGUGGCGUGUUGUGGCCCAUAACCCCCGAUCCCUACAAAGUCAAGAUUUAAAAAGUUAAUACAAACGACAAGUCUAAACUAAAUUGAAUUUGAUCGACACAACAGCUGCAACACCUCAGAUUCUACCGGAGCUGCUCCAGCUGAUGACGCCAUGCUCUGGAAUGUUAUGCUUUUGAACAUAGCAUCAGAAUGUAACUUCAGCUGGCAAGACUCGGCAGCUUGCUGGGAUUAAGUGGAUUAACAUUUCAUCGAUGUUGCUUGUUUCCUGUUUUUAAUAAUGGCAUGUUUGAUCCAUAUUACUUAUUGUACUAUUAGGUGAAAUGUUAUGUUUUUGAACAUGCGACUUGCAUGUGGUUUUUAAAUUCAAUAAAACUUUGUGAACACAAAGUUGAUAUGUGACCUUGUAGUUUAGGUUUGUGAUAAAUAAUUAUCAACAGAGCAGCAUCUUAGGUUGAAUCGUAUCGACUAAUCGACUAACUGGGGUGUGGGUGUGUAUAUGCAAUAUGUCUUUUGGUUUAUGAUGCAUAGGUGUGAAGUCUGGAGACGGUGGUUGUGUGGGAUAGAUAUCCUCCGGGUCCUUGCGAACACAGAACCAUAUCAUGGGCCGCCUGAUGGGCCUCCCGACGGCUUGCUAAGCGAGAUAGGUCAUCAGACCAUAGCCAGGCCAGGCGAGCUCGAUCCAGGAAAACGAAGACUAGACGUCUGAGUUAUGCGUCGACCGAAGCGAUGAUAUCUUGGUCUAAGAGGUUGCGUACACCUAAAGGGCUAAACACUCGGCGUUAACUCGACUGAGGAAGAGAUUGAACUCCAGAUAAGCUGGAAUACAUACCGCGAUAAAGGAGGAAUUAGGUAGACUAGAUAGUUAUCACAACCUGUAAAGGGAUAACCUUCUGGUCACCUAUAUAAGGCCGAUGGGGUACCCCUACAAAAACAUCUCAUACCAUCUCUCAUCAACCACAUCCUAGCACCACCUCAAAGCUCAUUAGCCCUCUUGUAGCAACCACGAGCUACUACAUCGGCCGGAGAACUCAUCUUCCACUACCCACAUCUCAUUUGUAAUUUGUAUACCUAGUGCAAUUCCAAUACACAGCCUCAACAGGAAGUAGGGUGUUACGCAUUCUAGCGGCCCAAGCCUGUAUAAAUCCUUGUACAAUCUGACGUGCCCCUGCACGUACCAUCGAGUCGCAGUCAACGACGUCGUCCUACUCAAAAGCAUCACGUGGGGAACCCCGUGGUGCAUAGUCGGGUCAUAAAUACCGACAAUGGUCGUCGAUAAUGGUAAAGGUCAUGUGGGAUCAUGCUAAUGGAUUAGGAGCAGUGAAUGACGAGUCCUAAGUUUUGAUUGAGGGACUAAAUAAUCGAGUGACUAGCCUUGGUGGCUAACACCUUGGGACACCGACGGACACAAGAACAUGGUCGAGCGGAUCGUGUUACCGACGUGGUUGCACUACCGGACACAGUCUUUACUAAGUGCUAAAAGAUUUGCCGAUAUGGAAAUAUUGGGCACACGACGAAGACAGAUUUUGCACACUGGUGCACUCAGCAAAACAAAACACUAGACAAAUAGGUAUCAUGGCAAAUAAACAUAAUACAUGACAACUUUCACGAAACCUUACCAAUUUUUUAUCAUAGCCUUCACAUAUAACAUCAUGACAUCUCGAUUAGUUUUAUGAUUUCUUGACUUUAUUUGCUUUUUAUAGAAUUUUAAAUCAAAUGUACCGCAAGUUUAUGGUCAUGUUUGGUGAAAAAGAUGUUCAAAAUUUCUGUAUGUUCCUGGAUACAUCCUCAACUUAUACUCAAUAACAUGAAUAUCAUUUCGCAUUCUUUUUCUAUUAUUUGAAUGACUUAUAAUUCAAAUUUAAAUUAUUCAAAAAAAUACAAUUAAAUGAAAAAAAACUAGAUAUAACAAUCACUUUAAGAAAUGUGCCAAAAUUGAACAAGUAGUUCUAGAUAUUGUAGGAACACAAUGAAAAAAGUUUAGGGAAAAAAUAAAAUAUCCAUCGUGUGUUACAAAAAGACUCUCAACAAAGAGACAUUUUCUCGAGUGCCUAGAGGUGAGCACUCGACAAAAGUUUUCAAAAAAAAACUCUUUGCCGAAUAUCAGGUCAUGGGUACUCGACAAAGAAUAUUUUAAUAAAGAUAUAAAUACACAAGGUUGAUUUGUCCCUUAUGGUUCGGGUUGAUGAUGAGUGAUUAUCAACGGGUAGUACUUUGAUGUAGUUGGUGAACUAACCAGAGUAUCAGUUAUGUGUUGUACUUUGGUGUAGUCGGUGGACUAACCAGAGUAUCAGUUAUGUGUAGUACUUUGGUGUAGUCGGUAGUACUUUGGCUUGUGGUGUGUAGGUGUGGAGCACAAUUAUAGUGGUCGACGACGAAGGUGAGGUUCAUUCGGGUUCGUGCUGAUGGAUCGGGAGCGACGAAGGACGAGCGCUGGGACUUGACCGAGGGACCGAAGAAGCCAGGUGAGUAGCUGUGGUGGCUGGCACCUGGGGCACAAACUAGCGCGAGGAUGUGGCAGAGCGAUGGUGUUGCCAGUGUCGUCGAGGAUUGGCGGGACACUUGUCCAGGACAACCAUCUUUUUGGCUAGUUUCAUUUGGCACUUGUUUAGAAACUCUAGUUUCCAUUUCCUAAUUUUAGCUAGAGAUCCGCAAGUGUUUUUUAUUCAUCUAUGUACUCAUUAUUCAAAGGAAGCGUGUCUAGAUGGUUGGUUCGAAUCACUUGCUCAGUUUUGUCUUCGCUCCAGUUUUUAUUCAAUUGUGUGCUCGUUCUCUUUCCGUCCUUCUCUCUUUGGAUUUGUUGAAGAACCAUCGAGUUCUUAGGCUAUGAUUUGUUUUGAGGAUUGUUGCGGGGUGAGAAACACUCUUUGGAUCACUGCAUAUACCUAGUUCGAGCAGUUUGUGUUCAUGAUCCGAGUUCUUCUCAUUUGGAGUUUGUUUAGAAAAAACUCCAACAAAACCCUAAUCAAAGUUCACUUUUGAAUCUAUUUGCGCAUAAGUGUUUUGCUCUAGACCAAACUUCACGAAACAUCUUCUUUCCCUCUGCGCAAACUGCCUGCAAUUUGAGCAAAUUCUACGAAGUUUUGCCGUGCGGCACUACCGCUCCCCUUGCUCAAGGAUUUCUGAUCCCUCUUGCUCAAACUUCACAUAUAUCUUGUCCCUCCCUCAACUCCAGCACUUCCAACACUUCCGCUCAAGUAUAUCAUAGUAAGUAUCUAAUAAUUUAAUAAUCAACAAAGUAAUGAUCGUGCAAAACAUACAUUUUUCAUGAAUAUCACAAGGAGGCGAUGUUGCUUCAAAGCUGAAACCGGGCCUACGUAUUGAUUGACCUCCCAUGCUUAACACCUCCCUCCUCUUGAUGACGGUUAAGCGGAAGCCCCCACUCGCUCCAUAUCGCCACUCCACACCUCCCCCAUGACUCCCCUGCUCCUCCUCCGCCUGCUCUGCCUCGUCCCCCUCGUCACCGCCGCCUGCGCCGAAGCCAAACUACCGGCAGAUUUCACCACGCUCCUCGCCGCGAAGUUCUCCCUCGCUGACCCCGGUUCCGCGCUCGACGCAUGGGACUCAAGGCUCUCUCCGUCGCCCUGCCGCUGGCCGCACAUCCUCUGCUCCAACCGCUCCGUCUCUGAUGCCCCGGCCGUCGCCUCUCUCCUCCUCUCCAACCUCUCUCUUGCGGGCGCCUUCCCGUCCUCUCUAUGCUCUCUUAGGUCGCUCGUUCAUCUCGACCUCUCCUUCAACUCCCUAACUGGACCCCUGCUGCCUUGCCUCGCUGCGCUGCCGUCGCUCACGCACCUCGAUCUCGCCGGCAACGAGUUCUCAGGCCAGGUGCCAGGAGCCUAUGGCGCAGGUUUCCCUUACCUUGCCACGCUCAGCCUCGCUGGCAACAACCUCUACGGCGCAUUCCCGGGGUUCUUGUUCAACAUCACCACGCUCCAUGAGCUCCUCCUCGCGUACAACCCCUUCGCGCCGUCGCCGCUGCCGGAGGACGUCUCCGGCCCCACGCAGCUCAGCCAGCUGUGGCUCGCCGGGUGCGGCCUCAUCGGUGAAAUCCCGCCUUCGAUCGGGAGCCUCAGCAGCCUCGUCAACCUCGACCUCUCCACGAACAACCUCACCGGCGAGAUCCCGUCAAGCAUCCGGAGAAUGGACAACGUCAUGCAGAUCGAGCUCUACUCGAAUCGGCUCACCGGAAGCGUGCCGGAGGGGCUGGGGGCGCUCAAGAAGCUGCGGUUCUUCGACGCGUCCAUGAACCGCCUCUCCGGCGAGAUACCAGCGGACGUGUUCCUCGCUCCGAGGCUGGAGAGCCUGCACCUAUACCAGAACGAACUGUCCGGCCGCAUGCCAGCGACGUUGGGACAGGCGCCAGCGUUGGCAGACCUCAGGCUGUUCACGAACCGUCUCGUCGGGGAGCUGCCGCCGGAGUUCGGGAAGAACUGCCCGCUCGAGUUUCUGGACUUGUCGGACAACCGGAUCUCUGGCCUUAUUCCAGCGGCUCUGUGCAACGCCGGGAAGCUGGAGCAGCUUCUGAUACUCAACAACGAGCUGAUCGGUCCCAUCCCGGCAGAGCUCGGGCAAUGCCGAACACUAACGCGGGUGCGACUGCCGAACAACCGGCUGUCCGGACCCGUGCCGCAGGGCCUGUGGUCCCUGCCGCACCUGUACCUCUUGGAGCUCGCCGGGAACAUGCUAUCCGGCACCGUGGACCCGACCAUUGCCAUGGCGAAGAACUUGUCGCAGCUGCUCAUUUCCGACAACCUCUUCACUGGCGCGCUGCCGGCGCAGAUCGGCACCCUGCCUGCUCUGUUCGAGCUAUCGGCCGCGAACAACAUGUUCUCCGGGAUGCUGCCGGCGUCGCUAGCAGAUGUUUCUACGCUUGGUCGGCUUGAUUUGAGGAACAACUCGCUGUCCGGCAAUCUGCCGCAAGGUGUUCGACGCUGGCAGAAGCUGACGCAGCUGGACCUUGCCCACAACCACCUCACAGGAACCAUCCCGCCAGAACUUGGCGAGCUGCCCGUGCUGAACUCGCUUGACCUGUCGAACAACGAGCUCACUGGCGACGUGCCGGUGCAGCUUGAGAACCUCAAACUGAGCCUGUUCAACCUAUCCAACAACCGGCUCAGCGGCAUCUUGCCUCCUCUGUUCUCCGGCUCCAUGUAUAGGGACAGCUUCGUGGGCAACCCGGCCCUGUGCCGCGGCACGUGCCCGAGCGGCCGCCAAUCCAGAACCGGCCGUCGAGGUCUCGUGGGCCCCGUCGCCACCAUCCUCACUGUGGCCAGCGCUAUCCUGCUCCUAGGCGUCGCGUGUUUCUUCUACACGUACCACCGGAGCCACAACGGUGGACACCCCGCGGAGCCUGGCGGCGGCGACGGCGGCGGCAAGCCCAGGUGGGUGAUGACGUCGUUCCACAAGGUGGGGUUCGACGAGGACGACAUCGUGGGCUGCCUCGACGAGGACAACGUGGUCGGCAUGGGCGCGGCGGGCAAGGUGUACAAGGCCGUCCUGAGGCGCGGCGGCGAGGACGUCGCCGUUGCCGUCAAGAAGCUGUGGAGCGGUGGCGGCAAGGCAACGGGCAGCACUGCCAAGGAAAGCUUCGACGUGGAGGUGGCAACGCUGGGCAAGAUCCGGCACAGGAACAUCGUGAAGCUGUGGUGCUGCUUCCACAGCGGCGACUGCCGGCUUCUGGUGUACGAGUACAUGGCCAACGGCAGCCUCGGCGACCUCCUCCACGGCGGCAAGGGAUGCCUCCUGGACUGGCCGGCGCGGCACCGGAUCAUGGUCGACGCCGCGGAGGGCCUCGCGUACCUGCACCACGACUGCGGGCCACCGAUCGUGCACCGCGACGUCAAGUCCAACAACAUCCUCCUCGACGCCCAGCUCGGCGCCAAGGUCGCCGACUUUGGCGUCGCCAGGGUCAUCGGCGACGGGCCGGCCGCCGUCACGGCCAUCGCCGGCUCCUGUGGCUACAUCGCUCCCGGUGGGUGAGCUACCACCUCUUUUAAUGAUUUCGUGCUCGUGUGCUGAUGGUGAUUUUCUUGCGUGUGUCCCAUCAGAGUACUCGUACACCCUGCGCGUCACGGAGAAGAGCGACGUGUACAGCUUCGGCGUGGUGAUGCUGGAACUCGUCACCGGCAAGAAGCCCGUCGGGGCGGAGCUCGGGGACAAGGACCUGGUGCGGUGGGUGCACGCCGGCAUCGAGAAGGAUGGCGUGGACUCGGUGCUGGACCCGAGGCUCGCCGGCGAGUCCAGCAGGGACGACAUGGUCAGGGCGCUCCACGUCGCGCUUCUCUGCACGUCCAGCCUGCCGAUCAACCGCCCGUCCAUGAGGAUCGUCGUGAAGCUGCUGCUCGAGGCUGCGCCGCGCGCGCGGCCUCUGGAGAGCAAGCCAAAGGCGGCCGAGGAGGAACCGCUUGAUGUCUGACGACAUCGUCGGACAAGAUCUAUCGCGUCUCAGAAAUAAGGAUCAUUGGCAGUGAAUUGCUAACCUCCAGUAGCACACGCUUCAUCCACAUUUCGCAAUCUAUAGCUCUCAAAUGUCAGUACAGAAUCUAGUGCGUAGUAGUUGCUUAAAAAUGAACGCAACACAAGCCUGAGUUUUCUAGGGCUUGACUCAUUUCGUCACAUUAUCUAUGAUAGUAUAUUGUUCACUUGGGUCUCUUUACCAUGCACAGUACCAGUUUCUUACUGUACUUUGUAGAGGGAUAUUAGUUUAUCUUAUGGCAAAGAUUUGGGUUAGAAAAUGACACUACAUAGAGUCAUGUCUGGUCCCAAAAAGUGCUUCUGCUGCACUUCAGCGUCUGAGCUUAUGAUUAGAUACCGAUUAGAUUCAGUCUGGGCUUAUCAAUUCCAACUGGCAAGGACAAGGUGUGAUUAGAUACUGAUUAAUUAGAACCAAUGUCAAUUUUCAUUUCUGCAUUUGGCUGCAGCCUUUCUUUCUCUCGGGUGCUACAGCAGGAAACGUUCACUUGUAGUGAAGCUGUAGUAAAUGUACUAAGAGCAACUUCAAUUGUUCUCUAAAAUACUUUCUAAAUCAAUAAUUUAGGUGGUUAACUUAAAAACUCCUAAAAAAUAUAGUUGGAUGCCAAAUGGUAAACAACUCUCCAAAUGGUUGUCAAAUGGUAAACAACUCUCUAAAUGAACUUCCUAAAUUCAGCUACUUCUUAUAUAAUCUCAUCUCCUCCAUACAUUUGGCAACCAUUUUCCAACUCCCUAAAUAAAAAAUCUGGUUGCAUUAUUUAGGUAAUGAAGAUGGAUGUUGACAUUUAUGACUUUUUUGAUAUGGAUAGAUUCAAAACAAAACUACAAUCUAUAUUUAGAGAGCUAUUGGAGAAGUUACAACUUUUGACUCCCAAAGUUAUUUAGAAUCUUCUUAAAUCCAUGAUUUAGAGUGCUAAAAUUUAUAUAACUAUUGAAGCUGCUCUAAAUAGUGGUGGUACCGAAAUUUAGUGGCCGCUAUUUGAGCAAUAUGUAAUAAAAUUAUAAUCUUAGGUCACCUAAGAUACACAUUUUUUUUAUAAUAGAAACAUAAGUUCCGGCUUUAGCAUGUUUCUAAAAAACCUUUAUUUUCAAGGGAAGCUUAAGUUUUCAAAGCUUCUUAUUCCAAUCGUUGUUGGGAUUAUUUAUCAAACAAUGGUGUCGGCAUUUCGAUCCCGGGGGGUCCCUGGACCGACGAGUAAAUUGUCACUGCGUGUCCCAGCCCAGAUGGGUCGGCGCGAGACGGAACACAAGGGGGAAACAGUAAGGGGAAUCGCGGCCUCGUGUUGUCCUGCGCCCAGGGCGGAUGCGCUUGCAGUAGGGGGUUACAAGCAUUCGCGAGGGAGAGAGAGAGAGCCUGUGCGUCAGCCCGUCCUCCCGCGCGUCCACCUUCUCGUACGAGGGCCCUGGACCUUCCUUUUAUAGAUGUAAGGAGAGGGUCCAGGUGUACAACAGGGAGCGUAGCAAUGUGCUAACGUGUCUAGCAGGGAGGAGCCAGAGUCCUAUGUAUAGGCCGACGUGGCUGUUGGAGAGGUGUUGCUGCCCUGUUCAUGUGAUGUCGUGGUCGUCGGAGGAGCGCUUGAGCCCUGUGGAAGCACAGCUGUCGGGUGCUGUCGGAUCCUUGCUGACGUCUCCUUGCUUCCGUAAGGGGCUGAGAACUGCCAUCGUCAUGGAGCACACGGGGUGCCAUCAUUACUUGUUUACCGGGGCGAGCCAGAUGGGACGCCGGUCUUGUUCCCCGUAGCCUGAGCUAGCUAGGGGUAGGGUAAUGAUGGGCCCCCUCUGUAGCGUGGUCGGUCCGAGCCCAAGGUCGGGCGAGACGGUGAUUCCUCCGAGGUCCAGGCUGAGUCCGAGCCCUGGGGUCGGGCGAGGCGGAGACCGUCGUCCGAGGUCGAGGUUGAGUCCGAGCCCUGGGGUCGGGCGAGGCGGAGACCGUCUUCCGAGGUCGAGGUGGAGUCCGAGCCCUGGGGUCGGGCGAGGCGGAGACCGUCUUCCAGUGUCGAGGUUGAGUCCGAGCCCUGGGGUCGGGCGAGGCGGAGCUUCCUAUGGCGCCCGAGGCUGGACUUGGCUGCUGUCAGUCUCACCCUGACGGGUGGCACAGCAGUCGGAGCAGGGAAGGCGGCGCUGUUUUCCUGUCAGGUCAGUCAGUGGAGGGGCGAAGUGACUGCGGUCACUUCGGCCUUGUCGACUGAGGGGCGCGCGUCAGGAUAAGGUGUCAGGCGAUCCUUGCAUUGAAUGCUCCUGCGAUCCGGUCGGCUGGCGAGGCGAUCUGGCCAAGGUUGCUUCUCCGCGAAGCCUGCCCGAGCUGGGUCUCGGGCGAGUCGAAGGUGUGCCCGUUGCUUGAGGGGACCCUCGGGCGAGACGUGAAUCCUCCUGGGUCGGCUGUCUUUGCCCGAGGCUGGGCUCGGGCGAGGCGAGAUCGUGUCCCUUGAGUGGACGGAGUCUUGACCUGAAUUGCGCCCAUCAGGCCUUUGCAGCUUUGUGCUGAUGGGGGUUACCAGCUGAGAUUAGGAGCCUUGGGGGUACCCCUAAUUAUGGUCCCCGACAAAUGGUAUACAAAUUAGGCAGAAAAAGUACCAUUCUUAUGACCAUCUCAAAUAAAUAUCUCUAGACAAAUUCAAAGUAACCAUAGAUAGCAAGGUUAACAUGUUAUGCCAUUCCAUUAACUUGAUCUCCUAAUUGUGCGGCGAAAAGAUAAAUUAAGAUUCGUAACUGAAAAAACAUCUGCCACCAGAGCAGAUUUGUUCUGCACAAUAUUAAAGAGAUUUGGAAAUUACUCACUAAAAGGACGGCUGGUUAACUAUUUAUCCUUUCAAAAUCUGGUCGUUUGACCAUUCCUCACUUUAAAGUAAACUCAAACGAUGUGAACUCUUCUCUUUGUAGUUUGUAUGACCCCAGGGCCCAGGUCGGUUUAGUCCUUUUGGCAAUAUAUUCAGGCGGGGAUCCUCUUCCACAGUUGACACUCAAAAAAAAACUUAAGAUACACAUUAACACAUGUGGUUUAAGUGAUCAUGAGACUGAUAAGGUUGCUAUUUUUUGUAGUAACAAUAAUAACGAAUAAUGGUUUUUAUGAACUAUUUAUGCCUGCCGUAAUUUAUUUCAUUUCCAGAUUAACUCCGAGAUACGAUGACUUAUGUAGAACACUAUUUUUUUUCUUAGUUUAAGUAUGUGAUGCCUCACCUCUUUUAGUACAGUUAAAUGUUUAUUUAAACAUGUUAUCUAUUGUAUACUUGUUUAAAUUUACCUAUAAUUAUCAUAUGACCUCGAUGCCAAUGCAUUGUCAAAAAGGCCAACAACAGAACAUGGCAAUUCCUCUAGUCUAGUAAAAAAGGGCCAACAACAGAACAGGACGAUACUGUACAGAAGCUGUGCUGGCCUUCUAAUUCAUGUUUCCUCUCAGAAGUUUGUGUUGAUCCAGCGGUGGAGCAUGGCCUCAGUUGCACACUUGCACUGCAUGGCCGCCUGCACAAUAAUGUGCCCCCAUUUGUGGGUGAACUUAUUACUUCCAGGGAUGAGGGACCUCAAGAUUAACGUGCUCAAUCAUUCAUUCGCGGCCGUGACAAAAAUAUUCUUUGCCGUUUGGAGGUUGGAAUGUCUCACCUGAUUUUUUUUGGCUGCUAAUAAUUCGAUACCGUCGCCGGAUUACGAAUGCAAAUGAUAGGAUGAUGUGCAAGGAUGCGUGACAGCGUCAGUGAGUAUUUCGGUUUUGUCACUUUCGGUUUUAAGUUUGCAAAUCUCUGCAGAUUACAGGCAUUGCAUUGCAUUGUAACUUUUACACCACCAUUACUAGUAUAAUACACAUACGUUGUGACGGUACACCAAUUAUAUUUGAUGGUAUGCAAUGGUUCUAUAACACGUAAGAGCCAAGUGAUAAAUCAGUAUAAUGGAUCUCCCAAAAAAAAUAAAUUUAAAAUUAAAGUGGACCCAUUUAAAAUUAAAAUGAACAUAUGACCUACAUGUCAGAUAUUAGAUUAUAGAUAUUGCACUUUAACUUAGCCAAAAGACCGAGAAAGAUAUGACUUAAAAUGAGCCAUGCUCCUUUUUAUAGCUAACUUAGCCGCUCGUCCUCUCUAACUAGUGAGGUGGUACUAUUCAGGAGCGUUGUGCUGUGUGUGGCUUUGUGUCGUGUUGGAAUUGAAUGUUUUCUCACUGCCCAUCUAGGAGGUAACGGCACACGUCACUUGACAACGCAAGACGACGGUGGACCACAGUUUUUUUCCAAAAGGGACGGAGGUGGAAACUAAGAGAACUGAUGCUUUAUAGAAGUAGAGAUUAAUUAGGUAACUAUACAUAGACUUCACAAAGAAUGUGUUAUAAUGGCACUGUUAUUUGUUCUAAACAUCCAGAUAAAUUUAUCGUUGUCUUAAUUUAAAUUAAUAUGUGCCACUCUUGCAACCAAAUUGUGUCAUCCCAGUAUUGUGUUCCUGACUCAUCCCAGUAAUGUGUUCCUAACUAAUGCCCGUCUAAAAAACAUUGAGACAGUUAGCAUUAAUCACUUCUACUACCGUUGCACAACAUUAAAAAUUUUGGACACUGGAACUCAAGAAGAUAGCCAAUUAUCUUCCCAAAAUAUGAUUUGUGUUCCAUUGUUACGGUGGAACUUUCCAAAAGCUAGUGAAAGUAUUAAGAUGUCCAAGAGGGUGAGGACAAAUUAGGAUUCUCAAAAUUUUAUGAAAAAUCUAGUAAUCUAAAAACUUGAAUGUAAUUGCUCAAAAGUAAAUGCCAAAGUAAAGUAAGGAUCACAAACGUCCCGAUGUCUUGCUAAGGUAUCGAAGUGUCAACACUCUCCACUAAUUCUCGUUCAAGCAUCUACAUAAGAGUGUCACUCACCCUUAAUCUAUGAAAGGACCAUGUGGCCCUCUACAGACUUGUUCUUUGCCACUCGAGCACGAUGAACUACCCAUAACCAUAUAUACCUCAAGUUGGGCCACCACAAACUCUUCGAGUGAUCACCAAACUCUUAAUCACCACCAAACUGUCUAGAUGAUGCCAAUAACUAAGAGUACCAAGAAAAAACUCUCACUUGAUCUAUCCAAGUCUAAUGAGAAUGGUGGAUGAACACAAGAUUCUUUCAAUAUACUAAUGAGGCCGCUAAUCACGUGAUUAUCAACUAUCAUAACCCUCACUAGACAAAAGCUCUUCCUCACACUCCAAUAAGUUUCUUCAACUAUUAGAAUGAUGAGCAAGAGACCUCAAAAGAACAAAGUGGAGGGGUAUAAAUAACACUAAGUAAAGCAACUAGAUGUUGGUCACACUCAGCUUUCACAGGUGCAAUGGACAUUUCGGUGCACACCAACUCGAUGCAUCAAUUAUAUCUAGUGCAGCUACAAUGACUAAUUCAAAAACUAUCCAUUAAUGUAGUUGUAUUCGUUGGCUGGUGAGUAUACUAAUCAAAUGUAUAGUUUACAUGCCUCUCUAAAUUCCCUAUUCAAGGUGAUGUCUGGUGCAACAUCAUACAUGCCAAUCAGUACUCAGGUUCUCACACUCAUUUUACAACCUCUCUAGGUGCCUUGUACAAUGCCAUGUUCGGUGAUACACUGAACACGACUGGUGAGUGUUAUGCUUCACUCUCUGGUGCUGUAAGGAAAAUGGUCCACGACCCAUUUGAUUAAGUGUUUUGAUGUUUGAUGAACAACAUAACCAUUUAGACUAAUGAUGUUUGCUAGUGUUUAUGUUUAUAGUUAAAAGGUGCAACGUGGACUUGGGCGAAGGCAACAAGGUGAUCAAAGAGAUCAACACAACAAUGCAAGACAUUAGAAGACUCAUUGAAUAUAUAGCAAGAUCAUACAAGAGUCCAAGACACAAGGCAUACCACUUGGGCUGAUAGUGAAAAUUGCACCACUUGUGCUUUCUCUUGAACUUGGUUUCUCCAGAGUUGUUACGAAAAACUCACCUUAAUUGUUUCAAGCAGCAUAACAUCAUUUGCCCCACUCGGCGGUAGUCAUGUAUAAGCGGUUGUAGAUGCCGUUGAAGAGAGUGGUCUUUUUGGUUGCUUGUUGACCACCGAUCCUUCAACUUCUUGGGGGUAUGGUGGCAAGGAGCUUCUAUGGUGGAGUUGUUGGUGUUGGCUAUUUGCCCCUAGAAUGUUGAUAUCUUCUUACCAUUGCCAUCAAUGAGGUUAAUGAAGUGCAAUAGUCACCCGUGGACCUAAAAACACGAACUUCAAACUACCAUGGAACUAAAAAUGUAUGGAAUUUGAAAAAAAUGUGUGUAGUUACCCAUCUUCGUCUAGUCCCUUCAUUGUUGGAAUUGUGGAACACCAGAGUAAGCAGACUAUAUCGCUACUUGAGGGCAUUAUCAUGGCUGUAGAAAAACAAAAUCAAGGAUGAACACCAUAUGAAGGAAGAGCACCAUAUGGGGGGAGGAGAACCAAACAGGGGGAGGAAAUAGGAGAAACAACGCACCAUUCAUAUGGAGGAGCACCAUAUGGAUACCCAUAGGGUAUGAAGGAGGGUAUUGAUAAUUGAAUGGUGGUAGAAGAGUAGUGUCGGUGGUAGAAGCUUUAGUGGAAGGAGGAGCGUCGCUGAUAAGAUCAAAAUUGGGAGAAGGGGGAGCAUACAUAGAAGAUCGAUAAGGACAUAUAGUAGGAUAUAGGAGAAGUGAGGAAACACGGAAGUGCAAAAACAUCCUCUCGACGUUGAUGUACGAGAGAAAGUUUGUCGAAGACGACCUCCUCCACACCGGCAGUGGUGUUAGGAAGUUGUGGAAAUUGUUUGUUGAACAAGUCGUUAGAGAUUCGAAAGUUCGGACUCCCCCAAGGUACCAUAUUGAAAUAGAGAAUGGAAGACGACAAUAUAAAGGAAGAUGAGUGAAAUAAAGAAUAAAGGAUGUGAAUGAAUCCAAACAUCGUUUACAGGCUGGAAUAUAGGAUAUUUUUAUUUUUUAUUUUUUUGGACUUCAAAUGGUUAACGAGCUAUUUGAUAUGGCACACACGUAAACCAAUCAAAAUGUGUCACAUUACUAAAGAUGGCCGAUACUGACCUGUUCGGAUCAGUACCGACCGUCGACUGAGCCCGUGAAUCAGAAACACCCAUGGUCAAUAUUGAUCCAACCGUCUAAUGGACUGAUCAGUAUCACCUAGCGAUAUAUCGACGGGUCGAUAGGCUCACCAACCAACCGGUUGAACUGAUCGACGCCUUAAGGAUAGGCUACAAAAGUGACAGAAUCCCUGCUGCUUUAGCUUCAGAGCUUGCUAGCCACUUGCCAGAGCUUCAGCUUCAGUAGAGUAGGGUAUCCAUGUUAGGCCCAUGUUCAGUUAUUAAGAAGGAUUUUGAUUUGCUUGGGAUUUAAACCCACUCAAUUCCCUCUAAUCCAUAUGUAUUAAGAUGAAAAGGAACAGAUCCUUACUGUUCAGUGCUGCUGUUGGUUCUUCCGGAAGCAUGGCUUCACAAUUCAUGCUUAGCACCUCCAUCCGGAUAAAUUCACGUACAUUUCCCCGUUAAAAGCCAGCUUUAAAUGGCCUCGGCUGCGGGUACACGUACAAGUAGUACGCAAAUUCAUAUCCCGAUGGACACGGCAAAUGCCUGACAGACACCGGCGGUGCAUGGAGACCGAGACACGAUGUCCUACAGGAUAUAUCAGCGGAUUUUCUUGCCUCCAUUGCCUUCUUUUCAGAUGAGGGGCAGUGUGGCAUGGCACCCUGAAACGAAACGAGCCGGAUGGGGCUAGAAUGCGUACAGGAGCACGCCUGCCUGGCCAAAGUGGCCCUGUCUGCUCUGCUCCGGUCUCCGAAGACAGGCCAUGAACCUCCCCUGCUGCAUGCCUACACUCAACUGUUAGUGUUAGAUUAGAUGUAACCCCUUUCAGCUCGUUCCAGUGCUGCUGUCCUUUUCUCUCACAAGUGAACAGCCACCCCUGUCUCAACCCUCAACGACAAAGCUUCACUGAGGAUUCCUAUCCCGAUUCUCCAUGCUUCGCGGGACCCAUUUGUCCGUGCAAACAACGAAAGAAGGAGAAGAGCAAGCGCAUCUGUUCAUUCAGCAGGCAGAAAACAAUGAAAACUUUAUAAGGAUUUUCUUAUAAAGGUUUAGACCUAAAUGAAUUAUUUAGCGAGUCUAGAACUUAGAUAUGCAAAUUAAUAGUUUAUGAGCUUAGAUAUACAAGUUUGGCGACCGGUUGGUACACUCUACUUUGAGGAGGGGGAGGAUGAGGAUGCCCUUCACUAGCUAGUUUAUCUAGACCAACAGACGAAGCAAACGUGUAUAGGCAGCAGCAACGCAUGAUUGAUAACUGAUAUUUUUUUUAGGGGAAAAGGCCCCCUACAGCGCGAUUUUAUUGAGAUUUUAUUCACUAGUUUAUCUGGACAAAUUGACCAAAAGCUAUUGAGAGUUUAGCCAAAGCAAUACACUAGUUUUAAAAGAGCUUAAAUCUUAACAUUUGCGACUUCAACAUAUACAACGUCGCCAAGAAGAAAAAGAAGAGGUCUCAUUCCUAAAGAUAAAGUCAUGCUUCUAAAUGCAUCAAACCACAAGCACCAUAAUUUCCAUGAAAAAACUGUGGCCAAAGGCACCUUUGGCCUCAUGAAUCAUCGAAAAGAAGUCAAGAUCAUGGUUUCAAUGGAGACUCACGUAAGGACAGCGAAACAGUUUUCGUAGACCCGGAGAAGCAUAGAUGUAUUUAUUGUCCAUGGAGGAGGUAGAGCACUCACAUUAUAAAUUCAUUAAUUAAUGACCAAAGCCAGCACAACAGAAGGCAACAGAGAUGUAUUGUGAACUUUGUCAACCGUGUAACUGAUAAAGAAGAGAAACUGCCACAUACUCUACUUUCGGUUCCACAAAAGAAUCGCCACGAUCUGCAUGCAGACCAAGAGAAGCACACACACUAUCACGGCUACACCAUUUAUGUUUCUUCAUCUGCUUUUGUGUGUCCAGUUACAUAGCUCACACAGUACAGAAUAACAAAAGUUACCACCUGCAAAAGGCCAUCUGGUCAAGUCUGGUUCGGCCACAGGCGUUUAAUUUGUGACACCAUGAAGCAGCACACCAACAGUGUGAUUGACGGGGACCGGGAAAAAAAGGCACACCAUGUUCUGAAUGCAGUGGGCAAAAUAGUCAAAAGGACACCGAAGAAAGCCGCUCACCAUAGUGUUGAAAGCUGAAAAGAGCUGCGUGGACGGUCGGUCCGCGGUCCGGACAGUCCGCGGUUGUGGUGCGGACGGUCCGCGCGUGCGCAGAGUCAGUUAGGGUUCCUAGUUUCUCGCGGGGUUUGUUACCUAAAACCGCGGGAUUAACUCGGAAAUCAGUUUGAAGCGGAUCCAGACCUCCCCUUUAUAUAGAUGAAGGGCUACGGCCGAUUAAACCCCCAACAAUCGAACAAAUCAAGUCUAUUUCUCGUUUUUACCUUACGCAUUAGGAAUAGUUCUAGUCUAGUUCUAGGCUAGCCUCUCAAUCCUCAAAUCCUCCGCUUCUCUUCGACUCUGCGUCGAUUAGAAGAGUCUAGGUCGGCCUGCCGAGCCUAGACAACUCCUAGGAUCUCUCCUCCCCGACGGGGUCCCUCCCGGGAGCGAGAUCCAGGCGCCGCCGACGACCUUUCGCCGCCCCCUGCGCACGCGCGGACCGUCCGGCCCUAGGGCGCGGACCGUCCGGACGUCAGGCAGGGAACGCCAGCCUCUGUUCUAGGUCGCGGACCGUCCGGAUCCUGGUUGCGGACCGUCCGCACCUGUGCAGAGAGCACCGCCGCCUCACGCCAGGUCGCGGACCGUCCGGCCCUGUGCCGCGGACCGUCCGCGCCUGACCAGAGAGCACCGCCGCUGGUUCUUUUGAAGUGUUUGGCGCCUCCAAAAAGGUGUCAACAUACUUUUUGGCGACUCCGCUGGGGAAGGUGUUUAGAUCUACUAAAAAUCAGGCCCUCAAAUGGCCGGUUCUAAAGAUCACACUGAUAUCUCCCCAGACAAUAUCCUGAAGCCGGUUGUUGAAAGUCUGACGGCCGAUGAGCAACAGCAAUACGAGGACUACAUGCGUCAAGCGAGGGAGAAAUUCUUAUCACAAUACACUGUGGAUCGCCACCAGAAAGUUGUCAAACAUGGAGAGACCGACGUCGCAUCUCUUCUAUCUUCGCUUCAAGUCCCCAACGUAAGUAAACCCGACGACAUCCAAUUUAUUAAACAGUAUGUAGAUCAUCAGCAGAAUCAAAUGAAACAACAGAUUGGAGGGUUAGAAGAGUCAAUUAGAAAAUUAACGCAUACGUUGGAGAAGUCUGUUGCUCCUAGUUUUCCAUCAUAUGAGACUAGUAACAGGAUAUCUAUGUCUAAUACAUCGGCAACAAAUGGGGAUUUGCAGACCCAACCAUUAUAUGGUAUGCCGAUGAACUCAUAUCCAGGGCAAGUACCGCCGCCGCCAUCCCUGCUUGGCAGAUCGGCGCCCCUGAAUACGGUCGGACCGUCCGAGCUUCUGCCCGGACCAUCCGGCCCAUACGCUGACCGUCCGGCUUGCUCUGCCGGACAGUCCGGGGCCGCCCUAGGACCGCCGCCGUCCCUGUUUGGCAGAUCGGCGACCCUGGACGCGGUCGGACCGUCCGAGAUGCUACCCGGACCGUCCGACCCUUACGCGGACCGUCCGACUUUCUAUGCCGGACAGUCCGGGGCCGUACCGGGACUACCGCGUGGCGCCCCAAUAAUGGCGAACACGACCGGCCAGUUCGGAUGUACCACCGUACAAACCGGAUACACAUAUGCGGAACCUGCUGUUGCACACCAUGCACCAAAUUAUUACACACCACAACAGCAGUAUAUUUCGCCUUCUACAUAUUUAAACCAUAAUGCACCAUAUAAUCACAGACCGAUCAACACUAUCGAUCGGUCACGGCAAGAAGGUCGGUAUACUAAUACCCGACCAAAUGAGCCCCACAGCCCAGGAUUCGGUGGUCUACCACCGGGUGCAAUGGAAAAAAUUAGGGAAGAGAUGACUGAACUAUUUCGAGAUAAGUUCGGAGUUAAUGUAGCCAGAGUAGGGCAAUCAUACCAAAAGCCAUAUAAUCACCGGUUUGACACUGUCCCAUAUCCACAAGGGGCAAGGAUACCAGAAUUUUCUAAGUUUUCUGGUGAAAAUGGGAGAAGCACAUACGAACACAUAGGCCAGUUCCUAGCACACCUAGGCGAAUUGGCUGAUGGAGAAGCAUUUCGUGUUCGGUUAUUUUCUUUAUCGCUUACUGGUACUGCUUUUGCAUGGUACGCCGCCCUGCCUCCUAAUUCCAUUAAUUCUUGGAAUGAGUUAGAAAAUAAAUUUCAUGAACAUUUCUUUGCUGGGGAAUAUGAAUUAGGAUUAGCUGACUUAGCUUCAGUCCGACAAGGACGCGAAGAAUCGGUUAAUGAUUAUAUCCGGAGGUUCCGGGACACUAGAAACCGAUGCUUUCGGAUCCAUGUUGCAGACAAAGAGCUAGCAGGGCUAGCUUUUAAUGGGUUGCUAUCCUACUUAAGAGACAAAUUAGAUGGAACCCAGUUCUUUUCGAUAGCCCAGCUACAUCAGCGGGCUUUAGCCUGUGAAAGCCGAUUUAAAGAGACAUCAAAAUCAGCCGCCCGUACUAUACAUCUAAUAGAGCGUGAUAGUUCAGAUGAUGAAUCCGCAGAUGUAUAUACCGCUGAGUUUAUUUGGCCAACAAAGGCCAAAUCUUCAGCAUGUUCUUCCUUACAGCCGGUUCAAAAGAAUCGGCAAGAAGAGAUUAAAUUUACCUUUAAUGUUGCCAAAUGCGAUAAGAUAUUUGAUGAGCUACUUAAAAAUGGCAACAUUAAAUUAACCCAUAAUAUCCCUCCUAUAGAUGAAUUAAAGAGGCGUGCUUAUUGUAAGUGGCAUAAUUCUUUCUCUCAUGCCACCAAUGACUGUAAUGUUUUUCGUCGACAGGUACAAUCGGCCAUAAAUGAAGGCCGGUUGGCUUUUCAGGAAAUGCAAGUGGACACACAACCAUUUCCUGUUAAUACAAUAGAUGUCGCAUGCGAAAAGAUUUUAGUUCGGCCCGAAAUGGCCGAUAAAAGCAAAAGCAAAGACAUCAUCAUUGACGAUCCUCGCACGUCAAAUAUAUCACAAAAGGAGAUUGCUCGAAAGGCUCCGGACGAUAAGGCUAAAAGGUCCGGAGGCACCGGGGGGCAGGCACAAUUAAUGAGCCAAGCACGACAGUCUAGCCUGAGCAUCACAGACGGUAUGACACCUACGUGCGGACGGUCCGGUGCUCAGACAGACGGUUCGGCUAACUCUGCUGAACAAUCCGCCUAUGGCCAAAGGCGUCAACCUCCACACAAAGCCUUAAAAGGGAAAGAGACGCAACGGCAAAGCACAUAUGGUCGGUUGAUCAAAACUGACUCUACUUUUGAUCAGUUGCUCUCCAAGAAUACUAGCAAAAAGACCGUUCUACGUGAUCGGUCAACGAAGAAAUCUCGGUCACCUGCUAAAACAAAACGGGUAAACAAAACGGCUCGAAAGGCGACACAACAAGCAUCGCCUAUUCAUCCUAUGAGACCAAGGUACUUUCCACCCGUUUACUCAUCGUCGGUAUAUUAUCCUGUUCAAACAUGGAAUGGUACGAUGAUGAAUCCAUGGUAUAUGUAUAGUCCCUUUGUCUAUCCAGGCUGGGGGGCACCUCCAUUCUAUUCCUUUUGAUCCAUUGAUCAAACGGUCAUGGCCGAGAAAGAUAAAAUCCGAAACGGCCUUUACAUUGGUGCUUUAUUGAAUGAUCUCCAUGUUGAAAAGCCGAUGACUUACAUCAGGUUUAGUUCAUAUGCUUUUGGUUCGUCAACCUUCACCAAAAGGCAGGGGGGCAUAUGUUGAAAGCUGAAAAGAGCUGCGCGGACGGUCCGGCCCUGAGGCCGGACGGUCCGCGGUCCGGACAGUCCGCGGUUGUGGUGCGGACGGUCCGCGCGUGCGCAGAGUCAGUUAGGGUUCCUAGUUUCUCGCGGGGUUUGUUACCUAAAACCGCGGGAUUAACUCGGAAAUCAGUUUGAAGCGGAUCCAGACCUCCCCCUUUAUAUAGAUGAAGGGCUACGGCCGAUUAAACCCCCAACAAUCGAACAAAUCAAGUCUAUUUCUCGUUUUUACCUUACGCAUUAGGAAUAGUUCUAGUCUAGUUCUAGGUUAGCCUCUCAAUCCUCAAAUCCUCCGCUUCUCUUCGACUCUGCGUCGAUUAGAAGAGUCUAGGUCGGCCUGCCGAGCCUAGACAACUCCUAAGAUCUCUCCUCUCCGACGGGGUCCCUCCCGGGAGCGAGAUCCAGGCGCCGCCGACGACCUUUCGCCGCCCCCUGCGCACGCGCGGACCGUCCGGCCCUAGGGCGCGGACCGUCCGGACGUCAGGCAGGGAACGCCAGCCUCUGUUCUAGGUCGCGGACCGUCCGGAUCCUGGUUGCGGACCGUCCGCACCUGUGCAGAGAGCACCGCCGCCUCACGCCAGGUCGCGGACCGUCCGGCCCUGUGCCGCGGACCGUCCGCGCCUGACCAGAGAGCACCGCCGCUGGUUCUUUUGAAGUGUUUGGCGCCUCCAAAAAGGUGUCAACACAUAGAUUCACCAGAUCCAGUAGCCAAAGGCAGGUCCAGUAAGAGCAUGUCAGCACAGCUGCUCCAGGCAAACAUGAGGUUCAGGCUUUCGGAGGCAGCAACCAUGGAGGAAGACGAGCAGCAUCAGGAAACAGGACCAAAUGUCGCGAGGCCACGCAGACGGAGGCGCGCGAGUGUUCCGGUUAACUGGGCUGGACUGGGCUUACUGGGGCUCUGCAAGCGCGUGCGUUGUAGGUUGGCCCGAGAGAUAAAUAUAUGGUGCCCAACGUGUAAUAGGAAAGCUAUCACACAAGAAGAACCUGAAAUCGCUCACGCAAACACCUCCUCUUUGUUCUUCUUCUCCAAUACAUCUUGCUGCGUUCCAUCUCUUCUAGUUUCCCCUAUCUCGAGUGCUAACAGAGCAGCAACGCGAAAGGUGUUGGUAAAGCUGCGCAACCAUAUAACUAUUCUAAAUGUUAAUGCUAUUAAACUUAUCAUGUGAAAGGUCGUGAAAAGUAUAUGAAUCAAAUGGAGCAACCAUAUGACUUGAAGUUUCCUUAGGGCCUGUUCGGUUGUACUGGAAUAAGCCAGGAUUCAAUCCAGCUCAUCAAAAUCUAUAUAAAUUAGAGAAGUAAUCCGGCUAGGAAUUAAUCCGGGGCUCCAAUCCCAAACAACCGAACAUGGCCUUAGUGCCUGUUCGGUUCUUCCGGAAUGCUUUACUGAAUUAGUUUCGGAUUGGAAUAGUUCACACAUUUAUAUUAGCUUGAUGAGUUGGAAUGGUUCCGGCCUCCGAUCUGGACUAAACGAACAGAGCCUUAGACUCUACGACAAUCCAAUAUGUUGUCUGGUGUAUGCAGUAUGCUACCACCGUUGAUAUAGCAGAGCUGGUAGUGUAGAGAUUAGUGCGCAGGCUCUGGUCAUGGCAUUGAACGGCAUUCUUUUGAGUGCUUUGGCAAGUUGAACUGUGCCCUUUUCUCUGCAAAAUCCGGUGGUCGCUCGUAAACAACUGAAGCAGCAUGGAUCAGGAUGCCAGCCGUCAGACCCCAAAUCACGUACUUAUCGUUCCCUUUCAUAUAACACCCCGUCCGGAUCAUUGGAAUUGAAUUUUAUUUUAAUAAUAGUAAUUUAGACAUAUAUCAAUUAAACUUAUUCGGUUUAUACAAAAUAUAUUUGUAUACUAUUAUUAGUAAGAUGUCGAAAAUAUUUAUGUGCUAUAUUUUUAAUAUAAAUAAGUGAGACGAAGAGUGUCAUGUAAGUUACUGAGUAGGAACAAAUUCUACUAAUGUAUAAAAUCAUUUCUCAUCCCACACCUCAUGAAUUUGAGAUAGACUUAUAUCUGAACUUUGGAAAGUGGUGGAAUGUUAAAUUUCAAACUAAAUAAAUUAUUUUAUUGUGUGAAUUCCAAUUCCUAUAAAAUGAAUGGAUCUAAACGCCUCGUAACUGAAAUGAUGAAUUGUAAAUUCCUGGCCCAUCCAUUCCAGAUCAUUGGAUGUCCUGUUCUCAUCCUGCACCAUUCACCACAAAUAGAUCACAGGAUGAAUGAAUGGCAUCGGGCAUAAUACAAGGUAUCGCAGAAACUGGAAUAGGUUCCAGUGGUCCUUUUAGGAACCAAUUACUAUCUCCCUUCUCGAAUAUUUAUCGUCCGCUAGUUCAUUUUAAACUAAAACACGACAAAUAAAAAAGAACAAGAACAGAGGAAGUACUAGUUAUGUAUGUCAAGUUAUCAUAGCAUUGCUAUAAUGCUAUUUUGCCAAGUAAGACACAGUAGUAAAUAUUAGCAUAUAACAACAUUAUACAUUGCAGCAGUAUGGUAGAACACAUGGUUCACAUGUUUAAUCAGUAAAGUAUUAAUUUCUUGGUACAGGGAAAGCCAGCAACACACUUCAAAUUACCAAUGUCAAAUACAAAAGUUUUAUGAUAAAUCCUACGCAAUCUGCAGUUACGAUGGUAAGAAGUCCAAUGCACUAACCUUGAGGAACAUCUCCAGGGGUACAUCAAAAAUUCUGUCCACCUCAGCAGCAUUAAGAACAGGCUUAAAUGCGUUUAUGUCUGAAGGUAUGCCAACAAUUGGAACAACUACCAGAAGAUGCUGCCAAAGACAUGCAGGAUAUUAUUUAUAAUGAUGAAUCUUAAGUGCUCCCUCUGACCUCAAAUAUAAGUCAGUUAGGAUAGCUGAAGGUGGAAGUGAAACUAGCAGUCUCUAAAAAUAUGAUAUCUAAUAUAAACAAGACUAUAUUUAGAGGACCUUAGUUAAGAAGUGAGUACAGAACUGAGCUCCCCGGACCCCAGGCUGGCGGAGCCGCCCCCCAUGGCGAGCGCAACCAUCUCCGGUGCCGCCGCCAAAUCCACCAGCCGCCGCUUGGCUUCCAGCCUCAAACCACCGCAUAGGUCGAUAGAUCAGGCCACAAGCUACCGCCCGCACCCCGUCUCGCCCCUCGCCCCAUGUCCCAGUCAUGCUCCCUAGCUCCCCACCUCGCUGGCAAAGCUGUCAGCCAUGGCACAUUACGGCCUCAAAUCCGCGGUCGCGGGGCCGCCCAAGGCUGGCUCCCUCGCCAAGCAAGUUCGAUUCAGAAUCCCUGCCACAUCCCUCAGCCACUCACGCAGCACCGUCGUGCGCCCAUGGAGAUCGUCUGUCACUGCAAAUCAGCAUUCAAGUCUCCUGUACGAGGCGCCGCUGGAUGCCAGCCUAGGUAAACCUACUGAAGACGAGGUCGAUGGAUGGACAACGGUCUGUUACAGGCGUCACCGGAGGGUCAACACACCUGCGCAUUCAAGCCUCCCAACAACCCGGCACACUGCGCUGCGCUCCCCGGCCAGGGAGGAAUUGAUGGCAAGCUUGAGAGGUAAAUGCAUGCGCUGCUUGUCCAGAGGCCACUUUGCUGCAGAUUGCGGGGAUCCCCUGAAAUGCCUCAAGUGUCGAGAUUCAGGUCAUAUGGCUCGGCAGUGCCCUCAGAGGAGCAGUAGCAGCAGCACACCAACCACUCCACCCCCACAUCUCGACGGCCCCUGCUUCCCAUCUCUUGUGCAGACCGUCAUGGUGAGGCCCGGCUACCCGGACUCCCGUCCGAAGGAGACGUUCACUGUGGCGGCCUCCUCCCAGGAGAUGGACCGGGAGCUUGACAGUCUGAGCACCCAUGCCGUGGUGGCCUGGCUCGGAGGAGUUCGACCGGACACAAGCCUUCGCACGGUGACGAGGGCGUUCUGUUCCCAGUUCGGCGUGCGUGCAAAUGACAUCAAGGUGGCAAAGCAUUACCCAGAGGACUUCUUCAUCACCUUCACGCACUGUCACCACAGGGAUGCGACGGUGGCGCAAAGAGACUUCAAAUACGGCAACAUCGACUUCCGCGUCCGACAGUGGCAGCUCCAACACAUGGUGAUCACGACGACUUUCAGUACCACGUUCGCCUAUGUCUAGAGGGUAUUCCUCUCCACGCCUGGAAUGAGAGCAUCGCCAAGAGAGCAGUGACAAGAAGUUGUACCCUGGACUAUGUUGAAGAGCAGUCCCUGAGGAAGGAGGACGCGCGAACGCUCAAUCUCUAGGCCUGGACAGUGGAUCCGUCCAACAUCCCAAAGGUAACUUGGUUGACCAUUGUUGGGAGGACAGCACUGGUCCACGAAGGAGAUGCACCACCAGCGGCCCGCAGCGGCUUGACUUUCCGCGUCAUCGUGCACUUGGACUUGAUGGAGGCAGUUAAGGCAUUUCACGACCUUCGGUGCAUGAACUUGCAACUCAUCAACUCGGCAAAUAUUAUUCUACUUCCUAAAAAGGAGGGAGCGGAGGCAGUUGGUGAUUUUAGACCGAUUAGCCUCAUUCACUCCUUCAUCAAAAUCAUCACCAAGACUCUUGCUCUCCGAUUAGCGCCACAUAUGCAUGAAAUCGUCUCACCAUGCCAAAGCGUGUUCAUCAAGAAACAGACUAUUCAAGAUAAUUUUAUGGUCGUGCGUAGUGCAGUGAGGCGCUACCAACGCAUGAACAUACCCUCGCUCUUCAUCAAAUUGGACAUUGCGAAAGCCUUUGAUUCAGUCCGAUGGGAAUACCUUCUCUCGCUGCUUCAACAUCUAGGCUUCCCUUCUCGGUGGAGAGAUUGGAUUGCAGCCAUCCUCUCAACAUCCACCUCAAGGGUCUUUGUUAAUGGGGCCCCGAAUCCCCCCUUGUCUCAUGGUCGAGGACUUAGACAGGGAGACCCACUCUCACCAUUGUUAUUUGUGCUUGCCAUUGACCCAUUGCAGAAAAUUUUAGAAAUGGCAACAGAGACGGGACUUCUCAGCAAAAUCAGGGGCCGCUCGCCUUGCCUUCGUCUCUCAUUGCAUGCUGAUGAUGCGGCCUUGUUUAUUGCACCAAAAAAAGAGGAGAUCGAGACAAUACUAAAGUUGCUCGGGCUAUUUGGUGAGGCGUCAGGGCUGUUGACAAACUUCCAUAAGUCCACAGUUGUGCCUAUCCGUUGUCAAGGCAUUGACCUCAACGCGGUCCUAAGGAAUUUGCCAGCCAGAAGGGCUACCUUCCCCUUAAAAUACCUGGGCCUCCCACUCUCAUCAUCCGGAUUGAAGAAGAGCGACUUUCAGUUCUUAAUUGACAAAAUUUCGAACAAGCUCAGUGGCUGGAAUGGGAAAAACCUCUCUAUGGCUGGCAGACUGACUUUAGUUAAGUCAGUCAUUACCUCCCAAGCAAUCUACCUUCUCUCUGCUUUACGGGCUCCUAAGGAAAUAUUGAAUCUAAUUGACUCGAGAAGGAAAAAAUUCCUUUGGGUUGGGUGUGCACAAAUUACGGGAGGUAAAUGCAAGGUAAAUUGGAUCCGUUCCGCAAGGCCAAAAGAGUGCGGAGGCUUGGGUAUCCUUAAUUUAACUAAAUUUGCAAGGGCCCUGCGUAUGCGUUGGCUGUGGCAAGAAUGGGCUUCAUCAACUAGGUUCUGGACAGCCUUGGAACUCCCUUGCACGACAAAAGAUCGACAGCUCUUCAUAGCAACGACAUCGAUUUCGGUGGGAGACGGGACAAAGGUGUCCUUGAGGAAUGAUGCGUGGGUGCAAGGGUUAAGACCGAAGGACAUUGCGCCUCUCAUUUUCAAUGUGUCCUGAAGAAAGAACAGAUCUUUGAGUGAAGCGUUGUGGAAUCAUACUUGGAUUAGGGACCUCAACCUGUUUUCUGUUGAGGUGACAGAACAACACAUUGUGGAGUACUGUAGGCUUUGGUCAAUUUUGCAAAGAGUAUCCUUGCAACUGGGUAUUUGCGACUCUAUUAGUUGGAAACUCUCAGAAGACCGACAGUAUUUGGCGAAAUCAGCAUACCUUGCCCAAUUCCUCGGCUCAGAGCUUACAAAUAUGAACUGGAUCAUUUGGAAGGUAUGGGCGCCACCGAAAUGUAAAUUCUUCAGUUGGUUAGCCAUCCAAAAUAGAAUUUGGACGGCGGAUCGUCUUGCGAAGAGGGAUUGGCCCCACAACGCUACCUGUGCAUUGUGUGGGCAAACUUUGGAGUCAGGAUUGCAUCUCUUCGUUGAGUGUCGUUUAACCAAGCGGAUUUGGGGAGAGGUGGCUGUAUGGGCAGCGGUGGAGGGCCUUAGUCCAAGUAACUGGGACCACAAUGAGUCUAUCCUACAAUGGUGGACGUCCCUAGCUACAACUCAAGAUUGCAACAGGAAGGGCUUGAGAAGCCUCUUAAUUCUAGUGAAUUGGAUCGUCUGGCGUGAGAGAAAUGCUAGGAUUUUCGACUACAAAUCCUCCACAUGUGCUCAGAUUCUCGCAUCUAUUAUAUCUGAGGCAUCAGCCUGGAUACGUGCAGGAGCCAACCAACUGGCUAAUCUCCUAGCAUCUCUUUAGUUUUGUGUGUUUCAGCUUGGUUUUUCUCCUAGUCUCCUUUCAUAUUAGCCUUGUGUGUUUGUGUUUUUCGGCUUGGUCAUGCUUUUAUGGAGUGUCUUUGUAUUUUAAUCCUCGCCACUUUGGGCUCCUCUCUUUUUAAUAUAACGGGCAGAUCUCCUGCCGGUUCGUUUCAAAAAUAUUUAGAGGACCAUUUAGGGGCAAGUUUGUGACCUUUAUACCAUAUAGGAUGGCUUAUCCCCCUCGCCCAACCCCGCCCCCUGACCCCAACCCCGCCCCUUCCUCCACCAACCACCACAGCCCCUCGACGGCUGCCACUCCGGCGUCGCCGCGUCGGCGACCACCCCUCAGUCUCGUCCUCUUGGCUUCCGUGCCUCUCAGGUGGGACAGUCCAAAUUCCAGCGAUGGGAUGACACCGCUUUGGGUUCCUCCUCUGGUGGACCGUUGCACUCCUAUAAGGAGGCCCUUCUAUCUAGAACUGGCGCCACCUCUCCUGUGUUAGAUGUGAAGACCUCUAGCGCAGCGAGGCCGAUGUUUUGUGACAAGGAAGAGAGGCAGUGCUGGCGUGACGCCUUGGCGCCGGUCGGCAAGGAUGAUGGCUGGCACGUGGUGAAGAGCAGAAAGCAGUUUUGUUGCACUCCUCCGUGUAGAGGGACCACUGUGAACCUCCACGGAAGGUGCUACAACUGCUUCUCUCCAAACCAUCUCGUUGCUUCGUGCCGGUGCCCACCUCACUGCUUUAGGUGUCUCAAGCUCGGGCAUCAAGCUUCCCGCUGCCCUUCCAUACAAGCCGGUCCUCAGAAGCAGAAGAUCCCAGGCUGCUUGCGUGACCACCUGGACACCGACAGACCGCUCAGCCGAAAAUCAUAUCGGGUGGGAAAGAAGUCUAUCUGGCAGCGUUUAGAAGAGCCCAGGGACCACCUCUCGGUGUUCCAGAGAUUAUCAUCUCAGAAGAUCUCACCCCUACAGAGCAGAGCUGGGAGUGCUGCUCCUCAUCUGAAGAAGUCGGAUUGGGUGUGUAUCUCUCCCGCUCCCCAAACAACUGACCGAAAGACUGAUCAGCUCAUUCCAAUGAUGAAAAACCUUGCUGCGGCUGGUGAUCAACGUUCCCUUUGCAACAAGAGAAAGAGAAGAAGGUCUAAGAGUAAGAAAGGAAAAGGUCCUGCAGAAGUUGCGGGAGCUGGUGCAAAUGUGGACUCCCCUCCCUCUUCAUUUGAAGCUCAUUACACUCAGUCGAGGGUGGAAAGCCACAACAUAUCUCCCUCAAUAGCUGAUGUCUCAUGUGUUCUUACAUUCAUUGAUGAGAUGGCAAGGGAGGAGAUCAAUUUAUGAAAGGCCCUGUUCAUCACCAUUGCAGGAACUAGACCUGUAGUGCGGGGAUUAGAGGUGUUGGAUGAGGUGGCUGAAAGUCGCCUAGAGGGGGGGUGAAUAGGCGAAACCUGAAGUUUAUAAACUCAAACUCACACAAAGGCUGGGGUUAGUGUUAGAAUUAAAUCGGAGUUUGAAAGAUAGUUCUCCUUCCUAGAGUUGCUCAAUCAAUGUGGAUAACGUUUGGGAGCAAACUCAAAUCAAUGUGAGCAAGAGAACUGUCGGAGGGAAAAUCCUCCAACUGGGUGGUGGAAUGCAGCCGCCCUAAUCCUAAGAUAAGGAGGGGGCCUAAGCGUUUUGCCUGUCUUGUGGAUGGUGAAUCUCGGAUGAACACAAGAGGACUCAAGGGAUUAUAGUGGUUCAGGUCGCCGGAGCGUAAUACCCUACCUCCACUGUGUGUAUGUUGUAUUGAGUGUGUGAUUCAGCGUCGCUUGUAACGUUGUAUGCCUUCCCUUUUAUAGUUUAAGGGAGGCACAUACAAGGAUAUUGAGCCCCGACAUGCAGGCCCAGGAGCAUAAUGGAAGAAAUAUAUUAUGUGAAUAACUAAUGCUGACAGAGUAACGCAUGAGUAAUCAGCGGGAGUCAUGAUGGCUGCAGUCCAUGCAGCAUUGAUAGGUAGUAAUCCUUUUCCCGGUAACGCGGGAGUAAUGGUGAGUCAUUGCCCUCGAUAUGGUAACGUGUGAGUAACUGCACGACCCACGUAUCGUGGACUAAGCAUGCCGCCUGUCAGUGGAAUGGACAGGCGCACGUCUUAACCGUAACGAAUGCGAAGGCGCGUGUAUCCCAGAGGCGUUAUGCCAGGUUCCGCCCGUUGGCUUAUGCCGCGCGCAGUAUGCCAUGUGGCAGCAUUGGUCUCUGCUUGAGCGGGGAGCAGGAGUGUAUGAGGAUAGGUCCGGAUCCCACCAGACCAGGUCUGGACAUGUGUCGGCUCCGGCCCCCCGCCUGGGUCCUGAUUAAAGACUAGGUAUGUUCUAUCCUAGAACCCUGGGGCCCCACUGUAAGCGGCCCGGACCCCAUACGGGGGGUCCGAAUCCCAUUCUAGGGGUCCGGUUCGCACACGUGGAGGUCCUGGGCCAAACUUGGAGGCCUGGUCCGUAUAUACAAGGGUCUGGCACGGGUCUGGCACUCUCCCAUGGGGGUCCGGACUCACUGUUGAUGCCUUGGAGUAUAUCACUUUCUCUAGACACGUGGCGGCCCUGGACCCGCCCAUGUGGUGGAGUCAGGCGCUGUUGUUGGCCCAGAGUAGUCGCCUGAGGCUGGUGCGAGUCAUGGCCUAGUCCCACAUACAACUCCUUUACCACACGACUAAGGAUAGCCGCGUGGGUACUACGUCUUUAUACAGUAGUAAGGGUACCCUAGUUUCAGGGUACCGACAGUGGCCCCCGGGCCCACCUCAGGGGAGGAUGCGAGCCUGCAGGUGGGGCCAAAGCUUGUACCUUGCCUCAACAUGACCUGAUUGGUGAUUGGCGUGCCGUUUUAGCGCGUCUGCUGACGCGCUCGCUGUCAAUCCGCCUUCAGUCACGUCAACUGCCAUAUCUGUCCCUGUGGCUGACUGACCCGCGGCCCACACGCCUGGUGGUUUCGUCGGGCCACGCAUGGGGCGCCUCGUUGUCACUGCCUUGGUUUAAAAGAUAACCUUUUGUCUUUUGCAGCGGCCCCGAGGAGGUGCGCUAUCGCACGCGGCGGUUCGCGUGGCGGUUCGCUCUUUCCGCACCCGAAGUCCGGCACACAACAUGUAUGACUUGUGGACCUGGGCCCACGUGUCAUAGAGUGGGCUGCCUGGGUCCUAGAUGCGCAUCGGGCGGGAUUUUCUAUGGCGAUUCAGGGGCACGCGGAAGGGUUUCCCUGAACAAGGACUCAGGUUUCCUUGAAAAAGGAUUCACCCCGCGUGCAGCAGUUACCUUUUCGCAUUCUCUCCCAAUCGCCUGCGCCCCUUUGCCUCCGUGCUCUUCUGUUCCACGCCUGCGCCGCCGCACACGCCAUGGCUUUGCUUGGUCAUCCUGACCAUUUUCAGUCUGAGGAGGGGCUCAACCUGGUGCGCGACCUGCUUGGGUGGAGCGCGCCAGGGCUCGCUGGAAGAAUCCGCGCCGGCACCGUCCCCCUUGGCGAUCUCGCCGCCGGGGAGUUCGUGUUGUUCACCUCCUACAUCUCCUGCGGGUUGGCGUUGUCGAUCUCGCCCUUCUUCUUGCUGCUGCUGGAGGAGUUCGGGCUUCAGCUUCAACACCUCAUGCCCCACUCCGUCCUCCAGGCAACCAUCUUCGUCCACCUCUGCGAGAUGUUCGUAGGUGUGGCCCCCUGUACUUCCCUCUUCCGCUACUUCUUUGUGCUGGUCAAGUCCGGGAAGACUAGGGACCACAUCGGUGCCUACUACUUCCAGACGAGGCCAGAUCCAACCAUCAUCUACAUCCCCGCCUUUGGCGGUGCGAGGUGGGAAAAUUGGCGUAGCGACUGGGUGAUUGCCAGCGCCGAGGCCAACGACCGCCUCGUCCUGCCGAGCGAUGGGCCAGCGCUCGACCGCAAGCAGUGGAGGACCAAGUCGUCCCUCUCGCCAGGGUUCCUGCCCGUAUUGGACAGGAUCAAGGGCUUGGCUACGGGCGGCCUGACAUCGAUGCACGUGGUCGGCGAUCUCCUGAAGCGCUGGAUUGCGCCGCUGCAGAGGAGACCGCGCCUAUGCUACUGGUUCACCGGCCCGAACGACAUCGGCAGGAACCAGCGUAGGCCGGGCACCGAUCUGUCCUAGGACGAGCUGGCAGUCUUGGUGGGAGGGAUUACUGGGGAAACUUUUGUCCCUGAGUCCCUGAUACUCCCCCAGGGAGGGAUCUGCGACGACCCAGGCUUGAGGACGGCGAUCUUGGCCACGCUGCCGACCCUUGACGACAGCAGCGUGGCGGUUCGCAAGACCGGAGGCCGGGACCCCCACCGCGGGAUCCGGAUCUCUGAUGCACCAGUUGGAGGUCCCCAGCCCGUCGGUGUGGCUCGCAGCGUCAAUCCCGUCGUGGCCCCCAGCCCCUUGGACAAGGGCAAAGGGCUGCAAGCGGUGCCUCCGCCCUAGGUAGCUCCGGGGGGUCGAAGGAGGAGAGGCGAUGCAGGCUGCGUCGCGCUGACAGGUCGUUCGUUUCGGAGCCUCCACAGAAGCGCCAGAGGACUGCAGGUGGGCCCGAGGUGGUCAGCUCCUAGGCCCACGGCACGCAGAGGCGCGUCAGUCCUCUGGUCCCGCCACCACCAUCUAGGGGUGAUCACCCACAAGGACACCAGCAGCAACAGCAGCAGCAUCCACGACAGCAGCAGGAGCGGCGAUCGCCUCGCUUCCAGGGUCACUGGAAGGUCCAGGGCCCCAAGUAAGUGUAGUCCCUUUUUCUUUGAGCCUAAUCAUCAUGCCGACAAGUCUUAACCCAUCGUCUGUUCGCCAGGGCUUCUUCCUCCACCGCUCCCAAGGUCACGCCUCCUCCGCCAGAUAACAGGCCCACUGGCGGGUCCGACUCUCAGCAGCAGGAAUCUGCUGAGAGUGGUGCCGGCGGUCCGCCUCUAGCUGCUACCAAGACAGCACCAGUGGCUUCCCAUGCCCCAGCCGGGGAUCCGGCGGCAGCAGUGCCAGCGCCGGGCGGCGUCGCAGAGGCGGAGGAGGUCCUAGCUGGGGGAUCCGCACCCACUCCUGACACUAGGGGUGACGCCAGAGGCGCAUCUAGCUCCAACCCCCCCCCCCCCCCCCGCCUACGCUGGAGGAGAUGGAGGUGGUGUUUGGGCGCGGCUCCAAUCGGGCGCCGAGCAAGAAGCGGCGCCAGUCCCCCUCCCUCGAAUGAUGUCCCGUGCCCACCAGGUCCUUAGUGACACUGGGGUAGAAAUUUUGUGGGAGUGGGAGGCGCUUGAGGCUGAGCACCAGCGCCUGUGACUGACGCACCCAACUGGAUGAGCGCACAAGGACGGCGUCCCGUCAAUUCAUCUCCGAGCGGUCCCAACUCGAGCGGGACCGCAAGGAGUACAAGAGGGACCUCCAGAGGGUGUGCGCCAGGGAGCUGGAGGCGUCCCAGAGGGAGAAGAAGGUGACCAGGAGGGAGGAGGCCGUGACCCAGCGGGAGGCCCUCACAACAGAGUACCAGGCCAAGCUGAGCGCCCUGGACUAGACUCUGGAAACCCAGUGGGCCCAGCAGGUCAAGGUUGUGGAGAGGCUGCAAAAGUGGCAGCAAGAGCUCGAUGGCAAGACCAGCGACGCCGCCCUCGCCGAGGAGAAAUUUAAGGCGAAGGAGCAGUCCUUGGAUAGGCGGGAGACGGACCUCGCCAGGCGAGAGACGGACCUCGUCUUCAGGGAAGAAAUGCUCACCCGGCGGGGUGAGUUGCUGGCCGAGCAUGAGCUCGAGGCAGAGGAGAAAGAGAGGAAGCUGGAGGAGCAGAUCUGCCAGUUCAAUGUAGCGCAGGCGGCGCUGGGUCCGUAGGUGAUGGAGGCCACCUGGAAGGCCCUUGAAGAUCUCCAAGCGGAGCACUGGGCCGGGGUCCAGUGUAUUGCCGCGUGGGCCGGCGAGGCAAGCACGACACUGGUGCCGCUAGGGAUGAGCCCCAUCCCAGUGUCGGAGCUGUCGGCGUCGAUCUCCUAUGCGCUCCCGGUGCUGGACUCUGCCGCCGAUCGCCUCCGGCACCUGGAUCAGAUCCUCGGGGCCCGCCUGGAGGCAGAGGGCGGCAAGCUCUGCCGGGCGGUGGUUGAAUACGUCCUGACGUGUUUCCGGAGUCACGACCCCGCCAUAUCCUUGGCGCCGGUGAUCGCUGGUCCGGUAGCCGCCAUAGAAGACGCCGCCCGGGAGACGUACAAGACGCCGUGGAGCUGGUGGCCGAGCGCUUCCAGCGUGAUCCUGCCGACGACCUGUAGAGUCAAAGCAAGGGUUCCGCUGGUGAGAGCACCUAGAGGGGGGGUGAAUAGGUGAUCCUGUAAAAUCAAACACUAAAUUCCCACAAACUUGAUUAUAAAGAUAUUAGUGCGAGUUAAUCAAGUCUAUGAGGCAAGCUCUUGCAAACAUAGACAAUCAAAGAGAAAGCACAUAAGAGACACGCGAUUUUUAUCCCGUGGUUCAGCCAAGUAAUACUUGUCUACUUCCACGUUGUGGCGUCCCAAUGGACGAGGGUUGCACUCAACCCCUUUCAAGCGAUCCAAUGAUCAACUUGAAUACCACGACUUUCUUCCUUAUAGUCUUUCUCCCGUUUGCGAGGAAUCUCCACAACUUGGAGCCUCUCGCCCUUACAAUGAUGAUCACAAAAGAAGCACAGAAGUAAGGGAGGGGAGAGCAACACACACAAGACUCAAAUCCACAACACAACCACGCACACAAGUCACAAAUUGAGCUCGAAGUACAACACACGGAGUUCGCAACUCAAAUGGAGCUCAAAUCGCUAACACAAAGAAUCGAAUGCGUGAAGUUGGAGUCUUGGAGUCUUAGGAUGCUUAGUGAAUGCUUGGUUGGCUCCUCCAUGCGCCUAGGGGUCUCUUUUAUAGCCCUAAGGCGGCUAGGAGCCGUUGGAGGCAAACUUGGAAGGCUAUCCUUGCCUUCUGUCGUGUGGCGCACCGGACAGUCCGGUGCGCCACCGGACACGUCCUGUAGAUGGUCUGGUGCGCGAUCUCCUUCCAGAUUUGGCAUACCCGAUCGUUGCUCCUCUGGGCUGACUGGCUCACCGGACACUGUCCGGUGCACACCGGAUAGUCCGGUGCACCAGCCGACCGUUGGAGUAGUCCACGUGUCGCGCGAAGAUUGCACGGCCGACCGUUGGCGCUGGUGACCGUUGGCUCACCAGACAGUCCGGUGCACCACCGGACAGUCCGGUGAAUUAUAGCCACGUCACCCCUUUGCUUUUCCCGAGGGCGACGAGUUCGCCACGGAUGACUCACCGGACAGUCUGGUGCACCAUCAGACGGUCUGGUGAAUUAUAGCCGUACGCCGUUGUUGAUUCUCGAGAGCAGCACUUUCACUGGAGACCAGCCUGGCGCACCGGACACUGUCCGGUGCACCACCGGACAGUCCGGUGUGCCAAGCCGAGCUGGAGUUUGCUGCACAUAGCCAACUCUUUUUCCAAUUCUUUUCUCAUUGUUUCUAGCACUUAGAUAAAACACAUUAGUACUCAAAACAAUGUACUAAGUCUAGAAAAGUACCUUUUUCUUUGAUUUGCACUUCUCAUCUUAUUUGGCACAUAAGAACUUAAUUAACCGUGUUGGGCACUUAAUCACCAAAACAUUAUUGAAAUUUCCCAAGGGCACAUUUCCCUUUCAGCUGGGAAGCGGCUGUAAUAACUUUUGAUUUUGUAAGAUAUUCUAAGAACUGCUAAUGAGGUAGCAUUGGAACUUAAACUUAUCUGUAUGUUAUUUGUCCUUGCUGUGUGUAGCGUCUUCAACUUCCCCUUGGUACUUGGCCCCCUGGGAGGUAGUCUCGACGUGUCGAGGCUGGAUACCAGUAUACCAAAGAUAAAAUUGGUGGUCCGACCCCUAGGAGGUAGUCUCUACAGUUUGAGACUACCUACUACUGGACUGGGACCUAGACCUGCACACAUCUUCGGCUUUAAAGUGUUAGGAGCACACCCAUAGGACCCAUCGUCUGGUACCUGUCAUCCUUUGAUUCAUGCAAGAGGACCGGCAGGUUUUAGCUUGGGAAGCCAAGCCGUAUGCCCGGACCCACAGGAUCACAGUUCCAAAUACUAGGGUGCUCGUUGCAGAGUGGUGGAGCGUGCAGGCUUAGGGUACGGAACCAUGCUAAGCGGCUACACAACUCUGGACCCCUCCUGGAGGCGAGCGCCCAUUCUCUAGAACUGGUCCAUAGGUUGUCGGACCCUUUGUAGCAGUAAAGGGGUCUUGAACUGCAAGCCUGGCUACUCAAUUCAGAUGUCAUUAUACCAGCAAGGGUGGGAAACUGUAUGGGUGGGUUAGAUAAAAAAUAGCGCAUGUAAACCGAAGUAGAAUAAAACCAUCACAAAAGCACAUCUGGGGGGUAAAUCAUUUCCUUAUAACUUGAUAUACAUGGGUGUAGACCAACAGACCGGGCUAACGAGGGCGGACCUCACCGGAUUGACGUACACAUAUGUGCAACCUAGUUACAAAGGAAGAAAACUCAACCCUCCCAGUUUUGCUUUUAUGGGUAGAACUUACGGAGAUGCUCUAUAUUCCAGGGAUUAGGAAGAGGUACUCCUUCUGUUGUGGCAAGGCGGACACACCCGGGCCGGCAUAUUUCCGUCACCUUGAAGGGUCCUUCCCAACUAAGGGAGAGUUUGUGGAGCCCUUCUCGGUUCAGUACUCGCCUUAGGACUAGGUCCCCGACCCUAAGCUCCCUACUAUGCACAAACUGUUGGUGGUAGCGCCUGAGCGCUUGGUUGUACCAUGCAUUUUGGAUUGCCGCUUGCCAUCUGCGUUCGUCGAUGAAGUCCAUAUCCUCACGCCGUAGCUGUUUCUGCAUAGACUCAUCGAAAGACUGGACUCGUGGGGCCCCUACAUGGCGCGCCAAAUGUCGGAGGGAAAAUCCUCCGGCCGGGUGGCAGAAUGCACCCGCCCUAAUCCUAAGAUGAGGAGGGGGCCUAAGCGUUUUACCUGUCUGGUGGAUGGUGAAUCUCAGAUGAACACAAGAGGACUCGAGAGAUUAUAGUGGUUCAGGUCGCCGGAGCGUAAUACCCUACCUCCACUGUGUGUAUGUUGUAUUGAGUGUGUGAUUCAGCGUCGCUUGUAACAUUGUGUGCCUUUCCUUUUAUAGUUUAAGGGAGGCACAUACAAGGAUGCUGAGCCCCGACAUGCGGGCCUAGGAGCGUAAUGGAAGAAAUACAUUAUGUGAAUAACUAAUGCUGACAGAGUAACGCAUGAGUAAUCAGCGGGAGUCAUGAUGGCUGCAGUCCAUGCAACUUUGAUAGGUAGUAAUCCUUUUCCCGAUAACGCGGGAGUAAUGGUGAGUCAUUGCCCUCGAUAUGGUAACGUGUGAGUAACUGCAUGGCCCAUGUAUCGUGGACUGAGCAUGCCGCCUGUCAGUGGAAUGCACAAGCGCACGUCUUAAUCGUAAUGAAUGCGAAGGCGCGCGUAGCCUAGAGGUGUUAUGCCAGGUUCCGCCCGUUGGCUUAUGCCGCGCGCAGUAUGCCACCUGACAGCAUCGGGUCUCCGCUUGAGCGGGGAGCCUGAGUGUAUGCGGAUAGGUCCGGAUCCCACCAGACCAGGUCUGGACACGUGUCGGCUCCGGACCCUCGCCUGGGUCCUGAUUAAGGCCUGGGUAUGUUCUGUCCUGGAACCCUGGGGCCCCACUGUAGGCGGCCUAGACCCCAUACGGGGGUCCGGAUCCCAUUCUAGGGGUCCGGUUCGCACACGUGGAGGUCCUGGGCCAAACUUGGAGGCCUGGUCCGUAUAUACAGGGGUCCGGCACGGGUCCGACACUCUCCCAUGGGGGUCCAGACUCACUGUUGAUGCCUUGGAGUAUAUCACUUUCUAUGGACACGUGGCGGCCUCGGACCUGCCCAUGUGGUGGGGUCAGGCGCUAUUGUUGGCCCAGAGUAGUCGCCCGAGGCUGGUGCGAGUCAUGGCCUGGUCCCACAUACAACUCCUUUACCACGCGACUAAGGAUAGCCGCGUGGAUACUGCGUCUUUAUACAGUAGUAAGGGGUACCCUAGUUUCAGGGUACCAACAAGAACUUUAGAGAGAGGAAAGAGGAGAAACAAAUCAAGUGGUAAUCAACACAAGUGAACACGGUGGUUUGUUUACCGAGGUUCGGUUCCAAAGAGCCUAGCCCCCAUUGAGGAGGCCACAAAGGCCGAGUCUAUUCCAACCCUUUCCCUCUCUCAAUCGGUCACAUAGACCAGUCAAGGCUUCUCCUUAAUCACUUGGGUCACUAAGACCCUGCAAGGAUCACCACACACUUAGGUUUCUCUUCCUAGAUUUACAAAGCACUUAGAGAAAUGAGAAUAGAAAGGAGAAACUAAUCCAAGCAACAAGAGCAACAAAAGAACACAAAACUCUCUCUCUCUCAAGUUACUAAGCAAUUGAGUUGAUUUUGAGACUUGGAGAGGAUUUGAUCUUUGGAAUGUGUCUUGGAGUGAAUGCUAUUGCUCUUGUAUUGAAUGUGAACUUCAGAAAACUUGGAUGGCUUGAAUGGAGGUGGUUGGGGGUAUUUAUAGCCUUUAACCACUUCCUAGCCGUUGGCUGAGUUUGAUGUCGAUGGGCACACCGGACAGGUACUGUUCACUGUCCGGUGCGUGCCAUGUCAGCACGCCGUUGGGGUUUGGAGCGGCUUGACCGUUGAAGUCUUCUGUCCUCUAGCGGCACCGGACAAUCCGAUGGCAUACCGGACAUGUCCGGUGCAUUCUGACCAUGCACUGUACACCUUUUGCAGUUGACCGUUGGCACAUGUUACCGUUGCUCCAUUGGCUCAUCGGAUAUGUUCGGUGCACACUAGACAGUCCAGUGAAUUAUAGCGGAGCGCGCCCUGGGAAAACCCGAGAGUGGCUAGUUGGGAUGGUGCUCGGCCUGGGGCACCGGACAGUGUCCGGUGCACACCGGACACUAUCCGGUGCGCCACUGGCAGCACACUCUCAAGUCAUUGCUCCAAACUUUGUUGAGUCCCCAACUUAAUUUCUUUCUUGGUUUAUGUUGAACCUUAUGCACCUGAGAUAAAAGACAUCUUGGCAAAUUAAUUAGUCCACGUGGUUUGUGAUGGAUGUCAACCACCAAAAUCGAUUAUAGGAAAUGAUUAAGCACAUUUCUCUUUCAGUGGCUCGUAGCUUUGGUGUAAGCAUUGACAAAAUGUCCAUCCACCAUUCCUCGCCGGAGGAUUUCUUACUUUUCCUGCCGGGUGAGGAAACAACAUCCAGGGUUUUCAAUGAUGGCAGAUUGUUCACUGGACCUCAUUUCUGCAUAUUGGUCAAAAGAUGGUCUAGAUUCUCGCAUGCUUCUCUGUCUCGAAUGACCCACUUAGUGGAUGUGUAGAUCCGUGGGAUCCCUGAACAUGCAUGGUUUCGUUCCAUCGUGGAAGCUAUCCUUGAGGACUCAUGUCAUAUUGUAGAAGUCCAUUCAUAUACCCUACUAAAGAAAGAACUCUCAUCCUUUGCUGGCGAGCAUGGUGUUUUGAUUUUAAAAGGUUACAACGGCAGAUGACGCUACAUAUUAUUGAGAAAGGGCUGCAAAGCCAUGAAAGGGGUUGUCUAUCAUACAAUGUCAGUGUUAGUGCAACCUUGGUCAAUACUGAAGAUGCGAACUUGGGGGGUUGCCUCCCUCGCCUCCGGCGGACGAUCAUCAGCCCAUGGAUUUCGAUGAUCAUGAAAAUGGAGAUAGGAGGGAUCCUCGUCCUCGUCGUUCGGGCGCUCCUCCUAAAGGCCGAGGGCCGGUCCAUCUCAGGUUGGGACCACAACCAACCUAUCAAAUAUGAAAGUUUGGGGUGCCCCAAGUGGGGUACUGCGGCAUCCCAUAUGAAUAUGGUAGCAUACCCUACAUCUAAUUUGGGACGUAAGGUAGCGGUAGACACGCAUAUUGAUAUAACACAGGUGGAUAUGGGGAUGGAGGUGUCCAUGUAGGUGCAUUGGGUAUUAAUUGGACAUUGUUCCUAGGUGCUCAAUAGAUCCUACUUGUCUUUCAUGUGGAGGUGAAUGGGGUCAUUUUGCUGGCCGAUUGCUGGGACCAACCUUGUUUUUCACAUAUUUGGAUAAUAAUUGAUCAGAGGUUGAGCCGACUUUGACUAGACGACAUGAUCAUUUAGAUGUAUUGGUCUUCCAUGUACCUAUUUUUAGUCGUACUUAUUUUUAGUCGUCGUGGCUUGAAGGUACGUGGUCGUCGCUACUCCUGGGUAUUGCUAAACCAUCCGCUAGAUCUAUCUGGACUGUCUGGUGGUGUCCCGGAUCAUUCGCACAUGCGCGCCAGACUGUUUGCAGUGCGCAGAAUAGGGUGCUACUCUUGGCUGCCCGCCAGCGUCGGAGGCUGUGAUGGUGAUUUUCAAUGUCUCCCCUUGUCUGGGGUCUUCUCUGCAACCACUGUCCUGCAAGAAAUUUUGGUGAUUUCAUCAGCCUCUCAAGGAUCACUAAUGAUGAUCUCUUUGUCUUUUCCCUUAUCGGCCACACUAGGCCGAACUAGGACCUUUUUAUUAUCAAAACUGAUCAACUUCAUCCGAAAGGGUUAUGUGUCCACCUACAUUUCUUGAAACUUCAAUUGGCCCUCGAUGAUGGUUGAUUGGACCUAUCAACGAAAUAUAUUACAAUCAUUAGUGGCAUGAGAGAAUGAAUCAUGCCACUUACAAUAAACAUGACGUUUAAGCUCGCCAGCAGAUGGAAUAGUAUGAUUUAUUUUAAUGUUACCGCUCUUGAGUAACUCAUCAAAUAUUUUGUCAUAUUUGCCAACAUUAAUUGUAAAUUUAACCUCUUCUUGUUGUUUCUUUUGAACCGACUACAGAGAGGAACAAACUAAAAAUUUGGUCUGCUUUGGGCACACCAUUUCAGCAGCGUACACUUCUUGUGGUUCGUUGUCUGAGCUACUCUGGUCACAUUCUACUACAUGGAAAUUAUGACGAACCGCUUUAGACGUGUCUUCGCUUCGGCUUUCGCAAGCCAAAGCUCUCUGGUGUAAUUGAGCUAGCGUAAAAAAUUGAAUGCCUUCUAAUGUUUCUUUUAAAUAGUAUGACAUUCCAUUAAAAGCUAAUCUUGCUAGCUGUUUUUGUACAAGGUGAAUUUGAAAACAUCAUUUUCUUAUGUUCCGAAACUUCGGAUGUAGUCAUUAAUCGAUUCAUCUUUCCCUUGCCAGAGAGCUACUAUGUCUACCAAGUCUAACUCAUAAUCACUGGAGAGUCUAACUCAUAAUCACUGGAGAGUCUAACUCAUAAUCACCGGAGAAAAAAUGGUCAUAAAAGUUUUGCUCUAAAUCUCCCCAUGAAAAAUAGAGUUAGGAGGUAGCUUGGCGUACCAGACGAAUGCAGUCCUAGUUAGAGAUUAUGAAAAUAAAAGAACGCGGAACGCCUCUGUAUCGGCCAUUUUUCCUAACUAUGCUAGGAACUGGCCUAUAUGCUCGUGUGUGCUCUUACUCUAGUUACCCGAAAAUUUUGCAAAUUCGGGUAUCCUUGUUCUCUGGGGGUAUGAGUGAUAAUCAAAUUGGUUAUCAUAAGGUUUCCGAUAUGAAUGUCCCCUAGGGGUUAUACUAACUCUGAGCUUCUCUCAGAACACCCUAGCUAUCACUUCCCUUAUUAUGUCAAUGUGGUCGGUGGUAGACCAUCGGCUCUCUGGUCCAUUAAUGGUGUGGGAGUUUGUGUAUUAUGUUGCCUUCUUGCCUAAGGGUUUGGGUUUUCUAGAGUAUUAAUGCUUUCCCUAGGCAACUCAUAUGGCUGGUCAUCCAUUUCCGGCCUCCUAGGGGGGCGAAAAGUGUUUGCCUCCACGCAUUUGUGGGGCGAAGUUAUGAUGUUGAGGAGCUGUAGGGAGCAAGGGGAAGUUUGGCUAAGAAGGAUGUAAAGAUGAGUGAUGAAAAUUAACAUCAUGUUCUGUAUACUCUACGUCGGAUUGUCCGGCGUUACGCACGCGGACUGUCCUGGCAUGUACGCAGAUGGUCCGGCCAUGUAGGCGGACGAUUCGUGUGUGUCUGCUAGGGUUUGCGUAGAAUACGAUGGCCCUGGUAUGAAUUUCGGUGGUUCGAUUCGGAAAACGGGGCCGACCGUUGCAGGGCCGGACGGUCCGCGCUCAUGUGUGAACGGUCCGGUUGUGCGUAGAUCGGUGGACUUACCUCUAUUCUGCGUAGAAGGCUAUGGUUGCUCGGGAUAUAUGUUCAUCGACAUCCCGUAAAGUGGUUGAGAUUGGUCGUGCCAAUUUGCAUCUAAUGAAUCAUGCAUGUUUUUCUUGGUUUCAACCUCGUGCGUGGGAAAAAAUUAGCAACAUCAGAUUUAUCAAAUCCAUACGCUAGCCAUUUGUAACCAUCUUGCAUACCCCUUAUGAUUUGUUGCAUUUGUUCUCGUUGCUCAUCUAUGUAAGAUCUAGGAGGUUGGAUUUUAUUGGUUUCACUUACUUUGGGGUUAGCUGCAGCAGGUUGGAGCGAAACCAGAUCAGUCGCCCGCUACGGGACGACCUUGUGAUUCCUGCGCUUCCUUGAUCAGCUGCUCCUUAUAUUUCUCGAACUCCUGCUGAUCUUCAGCCGAUAGAAGCCUCCAUAGUCGGCUCGAUGAUGUUGUUGGGAGAGACGUCAGAAUUAUUCUUUGAACCGGCCAUUGCGGGUCAAUCUGAUAUAUCGCCUUGUUCCCAGCGGAGUCGCCAAAAAGUGUGUUGGCGCCGAUCUGGACGCCAAUUACUGCAAUGUGUACUGGCGGUGACGCUCUCUACGGCAGAACAGACUGUCCGUGUCCUGCGGCAGGAGCCGAGUAUUCUCUGCGCUGAGCCGGAUGGUCCGCGUGCGCGCAGAGGCGACGACGUUCGCCAAGAGCACCUAGAUCUGACCCCCGGGAGGGACCUCGUCAGGGGGAGAGAUUGGUAUCGGCAGACCAUCAAAGACUCCUCUAGAUGACGUAGAGUCGAAGAGAUGUGAAGAUUGAGUUGAAGACGGCUAAGUUACUGUUUACUCCCAGGAUAAAAAGUAAAUGAAUGAAAUAUAGAUUGAUUUGGUUCUGAUGUUCAUUGUUCAAUCGACCAUACCUCUUCAAAUAUAUAAGCGAUGGAGAUCUGGACCUGUUUAUAGGCGUCCUCCAACAAUCCUUAUAAGUUUAAAGCGAUAAACACGCGUGAAGAUAGAAGUUGAUCCACCUGAUCUGAUCUGAUCUAAUCAUGAAAUGAACUGUCCGCGCUCCGCGCUUAAGAGCGUACGUCCGUAGGCCAGAGUGCGUGAACAAUUGAGAAUCUGUCGGUUUUGCGUUUAUCCCUCAUAACCUAACCACGGUAGCACUGAAACGGGAGGUACCAGUCGACUUGGAAGCUUCGCUCGUUGGAUUCUUCUGCCAAGAUGCAGCGUUGGAAUUCAAGGCCACAUGAUACUGAUCCUCGGUUUGUGUGAAAUGCCAGAGGCCGCAUUUGAUUCCCAUGAUUAAAUAUAUAUGAAACCUUAACCCAAAUGCUAAACAAGUACUACAGAGACUACCUAAACUUAUUUUAAUAGCAAUUUCCAGGCGCCAUGUUGGUUGGACUUUGGACGUGGCCGGCUUGUAAUUUGGCAAUUGGCAACGGCGACAGAAGCAUGGGGAUUGGGGGAAGGCAGCGCGGGCAGUGGAAACGGUCAGGAGAGGGAUCCUUCCAGUUCCACUUCCAGACAAGGAUGGUGAGGUGUGACAGGCUGCCCACUCUCGAAUCCAGCUGAAGUCUCACCCCACAUGUGACCGGUUUUGGUUUGGUGCUUCUUGUCUUGAGGCCUCUUGGCUCUUGACCACUUAUUAUUCAUAGUAGAAGGGAAAAGGACUAUCUAUGCUAGUAGAAAAUAUUCUUUUGGGAUAUCCUUUGCAACGUGUAGGCCGUGUGCGUGCGUGCGUGCAUGUCAACUGCGAAAAAGGAGACAUUGUCACCGCUGUUCAAUGGGGGGACUAUAGGGGAGAUUCAAUCAUUCAUGUUCUUGGGUCCAUUGCUCCCCCCCACCAUGUGAGUAAGAAGCAAAAGCAACGAACGUCUAUCGUGUCUGCAGGCAGCACGCAGGUGACACCGAUUGGGGAGAUGCAUGGCAGGUGGCAGCAUAGCUCUUGUUUUUGGUUGGCAUAGCGGUAUAGCACAGAAGGGUGACACUAUGGGUCUGGGACAGAGUGGUUGAAGUAAAAAGUCUGCAUGUGGGGGCUUGUAUGUAGGUGGCGCUGUCUAUGAUCAAAUCUUUUGACUCACACCGACGUUCCGCGCGUAGCCAUCUCUUGAGUUUGAAGUCGAAGUUAAGCCGCGUCUUGCAGCACUGGUGGAACGUGCUUUAGCAUCUUCCUAAAUUAAAAUCAAUCAACUCCAUGGCUGGCUGGGAAGUCACACCAAUCCCUAUACAUAUAAUAAUGACACCAUACGUUGCGUUUGUCCUCCAGCUUGGCGCCCAUGCCGUUGUAGGUGCACACGGCAGAAUGCGGUUCGGAGCUCCAACCCAAAGCAAAAGAUCCGGUGCGAGCGCGAAGCGGGCAUUCCAUUUCCAGCGACGCUGAGCGCGACCCGCGAGUGGUGCCCGGCCACCAGGCCGCACGGCACCACCGACAACCUGUCCUCCGGCCGGACACGCUGCUGCGCGGGGCCCGCCGCGGCGCCGCCCCAGCUGCACGCAACGCAACUCCAGCCGCGCAUAAACUCGGUCGCCCCCGCACGCGUCGCCACCCCUCCCUCCAUUCCAUCGUCUUCGCUUCCACUCCCCACGUUCCCCGCCUGCUUCCUCCAGGCCCCGGCCAGAUCCGCGCGCCCGCGGGGAAGAGGGCCUCCUCUCCUCCCUCCUCCCUUGGCUCGCGCUCUGGUCGAGGAGGCGGAGGCCGGUGCCGGCGGGCGGGCGGGGAGGUAGGUAGCAGCUUGCGGUUGCGGGAGGGAAGCUGCGCGCGCUAGGCUGCCAUGGCGGUGGAGAAGACGCUGCCCGGCGCGAGUGCGGGGAGGACCGUGCUGGUCACGGGCGGGGCGGGCUACAUCGGUAGCCACGCCGUGCUGCAGCUCCUCCUCGCGGGCUUCCGCGCCGUCGUCAUCGACAACCUCAACAACUCCUCCGAGCUGGCCGUCCGCCGCGUCGCCGCGCUCGCGGGGGACCACUCCCGCAACCUCUCUUUCCACAAGGUGACGAGGCCACUCCUCGCCUCCUCCUCCUCCUCCUUCACCGUGGAUCUCUCCCCCGUUCCCUCCCGCGCAAUGUGACGCCCCCCUAGAUCUCCGCGGUGUCGUCGCGGGCCUAAAUUGGCUGCGCCACAGGGGAUGCUGCCCCCCGUAUUCUUCAUUUUCGGGACUAUAUAAUUUCAUUGCCAGAUUAGCUGUAACAAUGCUGAGGUCCUAAUUUGGCAGGCGUCUCUUGUGCUGCCUUUUGUGUCGUGUGGGCAUGCCACAAUCUGAUUCCCUUUGCCUUUUGGUGUUUCGAGUUAGCUAUACUCACUGCUGUGAUUAUUUGGGGAAUCAUUCGCAACCGCGUCACAUUUCGCGUAACUAACAAAAUUUGGUUCACAUGGAUUACAUGCGAUUGGAAUUUUUUUACGCUGCAUUGUAGUAUUGUUUCCCAAACUAUGUUUUCGUUGUUUUGUUAGGAGAUUUCACAAUUUUGAGUCCGCAUACUAAGCUUUUUUUUAAACGAUGGUGCACAUUUAUUGAUAUAUGGUAACGUUGUUUCCAACUUCUUUACUACAAGUAGGAAGCAAUGCUUCCAAUUUACCUUGUCGUAAAGAUUCCCAAGUGUUGAUGAUGGUUAAUGGGAAUUUAAUGGAAACGAAAAACUUGGUUGAUUAUUGAUAGAAAGGAUUUUCAUAAGGUGGUGUUGUCAAACUUGCUUGAUUUGCUUGAUUUUGUCGACCUUAAUGGUGAGGUUUCUAUUCAAAGGCAUUUUUUCUGUAAUCCAUGAAUCCAUCACUAAUGUGAGCGCCUGUGGUCUGUUCCUUGUAAGCCAUAGGAUGCCCAGAUCUAUCUUGUUAGCAUUCUAUUCAAGUAGUUUUAGCUCCAUCUGUCAUAGUUUGCAGUUAAGUGCAGAGGGUGGUUCAAGACUAAUUAUUCAGCUCUGCACAUGUCCAGUUGGCAGCAUUGCGUGUUAGUAGCUUUGAAUUAUUUGGCCAGCUCAUUCAGUUCAUCCUUGCCUGCAUUGUUAGGUUUGUACAAUUGGCAUUAGUUCGGGGUGGGUUGUGGUUGAUCAGCCCACUAUGGGACUGAGAGUUGUUGGCUAAUUUAGACAAGAGGACAGCUAGUCUUUACUGCUGGUUUCUCUUUUCUUAAAUGCUGAAAAUAUGCUGUUUCCUUAAAAGUUACUCUUUACAGUUGUCUCCUAUAAUAUUAUUGAUUCAAUAAGAUUGUUAUUUUUAAAAUCCAGUAAUACUUUUUUUGAGGAACAUCUGUGUAACACAGUUUUACAAAUUCUUUUUCAAGAAAAAAUGACUUAUGUAUGCAUUAAGUGAUAGUAUGUGGUUAUGUUUCUUGGCUAUUUGUGUACUGCGGGUUAUGGACAAGGGUUUGCCUACCUUUUAUUAGAAUUAGAAAUCUAGAGAAGUAAAAUUUGGAAGGAGGCUGUGUGCCGUGUUGGUCACACAACAAUUCAGACCUAACCAACUACAAAGAUGGACACAAGUGUGAUUUUAGUUAUUUAAAUAUGUGACAACUUAUUUGGAGGAUUUCUUCAUGUUAAACACACAUUAAAUUGUUUCAUGCUUGCUGAGGAUCUGGUAUAAUAGAAGAAACUGUGCUUUAACAACCAAACUAUUGUAAACUUUGUGAAUACUGGUGCAACAUCAGUGAUUCUAACUUGUAAACAAGGAACGAGUAGUGUAAAUUCAAAUUUGUCACUAGUAGAGAUUUGUUCCUUAUUACAUUGAGGUACUUUUGCUUUAUGAUCUAGAAGUUCCUUUUUGAUGUACAGAAACAGUUUCCAUAACUAGAACUUCAUUGUGCUAUUCUCUGUAUUCACACAGUUACUAUUGGAUGUGAUGUGUGCAUUAGUUGCCCUGUAAAACUGCAUCUGUUCACCAGUUUAUGCUUGGAGCUUUCUAUUUUGUUUUGAUAUUCCCAGUCUUUAAUAUGUUUCUACUACAGCAGUUUGCAAAGUGAGUAUUUUAUGGUGCAUUGUGAUUUAGUAAAAUUAUUUUUUGUCAGCCCUGCAAUUUUUUCAUUUGAAAUAGGACCCGGCUUGUUUAGAGGAUGAGCAUCAUACUUUUAUUUGCAUGCCGAGCAACCUACUUCAAUGUUUUGUUUGGUAGGUGUCUAUGCCUGUCCAUAGUAAAGUACGCUUGCUUACUUGAGAAACUCACAUGAGCACCCCUGAUGUUAACUAUUAACCUAAUAACAGUGGUCAAGAAUACGUUGCUUCUUAACACAUUUGCCACUUUGUUUCAGCUCUAAUGCAGUGUAUUUACUGCUCAAGUAUUUACCUGCUUUGAUUGAUUUUUCAUGCAGGCAGAAAAUACCCUCCUCUGAUGUUGUUCACUUGUUACAAGAUGGCAUUUGGUGUUCUACCAUUUUACUACAUCAUUAAUCAAACUCUAACAUUAGUACCUUAUUUGAUUCUGCAGAUUGAUCUCCGUGACAAGGGAGCACUGGAAAUGGUUUUUGCUUCUACAAGGUAGAAUCACCAGCUGUUCCGCUGUACUAGCCCUGUUCAACUUUCACGACAUUAUGAAUUCCUUUUCGUUGUUGCAAAUCUGUGGGCUGGCCAGAUGCAGUGGUGAGAGCUGUCUCAUUGAUUCACCAGGUCGUGGGUUUAAAGCAGCCUCUCCGCAUUUACGGGGGAAGGCUUGCCUUUUAUCCCUUCCUCAAACCCCACUCAUGUGGGAGCCUCUUGCACUGGGUCUGCCCUUUUGCAAUUUUGCAUAUAGCAUCUUCUUUAUUGUUAGGCAAUUUCCCCUUCAGAUUUGAAGCUGUCAUUCACUUCGCUGGAUUGAAAGCUGUGGGUGAAAGCGUACAGAAGCCAUUACUUUAUUAUGACAACAACGUCAUUGGCACGAUAAAUCUUCUAGAAGUUAUGUCUGUUCACGGUUGCAAGAAGGUAUCUAUCUUUUUCCCACUAUACUUCACUGGACUCAGCACUUCAAGUUGCUACUGCAUCUUUUCUGAAUUUGUCUGCAGUUGUAUGCUAGGUUGUUACAUUGAUUUAACUAUAGGAUUGCUUAUAGGUUAUUUUUUGACUAAUGUUUUAGUUCUUGUGCAUCCGGUACAUCGGAGAAUUACUACUUGAGCUUGUAUAAGUGAUCUUCACAUGCUAUAGUUGCGCUAUCAUUGUUUUAAUGGUUAGUGAUCUUCAGAUGCCGUCCUUCCUCACCUCACCUUCCUCUUGGCCUAGCAUCUGCAUCCAUCCUGACAGCCACCUUCAUGUCCCCUGUGUUGUUUGGGGUUGGGAUUCAGGGAUUUUGGUGGCUACUGGUUGUAGAGGUAUGGUUGGGGAGGUUGUGUAUCCGGCGGUGGUGGUGGAUGGUGUGUGUGUGUGUGUGUUGGGGGGGGGGGGGGGUGCAAGGCCACUGGCAACCAUGGUGGUGAUGGAUGACAGUUUAGGGUUUGGGGAUUUUUGUGGCCUGCAGUUGUAUAGGGAUGGUUGGGGUUGUGCACUAACAACCAUGGUGGUGGCAGAUGGUGGGCGGUAUGGCAAGGGUACUCACCGCUGAGGUGGUGAUAGAUGUCAGUUCGGCAGGGAUGGAGGUGGAAAUGUCAUGUUGGGAGUGGUUAGCGCUAACCAUGGUGAAGGGUGGUGGCUCUGGUGUUGCUGGUGCCACAGGAGUGGGGAGGAGAAGUUGAGUAUACGGGAGACCGGGGUUUGAAGCUAGUUGGAUGGUAAAGAUCUCCAGGACUCUGGACAAUGAGUAUCUGCUUUCUGUUUUGAUACUACCGAUUAAUUGUAUUGACUGUAUAAUUUUUUUCAUUUUUGCUUUAAGAUAUGUUUGAUUAGUAAUGCUUUUGAUUGGUAAAUCGAUUUGUCAUACGAGACUCUGGCACUGACAUGUUGUAUCUCCUUUUGUUUUAAAAUGUUUUAGUUGGUGUUCUCAUCAUCAGCUGCAGUUUAUGGAUCACCCAAAAACUCACCCUGCACAGAAAAUUUUCCUCUUACUCCAAACAAUCCAUAUGGCAAAACAAAGGUCUGCUGCCUCUUUUUCAAUGUGAAAACCUGCUGAAGAUUGUUAGCUCUCUAAGUUGACUGAAAAGUUUCAAAUGGUUGCAGCUCGUUGUUGAAGAUAUUUGCCGGGAUAUCUACCGUUCAGAUCCUGAAUGGAAGAUCAUUUUACUUAGGUACUUCAAUCCAGUUGGUGCUCAUCCUAGUGGAUAUCUUGGCGAGGACCCACGAGGAAUUCCCAACAAUCUUAUGCCCUAUGUUCAGCAAGUUGCGGUUGGUAGGAGGCCAGCUCUAACAGUUUUAGGAAAUGACUAUGCAACAAGAGAUGGGACUGGGGUAAUUCUGUUGCAUAUGAUGUGCUUAAUUGUGUUUUUUUGGUAUACCAUUCAAAUUGAUUAAUCUGAUGCAUUUGAAGCUGGGUAUUCCAAAUAAAACUGUUGUCAAUUUUCUGUCAAAAUUUAAUAAUCUGUGGUAGGUAUAGUACUAACAAGAGUUAUGAGAACUGUCAUCUCUUCCUUAAAAAACUUGACUAGGUCUGUUUAUAUGACUUGCUGCCUAGUGUAUUGACCCGGCUUGUUGAAGUUGAUCUUUAACUACACAGGACUUCCUAUAAUUUACUUUUAUUUCAUAUAUUGGCUAUGUUGCAUAGUUUUCACCUUUUUCUUUCUCUUCUUUGGCACCCUGCUGUUUAUAUCUCUAUAGUUUUUCCUCUGCACUUUGUAUGGUUGCUAUCCGAUUCUAUAUUUAAUUAUUUAUAAUAUACCACAUUAGGGGUGUACUGAAUUUCCCUUAUAAAAAGAAGAUUGAUUCAUUGCUUUGUCAUUUCCUUCUCUAUGUAAGCCACAAGCUUAACUUGAAUUCUGGAACGAUUUAUAACCUACAAAAUCUUCUCAUUUUAAUUCAUCUGACUGAAAGUUUGGAAGAUACUCGCACAAUAGAACAUAUGAUACCCAUGUGCUUCUUACUUGAGUCAAUUAUUUUUUACAUUGCUUAGGGUUAAUGAUUUUGAAUCAAAUAUUUAGCGAUAUCAUUGUGACAUCUGUGAUUCACAUGCGUCAUGGAAUCAUCCCAUCUUUAAUCAGGCUAUUGUUUUUACAGGUCCGAGAUUACAUCCAUGUGGUUGACCUUGCUGACGGACAUAUUGCUGCAUUGCAGAAGCUUUUUGAGAACUCUAGCAUAGGUUAACACUUGACAUCAACCGAUCCUUGAAUUUCUUUCCAUCAUUUCACGUGUACUUUUUUUAAAAACUAGACCAACCUAGGAUGAACUAGGUGGCAUUAAUUAAGAAGAUAAUAGGCUCCCAAAUUCACUUUGACGAGGAUUUGAAUCUGGGUGGUUUGGACAUACAUCAUCACCCUCAAUCGAGUUAGCUCAGCUUCCUAUUUCUUGUAUGCUUAUUUCAUUGUGGUAACACUUCUGUGUGUUGUAUUCCCUUUAGAUCCACAAAUUUUUAUUUUGUUUCCCUAGGUUUGUUUAACACAAAAGGUAGGCUUGUACAAGGCACAAUACUGUUUGGAUAAAUAUACUUUUUGCAGCUUGCGUAACAGAUAUGCUUAUUUUAUGCAAUUUGCAUAUGUUCACUACAAUGAAACUUUUUGGAUACAUGGGUAUCUGUCCAUAUUUUCUAUUUCCCUCAUGUGCGAGGUGUUUGAUUCAUUUGUGUUUGUACUUUGGAAUCUUAUUUUAAAAUUUGAUACUAUUUGCAGGGUGUGAAGCGUACAACCUUGGAACCGGAAGAGGUACAUCUGUGCUGGAGAUUGUUAAAGCAUUUGAGAAGGCUUCUGGGAAGGUAUACAAGAUAAAAGAAAAUUUAGGCCUUGCAUGAUUAUUAGCAUUUUGCAAUGCAGCUUACCUAGGUUUACUGCCUUGAUAAGCUUUCGUUUAUGCUCCUAAGUUGUGAUUUACAAGGACAAUUUUGCUACCUUGUAGAAAAUACCUCUGAUUUUUGGUGAAAGACGCCCAGGUGAUGCAGAGAUUCUGUUUUCAGAGACUACUAAAGCAGAGAGGGAGCUUAACUGGAAGUAAGUCAUAUAUCGAGGUAUAAUAUGUUAUCAUGACAAAAUGGCUUUAUUGUAUAUUAUAUGAUCAACUUCGUCUUCCUCUAGAGCAAAAUACGGUAUUGAAGAGAUGUGCCGCGACCAAUGGAACUGGGCCAGCAAGAACCCUUAUGGCUAUGGAUCACCUGACUCUAUCAAGCAGAAUGGUCACCAAACAAACGGAUCCGCUGACUCCUCCAAGCAGAAUGGCCACCGCACAAACGGUUCAACUGACUCACCCAAGCGGAACGGCCACCAUGCGUAUGGGUCUGCUGACUCACCCAAGCGCAACGGGCACUGCGUUUUUGGAUCAUCAGACCUCAAGCCGAAUGGUAAUGGCCACCUGCGCUGAGCAGAACUGUUUGGCCUGUGAGCUCCCUGUACAUUCGGUUGCGAUGUGAGCUCCCUGCACGUUCGGUCGAGGUCUAUCGUGAACCCACUAUCCGAGAUUGAUGUGGAUCAUUGGGUUGACAGGUCAUACAGUAUAGAGCCGGUGGCAGAGGAAUUCCUGUUUGCUGUGGGUAAAGCUUAUCUUCUGCUUUCGUGUUUUUUCUUGCUUCUUUCGAUUAUGGUGUAGGAAUGUGGUCAUAAUGUAUUAGCUGAUUAUCCUUUCCCUGCUAAUUGGACUUUAUUACGCUUCAUUAAGUUUGGCUGAUUACUGUUUAACGGGGAAAAGUUGCACCUGUGUACGAUUAUUUAUUUGUACCUGUAAUAUUUAUGGAGAACUAGCCUCGCCGCAAAUAGCCCUGAUGAAUUCAGCUGCAGUUUAUUCCCAGAUUGGACUGUUGUUUAAUGUGAAUGUAAAUAUGAUGCCUCUGCAAACAUUGAGCAGAUAAAACUCGCCUUCUUGGGAACAAUUGUCAAAUGAUCACCUCCUCUCUGCUUUUACCCGAACGUAGUGCGAACUCAUGCAUCGCUUUUUACGCCUUGUCUUGGACGAAUGCGUUGAUCUUGCUCUGAAUAUUUUGUUGACAGAAGGAUCACGUUGGAAACCAUCGGGCCUUGCAUGCUAACAUGGCAUUCUGUAACGGUGCGACGUGAAACAAUUUUUUGUGCAAAUUUUCAUGUUAGGCUAGUAAAAAAUCUAGGUCCUUAGUCUGAUUUUGGUGACCGUUAAUAAUACAAGAUUAUUAUGAAUAACCUGUAGUUUGGUUGAUUUUGGUCAUUAAUAAUAAUAUAAGACUAUUAUGAUUAACUUCAGUUUGGUUUCAGCGAUUUUACAGAAAUAGGACCAUAAUGCUAAUGAUUGAACUUACAUAUUCAUGUUUUUAUUGAUGAAUAUUAUGUUGGAUUUAUGGGCCAAGCCCAAUUGUGAAAUUCAAUUAAAUCCUACAAAAGUAUGAAAAACCCAUGUAUGUGUAUGACUAGGGAAUGGUAAAAUAAAUAGUCCUAUAUUGCUAGUCCAAGUGGAGUGGAACUAGUUUAAAUAAGGAGGCUAUACUCACUAAACCAUGGAUGAGGGGAGAGAGUGGAGAACCACACUCGCGCGCUCGUUUACUUGGGCUGUGCUGGGCACACGACAUGCACAUGAAUGGUCUGCCAAAAUCCGGCCCCUUGCCUUGCGAGGGCACAAUUUCCUUUUGUUGUUUUAUUUUUUGGUUGCUUGGCUGUUAAGUCUAGAGCCCUAUUCGAUCGCGAUAAGGAUCUGAACCGGUAUCGAAGCGUGGGUCACGACCCUAUAUAAGGCACCUUACAGCCAGCGCCAAAUUCAUCUCAACACAAGUUAGGUUUUCACCUCUACUCACAGCUGCGUUGUCAUCGUAGUUCUCUUCAUCUCGACCGCCGACGUGCAUCUGCGAUCGAGAGAGGGCGAAUAAGGUUUUUGGUAAGCGUCCUCACAUGAUUGCUCGCGAUCUUGCCGCCGACCCUUCUACAUCGACAUCGUCAACCCUGCUACUUCGACAUCGCUGAUCCUGAUGUUUCCACUAGCGUAAUCUACCAUUAUGUCUGAUCAGUACGCAUCAUCUGAUUUGACCUCAUAAUUCAGUUUAUCUGUUAUGGUAGAGAUGUGCUGCAUUUAUAUAAUUAUGAUGUUAGGUAACUUGUUAGGUUACUUAUUGUGCAACAGACAUCUAGGUCAUAAUUUAUAUUUAGAAUUUAAUCUAGAAAAUAUCUAAUUUCUCAACAAUCCAAAAACCUUAUUGUGGACAAUUUCCUGGUUUAUCUAUGGCUGGUUUUGCCGACGCACUUAAGCCAUAAAAAUUCAAUGGUAUGCAAUUUAAGAGAUGGCAAGUCAAAGUCAUGCUCUGGCUUACUGCUAUGAAUGUGUUUCAUGCAAGUAAAGGCAAAACUAAGGGCGGACUGACUCCUAAAGAGGAGAAAAAGUCGAUGAGGCCAAUGCUGUCUUUAUGGGAGCAGUUCUUAACGUACUUGUUGACUGUCUGGUUGAUGCGAAUAUACAACACACAGACGGGAAGGAGUUGUGGGAUGCACUUACUACUAAGUAUGGUGCAUCUGAUGCUGGCAGUGACCUGUAUGUCAUGGAGAGCUUUCAUGAUUAUCAGAUGGAUGAUAAUCGCUCUAUUUUUGAGCAAGCUCAUGAAAUACAGUGUAUUGCCAAGGAGCUCGACCACCUUAAGAUUGUCCUACCUGACCGAUUUGUGGCUGGGUGCAUUAUUGCAAAGUUGCCUUCUACAUGGAGGAACUUCGCCACAUCUCUGAAAUAUAAGAGACAUGAGAUAGCCUCUAGAUGUUGAGGAUAAAUCUCGGGAUAAGGCCACGAGUUCUAAAGGAGGCAAGGGCCACUCUAGUGCCAACAUGGUUCAGAAGAACCACAAUAAGGGCAAAUGAAAGAUAAAAUCAAGCAAGCCCAACAAAACUACCAACUUCAAGAAGAAGAAGAACAAGGUUGAAAUGACAUGUUUCACAUGUGGUGAGACGAGUCAUUUUGCCCAGGACUGUCCUGAUCGAGCGGAUCACUGUGGCAAAAAGGGCAAUAUCAACACAGUGGUCGCUAGCAAUGAGGGAGACAAAGGGUAUUGUAAUCUACCUUUCAUCUUCUCAGCAUUUCAAUCACCUAGUUGGUGGCUCAAUACUGGUGCUAAUGUUCAUGUGUGUUCUGGCAUUAAUUUGUUCUCUUCUUAUCAGGGUGUCUAGGAUUCCUCCGUCCUAAUGAGGAAUGGGUCACAUGCUUCUAUUCAUGGCAUUGGCACGUUGGAUCUGAAGUUUACUUCAGAAAAUAUCGUGCAACUAAAGAACGUGCAACAUGUCCCUUCUAUGCACAAGAAUCUCGUUAGCGAAACCCUUCUAUGUAGAGAUGGGUUUAAGGUAGUUCUGGAGUCCAAUAAAAUAGUUGUAUCUAAGUCUGAACAAUUUAUUGGUAGAGGCUAUGACUGCAGAGGCUUGUUUCACUUUUCUUUGUUAGAUUUCAAUAAUAAGUUUGUGAACCAUAUUUGCGCUAAUGUGGAUGACCUUGCGAGUAUUUGACAUUCUCGUUUGUGUCAUAUUAGUUUUGGUUCUAUGUCUCGGCUUUCUACCAUGAAUUUAAUACCGAAUAUCACCAUAGUUAAAUGUUCAAGUGCCAUAGUUGUGUGCAGUCGAAGCGACCUCGAAAGCCUCAUAAGGCUGCUGUGGAGAGACACUUGGCACCUUUAGAGCUCAUAAAUUCUGAUCUCUAUGAGAUGAAUGGUGUGUUGACAAAAGGUGGCAAGAUAUACUUCAUGACAUUGAUUGAUGAUGCGUCUAGAUUUUGCUAUUUAUACUUGCUAAAAACUAGAGAUGAGGUUUUAGACUACUUCAAAAUCUAUAAGGCUAAAGUUGAAAAUCAACUAGAGAGAAAGAUCAGAUGUCUUAGGUCAUAUCGUGGUGAUGAAUACUUCCCAAAGUCUUUGAUGAUUUCUGUGCAGAACAUGACAUUAUUCAUGAGAGGACACCUCCCUACCCAAAUCAAACGAGAUUGCUGAGAGGAAAAAUCAUACAUCGUCUGACUUGGUGAAUGUCAUGUUAGACACAUGCAGUUUAUCUAAGGCAUGGUGGGGGGAGGUAGUCCUGACUUCAUGUCAUGUUCUAAAUAGAAUUCCUAUGGGAAAAGAAGAGAAAACCCCUUAUGAGAAGUGGAUUGGAAGAAAACCAUCACUUUCUUACUUGCGCACAUGGGGUGCAUGGCAAAAAUCAAUGUACCAAUUAAUAAAAAGCGCAAGCUUGGACCAACGAUAGUGGAUUGUGUCUUUCUAGGUUAUGCUUCCUGUAGCAUAACUUAUAGAUUUUUAGUAGUUAAAUCUGAAGUUCCUGAUGUGUAUGCAGAUACUAUUAUGGAAUCUUGUGAUGCUACUUUCUUUGAACACAUAUUUCCAAUGAAAGAAAUUAAUAUCAAUUCUAGAUAUUCUUUUGAGAUAACUCCAUAACAUAAUACACCUGUUGAGAUCUUUGAACAAUCACAUGAGAGUGUCCUAGAGGAGGAUGACAAUGAUGCUCCUAAAAGGAGCAAGAGACAAAGGGUUGAAAAAUCCUUUGGUGAUGAUUUCAUUGUGUACCUUGUGGACAACACUCCUACUAUCAUUAUGGAAGCAUUUGCAUCUCCAGAUGCAGAUGAUUGGAAAGGAGCAAUUUAGAAUGAGAUGGACUCAAUUCUUUCAAAUGGUAUGUGGGAGGUCACUGAUCAACCCUAUGGUUGUAAACCCGUUGGUUGUAAGUGGGUGUUUAAAAAGAAGCUCAAGCCUGAUGGUACAAUAGAGAAGUACAAGGCUAGGCUUGUGGCUAAAGGCUAUACUCAGAAAGAAGGAGAAUACUUCUUUGAUACUUACUCACCUGUUGCUAGAAUGACUACUAUUUGAAUACUACUAUCCUUGGCUGCCUCAUAUGGUCUUCUUGUCUAUCAGAUGGAUGUGAAGACAACUUUCCUUAAUGGAGAGCUGGAUGAGAAAAUCUAUAUGGAAUAACCUGAUGGAUUUGUAGUAAAGGGUCAAGAAAUCAAGGUGUGCAAAUUAUUGAAAUCUUUGUAUGGUCUGAAGCAAGCACCAAAGCAGUGGCAUUAGAAGUUUGAUACGACUCUAAAGUCUGUAGGCUUUGCCAUUAAUGAGGCAGACAUGUGUGUAUAUUAUCGCUAUAUAUAUAGUGGGGGUGGAGUUAUAUUGUGCCUAUAUGUUGAUGAUAUAUUGAUAUUUGGCACAAACAUUGAUGUGAUCAAUGAAGUCAAGUCUUUUCUAUCGAAGAGUUUUGAUAUGAAAUAUCUGAGAGAAGCUGAUGUGAUUCCAAACAUCAAGUUGAUUAAGGCAGAUGGUGGGCUUACUCUCUUACAAUCUCACUAUGUUGAAAAGGUUUUGAAGUGAUUUGGCUUCUCUGACUGCAAACCUUCUCCAACACCUUAUGAUCCCAGUGUGACAUUGAUGGGACAUGCUUAACAAGACGCUACAGUUCCCUGCCUACUAUUUUGUUGAGCACCUGAAUUCUCCCACAUCCUAGUGUUUGGGCCCACUUGACCACGUGUUAGUCGGUUCCAACAUUUGGUGCCCAUUGUUCGUGCUUCGACAUAUCAAUCCUGCGAUGGCUCCCAAGAAAGCGACUUUCAAGGCCACCACCUCUCUGGAUGACACGGCGAAGGCAACCCUCACCGAGAAGAAAGGCAAGGCAGCCCCUGUCGGCGAAGUUCCCCAAGAGGCACCCGAAAACGAUGGAGCAGUCAACAACAAGCGACCUCACACAGAGAACCCACCCAUCCUCGAAGGUAUUGUUCGCAAGUCCAGCUCUGAAGGCCUCCCUCGAAACCCUCUGCCAGGUUUUACCCCCCGGAAGGCUCACGAUAUCAUCGAGGAUGGCGUGGUCCUAGGCAUCUCAGCCGAAGACCAGCUAAAAUUAUGAGCACUUCGCAUAAAAAACAAUCACCUGUAGAAACAGAAGGAAAUACUCGUGGCCAAGCGCUAAUGCAUCAACAUGCGAGCCAAAGUCAGGCAGAUGAUCCUAGAAGAAGAGGAGAAAGCUAGAGAGCUGGAAUAGCAAAUCGCAGAAAUGCAGGGCAAGGACUCCACUAGCAGUGGGACCCUGCGCUUUACAUAAACCCUCGUCACCCCCACAUGCCAGUAAUUGCACCAGCUGCCUUGAUGAACGAAGUCCUCUUGCACCACAGCUACAGGCUUCCCCUUGCACGCAAAACUUCAGUACAGGCACCUACCCAAAGUACAAUGGCAGUGCAGACCCAACCUAGUUGUCAUCGCAUCAUCUGGGGGACGACACCACCAUGGCCAAGUCAUUCAUCAUAUCCCUCGAGAGCCUAGCUCUCACAUGGUACUCAAGACUGCCACCAUUGUCAAUUGAUUCGUGUAAGAUACUCCACGAAAAAUUCUUGCUGAAUUUUCAAGGUUACAGACUCGAGACAGACGCCCUGGCAGAACUCUCGCUCUGUAGGCAGCAAGAGAAAGAAACCCUUCGAGAAUAUUACAAAAAAGAUUCUCUUAUUGAAAUCACAGUUGCUUUCGGCCGAUGACCAUAUAGCCAUCCACUAUGCAAUCAGCGGCCUUCGAGUAGGCAUUUUAUACAGCCAAUGCAUAAGGGAUCCACCAAAUAACUUGCAGGAGUUGUACCAGCUCUUUGAAAAGUAUGCCCGGUCAGAAGAGCUCCACUAGAGGAAAGUUGAGUCUUAGUGAAAACAUAAGGAGACCCCGCAAUCUAGUAGAACAUGGAUCAAGACUUAGCACGCCAAGACCGUGUUGAGCCCUAGGUACACAAUAUUGCAAAUCAGUAGCAACUAGGAGAUAACCCCCUCAUCGUCAAGAUUACCCCCACAACAAGGUCGCGGUGGCAACGCGGCCAGGGUCAGAGACAGGGGUCAGGGACCACAACAACAGAGAAGAUUCUAUUGUCUUUUCCACGACGAAGACUCAACAUACCCAACCAGAGACUGCCUAGAGACUAAAGCAACAAAAGACCGAAUGGCUAGGGUCGUGCCAGCUGACAACCAAAGAGUCGUCGCUCACACCUAUCAACCCCAACAAUACAACCAACAUCAAUUUCAAAACGAACACCACUAUUACCCCCAACAUCAAAACCCCAACCUCUUUCCACAUCAAUGGCGCCUUCAACACCAAGAAAUUAUAGUGCUGCCACCUCCACCACCUCAGCAUCCAAACUAACCCCUACCACCCCCACCACUACCUAAGUAAGAAGACUUCACCGAUCAACCCUUCAGGGGAGUAAUCCAUAUGAUCUUUGGAGGGUCCAGCUCCGAGUUCGAAACCAAACGACAAAAGAAAGACCACUAUCGAAGGGUAAACCAUGUAGCCCUCACCGGGCCCGUCGUCUAAACAAAGUGGUCCCACGUGCCACUCACCUUCAAUGCAAAAGAUGUCGACCUCCACAGUGCGUCCUGUAAAGCCCAAAAUUUGUAUAAGUGGAAAAUAAUAAAAUAAAUGAAUAGAUAUAUGCAUAUGAAAGUGUUUUGGGGAUUAUGGAACCUUGGCAAAUUAUUUGGUGAUUUAUUCUUUUUUGUUUGUUGCUGCAUACUAAAUUGGAGGAAUUAAGUUAUUCCUGUAACAAAUAAACAAAUAAUGGAAGAUACAUCUCAUGUUGAUAUUUUUGGGUGAAGCAUGUAAUCUAAAAGAGGGACCAUGGUUUGGAUUUGAAUUUAAAAUGUGAAUUCGAGAAGCAAAAUGAAAUAGAAAAUUCAAAAGAAUAAAGAAAAGGAGAAAUGGGAUGCGGGUGGGCCAAACCCUUGAUUUCGGCCCUUUUUCCUGUUGCACGAUUGUGGCCCACCCCGUCCCAGUCGGAUUUCGCGCACCGCGGCACUGGCCUGCGGGACCCCGCGGUCAGUCACUGUCUGUGCGCGUUUGGUCAAUGGUUGUCUGGCAUGCCAGGCCCGCGCGCUAGUCACCGAGCGCCCACUGCACUACUGACCCCACAUGUCAGCUGUGUCAGUCUCGCGCCCGUUCAAUGCCACGCGGGACCCACGCGUCAUCCCCCACUUCCGCCCAAAUCGAAACCGCGCCGCCAUAACCACACCUUCCGCAAUCCGAGCUGACCCAAAGGCCUAGCCAAGAUCUACUCGUCGCUAUCCGGCUACGCCUCACCUUCUAUAUAUUAAGGCCAGCCCCCUCCUUUCCUCUCCCUUUCCCCAUCAACGCCGUGCGAGUAGAGUGAAGGGAUUCAGGGCGCCGCUGUCGGGGUGUUCUCACCAGCACUACUCGGAGCUCGUGACCUCAGGUUGGGCUGGGAGUCGUCCGGAUAGGGGGAAAUUCUCGUCGGAGAGCCACGCGAGAGCAGGAAUCGCGAUGCACCGUGGACGACCUCGCCGCUACCGCUUCAUCAUUGAGGUUAGGCUUAUCCUAUUCGCCAAAGUUAUCCGUAUUGUUUUUGUCUAUCUUUUGCUGCGAACUGCGGGGCUGGAGUCCGUUCGGAGUACACAGGAGUGAGCGCCGCCGUGGACUUCAUCACGCCACCGCGGCUGUGCUGGGGAAGGAAGACGACGUUGGGGCCGUUGGAUCUGUUUAGGAUGGUCAGGAUUAGACUGUGGAGCAAAGUCGUGUAGACCGUAGAUAUCGGUGUGCGCGGCGGUGAUUAGGUCAGGCGUACCGGUUGGGGGCAGUUUGAUCCGCGCCAUUAGAUGGAGAUCGGACGCGUACACAUAGGCCUCGGUCAUUUUGAAUCAUGACCAUUGAUGUGUGAACCAAGGGCUAGCAGUGCGUACCAGUUCGGGCGGGGUCCGAUUUAAUCUGGGUUGUCCACGUUGGAUCGGUCGGCUGAUAUACAUUCAUACCUCAUCGGUUGACCGCUUUUACAUAUGAGCCCCUCUGUUUUCGGUAAAUCAACCCGCCAUCCACCUAGAGACAUAGAAUAAUACGUAUAGGUCCCAAAAUUUACACCAGACCCCAUAGAAAACUCUGAAAUAAUGUCCUUAGAUCAGGAAUCAUUGUGUAUUAAUAAAACUUGUUUGAAAAUUGAUUUUAUUGCCAAAAUAAUUCUAAAACCUUAGAAAAUGCAUAACUAAUUCAUCUUAAUUCCUUUUUGACCCAUUCCAGUUGAAUUAAAUUAAUAAUAAUAUUGUUUAUCAUCUAGUAGCCCUGUUUUGUCAUAAAACAUAGAUUAGAAUUUAUGCACUUAGUUAUUUCUAUAUCAACCACUUAAAACUUCGGAAAAUCAUAACUUUUAACCGUAACUCCGAAUUUAGUAGUUCUCAAACCUAUGAUCUCAUUACGAUGCAUAGAACACUAUCAUGCAUUCUGUUCUAAUGUUUGGUGUGAUGUUAAUUUCUCAUGUAACAUUUUUGUUUGUAUUGUUGCGAGUAGACGAGCAAGCAACCGAGGACCCGGGUACUCAGCAGGUGGAAAAUUCUGAGUAGGAGCUCGUUGAAGGCAAGUUAUACCCUUGACCACUUUUAUUUACCCAAUAAUGUUCUCUAUAAUCACUUUGGCAUGUUUAGGCUUAAUUUUGAUGGGACCCAAUAGGUCACCCUAGUCUGCUUUAUCUUGUGCCUUGAUCACCACUGAACUUUUGGGUAGUCCUGCUAUUGCUAUAUGUGGUUUUGGGUGUUAAGAUAAAUUUGACACAGGAUCAUUCUUUAUUAUUACUGUUGAUUAUUUAUUGUUCAUGAUAGGAUUACUGUGUUAAUUAGAACAUGGAAAACCACCCGAGAAAACAAUGCUACCACAAGGGUGGAAUGGGACACCCUUGGCCAAGUAAUUAGGAAAACUAGGGAGAGAUUACCUUACCUGAAAGGGGCAAGCGGGAAGGCGUCGCUGUAGAGUAUAGGGAGGUUAAAGGGUCGGACUGCCUAGCUUUCUGGACAGGGGAUUCCUAUGCUUCCUUCCUGAAUUCGUAGCGGGUUUUCUCGAACUAGAGGAACUUUGGAAAGGCCUCUUUGUGCUACCCUGCCCUGUCUCCUCGGUAGAUAUGACUUCUAGACCCCUUGGCAAAUGGGUAGCAUGGCUUGUGGGUAAAGAUGUGCAACCUAUGCAGAGUGUAAAACUGGUAUAUCAGUUGUGCUCACUAUCAUGAGCAGCUCAGACACUCACAUGAUUAAUUUAUGAAAGUAAAUUUAAUUUCUUAUUUGCAUCGCAUUGUGGUUUAUUAUUAAUUUUUGAUCUACUAUUACUUUGGGUUGGUAUACACUUACAUGUAGUAACUACUAAUAAAAUUUUACCAACUUAUUAAAAGCAAUGCUCAGCUUUAACUAUUACUUGCUGAUUAGCCUUACACUACACUUGAACUCCCACCUUUGGUGAGUUCAUGCACAUUAUUCCCCACAACUUGUUGAGCUAUGACCUUUUGUGAGCUCACUCUUGCAAUAUAUAAAGUCCCCCCAUAGGUGAAGUGCAGGUAGUUCAAGAGGAGGUCUACAACGAGGAGGACAAGCUUAUCUAGGUGGCGUCUCCCAGUCAGCUUGAUGGUGCCAAGAAAUAAGUAUUAGUUCGCUUUAUUAUUAUCAUUUAUUUUUAUAAGACACUUCCACUAUGUAAUAAUAUUUGUGAAAUUUAUCUCUAUACACUUGGUCAUUAUAUGUGUUGUUCUUCUUUGGCGUACAUAUGAGAUGCACCCGGCUUUAUCCCUUAAAUUCGGGUGUGACAGAAGUGAUAUCAGAGGAAAUGUUGAUUGUAGGACGAAACCUAGAUAGAACUGGACAAGACCCUUACCUACUUACCUUUACUCUGAUUCUUUCUAUACUUUUCUUGAUCCUGUCUCACCUUUGGCUGUUCUACUCUGACUAUUCUUAUAUUUUCUACUCUAGAAAGACAAGAAGGAUUUCACACCUUGGAAUCCUACAUCUAAGACUCCCUAAAGAGAUAGGAGACCUAAGACAAAAAAUUAUAUAUUUUGUCUAUCUAAAGUGUUUGGAUGUUUGUUCUGAUGAUAAAUGCUUGAUUUGCUUCUUUGAUUGAUUGAAAUAGUAUAGCAGGGCAUUCUAGCAUGUACCACCAUAAGGUAAUGUAUUAGUAUUAGUAGGUGACAUACUAAUCUACUAAGCUAAUAAAACCCCCAAAAGAUCAUGUCUCGUAAUUACUCGUCUUAUCUGCAAUUCUAUCUUACCAUGUGUUUCUAACCUAGAUGGUCAAUACUAGGAAGGGAGGCGGUAUCAAUCUACCUGCCAACAACCGUCGUAGGAGGAUUAUUAACCAACCACAACCAGAGAUGAAUCCUCCACCGAACCCUCCACUGGAUGGGACAGAUCCAGUUCCCACCGCUCAGAUGCAGUUGCUGCAGCAAAUGGCAAACACCAUGACAGAUAUGCAAGCUCAGAUGCGACAAGAACAUCAGGAGAUGCGCCAGGAGCGACAGGAGAUGCAACAGGAGAUGAGACAAGAACAACAUCAACAACCACCACUGGCACCACCACCACCAGCAGCUCCACCACGGGACAAGCACCGGGAAUUCAUGAGUCACAAGCCACCUACAUUCUCCAGCUCUCCAAAUCCUCGUCAGGCAGAUUACUGGCUGAAGACAGUGGAUAAAAUGCUCAACAUUGCUCAAUGUACUGAUCGAGAGAAGGUGCUCUAUGCGUCGGGUCGUCUCACUAGCCCCACUGCCGACUGGUGGGACUCCUACUGUGCUGCCCAUGCUGCUGCUAAUACUAUCACUUGGGCAGAAUUGUCUACACAAUUCAGGAACUAUCAUAUUCCUGCAGGCUUGAUGAAAAUUAAAAAGAAGGAAUUCUUGUCACUUAAGCAAGGCAACAUGACAGUUAGUGUGAUAAAUUCAUUCAACUAUCAAGGUAUGCUCCAUAGGUGGUUGCAGACGACGAAAGGAAGCAGGAGCAGUCCAUGGAGGGACUCAUUGGGCCGCUCUAGAACCAGCUGGUAUCUCACACCUUCCCAUCUUUCCAGAGGCUUCUGGACAAGGCUAUAGCUGUUGAACACAAAUGUGUUAAGCUGGGCGAGAUGAAGAGGAAGGCUAUUACCCAGGGUCAGGGGAGUAGUAGCAUCCGCCCUCGCUAUGCUCCACCCUAGGGUACACCAGCUCGUCCUAGAGGAGGGUAACAGUCCUACUAGCGACCUGCUCAGCAGACACCACAUGCGACACCGCAGACUCCACAUACUCGUUAGGCUGCCCCCACUGGCACCCCGACGAGACCUACAAGCCAGGGCACUGCUACAUGCACCACAUGCUUCAAGUGUGGUGAGGUUGGUCACUAUGCUAAUGUUUGUCCAAAGAGGAACCCCAACACACCGGCUUGUGGUAAUUCUCAGGGCAAGUAGACAUAGACUCUAGGCAGCAACCGUGGUUAUAGCAUCGCCAGGGUUAAUCAGAUCAAUGUUGAAGCUACUAAGGAUGGUCCUAACAUCGUCAUUGGUACGUUCUUCAUUAAUUCCGUGCCAGCUACUAUACUUUUUGAUUCUGGAGCUUCACAUUCAUUCAUAUCUGCUCAUUAUGUUCAUGCAAAUAGUUUACCUUAACUUGCUCUGCGUAGACCUAUGAUAGUCAUUACACCUAAAGGGGCUUAUGAGGCAACAUAUAUGAGUCAUAGAAUAGAAAUAACAAUUCUGGGAAGAAAGUUUUGGGCUAUGCCUAUAGUGCUAGAACAGAGUACAAUAGACUUAAUCCUUGGCAUGAACUGGUUGAAACAGUGGAAUGUAGUAAUACAUUGUGCUAGAGGAACAAUAGAACUUUCUAGUCCCGACGGGGAUAGAUUUGAAGUCACAGCUGCACCACCCACAUCUAACACGCCUGCUGUAUACAUGAUCAAUGGUAAAUUUGUGGGAGAUCACAUCAAAAUUGUUAGAGAGUUCCUAGAUGUCUUUCUAGAGGAGUUACCCGGAAUGCCACCGAUAGGGAAGUUGAGUUUGUUAUUGAUCUCUUACUUGGAACCACUCCUAUUUCUAAAAGGCCAUAGAGGAUGUCAGUGGAAGAAUUAAAAGAACUUAAGAAACAACUAACAGAGUUACAGGAGGCGGGGUACAUUCAUCCGAGUUCCUCACCUUGGGGAGCACUGGUUCUGUGUGUCGAUUACAGAUCACUUAAUGAUGUCACAAUUAAAAAUAAGUAUCCCUUACCUCGUAUUGAAGAUUUGUUUGAUCAGAUGAGAGGUGCCAGGGUAUUCUCUAAAAUUUAUCUCAGAUCAGAAUAUCAUCAAAUGAAGAUUAGGCCAUCUGGUAUUCCCAAGACGACUUUCUCUACCCGAUAUGGUCUAUAUGAGUUCACGAUCAUGUCACUUGGCUUAGCUAAUGCACCAGCCUACUUCAUGAAUCUGAUGAACAAGGUGUUCAUGGAGUAUCUUGAUAGGUUCGUCGUGGUAUUCAUCGACGACAUUCUGAUUUAUUCCAAGAAUGAUAGUGAUCAUGAGGAACAUCUGCGAUUGGUAUUACAAAAGCUGAGGGAUAAUCAACUCUAUGCCAAGUUUAGCAAGUGUGAGUUCUGGCUUGAUGAAGUACCAUUCCUUGGGCAUAUCAUCUCCAAUGGUGGAAUCUCAAUGGAUUCGGUUAAAGUAAGGGAGAUAGUAGGUUGGAAGAUACCAAGUUCAGCCACGGAGGUCCGGAGUUUCCUGGGACUCGUAGGUUAUUACUAGCGUUUUAUUGAAGGAUUCUCCAAGAUAGCGAAGCCUAUGACCUCACUAUUGGAGAAGGGGAAAGAGUUUAAGUGGACUCAUGAAUGCCAAGAGAGUUUCAAUCAACUGAGGUUUAAAUUGAUGUCACCCCCAGUGUCUCUGCCAACUCCUCAACAAAACCCUUUGAGGCCCUCGAAACCCCAAAUGUCUUCAUCGUACCUUUCACCUCAACAACUUUUCUCUUCUUCGUUGUCGUAACCACAACUUUCCCCUUCGAGCAGCCUUCAUCUACUCGGGUCACUGCCUUUUUCUUUCCUCAUUCAUCCCUGGCUUCAACAGAGCCCUCCUUCGGAUAUGGGGCAUAGCGAAGGCCAUUCAACUCAAACAGACAAUUCACCCUGACGGGUGGUUUGCUUCACACGGGAUAGUUCACCAGUAGCGAGAAAGUAGAAAGCGUGCAACAUGUUGCUUAGACGGAGAAGCCAAAGUUUCUGUAAGCAAGCAGGUAAAAGUCUUUCCGUCGUGGCCGUGAAUGGCUUUUAUAUACUCAAAAAAGCGUCUUGAGAAACCAACAGUCCCACAGUAAAACGUCAUCUUUCAACGGUCACAUUUCAAACCCCCACAGGGACCACUUCAAUCUGACGAGGGCAACAUUUUUGGCCAUCUCCUAGAAAAGACUUCGGGACCAGCUCACCAAGUUGAACCGACCCCUCGGGGGGCUAGUGUUGGAGCGAAGGCCGUCCGCCCCCUUGAUCAGUUUCUUUAACAUAAAUUGGACAAGUUCUAUCACAAACACAGGAGGCGAAGGGUGCUUUGACCGCUACCAAAGUCGAGGCCUCUGUCCAAGAACCGUCGAAGGCUUUGAAGCGAAGGGACCUACCACUUAAAGCGGGGGAUCCUCAUAACUUCGCUCGGUGACGCCGCCAGCUAGGACGUUUCCGAGCACAGCCUUGGCGAGGAUCGAAGACCCGCCCAGAGCGAAGAGGCCACGCAUUGGCGAGGACCGCACUGUCCGAUGGCAGAGCCCACGCUAUGUCCUGCUGACCAUUCAAGCCCACUUUUAAGCCCCUCUCUGGGGUAGGGUUUUCUGUGUAUUUAAUCGAGUUGUAUUUAACAUCAGCGUAAUGACCUGUACUGAACCCGUGGGGGGGGGAAUAUUCUGGGGUUGUAGCAGGUAACCGGGGGCAUAAUUGUCCUCAGAAGGGCAUGUCACCCGCCCGGUUACCUAUAAAUACACCCACAUUGUACAUUGGUGGGGCAUGCUUAACAAGACACUAUAGUUCUCUGCCUACUGUUUUGUUGAGCACCUGAAUUCUCCCACAUCCUAGUGCUUGGGCCCACUUGACCACGUGUCAGUCGGUUCCAACAUAAAGCAAGUAGACCAUCUUGACAAGGUCAACUAUGGAAGUCGAGCUCGCUGCACUUGACACAACAACCGUUGAGGCAGAAUAGUUGCGCGAACUCUUGAUGGACUUGUUGGUGGUUGAGAAACCAAUACCAGCUAUCCUUAUGAACUAUGACAAUCAGACUGUGAUUGGUAAAGUGACAAGUUCUAAGGAUAAUGGAAGUCAUCAAGAAUGUUAAAAGACGAUUGAAGUCUGUUAGAAAGUUGAGAAAUUCCAGAGUUAUAUGUGUGACUUAUAUUUCAAUAGAUAAAAAUCUCGCAGAUCCUUUUAUAAAGGGACUACCACGUAAUGUGAUAGAAAUCACAUCGAGGGAGAUGUGUAUGAGACCCAUAUAAGUUGCCGUGGUGGAAACCCAGUCUAUGUGAUCGGAGAUCCCGUGAAUUAGGUCUUGGGAAAAACAAGCCAUUAGUGAACUAAGGAGAGUAACUUUUGACCUUCUCUAAGUAAAGAUGCAAUACCCUCAAAUGCUGUAAGGAAGGUUAGCUUUGUGCCUUAACGUGUUUCUAUUGGCUUUUACUAGUAAAGAUGUUGUCCUGCAGAACAUUUUUUGAAAGAACACACCUACAUGAGUUACACUGUUUAACGUCGCAGUCUAUGAGAUCUGGGUGAUCUCUAGUAAACUCAUGAAGAGACCUUGAAGUACAACGUAUAUGCUUCACCCGAGAAGGGGACUACUAGUAGCCAGGUAUUGGUUAUGGUUUUGAGUAAAACACAUUAACACAAAACUUGCAAUUCAAGGUAUAGUCCAUUGUCUAAGUUGUUGGUUGGUGUAGCUUAGAGUUCUAGGCGGAAGUUCAACUUAACAGUAUCUACUGAAACAAUAGUAUAUUAAAUAAUAGUGAAUAGUGGCAAAACUACAGAUGGACAUUUGAGAUAUGGUGGGGGUUGAUGGAUUUAUGGGCUGGGACCAAUUGUGAAAUUCAAUUAAAUCCUAGAAAAAUCUCAAAAGCCCAUGUAUGGGUAUGACUAAGGAAUGGUGGAACAAAUAGUCCCAUACUGCUAGUCCAAGUGGAGUGGAACUAGUUUAAAUAUGGAGGCUACACUCACUCACCAAGUCAUAGAUGAUGGGAGAGAGUGUGGAGAACCACACGUGCGAGCGCUCUCUCAUCUCGCUUGGCUUGGCCUGGGCGGGGUGGGGUGAAGGGCACGGGCGCAUGAUAUUACGUGUGAAUGGUCCGCCAAAAUCUAGCCCAUCACCUUACGGGUGGUGCAACUUCCUUUUGACGUUUUAUUUUAUGGUUGCUUGGCUGUUAAGUCUAGAGCCCUCUUCGACCGCGAUAAGGAUCUAAGUUGUUAUCAGAGCUCGAGUCUACCGUUUUGUAGAUAACGUGCAGAUUGGAUCACAGGUGCUUAUCGGUUUGCGGUCACGACCCUAUAUAAGUCGCCUUACAACGAGCGUCAAAUCCAUCCCAACACAAGUUAGAAUUUUGACUCCGCUCAUAGCUGCGCCGUCAUCGUAGUUCUCUUCAUCCCGACCGCUGAUGUGCAUCUGUGAUUGGGAGUGCAGGUCCCCAGAACCCGUCGCUUUUGAGAUCCUGCACCGGUGAGGGCGAAUAAGGUUUUUGGGAAGCAUCCUCACGUAACUGCUCACGAUCUUGUCAUCGACCCUGCUGCUUCCACUAGCAUCGUUUAUCAGUAUGUCUAAUCGGUACAUAUCAUCUGAUUUGACCUCAUACUUCAGUUUAUAUAUUAUUGUAGAGAUCUGUUGCAUUUAUAUAAUUAUGUUUUAGGUUAUUUGUUAUGAAACAGACACCUAAACUAUUUAUUGUUGAUCAUGAUUUAUAUUCGAAGUUUAAUAUGAAAAUGCCUAAUUUCUCAACAUUAAUGGUCGAUUUUUAAAUGAGGACGAUCGAUAAGGUUUAGAAUUAGCUAGUUUUAAGUACCAAUAGAGUUAACAUGAAUCACAAAGAAGUAAACAACAUCCUGAUUGCCUAAGACUUACUUCGAUUAAUAAGAUCACAGAAUUUAGCCGGGCUGAUGGUUAGAAAUCCGGUUUUUCAUUUCAGUUUAAUUUCUUGUUUGCUUUAUUAAAGCCAGAAAGCUAAGGAAAACGUGCACAUAUUUGUACGUGUUCUCCGCUAGUACCGUUCCUCUUCCUCGUGCAGGGCCAAAUAAAGAGCAGGUAAAUGGAAAACAGGCAGAUAGGAACGUAGAAGAGAACACGAUCCUUUUUUACAGCCUAGAAGAGAAGAAUUGCAUCACUACGACGCUAUUCCAUCCCUCUUGCAUCAAUCGACCCCCCUUCAAUUCGAUCCAUCGAUCUGAUGUUCUGCAGUUUCAAGCUAAGGAGCCUCCUCUUCCUUUGGCGAGCUCUAACGCUGGCGUUGGUCUCCUUUAUCUCCCAAUUCCUCUGGUGAACCAUCGCUGCGACGGCUUGGAUUUGGUUCUGGGUUCGCAGUCUGCCUCUUGUGAUGCAUCACCAUCGCCGGUGGAGGGCCGACGACGAUGGGAUCAAGGGAUUACUAUGAGAUCCUCAACGUCGACCGGAGCGCCAUCGAUGACGACCUCCGCAGGGCCUACCGGCGGCUGGCCAUGCGGUGGCACCCCGAUAAGAACCCCGCCGGCAAGGCAGAGGCCGAGACCCGGUUCAAGGAGAUCACCGAGGCGUACAACGUACGUGCCCCUGCCGCUGCCGCCCUUCGAACAAAAAUUCACCGAUGCGAGUUUGCUUUUUUUUUUAACAUGCAUGGCUGGAUUUGAUGAUCUUAGGUGCUCAGCGACGCAGACAAGAGGGCGGUGUACGACCAGUACGGGGAGGAGGGCCUCCGGGGAGAUGUGCCGCAGCCCGGCGGCGGCGGAGGCACCGACGACAUCUUCGCGGAGUUCUUCGGGAGCACGCCGUUCACGUACUGCAGCACGGCCAGCAGCGGGAGGCAGCCCCCACCGCCCCCGAAGUGGGACAGCGGGUUUGGCAGGGCGUUCCGGCGCGCCCAGGGUGGUGGUGGUGGUGCCGCGUCGUCGAGAAUGGCGCCGCCGCCGCCGCCCGUGGAGAGCAGGCUGGCGUGCACCCUGGAAGAGCUCUGCAUGGGCGGCACCAAGAAGAUGAGGAUCUCCCGGAACUUGGUCGAUGCCAGCGGGUAACCAAACUGAAAAUGCGUAGCACCAAUAGGAGGUAGGCAAAUAUGUACGUGUGUCAUCUUGAGCCAUUGAGCGCAGGAAGACGAAGACAGAGUCCGAGAUUUUGUGGAUCGAGGUGAAGCCCGGUUGGAAGAAGGGCACCAAAAUCACGUUCGCCGGUAAGGGCAACCAGCAGUGGAACCAGCUCCCCGCCGAUCUGGUCUUCGUGGUCGACGAGAAGCCCCACCCCGUGUACCGGCGUGACGGCAACGACCUGUUGGCCGAGGUCCGUGUGACGCUCGCCCAGGCGCUGGGCGGCACGGUCGUCGUCCUCACCGCGCUCGACGGCCGCGAGCUCGCCGUCGACGUGGGCGGCGGCGGCGAGGACGAGGACGAUGAGGACGACGCGCCCGUGGUGUGCCCCGGCUACGAGCUGGUGCUGCCUGGCGAAGGCAUGCCCAUCGCGCGCGAGCCCGGGCGCCGAGGCAACUUAAGGAUCCGGUUCGACGUCGCGUUCCCGGAGCGGCUCACGCGCCGGCAGCGGGCAGAGAUCAAGCGCGCGCUCGAGGACAGUACCGGUGUCUGCUAGCAAGUAGCAAUACAGGUGUGAUGUGUCCGCUGUCCGCUUGGCGAUGACAGUGUGGCGUUGUGCUCCUGCUGCUGCGUGCGCCUCGAACCCUUGAAUAUGGGAAACAGAUUCGUGGCCUCGUGGGUGUUGACGUCCAUUUUAUAAACACUACACUGGAAUGAACUAUUUGGUGGUGCUCUCUACAAGGUGCGGAUGGUUUGUGACCUUGCUGCAGGAGCUGGUCCUCUCUGCGUGUUUUUGGACAGUCCACGUUUAGACUCGAACGGUUCGCGAUGACAUAGAGUUUUCUUUUUCUUAGAAAACUGAAUCUCACCUCGUGGAAGGGAUCCAUUGGGCAGGAGAGAUUCAAGGGUUGCCUUAUGCAUGAUCAGGCUAAUCAAAAUAUCUCUAGACAACGCCAAGCAAGAUAUUUAUUGAUUCUAGGCUAAUCAAGUAAAGAUCCACACAUACGAUGACUCAAUGUAUAGAGAUGAAUGUCAUAAUCUUUAUUACAUAACAAAAAUGUCUUAUAAAAUAACUGAUAACAAAUAAAUUAGACUAAGAUAUUUAUUUCCUCGGCGCCAACAACUGACUAGGUGAAUUCUUUAAUUUUUUUGGAAGCAAGGGAAAAAUAAUGCCUAAAUUCUAAACAAAAGUAGAAGUUCAAAACCUAAUAAAUUGAAUUAUCUCUUCCAUUCUAUGGCCCCGAGAAUGCCAAUAUUAGCACGAAUCGUACGGAAAUGUAACUCGGUAUUCAAACAACUAUUCAGAGUUCCUAGAGCUCCUUGUACAGCUUGUUGGAAAACCCGUUAUCGGACCUGAUUCAUCGCCCUUUGUUUUUCAAAAUAAAGGGUUUCGUUUUUAGACUUUUCUAAUUGUUCCAAACUAAUAGAAGUAGCAUUAAUCAAAUUUUCUUUUUCUCAUUCUAUUUCAGAGUAUCCAUUCAUUCGAUACUCAUCUGCUUCCAGUUCGACUUUCUGUAAUCGAAUAUGAGCUUUUUCGAGUUGUUCAAGGGUCCCUUUACGCAAUUCUUCCGAAUUUCGAAUAGUACUUAAAAUCCUCUGUUUUCGAUUAUCUAAUAAAUCUUUUAAUGAAAGUAGAUUAUCUUGCUAUUAAGUUUACAAUUUUUAUGAUCUCUUCCCAAACCAAACAUGAAUCUUUCGAUUCAUUUGGCUCUCCCGCUCUUUUUUUUCUUUUUUGUUAUGUAUUAUGGCUAUUUCCAUAUUUUUUUUAUGUAAUGAGCCUAUCCUCUAUCCUCUCUUUUCUGUUUGUAUUUCUAUAUAUCCAAACUUAUAUAAGACUAGAUGAAUAUUAAGAGGACUCUUCCAACUAGAUAAAAAUCUAUCAUGGUCAGCAAAGUUGUUUCUUUAUUUGUGUUUGCUCUGUUAGUUAAUAAUUUCAAUUUCAGUAAGAAAAACAAACUAAAUAAAUGGAAAAUAAAAAGUGAUAGAAUUCCUUUUAUUUUUUCUUCAAAUCCAAAAAAUUUCUCUUUUUUUAUACAUAGGUCGUCAAUUUGGCAUUGGAAAAAGGGCUGCGUGCCCUUCUAGUAAAUAGUUCAAACUAUUUUAUCGAUAUGAGUGUUCUAUAUCAGAUAAAUUCUACACUAGCUAUUUCUCGUUUAAAGCAUUUCGAGACUACUACUAAUGUAGUUGUAUACACCUAGUAUCUCAUCAAACUCAUCGUAGUAGUCCUCCUCCGGCGAUACCUGCUCUUCACCUAGGGGGUUAUAGCAAGAGUGAGCUCAUAAAUGUUCAUCGCUCAGCAAAUGUGGGGAAUAAUGUGCAUGAGCUCACUUAAGGUGGGGGCUCAUGUGUAGUGUAAGGCUUAUCAGCAAAUAAUGGUUAAGACUGAGCAUUGCUUUUAAUAAGUUAGUCAAAAAUUUAUUAGCAGUUACUAAGUAUAAGUGUAUACCAACCCAAUUAAAAAAUAUAUCACAAUUAAUAAUAAAUCCCACAGUGCAAUGCAAAUGACAGAUUAAGUUUAAUUCCAUAAGUUACUAAUGUGAGGGUCCGAGCCGCUCAUGACCUUGAGCAUGACUGAUAUACCAAUUUUACACUCUGCAGAGGUUACAUAUCUUUACCCACAAGUCGUGAUACCCAUCUACCACAGGGUCAUGAAUCUCAUACAUCUCUAUCGGGGAGACGAGGCAGUGUAGCACUACGAGGCCUUUCCAAAGUUCCACUAGAGGAGAGAACCCGCUAUGGAUUCUGGGCCAAAGGCGAUAUAUGAAUCCCUCGUCCGAAAAGCUAAAAAGACAGUCCGACCCAAGGACCUCCCUACACCUGCACUCCUCCACCCUGCUUGCCCUUUCGGGAAAGGAUUAACUCACACUAGCUUUCCUAAUUAAUUAGCCAAAGGCGUCCUAUUCCACCCUUGUGGUAGCACAGUUUUCUCGGUUGGUUGCUCCGUGUUACAAUUAACCAAAAUAAUCUUAUCAUGAACAAUAAAUAAUCCAUUGCCAGUAAUAAGCAUGACCAUGAAUAAUAUGUAUCGUAACACCCAAAACCACAUAGAGCAAUAGCAGAUACUACCCAGUAGUUCAGUGGUAAGCAUGGUAUAGAGUAGAUAAGACUAGGGUAACCUAUUAGGUCCCAUCAAGUUAACCUGAUCAUGUCAUCGUGAUUAACAAGAACAUUAUUAGGUAAAGAAGAGUGAUCAAGGGCACAACUAGCUUUCAGCGAGCUCCUGCUCAGAAUCUUCAACCUGUUGUGCUUCGGGUUCCUAAGUUGCUUGCUUGUCUACUCGCAACAAUACAAACAAACAUUGUAUAGGCAAAUAUAACAUCAAACCAAACAUGAUAACAACUACAUAAUAAUGUUCUACGUGUCGCUAUGAGAUCGAAGGUUCAAGAACCACUAAAAUCGGGGUUAUGGUUGAGAAGAUGGGGAUUUCUGAAGUUUUAGGUGAUUAAACUAUAAAACUAUAUUCUAUGUUAAUUAAUAUAAUUCAUGUGAGAAAAAUAUUAUGAAUAAAUAACUAACUCAACUUAAAUCCAAGUUAUAACUUGAUUUGAGGUUAUAUUUUAGUCGGAUUAUAACUAUAGACAAGUUAACUUGGUUUGGUAAAAUUAAUCUACUAAACAUAGGUAAAUAAAAUCUAAUUACAAAAGCAUGUGAUAUAUUACAAAAAAUGUUGUUAUGGCAUAGGCAAUUUUAUUACGAAGCUAACACGACUAGAACAAGUUAAAUCGGAGCUAAAACAGAGAAGUUAUGAGUUAUCUAAGCUUUUUGGAAUUAUUUUUAUACUAAAAAAUAAUUUCUAUAUUUAUUUUAUAGUUUUCUGGAUGGCUUAUGGACGGAGGGCAUAGUUUUCUAGAAGUCUAGGGUCGGUUUUAUAAACGUUUGGACUUAUACGUAAGGAUCUAUAUGCAGGGAUGGACGACAGGUUUAUUUAAAAAAUCUGCAGGGACGCUUAUGCAAAUUGUCUUGGCGAAAGGGUAUGUACACCUGUGAACCGUGGGAUCAUAAUUGUUGAGAAACCCUAAUGAAGGGUUAUGUGGGCAAAUACCGAAUAUAGCCCUGAGGGCUAUCGCGUCUCUAUAUAUAGAACCUGUACCCCGCAUAUGGAAGAGACAACAGAAAGAGGCCAGAGGCCCAACCCUAUAUCCAGUGUCUCGUGUGUUUCCUCUGUCAUGCUUAUGGGAAGGGAGACGAGUACUCUACAACUUCUUGCGCCUCUACUGCUGACGGGAGGGAAGGGAGCGGAUCUGGUGAUCCGUGGUAACGUAGUUCUCAACACGUUAUCAGCACGCUCUACCUCGACGUUGCUGCGAGAUCAGAUCUGCAUCAACUCUCCGUCAAGUCGGCAGGUCCCUGGCCUAGCCGAACUGUCCUACGCGACAGCUUUUGAUUCCUCCACGUAAUCGAGCGGUAUGUCUUCUAAGUAGAAUAGAUUCACUGUUCUUGAUCUGUUCAUCGAAAAAAUGGUGACGCAUGUAGCCGUCGUCGAGGGCCUGCUGCCCUAGUUACAAGUGCUCGCGUCAGUCACGCCUCAGCCCACGCUCGCCCCGGCACGAAGCCAGGCGUGUCCACGCCAUAUACGCGGUGCAGCACAUCGCCGACGGCUCUGCAGGCCAUGCCGCGUACCGCCCUGCUGGCGAGCCCACAGGUCUACUGGUGGACGGAACAGAGUAGCGUUAAUGGUUCCCGGUCAAAGCGGUUGCCGUAGUGAAAUAAAGGAGUGGUAUAUACGUGUAGUAUUUAAAAGAACCCGCUCCCAUUCACAUCGGUCAAAGCAAUUGAGGUUAAAGUGGCCAGCGCUGACGCGUUCCUGCCGUGAAAUAGGGCUGCUCUAGCCUCUGCCCUUGCAUGACCACACCUAGAGGCUGUAGGCCUAGCCUAUAGCCGAGAAAAGGGGCUGUUUGAAUGGGCGCACAAGGCCACGUUAGUGGCUGAAAAAAAUUAAGAAACUCUUUUUAUGUUGUUUUUCCCAUGUAUGAAGAUAUUUAUGCUGAAUCUACACAAGCUUAAAUUUGAAUACAUGUUGCAUGUUAUUUAUUCUAUUCAUUUUAUGUUGUAAAUAAUAAAUAGAAUAAAACAUGUUUUAUGUAUCUUAAUUAAUUAUUUCCUGUUGCAAAUAAUAAGUAGAAAAAUACAUGAUUAAAUAUGGAAAAAUGUCUUUUACACCUGAUGUGUUAUAUUAAUGUAUUAAUUAUGGUGUUUAUUUUUCUGCUUUUAUAUUUCUCAUAACAGAUAUUUAGCAGAAAAAUAUUAAAAUGCAUGUAAAGUUUAUAAUGCACAUACUUAAAUCGCUAGACAUAUUUGUGUCGCGUUGAGCUUUCAGACUCACACCGAGCGAUUAAAUUGUAUAGUGGGUACCCGAACAUGCCGAUCAGGCUGUGUUGUUAAUCGGUUGAGUUAUGGCAUUAGCUGAGCAUUGGCUGCGCCGUGGCAAUACGACGCAUUAUUUGUGUCAUUAGAACUUGGUUGCGUCAUGUGAUUGCUAUGUUGUACUCUCGCUUAAUUCGACCACUCCUGUUGAGUUGGACCGGCAUCGCCGAGUCAUGUAUUUUUUCGCAUGCCUGUAAGCACUGUUCGUCUGUCGUUAUCACCGAGCCACAAUUGCGUCUGUUGCGCACGUUGUGUGGACUUGUCGCGUACCCCAAUUACCGAGCCACAACUGCGCCUGUUACGCUUGUUGUGGAGGCUUGUUGCGUUGUCGUAGCCCAGAUGGCCACACACGCGUUGACGCCAGAUACGAUAGAGCUUUUACUCGCGUGGAUUGUGGUGGGUCGUUCAAGCCCUAAAGUCACAUUAUGCGCAACCUUCGUAAACAAUUUUGUUUAGCUCUAUAUUUUAUUUGCUUGUGUUGUGUGGCAUCAUAUAUUUAUUUAUAUUGCCAAGUGGCCAUAACAACUACAUCAAGCUCUAUAGUGCUUGAAUAAUCUGGGAAAUUAAAUUGAAAUACAACAGAACAUGGAUAAGUUAAUUCUCUCCUCUCUCCUCAUGCAUAAAGUUUUACCCGAAGUAACCCGAAGAUAUAUAAUAUAAUGCAUGAAAGCCUUUUUGGCAUAGAAGAUAUCACAAAUUGGGAUUAUAUUAGUAAGCAAAAAGACCUUACCAAAUGAUUUAAGAUCAGAAAUCUCAGUCAUACAUUGCUCAACCAGAUGUUAGCACAUUGCUCUCUUUGUCGCUGGAUGACAUGAAGCAAACUAUGAGAUAAAAGGACAUGUAACCGCUAGCAACAAGAAGUUGCGAGUAUACCGAGAGGUUAUUUUGAGAAAUUUUUCACUAUGUUGGUGUGAAAACCAUAGUGUGUUCCCGUCGAACCACUUUACUCGUUCUAUCUAGGACCUCUAUGCUUGUGUCGCAUACAUCUCUCGGAAUUGUAAAUACUUAUAGUCACUGAAUUGACUGGGGAUAGUCCUUUGACAAGUUUGUUAUACACUGUAAGCUGAAUGGUAAAGGUCGGUCCUGAAUGUACACAUACCUAGGGUUUAUGUAGCCGAAUUACACUGAAUUCCACCCUUUGGCAUGCUUACCAUUAUCUACCUCCGAUCUACCAGAAGUGAGAAGAGUAGACAAAUAACUAUAAAAUUCCACAUCACAACAGAGCUUGAAGCUAAAUUAGACAUUAACAUGUCCUUGGUCCUCGGAGCCAGAAGAGUCAUAUGUCUUGACCAGUAGACUACUAGUGAUGAUAAUUUGUGAUAGAAAUAUAAAGAUCUUGUGGAGACCUGUUGUAUCCUCUCUACUCCAGACGUUUUCUUCGUAUGAGAGCAAUACUAUCUAUUGUUGAAGACGGAUCCUAGGCGGAUACCAGUCUUGUUUCGUUCUUGCCAAGCAGUUAUCAUCAUUUGUUUCAUGAAAAGCUAGUUAUAUGGUGAUUUUUCCCAGAUAAAAAUGAAUUCUUGGCCUUGUCUGUUCUAUUCCAAAGCUUCUCUUUUUGCCGAACAACGAAGAGAUCGAAAUAAUGCUUUAUAGAACAAAUUGGUAUAUAAUAUGAGGAGAAAUGUUUGCCCUGCUGACAGCAUCACAAAUUAUUAACUAUUGUUAUAAAUUCUCUCUCAAAAUUAUUAUACCUAAAAAUGUUGCAUUAACCGAUACCCAAUUUCAGAACGGUAUGAGUAAUUGGGUAAACCAUGGGCAAUAAUAAAAUGAGUUGGACUAUACAUCUCUGCAUAUAAAAAUCUCUGCUUGGCAGCAUUGGCCUGAUGCCGUGCACUUUACCACCAUUAUAUACGCACAUAUUCUCCUAUGUGCUUGAAAGCACAAUGUAACCAAUGAAUGUCCUUGUGAGCGCUAGACCCUGAUGGUCAUUUUAUUUGUUGAUUUGAAGUCAACUACUAGCUCCAAACGAUGAAUGGUAUGCAUGAGCCCCUGAAGGACUCUUCUCGAUAACAUAGUGUUGCAUAUAUCAGUCUAAAUCUUAAUGAUUGACUUGUAUUUGGUAAUAAAAACAAUAAGUUUGCAGAAUUGUAACCAUGAAGCAACUUGUUGUUGCGUGUCUUGCUGGAAGUUGAGACUAAUCCUUCACGAUGAAGGACAAAUAUGUAGUAUUCAUGCCACUACAUUAAUCUAAGUCCAAAGCUCACUGCAUAAAACCCCUAUCUGUAAUGUGCGUAAGAUUUCCCAAAUAAAUCACCACAAUAGCAUACAUUAGCCACAACUGGAUGAUUGUGGUUGGGGAUUUUAUCUAUAUGUUUUUUAGAACAUCUCGGCAUUAGGGGGAGGAAUGCCCAUAUAGUAUAAUGCCUCAAUAUUCUAUUAAACGCACAAAAGCCAAACUGAAUCUAUCGUUCAGUGUGUACUCCUGUGUAUAUGGAGUUUGCCAGAAAUUGUUGAGGAGUAACCAUAUUGGUCUGAAUGCUUCUACCUGAUGUAGAUGUGGAUAUACCCGGGAUUAAUAUAAUAUCCACAUUUGACUUAUUGGCAUUUGAUCUAUUCUCGGGGACGCCUGCGAAUAUGAUCCGUUGGUCUUAGUCAAAGCAUAUAUUCUAAUUGCAGAUUCACGUGGUCUGUAAUAACUCUCCUCCAAUGGACUCGCCCUGCUGGUGAUUUGCCUCACGAAGAGGUUCAUCUUGAUGAUGAAAUUCCUAGCAAUGCGCGCAAUAUCAUUGUGCUGGGAAUACGGAACAAUGAAUCUUUCGUUUUGGGAAAUGACGAAGAUCAUUAUUAAAUGUGGGAGACAAAUGUGUCGACACCUAUAUUGCCUCUAUAGAUUGCAAAGGGAUCCAAAACAAAGUCCUAGGCAUGAGUGCUUGAAGCUCUCUUAUCGGGUCAUUGAUAAAUGCAAUCGAGGCUGAACCAAUAAUCGCAAAAUGAAAGUCACGAGCUUGAAGUUCGGACAUUUAUGGGCACUAUUGAAAUAAUGUGUGGUGAAUGCGAUGGUUCAAGUGGUCUUGUGAGAGACCCAUCCCACAUAUGUGUUGAAUAAACACUGUUCCGCUAUGUAAUAUAUCUGGCAAAUGGCAUGAAUUAAAAUAUGCAGUUAAUAGGAUUCUGAAGAUCCAUCAUGAGAUCCUAGGAGGACCCAUAUCUUUGAAUUAUAAAUAUGCAACAUAUAAAUCUCGUACCGAAUAAUACAUUCCUAGCGAAUGAACACUCUCUUAUGUAGAGAGAAUAUGUCCUAGAUGAGAUUAUAGUUCCUUAAUGGAACCUUUCAAGAAGAAAUAAAGUCUAUGUUAAACACCAAAGUUUGAUAAUCCCUAUAAAGGGAUAAAGACCCAUACAGACCCGAAAAGGAAUGAGACGAGGUACCAACGGACUUGAAGUUCACUGAAUAAGCACAUGUGCAUUCCACGAGUUUUACUCAUGGUAUUUUCCACUUGAUGUGGAAUUACGGUAUCCUCUAAAGCCAUGAUGGCAGAAACCUAUAAGGUUUAGGUGUUACUGGCAAAAUAUCCCCAUUGUGCCAGAAUGACAGACUAUAACGAUGUAUCUGAUCGAUAAAAAAAAAUCCCUGAUGGAUUACGAUCUUUGAUGGACUUUUGUUACACCAUCAUAGAUGUUGCAAUGGAUGAACGCUUGGAGCGAUGUGUCAUAUUUAGAAUAUGUACUAUUGCAACUAUAUUAUCCCCUAAGUCCUAUUGAAGGACAUGCUAUUUGCUUUGCACAACUAUGUAUAAAUUGUGGUGUAAGAUAGAAAAUGAUAGCACCCAACCUCAUCCAUUCUCAUUAUUCCAGAUGAACAAUGAGACAUAUAUCUUGAAGAAUAUGCUUGAGUUAUGAGGGAUAACGACUUUGACAGAUGUCAUCGUCAGGGGGAGCGAAUGCUUAUAUUGAUCACAAUCGUGAGAUAAUAAAUGUCAUAUUCUAUGCCCUGAAGGCGUGAGCUUGAUGAUCAAUAUGUGAACCUUUAUGGAACUUUCUAUCAAAUAUAUAUAUCCCGUCGAUUGAACAUCAUCAGUCAAAGUGGCUUAUUUAUAUUGAUACGUGCACUUACCUCGUAUAUCCUAGAAGUGAGUAGAGGUAAAGUUCCUCAAAUAGUCCUUGCAAGGAUAUGCAAUCUGUUUGCUAAAUCUUUAUGUGCAUAUACUUCCAGAAAAAGAUGUUUUGUCUUAUUGAUACGUUUUUGCAAGGAUCAGGGGGAGCACAUUUCUAAAGUUAGCCCUUAAAGAUUCGAUAGAAUCUAGAUCCGAGAGGAUGGAAAUCUGUCCCGAUGACAGCUGUUGUACUCUUUUUCCCUUGGUGAGUUUUCAUGAAGUUUCUCACAUGAGGUUUUUAACGAGGCAACAAAGUGCAAAUGUAAUUUGUAACACCAUGCACUCUUUCUCCACAUUUUCCCACUGGGUUUUUCGGAGUUUUAACGAGGCAUGUGUUGGUCGCGGUAUUCGCCCAAGGGGGAGUGUUGAGAAACCCUAAUGAAGGGUUAUGUGGGCAAAUACCGAAUAUAGCCCUGAGGGCUAUCGCGUCUCUAUAUAUAGAGCCUGUACCCCGCAUAUGGAAGAGACAACAGAAAGAGGCCAGAGGCCCAACCCUAUAUCCAGUGUCUCGUGUGUUUCCUCUGUCAUGCUUAUGGGAAGGGAGACGAGUACUCUACAACUUCUUGCGCCUCUACUGCUGACGGGAGGGAAGGGAGCGGAUCUGGUGAUCCGUGGUAACGUAGUUCUCAACAAUAAUCUAGUCUAGCAACCUAAAUUAAAGGCCGAACCAGUAUACACACGCGACCAUAGGAUUAUACAUCAACGGUCCAUGUUUUAAGAUAUCGUGAUUGGAUCACCACCGCACAUCAGUCAACCCACGAUCGAGGAUGCUACCCGAAUCAGUACGCGCUCCGAACUAAUCUCAACCAUCAGUAAUAGGAUCGAUGACCCAGACACCUUCUUCUACACUGGAUGGGCACCCGGUGGUGCCGCAUCAUGCCCACGGCGGAGGGCUUGCCGGAAUCGUGUGACCAGAUGCCCCUAAGCCCCAAAAGGCAAACCGAACUAAGUACACGUCCUAAGUACUGAGGCGAAUUGUUUGAGGGUAUUCUCACCAGUGGUGAAUAUGUAGCGGAGUCUGGCAACAGCGUGGCGUGGCCGGCGGUACUCCCUGGAUUUCGGUGAACAAUUCGUCCGUCACCAGCCGUUGAAUCCCGCCCCCAAAGUUGAAAGCACAAGUGUCGAGCACCAUGGACCGCUCCUGAUCCCAAAGCGAGGCAUGUAUCGUGGUCAAGCCCGGUUCGGCUGGCAACGACGACGAGCUCUUCCCGCUUUGUCAUUGUGUUGGUGGUGGUGCUUGGCUGUUUGCGAUGUCAUUGACCUUUUGGGACAGGGGCGCGUAGGCCUGGGAAUGGGCCAUAGAAACUCAUGGGUAUAAAGGGCCUCUAAAUUCAUGGGCUAAUAAUUUUUGAUCUUUUUUGGUUCACUGUUGAUUAGGAUAGGGUUGGAUCAAGCCAUUUUAUUAAAGGGCCAGCACGGAACAAUCAUCAAACCUGGCCCAAUCGUGUGCGUGGACCAUGUGAAGGGCACAGCCCAUGGAUCAUGUGAGAAGGCACAACCCGUGGUUCCUGUAGGCUGUAGUGUCUUCCUCCACGGUUUGGUCGUCCGAAGAGCGGCGGUGAGCGCUGAGGGGCCCCCGCCGGCGCCUGCAGCACGCCCUGUCGCUUCAGCCUGCAAGCGACGCACGCCACUGACACCUCCACUGCGGCGAUCGGAGCCGCGCGCUAGAUCCAACACUCUCACCGGAAUCGUGGCGGAUUCCGGCGCCGGCGGCCCCGCUCCAGAUCUGCCGCCUUCGGGUGGCGUUGGCCUGCCGCCUGCCUGCCUGGGUGGAGUGCUUCGCAGACUCGCAGUGGCUGGCGGCCUUUCGUUGUCUCCAGGUUACCGCCUCCACUGCAUUUGGUUCAGAGGCUACCUUUCUGUUGCCUUGCCAGUAACAAGUCUAGCAUUGCCCGACACUGUGAUGCACUGAUGCCUUGUCGAGCGAGGAUAGCGAGCAAGGAUGUGUGCCUGCUAUUUGCUUAACCUUGCACAACCUUUGUUAUCAUGUGUAGGAGUAUAAUUAUAAUCAGCUUCUUAUAUUAUGUUUAAAUUAUAACUCAGGCAUCACUGCAUGUGCAGAUGUUGUAGGUCCAGCGAUUCACAGUUGCGAUCAAAGCCAAACCAUACAGUAGCAGUGUAGAUUGAUCUGCUCUGUGCCCUGUCAUUUCUUGCAGUUGCAGUAGCAAUUUAUAUCUUCAAAUAAAAUGCAUAUUCUACAACCAAUCCAGUUAUAUUCGCUUUGAACCUUUUAUUUAAAUUUAAGAAAAAAAAUCAAUUAUUUGAUCUCUUGGAAAGAAAAGUAAGAAUUGUACGUAUGUUAAAUGAACGUAGCACCUUGGCUGGGUCCGCGCAGGGGCUGGACGACAGUAAUAAGUCAUAUGGUGAUUUAAAUUGUUAAGUACGCUAGGAAUAAGUCAUAAAUUGGUUGUGAUUUUUUAGGCCAUAUUCCUAGGCGUGUGCCUCACUUAUAACUUGUGUAACGAUUUUCAUUUGGUGAUCUUGCAGUCUAGCCAUGGAGAGGGUUUCAUCAGCUCCAGAAAUGGAUGAUGUUAUCUCAACUGAUCAGUCAAGCAGAUCAACAAAAAGAAGGGCUAAAGUUUGGGAUUAUGUUGAUUCAGAGCUAGUAGAUGGGAAAGAGAAGGCGAUCUGCAAAUACUGUAAGGCCCACUUAUCUUCUGUUGCGGGUAAAGGUACAACUCAUCUGAAUAGGCACAUUUCUACGUAUUGCCAUGCAAUUUCACAAGAAGAGAGACAAAGGUUCUUAGCGACCCAAAAAACAAAACCUGAUGAGGCUCAUGUUUUCGACCCUGUAGUCUUUCGAGGUCUAAUAGCCAAGUACUUCCUUAGCGCAGAGAUUUCAUUUCGAAAGUGUGAAGAUCCAUCCUGGAAAGAAAUGAUAAAUUACUGCCAACCAUCUUUUCGAUUAGUCGGUCGACAGACUGUCCGUUCAGAUUGCAUUUUGUUGUAUGAAGAGGAGAAGUUGCAAUUGAUGGACCAGUUUACGAAGUUGAAAUCCCAUGUUAGUUUGACUGCCGAUCUUUGGUCCUCUAACCAAAACCUUGGCUAUCUUGGUGUAACAGCACAUUUCAUUAGUGAAGACUUUGAUUUGCACAAAAAGAUCAUUGCAUUCAAGAAAAUUUCCUUACCUCAUACAUCUUAUGUUGUGCAAGAUGGUAUUACCUCUUGUUUGCUAGAGUGGGGAUUGGUUGGGGAUUUGUUUACUCUAACAUUGGAUAAUGCUAGUGUAAACAAUAGAGCAAUGAAAGAUAUGCGAGAUGCAUUGGGUAGUCAGAUGUUUUUUAGUGGUGAACACCUCCAUGUGAGAUGUUCUUCUCAUGUGCUCAAUAUCAUGGUUCAAGCUGGACUGAAAGUCGUUCCAAAUGCAAUCGGGAGCGUGAGGGAUAUUAUCAAGGUCGUGACAUCUACACCAUCUCGUUUGCAAAUCUUCAAUUCUAUUGUUCAAGCAUUGGGUCUUAAAAGUAAAUCAGGGCUGAUUCUUGAUGUUCCACAUCGUUGGAAUGCAACGUAUGAUAUGUUAAAUGAAGCACUAAAAUAUAAGGCUGCUCUUAAUAGGUAUGCAACAGAGCAACAUCAUGAAUGUCCCACUGAAGAAGAUUGGUCAAAGGCAGAAGCUCUUCAUGGUUUUCUACAAGAGUUUAGUGAUGCAACCAAAGCAUUCUCAGCGGAUAGACAUCCCACAUCUCAUCUUUUUCUCAAGUUGUUGCUCGUUAUCCGAGGUGUGCUGCUUGAUGUGACUUGGAACUCAAAUGAACUCAUUAAUGAGAUGGCAAAUGUUAUGUAUGCUAAGUUCCAAAAAUAUUGGGAAAAUCCUAAUAUUGUGUUGCUCAUAGCUGCUGUUCUAGAUCCAUCAAUGAAGACCGAAUUUGUCAAGUUCUAUUUCUACACAAUUGGUGAUAAUGUUGAUGUGAAGAUGAGGGAGCUAAAAAGGUACUUGAAGAAAUAUUACCUAGAGUAUGAGAAAAUCAUAAGGAGUCCUAGUUUGCCUGUCUUUAUUCCUCAUGAGGAUCAGAUGAGAAGUGAGACUUUUACUUCUUCACCUCUCUGUGGUAAAAGAAGGGUGGAACAUGCAUUUGCUCAAUUUGCAUCUCAAAAUAUGGAUGCCCGUCCAGAGCGAACAGAAAUGGAUACUUACUUGGAGGACCCUAGGAUCCUUGUCAAGCCGGAUGAAAACUUCAAUGUUUUAGGAUGGUGGAAGAAAAACAUAGAUGCCUAUCCAAUAUUGUCUUUGAUGGCUAGAGAUUUUUUGGCUAUUCCUGUGAGUACGGUAUCCUCAGAAUCUGCCUUUAGUGCAGCUGGUAGAAUUCUUGGAAAAAAUAGGACAUCACUAUCUCCUGAAACACUUGAAGCUUUAGUCUGUGCCAAAGACUGGUUGAUUGGAUUCAAUGAUGAAGAAGAAGGUAAAUUAUCAUAUAAAAGUAUACUUUGCUUCUAUCUUAUCUUUACAUCGGCAACAAUGAACUACAUGACAAUGACUUGAAUUAUCUACAUUAAUUCAUGUAGGUGAACCAAUGACAGGAAAGCGAAUGUUUGAUUCAGAUGAUGAAGAAGAUGAUUGGGAAAUUUGAUGUAGGUAAAACAAUAAUUUUUCAUUUUCUUAAUCACUAAAGUUUCAUCUCUUUAGAAACAUUUUCACUGUUGGAGCAGCAAGACUGCAACAAUGCAGUAAUUCAGAUUUUAUAAAUAAUUGGAUUAGUAAUUGCAGGUAGCUCACCACCAUUUCUUUAAUACAAACUCAAUUUCAUGAUUCACCAUUUUCAGAUUUAGGUCCAAUGAGCAGAUGUUUAGUAGAAUAGCCUGUUGUUGAGUGUAGCAAGAUCGAUGAUUCAGUGAUAACAAAGUGACUUACCUUCUCCUUCAUCUAUGCACAUUCAAGGUAACUACUGAACCGUUGUUUGGGAACUACGUACUGAACCAUUGCCUGCUAUCCAGCUGAACCGUUGCCUGCUAUCCAGCUGAACCGUUCGGCCACCAUCCAUGAGAAGAUGAUGGAAAUGUGGAAAAGCAAUUUCAUUGUGAACUGUUGCCUGCUAUCUAGCUAAGAUGUUUGCUGUCAGUUCCGGGACUGAUAUAUAUAUGCUUAUGAUGUGUAUUUUGAGACAGAUGGAUGUAAAUAGUUUUUUGGUAGACUUGCGUUCUGCAAUGGGUGGCCAUGUAUGUGUGAGCCCAUGAAUUAUACUAAUUCAAUAAGCUAGUGGUGGUGCUUGCAUGUUUGUGGGGGCCCUUGGAUUGCUAAUGUAACAUUGCCAUGGAUUUUUAAAGGAUCGGGGCAGGGUUUGUGGAGUCCAGGUAAGCCUGGGAAUGGGUCAUAAUCCGAUCCUAACCCCACUUCAAUCCUAGAAUACUAAGAGUAGAUCCAGCCCUAUUUGAAUCCAAACUAAUUUGGUGCAGCUCAAUCCAAAACUGAUUUUAAAGCCUUUGCCACCCAACCCUGCCCCGAUCCUUUAAAAAUCCAUGGCAAUGUUACAUUAGCAAUCCAAGGGCCCCCACAAACAUGCAAGCACCACCACUAGCUUAUUGAAUUAGUAUAAUCCAUGGGCUCACACAUACAUGGCCACCCAUUGCAGAACGCAAGUCUACCAAAAAACUAUUUACAUCCAUCUGUCUCAAAAUACACAUCAUAAGCAUAUAUAUAUCAGUCCCGGAACUGACAGCAAACAUCUUAGCUGGAUAGCAGGCAACGGUUCACAAUGAAAUUGCUUUUCCACAUUUCCAUCACCUUCUCAUGGACGGUGGUCGAACGGUUCAGCUGGAUAGCAGGCAACGGUUCAGCUGGAUAGCAGGCAAUGGUUCAGUACGUAGUUCCCAAACAACGGUUCAGUAGUUACCUUGAAUGUGCAUAGAUGAAGGAGAAGGUAAGUCACUUUGUUAUCACUGAAUCAUCGAUCUUGCUACACUCAACAACAGGCUAUUCUACUAAACAUCUGCUCAUUGGACCUAAAUCUGAAAAUGGUGAAUCAUGAAAUUGAGUUUGUAUUAAAGAAAUGGUGGUGAGCUACCUGCAAUUACUAAUCCAAUUAUUUAUAAAAUCUGAAUUACUGCAUUGUUGCAGUCUUGCUGCUCCAACAGUGAAAAUGUUUCUAAAGAGAUGAAACUUUAGUGAUUAAGAAAAUGAAAAAUUAUUGUUUUACCUACAUCAAAUUUCCCAAUCAUCUUCUUCAUCAUCUGAAUCAAACAUUCGCUUUCCUGUCAUUGGUUCACCUACAUGAAUUAAUGUAGAUAAUUCAAGUCAUUGUCAUGUAGUUCAUUGUUGCCGAUGUAAAGAUAAGAUAGAAGCAAAGUAUACUUUUAUAUGAUAAUUUACCUUCUUCUUCAUCAUUGAAUCCAAUCAACCAGUCUUUGGCACAGACUAAAGCUUCAAGUGUUUCAGGAGAUAGUGAUGUCCUAUUUUUUCCAAGAAUUCUACCAGCUGCACUAAAGGCAGAUUCUGAGGAUACCGUACUCACAGGAAUAGCCAAAAAAUCUCUAGCCAUCAAAGACAAUAUUGGAUAGGCAUCUAUGUUUUUCUUCCACCAUCCUAAAACAUUGAAGUUUUCAUCCGGCUUGACAAGGAUCCUAGGGUCCUCCAAGUAAGUAUCCAUUUCUGUUCGCUCUGGACGGGCAUCCAUAUUUUGAGAUGCAAAUUGAGCAAAUGCAUGUUCCACUCUUCUUUUACCACAGAGAGGUGAAGAAGUAAAAGUCUCACUUCUCAUCUGAUCCUCAUGAGGAAUAAAGACAUGCAAACUAGGACUCCUUAUGAUUUUCUCAUACUCUAGGUAAUAUUUCUUCAAGUACCUUUUUAGCUCCCUCAUCUUCACAUCAACAUUAUCACCAAUUGUGUAGAAAUAGAACUUGACAAAUUCGGUCUUCAUUGAUGGAUCUAGAACAGCAGCUAUGAGCAACACAAUAUUAGGAUUUUCCCAAUAUUUUUGGAACUUAGCAUACAUAACAUUUGCCAUCUCAUUAAUGAGUUCAUUUGAGUUCCAAGUCACAUCAAGCAGCACACCUCGGAUAACGAGCAACAACUUGAGAAAAAGAUGAGAUGUGGGAUGUCUAUCCGCUGAGAAUGCUUUGGUUGCAUCACUAAACUCUUGUAGAAAACCAUGAAGAGCUUCUGCCUUUGACCAAUCUUCUUCAGUGGGACAUUCAUGAUGUUGCUCUGUUGCAUACCUAUUAAGAGCAGCCUUAUAUUUUAGUGCUUCAUUUAACAUAUCAUAGGUUGCAUUCCAACGAUGUGGAACAUCAAGAAUCAGCCCUGAUUUACUUUUAAGACCCAAUGCUUGAACAAUAGAAUUGAAGAUUUGCAAACGAGAUGGUGUAGAUGUCACGACCUUGAUAAUAUCCCUCACGCUCCCGAUUGCAUUUGGAACGACUUUCAGUCCAGCUUGAACCAUGAUAUUGAGCACAUGAGAAGAACAUCUCACAUGGAGGUGUUCACCACUAAAAAACAUCUGACUACCCAAUGCAUCUCGCAUAUCUUUCAUUGCUCUAUUGUUUACACUAGCAUUAUCCAAUGUUAGAGUAAACAAAUCCCCAACCAAUCCCCACUCUAGCAAACAAGAGGUAAUACCAUCUUGCACAACAUAAGAUGUAUGAGGGAAGGAAAUUUUCUUGAAUGCAAUGAUCUUUUUGUGCAAAUCAAAGUCUUCACUAAUGAAAUGUGUUGUUACACCAAGAUAGCCAAGGUUUUGGUUAGAGGACCAAAGAUCGGCAGUCAAACUAACAUGGGAUUUCAACUUCGUAAACUGGUCCAUCAAUUGCAACUUCUCCUCUUCAUACAACAAAAUGCAAUCUGAACGGACAGUCUGUCGACCGACUAAUCGAAAAGAUGGUUGGCAGUAAUUUAUCAUUUCUUUCCAGGAUGGAUCUUCACACUUUUGAAAUGAAAUCUCUGCGCUAAGGAAGUACUUGGCUAUUAGACCUCGAAAGACUACAGGGUCGAAAACAUGAGCCUCAUCAGGUUUUGUUUUUUGGGUCGCUAAGAACCUUUGUCUCUCUUCUUGUGAAAUUGCAUGGCAAUACGUAGAAAUGUGCCUAUUCAGAUGAGUUGUACCUUUACCCGCAACAGAAGAUAAGUGGGCCUUACAGUAUUUGCAGAUCGCCUUCUCUUUCCCAUCUACUAGCUCUGAAUCAACAUAAUCCCAAACUUAAGCCCUUCUUUUUGUUGAUCUGCUUGACUGAUCAGUUGAGAUAACAUCAUCCAUUUCUGGAGCUGAUGAAACCCUCUCCAUGGCUAGACUGCAAGAUCACCAAAUGAAAAUCGUUACACAAGUUAUAAGUGAGGCACACGCCUAGGAAUAUGGUCUAAAAAAUCACAACCAAUUUAUGACUUAUUCCUAGCGUACUUAACAAUUUAAAUCACCAUAUGACUUAUUACUGUCGUCCAGCCCCUGCGCGGACCCAGCCAAGGUGCUACGUUCAUUUAACAUACGUACAAUUCUUACUUUUCUUUCCAAGAGAUCAAAUAAUUGAUUUUUUUUUCUUAAAUUUAAAUAAAAGGUUCAAAGCGAAUAUAACUGGAUUGGUUGUAGAAUAUGCAUUUUAUUUGAAGAUAUAAACUGCUACUACAACUGCAAGAAAUGACAGGGCACAGAGCAGAUCAAUCUACACUGCUACUGCAUGGUUUGGCUUUGAUCGCAACUGUGAAUCGCUGGACCUACAACAUCUGCACAUGCAGUGAUGCCUGAGUUAUAAUUUAAACAUAAUAUAAGAAGCUGAUUAUAAUUAUACUCCUACACAUGAUAACAAAGGUUGUGCAAGGUUAAGCAAAUAGCAGGCACACAUCCUUGCUCGCUAUCCUCGCUCGACAAGGCAUCAGUGCAUCACAGUGUCGGGCAAUGCUAGACUUGUUACUGGCAAGGCAACAGAAAGGUAGCCUCUGAACCAAAUGCAGUGGAGGCGGUAACCUGGAGACAACGAAAGGCCGCCAGCCACUACGAGUCUGCGAAGCACUCCACUCAGGCAGGCAGGCGGCAGGCCAACGCCACCCGAAGGCGGCAGAUCUGGAGCGGGGCCGCCGGCGCCGGAAUCCGCCGCGAUUCCGGUGAGAGUGUUGGAUCUAGCGCGCGGCUCCGAUCGCCGCAGGGGAGGUGUCGGUGGCGUGCGUCGCUUGCAGGCUGAAGCGACAGGGCGUGCUGCAGGCGCCGGCGGGGGCCCCUCAGCGCUCACCGCCGCUCUUCGGACGACCAAACCGUGGAGGAAGACACUACAGCCUACAGGAACCACGGGUUGUGCCUUCUCACAUGAUCCAUGGGUUGUGCCCUUCACAUGGUCCACGCACACGAUUGGGCCAGGUUUGAUGAUCGAUCCGUGCUGGCCCUUUAAUGAAAUGGCUUGAUCCAACCCUAUCCUAAUCAACAGUGAACCAAAAAAGAUCCAAAAUUAUUAGCCCAUGAAUUUGGAGGCCCUUUAUACCCAUGAGUUUUUAUGGCCCAUUCCCAGGCCUAACCUGGAGUAACAACCUUCAUCGAGGAUGGUGGUUUUUGUUACGCGCGAGUGGGGGAUAUGGUUGACGAGGUGGUCCCCACUCGUCGAUGAUUCAUGCGUGCGAACUGAUGGGAUGAGGGCCUAGCGGCUGGGUCCCGUGGAUCAUAGAGACGCCACAAUUACGCGUGAUAUGGAGAAGGGCUGAUGGGCGGGCCCGCGCGCGAUGCAUGUGGAAUCCGGCUGAUAGGUGGGGCCUGCAUGUCAAUGCAUGAUGUCCAACCAGACUGACGGUGUGUGUGUGUGUGUGGGGGGGGGGGGGGGGGGGGGGGUAAGUGGGCUGGGAGAGGAGGGAAUUGGCCCAAAACUGCUUUAUUGUUUUCUUUUUCCUAUUUCCAUUUUGAAUUUCUAUGUCAAAUCCAAUUCACAAUUUCAUAUCUAUUUAAAUUUUCAAAUUUAAGUUCAAAUGCACACAUCAAAAACCCAACAUGAGAUGUAAAUAUAUUUUAUGUUUAUUUACUCAUUUAUUUACUUUUCUCAGUUAUGUAACAAUUGUGUACGUGAAUUUCUGAUCCUAACACAUAAAUGGUUCGCAUUCGGUUUGCCUUCCAAAACCGGGUGUGACAUGGAUAAGGGUGACGAGGUGGUCCCCACUCGUCGAUGAUUAAUGCACGCAAAUUGAUGGGAUGAGGGUCUGGUGGCUAGGUCUCGUGGACCAGAGGGACGCCAGGAUUACGCGUGAUAUGGAGAAGGUCUGACAGGCAGGGCCCACACAUGAUGCAUGUGGCAUCUAGCUGACAAGCGGGGCCCGCCUGUCGGCGCACGAUGUCCAGUCGGGCUUACGAUGUGUGGGGCGGGGGGUAAGUGGGCCGGGAGAGGAGGGAAUUGUCUCAAAACUUCUUUAUUAUUUUGUUUUUCCCUAUCUUCAUUUUGAAUUUCUAUUUCAAAUCCAAUUCACAAUUUUAAAUCUGUUUAAAUUUUCAAAUUUAAGUUCAAAUGCACACAUCAAAAACACAACAUGAGAUGCAAAUAUAUUUUAUGUUUAUUUACUCCAUUAUUUACUUUGCUCAGACAGUAUAGGAAUAAUUCCUGUAAAAUAAUUCACCAUCUUAUUUAUUUAAAAGGAACAUGCCUCAAUAAUAAAACACAUACUAAAAUAAAUUCUAAUAUUAUUUAUCAAAUAAUAAAAGGACUAACUAAAUUCCAUAAUGCCAUAUUUAGGGUUUACAAUGACAUAAUUGUCUUUAAACAUUAUUCCAUCACAGCACAAUAGUUCUCAUGGGUGAUUUCCCAUAGGAAGAUGACCGGCACAUUGCUAGAUCUAGAAUUCAUCAACGUCUUCCUCAAAGCCUUCUUUGUCACAUCCUUUUGAUCAAAAUUUAACAUGGGUGAUCACACUUACAGUGGGAGCUCAGCAAGAGGAGGAAAGAUGCAAAGCUUAGCAAGGAUGGCUGAGAGGUUAUGUAGUCAGAAUUUUAGUUGGUCAAACUUUAUUAGCAACACCUAUUUUGCUAAGGGUGAGCAAUUCCCAAAAUUCAACUAAUAAGUAUCAUUAAUCAUCAUCGCGAAACCACUUAAGCAAAAUGAAUCAUGAUUUAAUCUCCAUCUUCUGGUUCGAUUAUCAUGUGAGGGUCCAGGCUGCUCAUAACCGUGAGCAUGGUUGAUAUAUCAGUUUUUACACUCUGCAUAGGUGGUACAACUUUACCCACAAGCCAUGUAUCCCUUCUAGCCUGGGUUCACGAGUCCCGUAUUCACUUCCAAGGUGAAUGGCUAGGGAUCCUGUCACACCCGGUUUUAGGUCAACACCGAAUGCAUAGCAUAUGUGUGCCAGGAUCCAUUUUCCACACAUAUGUUGACAUCACAAGUGUAAUAUAUUAAAAGAGAAUGCAAUAAAGGUGUAAAAGAGAGUAUAAUAACUUUAUUAUAUCAUCCAGACUUAAGAGUCUUGAACAGUAUAUCAUCAAAGUACAUCAGAAAUAUCAUGGGCAAUCUCCCACAGGAUGAUGACCGGAGCGUUGCUAAACUCAGUACUCGUCAACAUCUUCGUCAACGUCUUCCUCAUCAGCUUCUGAUAAAAAAUUUAGCAACGGGUGAGCUCACUUACGGUGGGGGCUCAGCAAAUGGGAGGAAUUAUGCAAGGUUAACUAGGUAGGCUAAGGUUAAGCGGUAAGCAUUUUAGUUGGUCAAUAAUUUAUUAACAACACCCAACUUACUAAUUGUAAGUGUAUCCCAAAAUCCCAAUUAAUCAUGAGCAUAUAAUCCCAAAAGCACUUAAGUGAAUCCACUUAAGCAAACCAUUUUGAAACCAAGGGAUCACGAUUUAUUCUCCAUCUUUAAGUUAAUUUAUCAUGUGAUGGUCCAGGCUCCUCUUAAUCGUGAGCACGACUGACAUAUGAGUUUUACACUCUCCAGAGGUAGUACAACUUUACCCACAAGCCAUGUAUCCCCUCUAGCCUGGGUUGUACAGACCCUCAAACACUGCCAAGGCGAAUGGCUAGGGAUUCACUAUGAGGCUUUCACAAAAUAUCCUUAGUACAAAGUCACCCGCUAAGGUUUCCACACCAGUAUUGGUGACCCUCUGGGCGAGGUACCUUAGCCAAGACUACCACCCCAUGUUAACUUGAGCUGCCACCAAACCAUUGUUGCCCCCUCUUGCCCAUCUUUCAGGUAGGGUUGCUAAGCACUAAGUCUAUAAAGCUAUUUACCAAAGCUAGAGCCAUGAUAGCACUCGUGGUUGCGCUAUUUUCCUUGGUGGUCACUCCAUGUUCCAUUUCAUAUAAAAUGAUCUUGUUUAAUCAUUAGAUUAACAUCAAUAGUAUAAAUUUCAUCUCCGGAACAAUAAUAUCUUUAAAAGAAUGGCAUCAUAAUGAUAAAGUUGAGCAAUAGCAUAAUUACUAAGCAUAGUAUUCAACCCAGGUUAAUCAAGAAAUAAGGUUGGUAUUUCUAGGUAAUCCUAUUUAGGCAAAAACCCAUCAAAUUUAUGCACAUAUCCAAAAGUAAAUAUUAUUGUAUGCAUUAUUUGGGUACAAUAAGAAAUGCAGAGGGAGAAUCCACUUGCCUUGAACAAAAGUGUCCAGUGGGUCAUCUUCAAACGUAUUUGGGUCCUCUACCACGAAAUCGGCUUCUAAUAUAGAUUCGUACAUCGUACAUACAAAAAGAAAACAUACACCAAUAAAUAAAUAUACAUCAUUACAUAAAUAAACAUACACCAUUACACAAAUAAACAUGCACCAUUACACAAAUAAACAUACACCAUACAAAUCAUACCUAUAAAAGGAAAACGUAAAUAGAACUUUAUUUGUAACAAUAUAUAAUUCUACUCACAUCAACGUCCAUCUCAUUUGCUAUGACAUAAAAUACUAAUUUUGUUUCGAGAAUUCACUAGUGAAAACUAUA